CCUUUUUGAACUCAUCCGCUUUCUCUGGCUCCAACACAGCAGUGAGAUUCUUGAUGUAUUUUUUUAUGUAAGAGACAAAUGAUUUCUUGUCAAAAGGAGGUUGCUCCUGUAAAGAGGAUGCAGGGAUUAGUACCAAAAAAACUAUGCACAAGGUACACUCAAGCAAAAAAAAAUUAGCCCUGACAUUUAGAGGGUAGCAACCUGUAGACGGAAUGUGUCAACAAUAUCAACCACCUUCACGGCUGUGUCAUCAACGCUUUCAUCCUCACCACCCUCGGCGGAUGGAUUGGCACCAAUGUCUACAUCAACAGGACCUUGGGUGACCCACUGCAAUCAUCCAGCACAAACGUAAGUAACAAUCACACAAAAACAGCUAACCAAGUAAUGGAUUAAGCAAAACAGAGUAUUAUCGCUGCACAAUCAUGUCUACAUAACUUAAUAAGGGAGACCAAUAAAUGUUGGUACAACACCAAGCAUACAGAAAAAAAAACACACUCAGGCCAGGGGUGCGCAUGAAAUCAUGUUGAUGCACCUCCAGGUUACACUCAUGAACCAACAUAGAAGUUCUAGCCUGUGAAGACAAUGAGACCAAACUAACGGUAGCAUACAUCAAUCUGAACGAAGGGUAAACUACAUAUUGACUACAUGGCAUACCACAGCAAGAAAGUUACAAAUGUGGAGAAGUUGGCACACAUCAAAAUUAAGUUUUGGUGCAGCUGCAGGUCAGUAAUAAGUCCUGGGAUGUAAAGGCAACUAAAAUAAACUAAAAAUAGCAUAAUAGUUUGGGUAAACUAUAUGGCAUGCCACAUCAAGCAAAUUACAUCUAGACUAAAAAACCUAGCGCAGGAAAGAACCUAACAGCGCCAUAGGUCACAUACCAACCACACAGGUACUGUCUAAACACAUAUGAUACUGACUGCAUCAAACAAAUGAUAUCAGAAUAUCGGAUCACAACACAAGCUAGCCAUCCGAUGAUGGAGCGAACAUACCUUUCCCUCGACCUCCCACAGGACGCCGUUCUCGAGCUCCUUGUAGGUGAAUGAAUCCGACAGGAGCUCGUCGCCUGCAAUACACGCGCGCACAGUAACUCAGCGAAUCGAUCGCAGAUCUAGCCACCCAGGCCGCAGCAAACGAUGAGAUCGACUUCUCUACCGAUCGCGACACGACUAGAACAACACCGACGGUAACCAGAUCCGGGAAUCGGGAACCAGGCGAAACAAAAAAAAGGAAAACAAAAACAGAGAAAGGACGCACCAGAUAGGAGGUCUUGAUAAACCAACAUCUCAGCGCCGGCGGAUUAUCGGUUGCUCGUGGGGACGAAGAGACGAUGUCGGAGGCGGCGGCGCAGCGAAGGGUUGGGCAGCGAGGACGGCCGCGGCGCAUUUAUGGUGGCAGGGAAACAUCCGGGCCGCGGUGGCAGCCGUCCGAUCCGCGGCCCCGACGGCCCAGAUGCUCGAUCCGUCGUGACGGGCGCUUUUUGGAAAAGAGACCCUCGCCUUCGUGGGGAAUUCGGGAGGAGUCCUCGUUUUUUUUCCUUUUAUGUGGGGACUUGCGAGAGCGUCCGAUCGGGUAUCUGCGCCGGAUAUUCGCUCGCGGACGGCUAGGAUGUGCACGUGCGCCUACGCCGUGGCCAAUGGGGUCAGCGUUGGUGGCACGCAACCUGGGCUCUGGCCCAUGGCUAAGGCCUUGUUCGUUUACAUCGGAUUGCACCCGGAAUCGUUCCGGUUAAUCAAAGUUUAUAUAAAUUAGAGAAGCAAUCCGGCUCGGAAUUGUUCCGACCCACCAAUCCGACGUAAACGAACAAGGCCUAAAGAUGAAAGUAGGAUGAGAAACCGGAACCAACCGUUAUCUUAUGACUGAUUUUAUUAAUUUUAUCCUGACCAUUAUUAAAUCCGAUUUAAAAAAACAAAAACGGGAUGAAAACGGGAUAUAAAAUGCGGCAAGAGAAAUUAAAAACGGUAGAACCAUUUUUCCGACCGUUUUACAGAGAUACCGUUUUAAAUCGUGAUGAUCCCGUUUUUGUUCUGUAUUUUCAAUUCCGGAAAAAUAGACAUAAUGCCAUGUGCUGAUCCAUAAGUAUUCAGCCCAUAAACCAGCCACCCUAGCUUCCUCUCCAUGGGCCCAUGGCUGGCUCUAUGCUACAAGCGACUAGCCCACCACAGUACGCCAGAUCUCCAGCAGCCAGCUUGCAGCCCUAAACGCAUACACUCAUACUGCUUGUUUAUUAAUUAAUGUGAGCACAUUGAUGCUACUUGCAUACUGAUUGGUUGCUUGCACAUUUAAUACUGCUUGCAUACAACAGAAAUUUGGUCUUUGCUAAUUCAUGAAUAAUGUCGCCAUCUUGUUUACUACUGUUUGGAAGCAUCACAUUGAUUCAAAGCUAACUUUUAUGGUGUAAUUUCACCGACCUAAAAUAUCGGUUACCGUUCGAUUUCUGCAUUUACCCGACUGUAUUGUAUCGUUUUUCGAUUCCCGUAAUUAUCAUGUUCGUUUUCGUUUCCGAUAUAUUCCGUUUUUGUUUCCGUCCCGCAAAAUAAAUAUGAAAAUGAAAACGGUAGAAGUGUUUUCCCGACCGUUCCCGACGGCUUUCAUCCCUACCCAUGGCUUCCCCUAUCGUGUGCCGGAACGGAAUCAGGCCUCCGCCGCGUUCCUUGCCGUGUUGUGCUGCCGAACGGUCCAAAAUAGCUAAAUUGAUUAUGUUUUUACUUUUUAACAGACGAAAACAAAAAACCAACAAUCAGAUCGGCAUUGUCGGUUGUUCAAGAACAAUAAACUUUUGUUUUUCACAAAUAUAUAAUAAAGCGGCGUAUUGGCGAAUGUUUUAGAUAUUGAAAUAGAGAAACAACUAUUUCUUCAUCAUUCAUAUUAUUUAGAGUAAUUAUAACUUUUGUUUUUCUCUAAUUCAUUCGCUUGAACACAACAAAAACAUGUAAAUUACAUAAAUUAUACACUAGAUGUAUCUCAUAUUAUAUUAAAAACGGUAUCAUCACGACUCGUAAACGAAAAAUACGAAAACGAUAGAAAAACUAGCUAAAUCACUUUCGUACUGUUUCUAAUCGGUUUUCGAAAAAAUUUGAAAAUAGACCGUAAAACGGUAUUUUCGGAACAGGACGGUACAAGAUUUUUGAAAGGGAAAUGUGUCCUUGGGCAAUUUCUAUAAAUAUUUUGGUGAUUAGAUGCCCAACACAUAUUGUUGUAAGGUGAUGUAUGCCUAGUAUUAAAGAGAUGCAAAUAAAGAAUAAAGGUAAUAUCUUGACGCUUAGUCAAUUGUUUUAUAUGCUAAACACUCUUGUCUAAGUGCCAGGGACUCAGCUAAGUAAAGGCCAAAAGAGUCAAAGGAAGACAAACAAAGGAUCGAAGAAAAGGUGCUAACUGCGCAGCACCGGAUGGUCUGGCGCCAUUUACCGGACAGUCCGGUGCACGGUCUGCGCAACUCGCCGCUCUCGGGUUUUUCCCUGGCUACGUCGACUAUAAAUCACCGGAAAGUUCGCGCGAGGCGGCGGACAGUCUGGUGCUCCAGCUGUGCAACGGCUACCUCCCACGUCAACAAGAACCAACGAUCAUAUGGCGCACCGGGUGGUCCGGUGCCCCACAGAAGAGGAAACCAGCCAAACAGGGGAUUCUCUAUCGCGUCCUGUGCACGUAUUGUUCAUUGUCCGGUGUGCACCGGACAAUUCGGUGCACCUACGAACAUAAGGCAAGAAUUGCCUACCAAAUGGAGCUCAACGGCUCCUAGCUGCCUUGGGGCUAUAAAAGGGACCCCUAGGCGCAUGGAGCAGUACAUCAAGCCUCCAUUGAACAUCCUAAGAUGCCUAGACUCCGCAAACACGUAUUCGGAUCAUCGUGUUUGAGAUUUGAGCAGUUUUUGAGUCGUGAACUCCCUGCGCUAUGUUUGUGUGCUCAUCUUUUGACUUGUGUGCGUGUGACUGCUGUGAUUCUAGUUCUUGCGUGUAUUUCUUUCCCUCCCUUACUCUUGUUGCUUUUGUUGUGAUAAACAUUGUAAGGGUGAGAGGCUCCAACUUGUGGAGAUUCCUCACAAACGGGAAAAGACUACUAAGGAAGAAAACCGUGGUACUCAAGGUUGAUCAUUGGAUCACUUGAGAGGGUUUGAGUGCAAUCCUUGACCGAAGGAUGUCACCACAAUGUGGAGUAGGCAUUGGUCGAACCACGGGAUAAAAUCACCGUGUCUCGUGUCUCUUUUCAUUGUGAUUGGUUUUUUCUUCUAGAGUUCUCGCUUAAUCACUUGUGCUAUUGUUCCAAAGUUCAAUACUCAUCCUAAAGGAACAAUCAAGUGAAGAGUUCUCUCUUUAGCAACUUGGUUUUAAUCUUACUAACAUUUCAUAACCAAGUUUGGGCUAUUUAGUGUUGAAUUUUACAGGAUCACCUAUUCACCACCCCCCCCCCUCUAGGUGCUCUCAAUUGGUAUCAGAUUCGUACUCUUCAUUUAGGGACUAACCGCCCAAAGAGAUUGAUCCUAAGGGUGAGGGGAUGGUGAUCAACGAUAAGGAGAAGGAGUCUCUCUUCAACGAGCCAAGAGAUGACAAGCCCACUGACUCAGGCUCGAGUCACAAGAAGAAGGACGGGAAGAAGAAGAGGCGCAUAAAGAAUAUCAUCUACUACUACAGCGACGCCUCCUCCUCUUUAUCAAGGGAUGACGACGACGAGGACUCUUCUUCGAAAAAGAAAACGGUUAAUCAAAACUAUUCUUUUGAUUAUUCUCGCAUCCCUUAUAAUUCAAAUGCCCAUUUACUUUCUAUUCCACUCGGAAAGUGUAGCAUCCCAAAAAUUCAAAUCCUGAAAUUUUCUCAAACUCUCUCUAAAUUCAAAAUGAAUUUCAAAUUUCAUUUCAAAAUGUUUGUUUGCGAGUUGAUAUCAGCAAAUAAAAUAUAGUGGUCUAUAUUCUCUCCAAAAUCCUCCUCAAAAUAUCCUACAAAUAUUUCCCAAGUGAUCACCCUCAAUUUCUUUUCAGAAAUACUGCCCAGAUAUUUCCCCAGUAACCCCCCUUUGAUUUCUUUCCAGAAAUACUGCCCAAAUAUUCCACUGAUGUAUCUCCGGAUAUUUUCCUCUUGAGAAAUACCUUCGGAAUCAUUUUUCAAGACCCUACAAAUAUUUUCUUCAUAACUUUCCUCAUGCCCAUACAUAUACGUAUGCCUCCAGUGUCAUACGGUGAGCUCUACAAGCUAAUUACACUUAUACAAGACAAAUACAUGCUAACCUCCCACUAAUCCUCUCAUCCUCCCACUAAUCCUCUCAUCCCUCCCCCUAAUCCCCCCACCAUGGCUAUAAAUAGAGGGGCAAGGGCCUCCUCUCAUCCCACCCCAAGCCAUUUCAUGGCAACUCUCUUCCCCCCCCCACACACCCACUCCAUGUUCCACACAAGCACACACUAGCACAAGGAUCGUUCGAUCGUUCUUCGAUCGUUCGUCCCCCUGUUCUUAGUUUGUUCGUUCGUUCGUCCGGUCGUUCGAUCGUUCGUCCGAUCGUUCAUGGUUCGUUCGUCCGUUCGUCCGAUCGUUCGAUCGUUCGUCCGUUCGUUCGUCCAAAUAAUCUUUUUCCUGCCGUUAUGCUGCCGAAAUUCCGAUCGUUCGUUUGUUCGAUCAUUCGAUCGUUCAUCGUUCAUUCAUAGUUCCCUAUUCAUCGUUCAUCGUUCGUUCAUAGUCCCUAUUCAUCGUUCUUCCAGAUAAUCUUUGUCCUGCCGUUAUGCUGCCGAAAUUCCGAUCGUUCGUUCGUCCGAUCAUUCGAUCGUUCGUCCGUUCGUUCGUCCAAAUAAUCUUUUCCUGCCGCUAUGCUGCCGAAAUUCCGAUCGUUCGUUCGUCCGAUCAUUCGAUCGUUCGUCCGUUCGUUCAUAGUUCCUAUUCAUCGUUCAUCGUUCGUUCAUACGAACUAUUCACUAUCACUAUUCACCAUUACUAUUCACCAUUACUAUUCACAUACACUAUUCAUCAUCGUUACUAUUUAUCAUUACUAUUCAUCAUCGUUACUAUUCAUCGAUGAUAUCUAUAAUUUCUUUUCCAUCGCCACUGUUCAUCGUUACUAAUCAUCGUUACUAUUCGUCGGUCAUCUAGUCAUCCCAAAUUUCAACUACUCAUCCAUCAUGUUGUCCAGUCCACCUAAGACCAGCCAGACCCAUGUUCCAAUCAUACGAACUCCGGUGACUGUGAUUUUCCUUCCAGUGGGAACUUCCCAUCUGGUCACCCAUCCCAGGUUUCUCCAAGUUGAGCAUGCUUAACUUUGAGAUUCCUUUGAACCAGGCUUCCAAACUCAGAUUCUAAUAAUUCUUGUUUCUAAAUUCUUAUCGAAUUAUUCCCUAUCCAACCAUGUCAUCUCUUAAGCAUGGUUCAUAUUCCAGAAGACUCCCAAAAUACUCUUGUCCCAUAUUCUGCCUAUAACUCUCUUGUUCAUACUAAGUCAGACGAUUCAUUCGUCACUGUUCUCACCAACAGUGAACUUCACUGUGCUACACCACAUACACCCAGCUAUAAAUACACCCAACUACCCUCUCCCUCUCCACACACACUCAACACCCUCAACCAAGGCAAACACCCCACCCACUCAGUUACUCCGCUCUGCCGGCUACACGCAUAGUGUCGCUUCGCCUCCAGUCCACCCUCCUGGUAAGCACCUCCGCUCCACCACCAGUAAUAUCACAACACCACAUGACACAGAUUCUACUCAAGACUCUACCCAUCCAUAUAUCGCUUUUCUGACCACUAUACUAAAUAUUUGUUGGUAUACUUGCUGGUUUGUAUGUUUGCUUGUUCAUGUUGCAUAGUUAUCGGAGCGUUCAUGCCGUCUCGUGGAGGCUAGAUCUGCAAGUCUACGCCAGGCAGUGGAGCUAGAAGCCAGUUCCGCGAGCUCCCCUUCCCCCUUCGUCGGAUAAGCACGACAAGCUCACUGGAUCCCUUUGAUGCAUAAAUUACCUAUGAUUUUUCAACCACAACCCUCAGCCUGUUAUUUUAUGCAUGAUAUGAUUUUGAGACAAGUUAUUAUGGCCACCCAGCCGCUUGCCGCAAUCAAUCCCUGAUAUAUAUGUUCCAAAUGAUUUGAGAACAGGUGUGAGUUUUCAAAAGAAAAUGCUUUUCAAAAUGUGUGUGAUGAAGGGUUUUCACCCUUAUCACCUUGUGAGUGGGAUAAUCAGGGACUCCCUAGUUUAGGGGAGGGCCUAAGGUGUUGGCUCAGCUGGUUUAGGCGUGAGCAGAAGGAUUGUCCCCUCAUAUAAGGAUCGGUUUGUCAUCUUCACUACUUGUACUCUUUAAUAGUACAACCACUCGAGACUGUGUGGGCAGUCACUCAAUCUGAACUCGUGCGGUCCGACCCCAGGGUUAUGAAGGCUGGGGAGCACCGGGAGGAUAAGGAGGGGGAAAGUUUUGUCCGGUUUGGACAUGGUGGUGGCCUGACUCCUUCCGGAUAACCGUUAAGGUUAGGACGUGCGGGGAAAGAAAGAGAGUCGGAUUCGGGUCUCAUUGAUCAUGAGAUCGCAGAGCCGGACUAGUGGGUAAAGUGUACACCUCUGUGUAGAGUUUGAAAACCUAUUCGAAUAGUCUGUGUCCACAGGAAUGGACGAGUCUGGUAUGGUAUGGCAAUUAAUGUUUUGUUUUCCAAAAAAAGAGAUGGUUUUGAGAAAAGUGGUUUUUAUAAGGUUCGGCAGUUGAGUCGUGAGCUAUGGUGGACGGGAAGUCCAAUAGCUGUUUUUGAAAAUGAAAACCAGUGGGAAACUGCUGAGAUACCUGGAUGGUUUAGUCCAGGGGAUUUUGUUCUAAUAUUGAAAAACUUCCUGCUCCUUUUGGAGAGGAUGCGCUUUGCAAAAUACAAAAUGUUUUUCAAAACAACCCUGCAUAAAAUAUUGAUGUUUCUGCAAAUAUCCUGAGCUCUACAUAUUCCAUGCAUUAUAUCUGAUUUCCCCAUUCCGCGGGUGAAGGUGGGCUGCUGAGUACGUUUGUACUCACCCUUGCUUAUUUAUUUUUUUUCAGAAAAAGGAGAUCGGGUAAGAGUUAUGACUGUUCCCAACCUUGCCUGUAGCUGUUGGACCGCUGAUUUGCUUCGCUGCGUAUAUCGGGCUGCUUCAGCCCCACUCUGAUGAUAUGUCCCGAGUUGUGGACCAACUCUUAAAGUUGAUCGCCACCUUUAUAGGUUUGUCUCGUUUAAGCAGAUCUGAAAUCAUCUGUUGUAUAAAUGUGUUUACUAGCCUCCUGGGACUAGUAAUUGUAUCACAUUUGAGUCCCAGAGGAUUGGGGACGCUUCAGGUGGUAUCGGAGCUGUUAGGUUGGCCGCAGGACGUAACCCUUAGCCUGAUCCAAAAGUUUUUGAGUCAAAACUAUUUUCUUAAAAAAAUUCUUGCUCUCAUCCCUUCAUUUCAAAAAUACUUUCCCCUUUCCUUCUCUCAGAAGUCAGAUGGAGGUACGCUGCCAAACCAGCUUUUGCCAGAAUGAAGAUGGUUUCCCCAAGUUGCUGAGAGCAUGCACAGUUCGCCUCGGAAUCAGGAGCCAGCCAGAGUAUGAUGGUCGUGAAUUCGUCGAGCAUGGCACAGAGAAGUGUGUCGUGACUGUAUACAUUGGAUCCAGUUCGCACCAUGUGGAAUGGAGUGUCACUGCUGGUGGGCACAGAUUCAAAGACACCUGCCAAGUCGUCGCUCGCAAGGCAUUGAGGGCCCUGUGUCAGAUCUAUGAAGAAGAAGUGGCCGACACCCCACUCAGAUUCUUUCCGCCCUUUCAGAGAGACCGUCCCGCUUGGAUGGCUAGGAUGCGUGCAUUGGAGGAACAGCAGCUGCUUGAGGACGACCCCACAGUCGUGUACCUCACUGCAUACCUGCUCACCCUGGAUGCACAAUAUGAUUUCUUGGCUCGGCACCACCGUCAGAUGAUUGCCCGAGCAGAAGAUGCAGAGAAGCGCAACCGUCAGCUCCAUGUGGAUCUCACCUCAGCUCAAGCCCGUGUAGCUGCCUUGGAAAGUCGUGAAGCCAUUGCUGUUGAAGCCCCGAAGCAAGCCAAGGAUGAGCAUAUCUAGAAGUUGAUGGAGGCCUACUUGGUAACCCAUAACCAACGUAGAGCCCUGCGGAUCCAAGAGCCCGCUCCAUCCAACCCAGUUCAACCCAGGAGAGCUGAAGACCCCCAGAUUCUUGAAGGUCACCCGGUCUCUACCAGAGGAGAAAAGAAGGCUUGGGAACUAGCAGAAGGAGCCAUAGUCUUGGAAGGAAUUCCAGUCUUCCCUCAGGCUAUGGAUAAGCAAGAGCACCCCGAAUCCUCCCAAGAUCCCCUGCCAGAGUUGUUUGAGCCCCUCACCAUGAAGAAGAUUCCAGCACCAUCCAUUGAAGUCAAGGAAGAAGCUGCAAGCACCCCGCCAGCACCGCCGCCCUCUGAGGAGCUACAAGAGCCAGUCCCGCUUGAAGAAGAGUUCGACCCCGUGUUGCCAUCUCAGUCGCCGCCAGAAGAAGUCAUCAACAUCAGCUCUCUCUUGACCCAUCCAGGAGAUGUCUCAGAUUGAAGUUGUGUGCAAGCCUUGCCAGAAGAGAAGCUGCCAGAUCUGAGUUAGUUAUGCCUAGUCCUCUGCAUGCAUUGGGUAGUGGAGUUUUUCUUCACUUUGGUUAGAGCCCUGCAUGUAUGAGAGGUAAUCGUGUAGACUCGUGUUUUGCAAAACUCUAAUUGUGUGGCCCCCUAGGGCAUUUCAAAAUGAAUUUUGCUUGAUGUUUUCUCCCCUUUUGAGUGCAUAUGUGAUGCUUUAACGUUAGUGCUCAUAAGUUGCAUUUAGCAUAGUUCUCAAUUCAGGAGCUAAGCAAUAGUAGUUAUGCUUAGCCCCCCCGAAUCUGAGUAGUCCGUGCUUUGGAAAAACUCUAUUCUUCCCUUAUUCAAAACAUUUGAUUUGUUUGUGCUUCUCAUUGCUGAGCUUGUGUGUUUCUUUCCGUUUGUCUUAAAAAAAGGUUUUCUCUAAAAACAUAGAUCACAAAUUAGAUCCAAUCCUCACCUUAUUCUUCCAUUCUCAUCUUAACCCAUCUCAAGAGAAAAGCACCUUGCCCAAGAAGGUACCGGGAAGCUUACCCUUGAAGCCUGGAAUAAGCUACAAAGGAACCAGUCCAGUCGCUCAGUCAAAAGGACCGACCGUGAGAAUCAAAGCACUGCCCCUGAGUCAAAGUAAACAGGAAAAGAGGACAGAAGGAGUUAUUACCAUACAGAGAGGCAAAGAUUCUUGGAACCAGAGACCACAAACAUCAGGGUCAUUGACCCCACCACUCACCCGUGCCCCUCGCACGCGUGCCCGCCCCCAUGCGCACCACCACCGCCCCACUUCCCCUUUGCAGCGCACCCACUGCUGCCAUCACCGCCAGCAACACCGUCCCCCUUCCCCUUGUCGCACUUGUUGCCGCAUGUCACCUGCUCCAUCACAACCACUACACACCCCCGAGCCCCCCUUCCCCUCAAUCGCACCUACUGCCACAUCACCACCCACUCCGCAACCAAACACCACCGCUCACCUAUAAAACUCCGCACCAACUCCCUCAGUUCCCAUCCCAAGCAAAACACUCCAGAUAAAACCCCCUCUGCCAAAUCGCAAGCAACUCCAUUUUCCACUCCCUCGCCCCUGAGAUCACAAUGCUUGGUGAUUCUUGGGUUGAAGACCGUUGCACAUGGUUCAUAGUCUUUGGUUUCCUCCAAUGUAUGAUGGUAAUACUCUUUGAUAGAAUCCUCCAGUGGGAAGAGCAAAGAGAAAGAAAGGGUCAGUGAAAAGAAGAUAGUGAAGAGAAGCUAAGAAGAAGGUUCUCCCAGAAUCAACCCCGUGCCAGUCAUCUCUCUGCUGCCUGCUCAAGCAUCAACAGUAGAAGAAGGCCCCGUAACACCCGUGUUAUGAGGUACUUCAAGGAGUUCAAAUCCCCAAGAUUCAAGAGUUCUACCCUCAUUCUUUUUAAGUUGGGUAGUGUUCCAGUAAGGUUCCUGCUAUGGAGAAGAAGAAGAAGGCCUGUAGCAAGCUUGUGGAAGACAAGAUCAUCGAAGCCUAUAAGUUUCUGAAUGAGAAGUGGUCACCCAAGUUCCAUUGAUGAAGCACCAGAAGACCAAUCAAGGAAGGAAUCCAUGUGGGAGUUUGCAGGAGAAAGGUUUGCGUGUUGGCAUCGAUGCUUCUUCAAUAAGCUAGUUGCCAAGCGAAAGCUAGAAGCCUGAAGAUGAUCUUGAGUAGCCAGAAUCAGCGUUGCAAUCAGCAACCGGAUGCUCCUGAAAGGCCAGAUUUUGUUGAAGUUCCAUCUCCUCGAAGAGUUGCAAAGUGAAGAUAUGUAGCUGAAGUAAAGCUAUACCCAUAACCCUUCUAAGCCGAAUCUCGAGGACGAGAUUCCUUUUAAGUGGGGUAGAUUUGUAGCAUCCCAAAAAUUCAAAUCCUGAAAUUUUCUCAAACUCUCUCUAAAUUCAAAAUGAAUUUCAAAUUUCAUUUCAAAAUGUUUGUUUGCGAGUUGAUAUCAGCAAAUAAAAUAUAGUGGUCUAUAUUCUCUCCAAAAUCCUCCUCAAAAUAUCCUACAAAUAUUUCCCAAGUGAUCACCCUCAAUUUCUUUUCAGAAAUACUGCCCAGAUAUUUCCCCAGUAACCCCCCUUUGAUUUCUUUCCAGAAAUACUGCCCAAAUAUUCCACCGAUGUAUCUCCGGAUAUUUUCCUCUUGAGAAAUACCUUCGGAAUCAUUUUUCAAGACCCUACAAAUAUUUUCUUCAUAACUUUCCUCAUGCCCAUACAUAUACGUAUGCCUCCAGUGUCAUACGGUGAGCUCUACAAGCUAAUUACACUUAUACAAGACAAAUACAUGCUAACCUCCCACUAAUCCUCUCAUCCUCCCACUAAUCCUCUCAUCCCUCCCCCUAAUCCCCCCACCAUGGCUAUAAAUAGAGGGGCAAGGGCCUCCUCUCAUCCCACCCCAAGCCAUUUCAUGGCAACUCUCUUCCCCCCCACACACACCCACUCCAGGUUCCACACAAGCACACACUAGCACAAGGAUCGUUCGAUCGUUCUUCGAUCGUUCGUCCCCCUGUUCUUAGUUUGUUCGUUCGUUCGUCCGAUCGUUCAUGGUUCGUUCGUCCGUUCGUCCGAUCGUUCGAUCGUUCGUCCAUUCGUUCGUCCAAAUAAUCUUUUUCCUGCCGUUAUGCUGCCGAAAUUCCGAUCGUUCGUUUGUUCGAUCAUUCGAUCGUUCAUCGUUCAUUCAUAGUUCCCUAUUCAUCGUUCAUCGUUCGUUCAUAGUCCCUAUUCAUCGUUCUUCCAGAUAAUCUUUGUCCUGCCGUUAUGCUGCCGAAAUUCCGAUCGUUCGUUCGUCCGAUCAUUCGAUCGUUCGUCCAUUCGUUCGUCCAAAUAAUCUUUUCCUGCCGCUAUGCUGCCGAAAUUCCGAUCGUUCGUUCGUCCGAUCAUUCGAUCGUUCGUCCGUUCGUUCAUAGUUCCUAUUCAUCGUUCAUCGUUCGUUCAUACGAACUAUUCACUAUCACUAUUCACCAUUACUAUUCACCAUUACUAUUCACAUACACUAUUCAUCAUCGUUACUAUUUAUCAUUACUAUUCAUCAUCGUUACUAUUCAUCGAUGAUAUCUAUAAUUUCUUUUCCAUCGCCACUGUUCAUCGUUACUAAUCAUCGUUACUAUUCGUCGGUCAUCUAGUCAUCCCAAAUUUCAACUACUCAUCCAUCAUGCUGUCCAGUCCACCUAAGACCAGCCAGACCCAUGUUCCAAUCAUACGAACUCCGGUGACUGUGAUUUUCCUUCCAGUGGGAACUUCCCAUCUGGUCACCCAUCCCAGGUUUCUCCAAGUUGAGCAUGCUUAACUUUGAGAUUCCUUUGAACCAGGCUUCCAAACUCAGAUUCUAAUAAUUCUUGUUUCUAAAUUCUUAUCGAAUUAUUCCCUAUCCAACCAUGUCAUCUCUUAAGCAUGGUUCAUAUUCCAGAAGACUCCCAAAAUACUCUUGUCCCAUAUUCUGCCUAUAACUCUCUUGUUCAUACUAAGUCAGACGAUUCAUUCGUCACUGUUCUCACCAACAGUGAACUUCACUGUGCUACACCACAUACACCCAGCUAUAAAUACACCCAACUACCCUCUCCCUCUCCACACACACUCAACACCCUCAACCAAGGCAAACACCCCACCCACUCAGUUACUCCGCUCUGCCGGCUACACGCAUAGUGUCGCUUCGCCUCCAGUCCACCCUCCUGGUAAGCACCUCCGCUCCACCACCAGUAAUAUCACAACACCACAUGACACAGAUUCUACUCAAGACUCUACCCAUCCAUAUAUCGCUUUUCUGACCACUAUACUAAAUAUUUGUUGGUAUACUUGCUGGUUUGUAUGUUUGCUUGUUCAUGUUGCAUAGUUAUCGGAGCGUUCAUACCGUCUCGUGGAGGCUAGAUCUGCAAGUCUACGCCAGGCAGUGGAGCUAGAAGCCAGUUCCACGAGCUCCCCUUCCCCCUUCAUCGGAUAAGCACGGCAAGCUCACUGGAUCCCUUUGAUGCAUAAAUUACCUAUGAUUUUCAACCACAACCCUCAGCCUGUUAUUUUAUGCAUGAUAUGAUUUUGAGACAAGUUAUUAUGGCCACCCAGCCGCUUGCCGCAAUCAAUCCCUGAUAUAUAUGUUCCAAAUGAUUUGAGAACAGGUGUGAGUUUUCAAAAGAAAAUGCUUUUCAAAAUGUGUGUGAUGAAGGGUUUUCACCCUUAUCACCUUGUGAGUGGGAUAAUCAGGGACUCCCUGGUUUAGGGGAGGGCCUAAGGUGUUGGCUCAGCUGGUUUAGGCGUGAGCAGAAGGAUUGUCCCCUCAUAUAAGGAUCGGUUUGUCAUCUUCACUACCUGUACUCUUUAAUAGUACAACCACUCGAGACUGUGUGGGCAGUCACUCAAUCUGAACUCGUGCGGUCCGACCCCAGGGUUAUGAAGGCUGGGGAGCACCGGGAGGAUAAGGAGGGGGAAAGUUUUGUCCGGUUUGGACAUGGUGGUGGCCUGACUCCUUCCGGAUAACCGUUAAGGUUAGGACGUGCGGGGAAAGAAAGAGAGUCGGAUUCGGGUCUCAUUGAUCAUGAGAUCGCAGAGCCGGACUAGUGGGUAAAGUGUACACCUCUGCGCAGAGUUUGAAAACCUAUUCGAAUAGUCUGUGUCCACAGGAAUGGACGAGUCUGGUAUGGUAUGGCAAUUAAUGUUUUGUUUUCCAAAAAAAGAGAUGGUUUUGAAAAAAGUGGUUUUUAUAAGGUUCGGCAGUUGAGCCGUGAGCUAUGGUGGACGAGAAGUCCAAUAGCUGUUUUUGAAAAUGAAAACCAGUGGGAAACUACUGAGAUACCUGGAUGGUUUAGUCCAGGGGAUUUUGUUCUAAUAUUGAAAAACUUCCUGCUCCUUUUGGAGAGGAUGCGCUUUGCAAAAUACAAAAUGUUUUUCAAAACAACCCUGCAUAAAAUAUUGCUGUUUCUGCAAAUAUCCUGAGCUCUACAUAUUCCAUGCAUUAUAUCUGAUUUCCCCAUUCCGCGGGUGAAGGUGGGCUGUUGAGUACGUUUGUACUCACCCUUGCUUAUUUAUUUUUUUUCAGAAAAAGGAGAUCGGGUAAGAGUUACGACUGUUCCCAACCUUGCCUGUGGCUAUUGGACCGCUGAUUUGCUUCGCUGCGUAUAUCGGGCUGCUUCAGCCCCACUCUGAUGAUAUGUCCCGAGUUGUGGACCAACUCUUAAAGUUGAUCGCCACCUUUAUAGGUUUGUCUCGUUUAAGCAGAUCUGAAAUCAUCUGUUGUAUAAAUGUGUUUACUAGCCUCCUGGGACUAGUAAUUGUAUCACAUUUGAGUCCCAGAGGAUUGGGGACGCUUCAGAAAGCCCCCACACUUUGAUGGAGAGGACUAUUCAUUUUGGAGUCAUAAAAUGCGUAGUCACCUAUUUUCCCUCCAUCCUAGUAUUUAGGAAAUUGUUGAAAAUGGAAUGCAUUUCGAUAGCACUGAUAAUCCUGUAUUUAUCAAUGAGCAAAUACAUAAAAAUGCCCAAGCCACUACUGUUUUGUUAUCAUCUCUAUGCAGGGAUGAAUAUAACAAAGUAAGCGGCUUGGACAAUGCCAAGCAAAUAUGGGAUACCCUCAAGGUCUUCCACGAGGGUAAUGACGCCACCAUGAUUACCAAAAUGGAACUUGUGGAAGGCGAGCUAGAGAGAUUCGCCAUGAUAAGGGGAGAAGAGCCAACUCAAACAUACAACCGGCUCAAGACCCUUAUCAACAAAAUUAGAAGCUAUAGGAGCACAAGAUGGAUGGAUCAUGACGUUGUCCGACUCAUGCUAAGGUCAUUUACUGUUAUUGAUCCUCAUCUUGUGAACCUUAUUCGUGAGAACCCCAGGUACACUAAGAUGACGCCCGAGGAAAUCCUCGGAAAAUUUGUGAGCGGGUGCAUGAUGGUAAAGGAAGCGAGGUAUGUGGACGAUGCCUUAAACGGGCCGCUUCCUCUACACAAGCCGUAGAUCGUUGCUCUCAAAGCAACCAGCAUCAUGGAGGCGUUACCUAGCAAGGUAGCACAAGUAGAGGUUGUCGGGCUCAACGAGGACGAAAUGACGCUCAUCAUCAAGAGCUUCAAGACCGCCUUGAAAGGACGCAAGGAGUACCCUAACAAGAAUAAAUAAAGGGGAAAGCGCUCCUGCUUCAAAUGCGGUAAGUCUGGUCAUUUCAUAGCAUAAUGUCCCAAUAAUAACAAUGACCAGGCACAAGAAAAAUAUGGAAACAAGGAAAGAAAAAAGAACUACAGGAAGGCAAAGAGCGAGGCACACAUUGGAAAAGAGUGGGACUCCGACUGUUCUUCAUCCGACUCCGAUGAUGAAGGACUAGCUGCCUCGGCCUUCAAUAAGUCUUCUCUCUUCCCCAACAAACGACACACAUGCCUCAUGGCUAAGGAGAAGAAGGUAUGUAUACGAGAUACACCAAAGUACACUUCUUCUAGUGAUGAGGAAUAUUCUGAUGAUGAUGAAAUAGAUUAUAGUGAUCUUUUUAAAGGAUUAGAUAGAUCUAAGGUAGGCAAAAUAAAUGAAUUGAUUGAUGCACUUAAUGAAAAAGACAAACUACUAGAAAAACAAGAAGAUAUUCUCUAUGAGGAACAUGAUAAGUUUAUUAGCAUUCAAAAAUCUCUUGCACUAGAAAUUAAGAAAAAUGAAUUGUUGUCUUCAGAAUUGUCUACCUGUCAUGAAUAUAUUUCUAGAAAAAAUUAAUGUGACUAGUUCAUGUGUAGAGCAUGUCGUAAUCUCCAAUAGGUGUAAGGAUUUUAAUAUUGAUGCCUGUAAUGAACAUGUUUCUACUAUCAUUAAGUUAAACAAUGAGGUUGCAAGUCUUAAUGCUCAACUUAAGACUUGCAAGGAUAAUCAUGAAAAACUCAAAUUUGCUAGGGAUUCCUACACCAUUGGUAGACACCCCUCAAUUAAGGAUGGACUUGGUUUCCAAAAGGGGACUAAGAACUUGACAAGCCAAAGGACUUCCAAUCUCAAUAAGGAGAAAGGGAAGGCUCCUAUGGCUAGUAGUUCUCAAAAGAACCAUGCCUAUCUUUACAAGAAAACUCCUAAUGUCGCUCAUCAUGAUAGGUGUCAUAAUCAUGCUACUUUACCUACUUAUCAUGAUUCUCAUGCCAUGUUUGCAACUAGCUCCUCUCAUGCUCAUAGUACAAGUAGGCCUAGGCGUAAUCAUGUUGUUUCUCAUGCGCCUAGGAAAGUAUGUACUGGUCCAACUACUAUUUAUCAGACAUGUAAUGCUUCUUUUGUAUUGUCAUGUAAAAAUGCUAAAGUAGUUGCUAGAAAGUUGGGAUCUAAAUGCAAGAGAGACAAAACUUGCAUUUGGGUUCCAAAAUCUGUUGUAACUAACCUUGUAGGACCCAACAAGAGUUGGGUACCUAAAACCCAAGCUUAAUUACCUUGCAGGUUUAUGCAUCCGGGGGCUCAAGCUGGAUUAUUGACAGCGGAUGCACAAACCACAUGACGGGGGAGAAGAAAAUGUUCACCUCCUACGUCAAAAACAUGGAUUCCCAAGAUACUAUCAUCUUUGGAGAUGGGAACCAAGUCAAGGUUAAGGGCUUAGGCAAAAUAGCUAUCAAGACCAAGCAUUCAAUUUCAAAUGUGUUUUUAGUAGAAUCGCUCGGGUAUAAUUUAUUGUCUGUAAGUCAAUUGUGUCAUAUGGGCUAUAAUUCUUUAUUUACAAAUAUUGAUGUAUCUGUCUUUAGAAGAAGUGAUGGUUCAUUAGCUUUUAAGGGUGUAUUAGAUGGCACACUCUAUUUAGUUGAUUUCUCAAAAGAGAAUGUCGAUCUAGAUGCAUGCUUAAUCGCUAAGACUAAUAUGGGCUGGCUCUGACAUCGCUGUCUAGCACAUGUUGGGAUGAAGAACCUUCAUAAACUUCUGAAGGGAGAACAUGUGUUAGGACUAACCGGCGUCUGUUUUGAGAAAGAUAGACCAUGUGCAGCGUGCCAAGCAGGAAAGCAGGUGGGAAGUACUCAUCAAAACAAAAAUGUGAUGACGACGUCAAGACCACUAGAACUCCUACAUAUGGAUCUCUUUGGGCCCGUUACCUGUCUCAGCAUCGGGGGAAGUAAGUAUGGUCUUGUUAUAGUUGAUGAAUUUUCCCGCUUCACUUGGGUGUUCAUUUUGCAGGAUAAAUCUGAAACCCAAGGAACACUAAAGCGCUUCUUAAGGAGAGCUCAAAAUGAAUUUGAGCUAAAAGUAAAGAAGAUAAGGAGCGAUAAUGGAUCUAAGUUCAAGAAUCUUCAAGUUGAAGAAUAUCUUGAGUAGGAAGGCAUCAAGCACGAGUUCUCCGCUCCCUACACACCACAACAAAAUGGUGCAGUAGAGAGAAAGAACAGGACACUAAUUGAUAUGGCAAGGACGAUGCUUGGAGAAUACAAGACGCCUGAGCGGUUUUGGUCGGAAGAUGUGAACACAGCUUGCCAUGCCAUAAACCGGCUCUAUUUGCAUCGCCUCCUCAAGAAGACCUCAUACGAACUCCUAACUGGUAACAAACCCAAUGUUUCCUAUUUUCGUGUAUUACAUUAUGGUAAAGAAAGGUAGGCAUUCAAAGUUUGCUCCCAAAGCUGUAGAAGGGUUUUUACUAGGAUAUGACUCAAAUACAAAGGCGUAUAGGGUCUUCAACAAAUCAUCGGGAUUGGUUGAAGUCUCUAGCGACGUUGUAUUUGAUGAAACUAAUGGCUCUCCAAGAGAGCAAGUUGAUCUUGAUGAUGUAGAUGAAGAUGAGGUUCCGACGGCCGCAAUGCGAACAAUGACGAUAGAUGAUGUGCGACCACAAGAACCGCAAGAGCAAGAUCAACCUUCUUCCUCUACGAUGGUGCAUCCCCCAACUCAAGACGAUGAACAGGUACCUCAAGAAGAAGGGCAGGAUCAAGGGGGAGCACAUGAAGAACAUGAUAAGGAGGAAGAAGCGUCACUGGUUCCUCCAACUCAAGUCCGAACAGCGAUUCAAAUAAAUCAUCCAGUGGAUCAGAUUUUGGGUGAUAUCAGCAAGGGAGUAACAACUCGCUCACGCUUAGCUAAUUUCUAUGAGCAUUACUCGUUUGUUUCUUCUAUUGAGCCUUUCAGGGUAGAAGAAGCCUUGCAGGAUCCAGACUGGGUGUUGGCCAUACAGGAAGAGCUCAACAACUUCAAGAGAAAUGAAGUUUGGAGCCUGGUGCCACGUCCAAAGCAAAACGUUGUGGGAACUAAAUGGGUGUUCCGCAACAAGCAAAACAAACACGGAGUGGUGACAAGAAACAAGGCUUGACUUGUGGCAAAAGGGUAUGCCCAAGUCAUAGGUUUGGAUUUUGAGGAGACUUUCGCUCCUGUGGCUAGGCUAGAAUCAAUUCGACUAUUGUUAGCCUAUGCUGCUCACCAUUUUUUAAGCUGUUCCAAAUGGACGUGAAAAGCGCCUUCCACAAUGGACCAAUCAAGGAGGAAGUGUACGUGGAACAACCCCCUAGCUUUGAGGAGGACAGGUAUCCCAACCACGUCUACAAGCUCUCUAAGGCGCUCUAUGGACUUAAGCAAGCCGCAAGAGCAUGGUAUGAAUGCCUUAGAGAUUUUCUCAUUUCUAAUGCUUUCAAGGUUGGGAAAGCUGAUCCUACUCUCUUUACUAAGACUUGCAAUGGUGAUCUUUUUGUAUGCCAAAUAUAUGUUGAUGACAUUAUAUUUGGUUCUACUAAUCAAAAGUCUUGUGAGGAGUUUAUUAGGGUGAUGAUGCAAAAGUUCCAUAUGACAUUAUAUAUAGUCUCAAAGGGUCAAGUUGUAGCAUGUCUCCCCCUAAAUAUGUGCACCAUUUGCAUAUGGACUUGUGAGGUCUAGGGAGAUUUUGUACAACUUGAGCACCACAAAUAGAUAACACAAAAUGCAUAAAGUAACAUGAUCAAAGGCAUAGAACACAUGUAUGCUAUAGAUCAAUCCAAGUUAUGCGAAUCUAAGACAUUUAGCUCACUACGCAACCUGCAAAAAGUUUUCUCAUCCAAUGGCUUGGUAAAGAUAUUGGCUAGCUAGUUCUCGGUGCUAAUAUGGUACACCUCGAUAUCUCCCUUUAGCUGGUGGUCUCUCAGGAAGUGAUGUCGGAUGUCUAUGUGCUUAGUGCGGCUGUGUUCAAUAGGAUUAUCCGCCAUGCGGAUUGCACUCUUAUUGUCACAUAGGAGGGGGACUUUGCUCAGAUUGUAGCCAAAGUCCUGGAGGGUUUGCCUCAUCCAAAGUAGUUGCACGCAACACUGUCCUGUGGCAACAUACUCGGCCUCAGCGGUGGAUAGGGCAACAGAUGUUUGUUUCUUGGAACUCCAAGACACCAGGGACCUUCCUAGGAAUCGGCACGUCCCCGAUGUGCUCUUCCUAUCAACCUUGCACCCGACAUAAUCGGAGUCUGAAUAUCCUAUCAAGUCAAAGGUAGACCCCGUUGGAUACCAGAUCCCAAAGCAAGGCGUAGCAACUAAAUACCUAAGAAUUCGCUUAACGGCCACAAGGUGACAUUCCUUGGGGUCGGAUUGAUAUCUAGCACACAUGCAUACACUAAGCAUAAUGUCCGGUCUACUAGCACAUAAAUAAAGCAAGGAACCUAUCAUAGACCGGUAUGCCUUUUGAUCGACAGACUUACCUCCUUUGUUGAGGUCGACAUGCCCGUCGGUUCCCAUCGGUGUCUUCGCGGGCUUGGCGUCCUUCAUCCCAAACCUCUUGAGAAGAUCUUGUGUGUACUUCGUUUGAAAGAGGAAGGUGACAUCCUUGAGUUGCUUCACUUGGAACCCAAGGAAGUAGGUCAACUCACCCAUCAUCGACAUCUCGAACUUUUGUGUCAUCACCCUGCUAAACUCCUCACAAGACUUUUGAUUAGUAGAACCAAAUAUUAUGUCAUCGACAUAAAUUUGGCACACAAAAAGAUCACCAUCACAAGUCUUAGUAAAAAGAGUGGGAUCGGCUUUCCAAACCUUGAAAGCAUUAGCAAUUAAGAAAUAUCUAAGGCAUUCAUACCAUGCUCUUGGGGCUUGCUUAAGUCCAUAGAGCGUCUUAGAGAGCUUGAACAUAUGGUCGGGGUACCUGUCAUCCUCAAAGCCAGGGGGUUGUUCCAUGUAUACCUCCUCCUUGAUUGGCCCGUUGAGGAAAGCGCUCUUUACGUCCAUUUGAAACAACCUGAAAGAGUGGUGAGCGACAUAGGCUGGUCUCUAGUGAACUCGCCGCUCUCGGGUUUCGACGGCGGCGUACGGCUAUAAUUCACCGGACUGUCCGGUGGUGCACCGGACUGUCCGGUGAGCCAAAUGAAAGGGAAAUGUGCCCUUGGGCCAUUUCUAUAAUAUUUUGGUGAUUAAGUGUCCAACACAUAGUGAAUAAGAUAUUAUGUGCCAAACAAGCAAAAGGUGCAAAUAAUGUAACAAGGUAUGUUUCUAGACUUAGUACAUUGUUUUGAGUACUAACAUAUUCUGUCUAAGUGCUAGAAUCAGAGAAAAGAGAAGAAGAAAAGGACUUGGCUCGGAGCAGCCAAUACUCAGCUUAGUCUGGCACACCGGACUGUCCGGUGGUGCACCGGACAGUGUCUGGUGCGCCAGGCUGGCUUCCGGCGAACUGGCCGCUCUCGGGAGAAUUUGGCGGCGUACGGCUAUAAUUCACCGGACUGUCCGGUGAGCCAACGUCCGCCAGCGCAACGGUCGGCCACACAAUCCGCGUGCGACGCGUGGCCCGCUCCAACGGUCGGCAGGGGCACCGGACUGUCCGGUCCGCCAACUGCCACGGCGCUGCAACGGUCAUCUGUGCCUAAUUAGGAAGGAGAUCCGCACCGGACAUGCUACAGUGACUGUCCGGUGGUGCACCGGACUGUCCGGUGCACCACCCGACAGAAGGAAACUUUGGCCUUCCUUGUUGGCCUCCAACGGCUCCUAGCUACCUUGGGGCUAUAAAAGGGACCCCUAGGCGCAUGGAGGAGUCACCCAAGCAUUCACUAAGUAAUCUAAUACUCCCACACUCCGUCUCCGCGCACUUGAUCGAUUGUGUUAGUGAUUUGAGCUCCGUUCUAGUUGUGAACUCUCUGUGUUUCAUUUUGAGCUCAAGUCUUGGCUUGUGUGCGUGCGUGUGCUGCGGAUUUGUGUGUGUUGCUCCCCAACCUUACUCCGUGCUUUCUUUAUGAGCAAUCUUGUAAGGGCGAGAGGCUCCAACUUGUGGAGAUUCCUCGCAAACGGGAAAAGAUAUAAGGAAGAAUACCGUGGUAUUCAAGUUGAUCAUUGGAUCACUUGAAAGGGGUUGAGUGCAACCCUCGUCCAUUGGGACACCACAACGUGGAGGUAGGCAAGUGUUAUACUUGGCCGAACCACGGGAUAAACCACUGUGUCUCUUGUAUUGUCUUUCUUUGUGAUUAUUGUGAUUCGCAAGAGCUCACUCUAUAGCCACUUGUUUCUAUCGCACUAUCAUCUUUAUAACCAAGUUUUGUGGCUAUUAGUUGUUGAUUUUUACAGGAUCACCUAUUCACCCCCGCUCUAGGUGCUCUCAAUUGGUAUCAGAGUCGUUCUCUUCACGUAAGGGACUAAUCACCUGAAGAGAUGGAUCCUAAGGGAAAGGGGAUGGUGGUCAACGACAAGGAGAAGGAGUCUUUCCUCAACGAGCCUAGAGAUGACAAGCCAACCGAUUCAGGCUUGAGUCAUAAGAAAAGAGAUGGAAAGAAGAAAAGGCGCAUCAAGAAGAUCGUCUACUACGACAGCGACAAAUCUUCUUCUUCACCAAGAGACGACGACAACGAGAAAAAGAAACCGGUUAAUUCAAAUUAUUCAUUUGAUUAUUCUCGUAUUCCUUUUAAUUCCAAUGCUCAUUUGCUUUCAAUUCCUCUUGGUAAACCUCCACACUUUGAUGGGGAGGACUACUCUUUUUGGAGUCACAAAAUGCGUAGUCAUCUAUUCUCUCUCCAUCCUAGUAUUUGGGAGAUAGUUGAACAUGGAAUGCAAUUUGAUAGUACGGAUAACCCUGUGUUUAUUAACGAGCGAAUUCAUAAAAAUGCACAAGCUACCACUGUUUUGCUAGCAUCUUUGUGCAGGGAUGAGUACAACAAGGUGAGCGGCUUGGACAACGCCAAGCAAAUCUGGGACACCCUCAAAAUAUCACAUGAGGGAAACGACGCCACCAUGAUCACCAAAAUGGAGUUGGUGGAAGGAGAGCUAGGAAGGUUCGCUAUAAUCAAGGGAGAGGAGCCAACACAGACGUACAAUAGGCUCAAGACCCUGGUCAACAAGAUUAGGAGCUAUGGGAGCACGAGAUGGACGGACCACGGCGUCGUCUGACUUAUGCUCAGGUCUUUUACUGUUAUUGACCCUCAUCUUGUGAACCUCAUCCGUGAAAAUCCCAGGUACACAAAGAUGAUGCCCGAGGAGAUACUCGGAAAGUUUGUGAGCGGACGCAUGAUGGUGAAAGAAGCCUGAUAUGUAGACGACGCGCUUAAUGGUCCAUUACCCAUCUACAAGCCUCAACCCGUUGCUCUCAUGCAAGGUGGCACAAGUUGAGGCGGCCGGGCUAAACGAAGAUGAGAUGGCUCUCAUCAUCAAGCGCUUCAAGACCGCAUUAAAAGGAUGCAAGGAGUACCCCAACAAGAAUAAAGCAAGGGGAAAGCGCUACUGCUUCAAAUGUGGUAAGACAGGUCAUUUUAUUGCUCAAUGUCCGGAUAAUGAAAAUGACCAGGGGGAAGAAAGACAUGGGAAGAAGGAAAAGAAGAAAAGCUAUAGGAAGGCUAAAGGCGAGGCGCAUCUUGGCAAGGAGUGGGACUCGGACUGCUCGUCAUCCGACUCCGAUGAUGAAGAACUGGCAGCCUCGGCCUUCAACAAAUCUUCUCUCUUCCCCAACGAACGCCACACUUGCCUCAUGGCAAAGGAGAAAAAGGUAAGCGUUUGAGAAACCCAUAAGUAUUCUACUUCUAGUGAUGAGGAUUCUAGUGAUGAUGAAGUAGAUUAUACUAGCUUGUUCAAAGGAUUAGAUAGAGCUAAAGUAGAAAAGAUUAAUGAAUUGAUUGAUGCCUUAAAUGAAAAAGAUAGACUGCUAGAGAGGCAAGAGGACAUUUUGUAUGAGGAACAUGACAAAUUUGUUAGUGUUCAAAAGUCUCUUGCCUUAGAGAUUAAAAGAAAUGAAUUACUAUCUUCUGAGUUAUCUACUUGCAAUGAAUCUAUAUCUAGUUUAAAAACUUUGAAUGAUGAUUUAAGUGCUAAGCUAGAGGUAGCUAAUAAAUCAAGUUCAUGUGUAGAACAUGUUGUAAUUUGCAAUAGAUGCAAGGAUUUUGAUAUCAAUGCUUGUGAUGAACAUCUUGCUUCUAUUGCUAAAUUGAAUGAUGAGGUGGUAAGUCUUAAUGCUCAACUUAAGACUUGCAAGGUUGAUUUUGAUAAGCUAAAAUUUGCUAGGGAUGCCUACACUAUUGGUAUACACCCCUCAAUUAAGCAUGUACUUGGCUUUCGAAAGGAAGCCAAGAACUUAACAAGCCAAAGGGCACCCAUUUCCAACAAAGAGAAAGGGAAGGCCCUUAUGGCUAGUAGUGUUCAAAAGAAUCAUGCUUUCAUGUAUAAUACGAAAAUUGCUAGUCAUAAUAGGAGAUAUGAUUAUGAUGCUUAUGAUUCACAUGCUAUGUUCGCUUCAAGUUCCAUUUUUAAUGGUAGUCCUAGGAGAAAUUUUGUGUCUCAUGCUCCUAGGAAAAAUGUGUAAUAAACCUACUACUGUCUUUCAUGCUUGAAACACUACGUUUGUACUUUCAUGUAAAAAUGAAAAAGUGGUUGCUAAAAAAUUGGGACCCAAAUGCAAAGGAGACAAGGCUUGCAUUUUGGUACCAAAAGCUAUUGUAACUAACCUUGUAGGACCCAACAAGAGUUGGGUACCUAAAACCCAAGCAUAAAUUGUCUUGCAGGUUUAUGCAUCCGGGGGCUCAAGCUGGAUUAUCGACAGCGGAUGCACAAACCACAUGAUGGGGGAGAAGAAGAUGUUCACCUCCUACGUCAAGAACAAGGAUUCCUAGAAUACGAUUAUCUUUGGAGAUGGGAACCAAGGCAAGGUCAAAGGCUUGGGCAAGAUUGCCAUCACAAAUGAGCACUCUAUCUCUAAUGUAUUUUUAGUAGAGUCGCUAGGCUAUAAUCUCCUGUCUGUAAGUCAAUUGUGCCAAAUGGGCUACAAUUGUUUGUUUACAAAUGUUGAUGUAUCUGUCUUUAGAAGGAGUGAUGGUUCAUUAGCGUUUAAGGGUGUACUAGAUGGCAAACUCUACUUAGUUGAUUUUUCGAAAGAAGAGGCCGAUCUAGAUGCAUGCUUAAUCGCUAAGACUAGUAUGGGCUGGCUGUGGCAUCGCCGCCUAGCACAUGUUGGAAUGAAGAACCUUCACAAACUUCUAAAUGGAGAACAUGUGUUAGGACUAACCAAUGUAUGCUUCGAAAAGGAUAGACCUUGUGCAGCUUGUCAGGCAGGAAAACAGGUGGGAAGCACUCAUCACAACAAGAAUGUGAUGACAACAUCAAGACCACUGGAGCUACUACAUAUGGACCUCUUCGGACCCGUUGCCUACCUUAGCAUUGGGGGAAAUAAGUAUGGUCUUGUUAUUGUUGAUGAUUUUUCCCGCUUCACUUGGGUGUUCUUUUUGCAGGAUAAAUCAGAAACCCAAGGGACCCUUAAGCGCUUUCUAAGGUGGGCUCAAAACGAAUUUGAGCUCAAGGUGAAAAAGAUAAGAAGCGACAAUGGGUCCGAGUUCAAGAAUCUGCAAGUGGAAGAGUACCUUGAGGAGUGAAAGUCGCCUAGAGGGGGGUGAAUAGGGCGAAACUAAAAUUUACAAAAUUAAUCACAACUACAAGCCGGGUUAGCGUUUGAAAUAUAAUCGAGUCCGAGAGAGAGAGGGUGCAAAAAUAAAUCGCAGGCGAAUAAAGAGUGUGACACGCGGAUUUGUUUUACCGAGGUUCGGUUCUUGCAAACCUACUCCCCGUUGAGGUGGUCACAAAGACCGGGUCUCUUUUAACCCUUUCCCUCUCUCAAACGGUCCCUCGGACCGAGUGAGCUUUCUCUUCUCAAAUCAACCGGGAACAAAACUUCCCCCGCAAGGACCACCACACAAUUGGUGUCUCUUGCCUUGGUUACAAGUGAGUAUUGAUCACAAGAAAGAAUGAGAAAGAAGAAAGUGAUCCAAGCGCAAGAGCUCAAAAGAACAUGACAAAUCACUCUCACUAGUCACUAAUGCUUUUGUGGAAUUGGGAGAGGAUUUGAUCACUUGGGUGUGUCUUGUAUUGAAUGCCUAGCUCUUGUAAGUGGUUGGAAGGUUGAAAACUUGGAUGUCUUGAAUGUGGGGUUGUUGGGGGUAUUUAUAACCCCAACCACCAAACUAGCCGUUUGGUGGAGGCUACUGUCGCAUAGCGCACCGGACAGUCCGGUGCGCCAGCCACGUCACCAGGCCGUUGGGUUCCGACCAUUGGAGCUCUGACGUGUGGGCCCGCCUGGCUGUCCGGUGGUGCACCGGACAAGUCCUGUAGAUUGUCCGGUGUGCCACCCGCGCGUGCCCUGCUCCUCUGCGCGUGCUGGCGCGCAUUUAAUGCGUUGCAGUCGACCGUUGGCGCGAAGUAGCCGUUGCUCCGCUGGCUCACCGGACAGUCCGGUGUGCACCGGACAUGUCCGGUGAAUUAUAGCGGAGCGGAUUCCCGAAGCUGGCGAGUUCAGAGUCACUCUCCUCUGGAGCACCGGACACUGUCCGGUGUGGCACCGGACAGUCCGGUGAAUUAUAGCGGAGCGCCUCUGGAUUUUCCCGAAGGUGAAGAGUUCAGUGUGAAGUCCCCUGGUGCACCGGACAUUGUCCGGUGGCACACCGGACAGUCCGGUGCGCCAGACCAGGGCUGCCUUCGGUUAUCCCUUGCUCUCUUUGUUGAACCCAAUUCUUGGUCUUUUUAUUGGCUAAGUGUGAACCUUUGGCACCUGUAUAACUUAUACACUAGAGCAAACUAGUUAGUCCAAUUAUUUGUGUUGGGCAAUUCAACCACCAAAAUCAUUUAGGAAAUGGGUGUAAGCCUAAUUCCCUUUCAAUCUCCCCCUUUUUGGUGAUUGAUGCCAACACAAACCAAAGCAAAUAUAGAAGUGCAUAAUUGAACUAGUUUGCAUGAUGUAAGUGCGAAGGUUACUUAGAAUUGAGCCAAUAUAAAUACUUAUAAGAUAUGCAUGGAUUGUUUCUUUGAUUUUUGACAUUUUGGACCACGCUUGCACCACCUGAUUUGUUUUUGCAAAUUCUUUUGUAAAUUCCUUUCAAAGUCCUUUUGCAAAUAGUCAAAGGUAAAUGAAUAAGAUUUUGCGAAGCAUUUUCAAGAUUUGAAAUUUUCUUUCCCCUGUUUCAAAUGCUUUCCCUUUGACUAAACAAAACUCCCCCUAGAUGAAAUCUCCUCUUAGUGUUCAAGAGGGUUUUUAAGAUAUUGAUUUUGAAAAUACUACUCUCUCCCCCUUUUGAACAUAAUGAGAUACUAAUUUGAAAAUCAUACCAAUUGAAAAAACUCUUUCUAAAAUUAGUACCAAUUGAAAAACCAAAAUUUUAAGUUGGUGGUGGUGCGGUCCUUUUGCUUUGGGCUCAUGCUCUCUCCCCCUUUGGCAUAAAUCGCCAAAAAAUGGAAUCAUUAGAGCCCUUUGAACUACUUGUCUCCCCUUUGGCAAAUAAAACAUUUGAGUGAGAAUUAUACCAAAAGACGGAGUCCUUUUGCUUGGGACUCAGGCUCUCUCCCCCAAAGAUGGAGAGUUACCAGGAGCGACGGCGAGGAUGAGUUACGGAGUGGAAGCCUUUGUCUUCGCCGAAGACUCCAAUUCCCUUUCAAUACACCUACGACUUGGUUUGAAAUAGACUUGAAAACACAUUAGUCAUAGCAUAUGAAAGAGACAUGAACAAAGGUAUAUGAAUGAGCUAUGUGUGCAAGACAUCAAAAGAAAUUCCUAGAAUCAAGGAUAUUUAGCUCAUGCCUAAGUUUGUUAAAAGUUUGUUCAUCUAGUGGCUUGGUAAAGGUAUCGGCUAAUUGAUCUUUAGUGUUAAUAUAUGCAAUCUCGAUAUAUCCCUUUUGUUGGUGAUCCCUUAGAAAAUGAUACCGAAUGGCUAUGUGUUUAGUGCGGCUAUGCUCAACGGGAUUAUCCGCCAUGCGGAUUGCACUCUCAUUAUCACAUAGAAGAGGAACUUUGGUUAGUUUGUAACCGUAGUCCCUAAGGGUUUGCCUCAUCCAAAGUAGUUGCGCGCAACAAUGUCCUGCGGCAAUGUACUCGGCUUCGGCGGUAGAAAGAGCUACGUAAUUUUGCUUCUUUGAAGCCCAAGACACCAAGGAUCUUCCCAAGAACUGGCAAGUCCCCGAUGUGCUCUUUCUAUUAAUUUUACACCCCGCCCAAUCGGCAUCCGAAUAACCAAUUAAAUCAAAAGUGGAUCCCCUAGGAUACCAAAGCCCAAACUUAGGAAUAUAAGCCAAAUAUCUCAAGAUUUGUUUUACGGCCGUAAGGUGAGCUUCCUUAGGGUCGGCUUGGAAUCUUGCACACAUGCAUACGGAAAGCAUAAUGUCCGGUCGAGAUGCACAUAAAUAGAGUAAAGAGCCUAUCAUCGACCGGUAUACCUUUUGAUCCACGGACUUACCUUCCGUGUCGAGGUCGAGAUGCCCAUUGGUUCCCAUGGGUGUCUUGAUGGGUUUGGCAUCCUUCAUCCCAAACUUGCUUAGAAUAUCUUGAGUAUACUUCGUUUGGCUUAGGAAGGUGCCCUCUUGGAGUUGCUUCACUUGAAAUCCUAAGAAAUACUUCAACUCCCCCAUCAUGGACAUCUCGAAUUUUUGUGUCAUGAUCCUACUAAACUCUUCACAUGUAGAUUCGUUAGUAGACCCAAAUAUAAUAUCAUCAACAUAAAUUUGGCAUACAAACAAAUUAUUUUCAAGUGUUUUAGUGAAUAAGGUAGGAUCGGCCUUUCCGACUUUGAAGCCAUUAUUUAUAAGGAAAUCCCUAAGGCAUUCAUACCAUGCUCUUGGGGCUUGCUUGAGCCCAUAAAGCGCCUUAGAGAGUUUAUAAACAUGGUUAGGGUACUCACUAUCUUCAAAGCCAGGAUGUUGCUCAACAUAGACCUCUUCCUUGAUUGGUCCAUUGAGGAAGGCGCUCUUCACAUCCAUUUGAUAAAGCUUGAAGCCAUGGUAAGUAGCAUAGGCCAAUAAUAUACGAAUUGACUCAAGCCUAGCUACGAGUGCAUAGGUUUCACCGAAAUCCAAACCUUCGACUUGGGAGUAUCCUUUGGCCACAAGUCGUGCUUUGUUCCUUGUCACCACACCAUGCUCGUCUUGCUUGUUGCGGAACACCCAUUUGGUUCCUACAACAUUUUGGUUAGGACGUGGAACUAAAUGCCAUACCUCAUUCCUAGUGAAGUUGUUGAGCUCCUCUUGCAUCGCCACCACCCAAUCCGAAUCUUGUAGUGCUUCCUCUACCUUGUGUGGCUCAAUAGAGGAAACAAAAGAGUAAUGUUCACAAAAAUGUGCAACACGAGAUCUAGUAGUUACCCCCUUAUGAAUGUCGCCGAGGAUGGUGUCGACGGGGUGAUCUCGUUGGAUUGCUUGGUGGACUCUUGGGUGUGGCGGUCUUUGUUCUUCAUCCUCCUUAUCUUGAUCGUUUGCAUCUCCCCCUUGAUCAUUGCCGUCAUCUUGAGGUGGCUCAUUUGCUUGAUCUUGCACUUCAUCAACUUGAGCUUCAUCCUCAUUUUGAGUUGGUGGAGAUGCUUGCGUGGAGGAGGAUGGUUGAUCUUGUGCACUUGGAGGCUCUUCGGAUUCCUUAGGGCACACAUCCCCAAUGGACAUGUUCCUUAGCGCGAUGCACGGAGCCUCUUCAUCACCUAUCUCAUCAAGAUCAACUUGCUCUACUUGAGAGCCGUUAGUCUCAUCAAACACAACGUCACAAGAAACUUCAACUUGUCCCGAGGACUUGUUAAAGACUCUAUAUGCCCUUGUGUUUGAAUCAUAUCCUAGUAAAAAGCCUUCUACAGUCUUAGGAGCAAAUUUAGAUUUUCUACCUCUUUUAACAAGUAUAAAGCAUUUGCUACCAAAGACUCUAAAAUAUGAAAUAUUGGGCUUUUUACCGGUUAGGAGUUCAUAUGAUGUCUUCUUGAGGAUUCAGUGUAGAUAUAACCGGUUGAUGGCGUAGCAAGCGGUGUUGACCGCUUCGGCCCAAAACCGAUUCGAAGUCUUGUACUCAUCAAGCAUGGUUCUUGCCAUGUCCAAUAAAGUUCUAUUCUUCCUCUCCACUACACCAUUUUGUUGUGGAGUGUAGGGAGAGGAGAACUCAUGCUUGAUGCCCUCCUCCUCAAGGAAGCCUUCAAUUUGAGAGUUCUUGAACUCCAUCCCGUUGUCGCUUCUAAUUUUCUUGAUCCUUAAGCCGAACUCAUUUUGAGCCUGUCUCAAGAAUCCCUUUAAGGUCUCUUGGGUAUGAGAUUUUUCCUGCAAAAAGAAUACCCAAGUGAAGCGAGAAUAAUCAUCCACAAUAACUAGACAGUACUUACUCCCGCCGAUGCUUAUAUAAGCUAUCAGGCCGAAUAGAUCCAUGUGUAGGAGCUCCAGUGGCCUGUCAGUCGUCAUGAUGUUCUUAUGUGGAUGAUGGGCACCAACUUGCUUCCGUGCUUGGCAUGCGCUACAAAUCCUGUCUUUCUCAAAAUGAACGUUUGUUAAUCCUAAAAUGUGCUCUCCCUUUAGAAGCUUAUGAAGAUUCUUCAUCCCAACAUGGGCUAGUCGGCGGUGCCAGAGCCAACCCAUGUUAGUCUUAGCAAUUAAACAUGUGUCGAGUUCAGCUCUAUCAAAAUCUACCAAGUAUAGCUGACCCUCUAACACACCCUUAAAUGCUAUUGAAUCAUCACUUCUUCUAAAGAUAGUGACACCUACAUCAGUAAAAAGACAGUUGUAGCCCAUUUGACAUAAUUGAGAUACGGAAAGCAAAUUGUAAUCUAAUGAAUCAACAAGAAAAACAUUGGAAAUGGAAUGGUCAGGUGAUAUAGCAAUUUUACCCAAACCUUUGACCAAACCUUGAUUUCCAUCCCCGAAUGUGAUCGCUCGUUGGGGAUCUUGGUUUUUCUCGUAGGAGGAGAACAUUUUCUUCUCCCCUGUCAUGUGGUUUGUGCACCCGCUGUCGAUGAUCCAACUUGAGCCCCUGGAUGCAUAAACCUACAAAACAAGUUUAGUUCUUGACUUUAGGUACCCAAAUGGUUUUGGGUCCUUUGGCAUUAGACACAAGAACUUUGGGUACCCAAACACAAGUCUUUGACCCCUUGUGCUUGCCCCCAACAUAUUUGGCAACUACCUUGCCGGAUUUGUUAGUUAACACAUAAGAUGCAUCAAAAGUUUUAAAUGAAAUGCUAUGUUCAUUUGAUGCAUUAGGAGUUUUCUUCUUAGGCAACUUGGCAUGGGUUGGUUGCCUAGAACUAGAUGUCUCACCCUUAUACAUAAAUGCAUGGUUAGGGCUAGAGUGAGACUUCCUAGAGUGAAUUCUCCUAAUCUUGCUCUCAGGAUAACCGGCAGGGUACAAAAUGUAACCCUCGUUAUCCUGAGGCAUGGGAGCCUUGCCCUUAACAAAGUUGGACAAUUUCUUAGGAGGGGCAUUAAGUUUGACAUUGUCCCCCUUUUGGAAGCCAAUGCCAUCCUUAAUGCCAUGGUGUCUCCCACUAUAAAGCAUACUACGAGCAAAUUUAAAAUUUUCAUUUUCGAGUUCAUGCUCGGCAAUUUUAGCAUCUAAUUUAGCUAUAUGAUCAUUUUGUUGCUUAAUUAAUACCAUAUGAUCAUGAAUAGCAUCAAUAUCAACAUCUCUACAUCUAAUACAAAUGGAAGUGUGCUCAACGAUAGAUGUAGAUGGUUUGCAAGAUUUUAAUUCUAGAACCUUAGCAUGCAAUAUGUCAUUUUUACUUCUAAGGUCAGAAAUGGUAGCAUUGCAAACAUCAAAAUCUUUAGCCUUAGCAAGCAAUUUUUCAUUUUCAUUUCUAAGGCUAGCAAGAGAAAUGUUCAAUUCUUCAAUCUUAGCAAGCAAUCAUUAUCAUUUCUAAGAUUGGGAAUUGAAACAUUACAAGCAAUAGAAUCAACCUUAGCUAACAAAUUAGCAUUCUCAUUUCUAAGGUUGUCUAUAGUCUCAUGGCAAGUGCUUAGCUCACUAGACAAUUUUUCACAUUUUUCAACUUCUAGAGCAUAAGCAUUUUUAACUUUAACAUGCUUUUUGUUUUCCUUGGUUAGGAAGUCCUCUUGGGAGUCCAAGAGAUCAUCCUUCUCAUGGAUGACACUAAUUAAUUCAUUUAAUUUCUCUUUUUGUUGCAUGUUUAAGUUGGCAAAAAGAGUACGCAAAUUAUCUUCCUCAUCACUAGCAUUAUCAUCGCUAGAAGACUCAUAUCUAGUGGAGGAUUUGGAUUUAACCUUCUUCUUUUUGCCGUCCUUUGCCAUGAGGCACUUGUGGCCGACGUUGGGGAAGAGAAGUCCCUUGGUGACGGCGAUGUUGGCGGCGUCCUCGUCGUCGGAGGAGUCGCUAGAGCUUUCGUCGGAGUCCCACUCGCGACAAACAUGGGCAUCGCCGCCCUUCUUCUUGUAGUACUGAAAGGGAAAUGUGUCCUUGGGCCAUUUCUAAGUAUUUUGGUGAUUGAGUGUCAACACAAGUGUUUAAAUGUGAAUCAACGACCAUGGAUGAACAAAGUGCAAAUCUAGAGAAAAGGUAUGUUUCUAAGUCUUAGUACAUUGGUUUUGUGUACUAAUAUAUUUGUCUAAGUGUUAGAAACAGAAAGAAGAAGAGAAGAGAAGACUUGGCUGUGUGCAGCCAAGAGGCUGUUUCGGUCUGGGGCACCGGACAGUGUCCGGUGGGGCACCGGACAGUGUCCGGUGCGCCAGGUUGCCUCGGCCGAAGAGGCCGCUCUCGGGUUUUUCUCCGGCGACUUCGGCUAAAAUUCACCGGACUGUCCGGUGUGCACCGGACUGUCCGGUGAGCCAACGGUCGGCCGGGCCAACGGUCGGCCGCGCGAUCGGCGCGCGACACGUGGCCGAGCCAACGGUCGAAAGGAAGCACCGGACUGUCCGGUGUGCACCGGACAUGUCCGGUGCGCCAACGGUGCGCAGAUCUGACUCUGACAGCAACGGUUGGAUGCGCUGUUUAUGGAAAUAAAUCGGGCACCGGACAGUGUCCGGUGUGCACCGGACUGUCCGGUGCGCCCGACGACAGAAGGCAAGGAUAGCCUUCCAGAUGUGCUCUCAACGGCUCCUAGCUGCCUUGGGGCUAUAAAAGGGACCCCUAGGCGCAUGGAGGAGACAACCAAGCAUUCCUUGAGCACUCUUGAUCACUCACACAUCAAUCUCGCGCACUUGUUCGACAUUCUAGUGAUUUGAGCUCCGUUCUAGUGUGCUAGUCUUUUGAGCUCAAGUCUGGGUCUUGUGUGUGCGUAUUCGCUGUGAUCUUUGUGUCGUGUGUGAGUUGCUAAUCCCUCCCUUGCUCUGUGAUUCUCUAUGAACAUCUUUUGUAAGGGCGAGAGGCUCCAAGUUGUGGAGAUUCCUCGCAAACGGGAUUGAGAAAAGAAAAGCAAGAACACCGUGGUAUUCAAGUUGAUCAUUGGAUCACUUGAGAGGAGUUGAGUGCAACUCUCGUCCGUUGGGACGCCACAACGUGGAGUAGGCAAGUUUUGUACUUGGCCGAACCACGGGAUAACCACUGUGUCAUCUCUGUGAUUGGAUUUUUGUGGUUAUUGUGUUUUGACUCCUCUCUAGCCACUUGGCAUAAACUGUGCUAACGCCUAAUCAAGUUUUGUGGCUAUAAGUUUAAGUUUUUACAGGAUCACCUAUUCACCCCCCCUCUAGGUGCUCUCAAUUGGUAUCGGAGCCGUUCUCUUCAAGAAAGGGACUAACCGCCCGAAGAGAUGGAUCCUAAGGGGAAGGGAAUUGUGAUCAACGACAAGGAGAAGGAGUCCUUCGUCAACGAGCCAAGGGAUGACAAGUCCAAUGACUCGGGCUCGGGCCACAAGCGAAGAGAUGGGAAGAAGAAGAAGACAAGACGCAUCAAGGAGAUCGUCUACUACGACAGCGAUGAGUCCUCUUCUUCCCAAAAGGACGACGACCACGACAAACAAAGGAAACCGGUUAAUUCUAACUUUUCUUUUGACUACUCUCGUAUUCCGCAAAGUUCAAAUUCACAUUUGCUCUCUAUUCCACUCGGCAAGCCCCCACACUUUGAUGGGGAGGACUACGGAUUUUGGAGCCACAAAAUGCGUAGUCACCUAUUCUCUCUCCAUCCUAGCAUAUGGGAGAUUGUAGAUAGUGGAAUGCACUUUAAUAGUUCGGAUAGUCCUAUAUUCAUUAAUGAGCAAAUCCAUAAGAAUGCACAAGCUACUACUGUUCUUCUAGCCUCAUUGUGCAGGGAUGAAUAUAAUAAAGUGAGUGGCUUGGAUAACGCCAAGCAAAUCUGGGAUACCCUCAAGAUCUCUCAUGAGGGAAAUGACGCUACCUUACUCACCAAAAUGGAGUUGGUGGAGGGCGAGCUUGGACGGUUCGCGAUGAUAAGGGGCGAGGAGCCAACUCAGACAUACAACCGGCUCAAGACCCUUAUCAACAAAAUAAGGAGCUACGGAAGCACGCGAUGGACGGACCACGACGUCGUCCGACUAAUGCUCAGGUCCUUUACCGUUCUUGAUCCUCAUUUGGUGAAUAAUAUUCGUGAGAAUCCCAGGUACACCAAAAUGUCGCCCGAAGAAGUCCUAGGAAAAUUCGUCAGCGGGCGAAUGAUGAUCAAGGAGGCAAGGUAUGUGGACGACGCCUUGAAUGGACCGAUCAACGAGCCGCAACCUUUUGCUCUCAAAGCCACAGGGAACAAGGAGGCGCUACCCAGCAAGGUGGCGCAAAUUGAGGCGGCCGGUCUUAAUGAAGAAGAAAUGGCCCUCAUUAUCAAGAGAUUCAAGACGGUGCUAAAGGGUCGCAAUGGACAGCCGAGCAAGACUAAGACCAAGGGGAAGCGAUCAUGCUUCAAAUGCGGUAAGCUUGGUCAUUUUAUUGCUAACUGUCCCGAUAAUGAUAGUGACCAGGAAAAAGGAAACAAGAGGGAAAAGAAGAAGCAUUACAAGAAGGCAAAGGGCGAGGCGCAUCUAGGCAAGGAGUGGGACUCGGAUUGCUCCUCGUCCGACUCCGACAAUGAAGGACUCGCCGCCACCGCCUUCAACAAAUCAACCCUCUUCCCCAACGAGCGUCACACAUGCCUUAUGGCAAGGGAGAAGAAGGUAUGUACUCGGAACUCUACCUAUGCUUCUUCAAGUGAGGACGAAUCUAGUGAUGAGGAUGAAGUAGAUUAUUCAUGUUUGUUCAAGGGCUUAGAUAGAUCUAAGAUAGACAAAAUUAAUGAAUUAAUUGAUGCCUUGAAUGAAAAGAAUAUACUUUUAGAAAAGCAAGAGGAUUUGUUGUAUGAAGAGCAUGAUAAAUUUGUUGAGGCACAAAAAUCCUAUACUUUAGAAGUUAAAAGAAAUGAAAUGCUUUCUUUUGAACUAUCUACUUGUCAUGAAACCAUUUCUACUUUGAAAGGUGUCAACAAUGAUUUAAAUGCUAGAUUAGAAGUAGCAAAUAAAUCCAAUUCUUGUGUAGAACAUGUUGAAAUUUGUACUAGGUGUAAAGAUUUUGACAUUGAUGCUUGUAGUGAACACCUAGUUUCAAUUUCCAAGCUUAAUGAUGAACUGGCUAGUCUUAAUGCUCAACUUAAGACUAGCAAGAAUGAUUUUGAUAAGCUAAAAUUUGCAAGGGAUGCCUACACAAUUGGUAGACACCCCUCAAUUAAGGAUGGACUUGGCUUCAAGAGAGAAGCUAAGAACUUAACAAGCCGUAAGGCUCCCAUUCUCGCCAAGGAGAAAGGGAAGGCCCCUAUGGCUAGUAAUGUGCAAAAGAACCAUGCUUUUAUGUACUAUGAUAGGAGAUAUUCUAGAAAUGCUUUUAGAGGUCAUGAUGUGUUUGAUUCACAUGCUUAUGACUCUUAUGCUAUGACUGCUUCUAGUUCUCAUGUUAUGCAUGGUAGAAAUAUGUCUAGGAGAAAUGCUAUUCAUCAUGUGCCUAGAAAGAAUGUUAUUCAUGCUCCUAGGAAAGUAGUGAAUGAACCUUCUACAAUUUAUUGUGCUUUGGAUACUUCAUUUGCAAUUUGUAGAAAGGAUAGAAAAGUAAUUGCUAGGAAGUUAGGGGCAAAAUGCAAAGGUGAUAAAACUUGCAUUUGGGUCCGUAAGGAAAUUGUGACUAACCUUGUAGGACCCAACAAGAGUUGGGUACCUAAGUCCCAAGCCUAAAUUUGCCUUGCAGGUUUAUGCAUCCGGGGGUUCAAGCUGGAUUAUCGACAGCGGAUGCACAAACCAUAUGACGGGGGAGAAGAAGAUGUUCACCUCCUACGUCAAAAAUAAGGAUUCCCAGGAUUCAAUUAUAUUCGGUGAUGGGAAUCAAGGCAAGGUAAAAGGUUUAGGUAAAAUUGCAAUUUCUAAUGAGCAUUCUAUCUCUAAUGUAUUUUUAGUAGAGAGUCUUGGAUAUAAUUUGCUAUCUGUUAGUCAAUUAUGUCAUAUGGGGUAUAACUGUCUGUUUACAAAUAUAGAUGUGUCUGUCUUUAGAAGAAGUGAUGGUUCACUAGCUUUUAAGGGUGUAUUAGAUGGCAAACUUUAUUUAGUCGAUUUUGCAAAAGAAGAGGCCGGUCUAGAUGCAUGCUUAAUGGCUAAGACUUGCAUGGGCUGGCUGUGGCAUCGCCGCUUAGCACAUGUGGGGAUGAAGAACCUUCACAAGCUUCUAAAGGGAGAACAUGUGAUAGGUCUAACCAAUGUUCAUUUCGAAAAAGAUAGACCUUGUGCAGCUUGUCAAGCAGGGAAACAGGUGGGAGGAGCGCAUCACAGCAAGAAUGUGAUGACCACUUCAAGACCCCUGGAGCUGCUGCAUAUGGACCUCUUCGGACCCGUCGCCUAUCUAAGCAUAGGGGGAAGUAAGUAUGGUCUAGUUAUUGUUGAUGACUUUUCCCGCUUCACUUGGGUGUUCUUUUUGCAGGAUAAGUCUGAAACCCAAGGGACCCUCAAGCGCUUCCUCAGGAGGGCUCAAAAUGAGUUUGAGCUCAAAGUGAAAAAAGAUAAGGAGCGACAACGGGUCCGAGUUCAAGAACCUUCAAGUGGAGGAGUUCCUUGAAGAGGAAGGGAUCAAGCACGAGUUCUCCGCUCCCUACACACCACAGCAAAAUGGUGUGGUAGAGAGGAAGAACAGGACUCUCAUCGAUAUGGCGAGGACGAUGCUAGGAGAGUUCAAGACCCCCGAGUGCUUUUGGACGGAAGCCGUUAACACUGCUUGCCACGCCAUCAACAGGGUCUACCUUCAUCGCCUCCUCAAGAAGACGUCGUAUGAGCUUCUAACCGGUAACAAACCCAAUGUAUCGUACUUUCGUGUAUUUGGGAGUAAAUGCUACAUUCUAGUGAAGAAGGGUAGAAAUUCUAAGUUUGCUCCCAAAGCUGUAGAAGGGUUUUUAUUAGGUUAUGACUCAAAUACAAAGGCGUAUAGAGUCUUCAACAAAUCAUCGGGUUUGGUUGAAGUCUCUAGCGACGUUGUAUUUGAUGAGACUAAUGGCUCUCCAAGAGAGCAAGUUGUUGAUUGUGAUGAUGUAGAUGAAGAAGAUGUUCCGACAGCCGCUAUACGAACCAUGGCGAUUGGAGAAGUGCGGCCACAGGAACAAGAUGAGCAAGAUCAACCCUCUUCCUCAAUUAUGGUGCAUCCCCCGACUCAAGAUGAUGAACAGGUUCAUCAAAAGGAGGCGUGUGAUCAAGGGGGAGCACAAGAUGAUAACGUGAUGGAGGAAGAAGCGCCACCGGCACCUCCAACCCAAGUUCGAGCAAUGAUUCAAAGGGAUCAUCCCGUCGAUCAAAUUCUGGGUGACAUUAGCAAGGGAGUAACUACUCGAUCUCGAUUAGUAAAUUUUUGUGAGCAUUACUCCUUUGUCUCUUCUAUUGAGCCUUUCAGGGUAGAAGAGGCCUUGCUAGAUCCGGACUGGGUGUUGGCCAUGCAAGAGGAGUUAAACAACUUCAAACGCAAUGAAGUUUGGACACUAGUGCCUCGUCCGAAGCAAAAUGUUGUGGGAACCAAGUGGGUGUUCCGCAACAAACAGGACGAGCACGGGGUGGUGACGAGGAACAAGGCUCGACUUGUGGCAAAAGGUUAUGCCCAAGUCGCAGAUUUGGAUUUCGAGGAGACCUUUGCUCCUGUGGCUAGGCUAGAGUCAAUUCGAAUCUUGCUAGCAUAUGCCGCUCACCAUUCUUUCAGGUUGUACCAAAUGGAUGUGAAGAGCGCUUUCCUCAACGGGCCAAUCAAGGAGGAGGUGUACGUGGAGCAACCCCCUGGCUUCGAGGAUGAACGGUACCCCGACCACGUGUGUAAGCUCUCUAAGGCGCUCUAUGGACUUAAGCAAGCCCCAAGAGCAUGGUAUGAAUGCCUUAGAGAUUUCUUAAUUGUUAAUGCUUUCAAGGUUGGGAAAGCCGAUCCAACUCUUUUUACAAAGACAUGUGAUGGUGAUUUGUUUGUGUGCCAAAUUUAUGUCGAUGACAUAAUAUUUGGUUCUACUAAUCAAAAGUCUUGUGAAGAGUUUAGCAGGGUGAUGACGCAGAAAUUCGAGAUGUCAAUGAUGGGCAAGUUGAACUACUUCCUUGGGUUUCAAGUGAAGCAACUCAAGGACGGCACCUUCAUCUCCCAAACGAAGUACACGCAAGAUCUGCUAAAGCGGUUUGGGAUGAAGGACGCCAAGCCCGCAAAGACGCCGAUGGGAACCGACGGACACACCGACCUCAACAAAGGAGGUAAGUCCGUUGAUCAAAAAGCAUACCGGUCAAUGAUAGGUUCUUUGCUUUAUUUAUGUGCUAGUAGACCGGACAUUAUGCUUAGCGUAUGCAUGUGUGCUAGAUUUCAAUCCGAUCCUAAGGAGUGUCACUUAGUGGCGGUGAAGCGAAUUCUUAGAUAUUUGGUUGCUACGCCUUGCUUCGGGCUCUGGUAUCCAAAGGGGUCUACCUUUGACUUAGUUGGAUACUCAGAUUCCGACUAUGCUGGAUGUAAGGUCGAUAGGAAGAGCACAUCGGGGACGUGCCAAUUCUUAGGAAGGUCCCUGGUGUCGUGGAACUCUAAGAAACAAACUUCCGUUGCCCUAUCCACCGCUGAGGCCGAGUAUGUUGCCACAGGACAGUGUUGCGCGCAACUACUUUGGAUGAGGCAAACCCUCCGGGACUUUGGCUACAAUCUGAGCAAAGUCCCACUCCUAUGUGACAAUGAGAGUGCUAUCCGCAUGGCGGAGAAUCCUGUUGAGCACAGCCGCACAAAGCACAUAGACAUCCGGCAUCACUUUUUGAGAGACCACCAGCAAAAGGGAGAUAUCGAAGUGUUUCAUGUUAGCACCGAGAACCAGCUAGCCGAUAUCUUCACUAAGCCUCUAGAUGAGAAGACCUUUUGCAGGUUGCGUAGUGAGCUAAAUGUCUUAGAUUCGCGGAACUUGGAUUGAAUUGUAGCAUACAUGUGUUUAUGCAUUUGAUCAGGUUCAUUCUGCAUUUUGUUGCUUAUUGUGGUGCUCAAGUUGUACCAACACUCCCUGGACCUCACAAGUCCGUUGCAAAGUGAUGCACAUGUUUAGGGGGAGAUGUGUUACAACUUGACCCUUUGAGACUAACCAUGUGCUUGAGUUUGGUAAUUUAGUCUCGAAGGAGGAUUGAAAGGGAAAAGGUGGACUUGGACCAUGAAAGACUUCCACUGCACUCCGAUGAGAGGGUAACUAAUUCCAAGUUCAUCUCAUGAAAUCUUAUUGCCAUUUGCUCUUAAUUGAAGACUUUGGUGAGGCAAUGGGGUUAAAAGGCCAAGAUUAAUCCCGUUUUGGUGCUUGAUGCCAAAGGGGGAGAAAAUAAAGGCCAAAGUGAUAAAUGGAUCAGCUACCACUUGAGAGAUUUUGAACAUAAUAGAAUAGAGUUUUUGUGUUGUUAAACUCUUUUAUUGUCUUUCUUGUCAAAAAUUGGCUUCUUGUGGGGAGAAGUAUUGAUUAUGGGAAAUAGGGGGAGUUUUUGAAAUCUUUGAUCAAUCUCUUUUGGAAUGACUCUCUUUAUGCUUCAACAUGUGUGUUUGACUUAGAGAUAGAGAUUUGAGUUUGAUUUGCAAAAACAAACCAAGUGGUGGCAAAGGAUGAUCCAUAUAUGCCAAAAUUGAAUAAAACUCAAAGUUAGUUUUUAUUUGAAGUGAUCUUGCACUUGUUCUAGUUGCUUUAUGUUGUGUUGGCAUAAAUCACCAAAAAGGGGGAGAUUGAAAGGGAAAUGUGUCCUUGGGCCAUUUCUAAGUAUUUUGGUGAUUGAGUGUCAACACAAGUGUUUAAAUGUGAAUCAACGCCCAUGGAUGAACAAAGUGCAAAUCUAGAGAAAAGGUAUGUUUCUAAGUCUUAGUACAUUGGUUUUGUGUACUAAUAUAUUUGUCUAAGUGUUAGAAACAGAAAGAAGAAGAGAAGAGAAGACUUGGCUGUGUGCAGCCAAGAGGCUGUUUCGGUCUGGGGCACCGGACUGUCCGGUGGUGCACCGGACAGUGUCCGGUGGGGCACCGGACAGUGUCCGGUGCGCCAGGUUGCCUCGGCCGAAGAGGCCGCUCUCGGGUUUUUCUCCGGCGACUUCGGCUAAAAUUCACCGGACUGUCCGGUGUGCACCGGACUGUCCGGUGAGCCAACGGUCGGCCGGGCCAACGGUCGGCCGCGCGAUCGGCGCGCGACACGUGGCCGAGCCAACGGUCGGAAGGAAGCACCGGACUGUCCGGUGUGCACCGGACAUGUCCGGUGUGCCAACGGUGCGCAGAUCUGACUCUGACAGCAACGGUCGGAUGCGCUGUUUAUGGAAAUAAAUCGGGCACCGGACAGUGUCCGGUGUGCACCGGACUGUCCGGUGCGCCCGACGACAGAAGGCAAGGAUAGCCUUCCAGAUGUGCUCUCAACGGCUCCUAGCUGCCUUAGGGCUAUAAAAGGGACCCCUAGGCGCAUGGAGGAGACAACCAAGCAUUCCUUGAGCACUCUUGAUCACUCACACAUCAAUCUCGCGCACUUGUUCGACAUUCUAGUGAUUUGAGCUCCGUUCUAGUGUGCUAGUCUUUUGAGCUCAAGUCUGGGUCUUGUGUGUGCAUAUUCACUGUGAUCUUUGUGUCGUGUGUGAGUUGCUAAUCCCUCCCUUGCUCUGUGAUUCUCUGUGAACAUCUUUUGUAAGGGCGAGAGGCUCCAAGUUGUGGAGAUUCCUCGCAAACGGGAUUGAGAAAAGAAAAGCAAGAACACCGUGGUAUUCAAGUUGAUCAUUGGAUCACUUGAGAGGAGUUGAGUGCAACUCUCGUCCGUUGGGACGCCACAACGUGGAGUAGGCAAGUUUUGUACUUGGCCGAACCACGGGAUAACCACUGUGUCAUCUCUGUGAUUGGAUUCUUGUGGUUAUUGUGUUUUGACUCCUCUCUAGCCACUUGGCAUAAACUGUGCUAACGCCUAAUCAAGUUUUGUGGCUAUAAGUUUAAGUUUUUACAGGAUCACCUAUUCACCCCCCCCUCUAGGUGCUCUCAAGUACCUCUUCUUCUCCUUUCUUCUCCCCUUCUUGUCGUCGCCCCUGUCACUGUCACUAGAUAUAGGACAUUUUGCAAUAAAAUGACCGGGCUUACCACAUUUGUAGCACACUUUCUUGGAGAGGGGCUUGUAAUCUUUCCCCCUCCUUUGCUUGAGGAUUUGGUGGAAGCUUUUGAUUGUCGAGCUUGGAGGCGUCGAUUGGUUGUCUACUCGGUGUAGACUCCUCCUUCUUCUCCUCCUUUGCCUUAAAUGCGACUGGUUGUGCUUCGGAUGUGGAGGGACCAUCAAGCUCGUUGAUCUUCCGUGAGCCCUUGAUCAUAAACUCAAAGCUCACAAAAUUCCCGAUUACUUCCUCGGGAGUCAUUAGUGUAUAUCUAGGAUUACCACGAAUUAAUUGUACUUGAGUAGGGUUAAGGAAAAUGAGUGAUCUUAGAAUAACCUUAACCACCUCGUGGUCAUCCCAUUUCUUGCUCCCGAGGUUGCGCACUUGAUUCACCAAGGUUUUGAGCCGGUUGUACAUGUCUUGAGGCUCCUCCCCUUGGCGAAGACGGAAGCGACCGAGCUCCCCCUCGAUCGUUUCCCGUUUGGUGAUCUUGGUUAGUUCAUCACCCUUGUGCGCGGUCUUGAGCACAUCCCAAACUUCCUUGGCGCUCUUUAAUCCUUGCACCUUGUUGUACUCCUCCCUACUUAGAGAAGCGAGGAGUAUGGUUGUGGCUUGGGAGUUGAAGUGCUCGAUUUGGGCCACCUCGUCCUCAUCAUAAUCCUCAUCCCCUACUGAUGGUACCUGUGCUCCAAACUCAACAACAUUCCAUAUACUUUUGUGGAGUGAGGUUAGAUGAAAUUUCAUUAAAUCACUCCACCUAGCAUAAUCUUCACCGUCAAAGGUUGGCGGUUUGCCUAAUGGAACGGAAAGUAAUGGAGUAUGUCUAGAGGUGCGAGGGUAGUGUAAGAGAAUCUUACUAAACUUCUUGCGUUCGUGGCGCUUAGAAGUUACGGAGGGCGCGUCGGAGCCGGAGGUGGAAGGUGAUGAAGUAUCGGUCUCGUAGUAGACCACCUUCCUCAUCUUCUUCUUCUUGUCGCCACUCCGAUGCGACUUGUGGGAAGAGGCUUUCUUCUCCUUCCCCUUCCCCUUUUUGUGGGACUCUUCCGAUGAAGCCUUCCCGUGGCUUGUAGUGGGCUUUUCGCUGGUCUCCAUCUCCUUCUUGGCGUGUUCUCCCGACAUCACUUCGAGCGGUUAGGCUCUAAUGAAGCACCGGGCUCCGAUACCAAUUGAAAGUCACCUAGAGGGGGGUGAAUAGGGCGAAACUGAAAUUUACAAAAUUAAUCACAACUACAAUCCGGGUUAGCGUUAGAAAUAUAAUCGAGUCCGAGAGAGAGGGUGCAAAAAUAAAUCGCAGGCGAAUAAAGAGUGUGACACGCAGAUUUGUUUUACCGAGGUUCGGUUCUUGCAAACCUACUCCCCGUUGAGGUGGUCACAAAGACCGGGUCUCUAUCAACCCUUUCCCUCUCUCAAACGGUCCCUCGGACCGAGUGAGCUUUCUCUUCUCAAAUCAACCAGGAACAAAACUUCCCCCGCAAGGACCACCACACAAUUGGUGUCUCUUGCCUUGGUUACAAGUGAGUAUUGAUCACAAGAAAGAAUGAGAAAGAAGAAAGUGAUCCAAGCGCAAGAGCUCAAAAGAACACGACAAAUCACUCUCACUAGUCACUAAUGCUUUUGUGGAAUUGGGAGAGGAUUUGAUCACUUGGGUGUGUCUUGUAUUGAAUGUCUAGCUCUUGUAAGUGGUUGGAAGGUUGAAAACUUGGAUGUCUUGAAUGUGGGGUGGUUGGGGGUAUUUAUAACCCCAACCACCAAACUAGCCGUUUGGUGGAGGCUGCUGUCGCAUGGCGCACCGGACAGUCCGGUGCGCCACCGGACAGUGUCCGGUGCGCCAGCCACGUCACCAGGCCGUUGGGUUCCGACCGUUGGAGCUCUGACGUGUGGGCCCGCCUGGCUGUCCGGUGGUGCACCGGACAAGUCCUGUAGACUGUCCGGUGUGCCACCCGCGCGUGCCCUGCUCCUCUGCGCGCGCUGGCGCGCAUUUAAUGCGUUGCAGUCGACCGUUGGCACGAAGUAGCCGUUGCUCCGCUGGCUCACCGGACAGUCCGGUGUGCACUGGACAUGUCCGGUGAAUUAUAGCGGAGCGGAUUCCCGAAGCUGGCGAGUUCAGAGUCGCUCUCCUCUGGAGCACCGGACACUGUCCGGUGUGGCACCGGACAGUCUGGUGAAUUAUAGCGGAGCGCCUCUGGAUUUUCCCGAAGGUGAAGAGUUCAGCGUGAAGUCCCCUAGUGCACCGGACAGUCCGGUGCGCCAGACCAAGGUUGCCUUCGGUUAUCCCUUGCUCUCUUUGUUGAACCCAAUUCUUGGUCUUUUUAUUGGCUAAGUGUGAACCUUUGGCACCUGUAUAACUUAUACACUAGAGCAAACUAGUUAGUCCAAUUAUUUGUGUUGGGCAAUUCAACCACCAAAAUCAUUUAGGAAAUAGGUGUAAGUCUAAUUCCCUUUCAAGGAGAAAGGCAUCAACCAUGAGUUCUCCGCUCCCUACACACCACAACAAAAUGGUGUGGUAGAGAGGAAGAAUAGGACGCUUAUCGACAUGGCGAGGACGAUGCUUGGAGAGUUCAAGAAGCCUGAGCGGUUUUAGUCGGAAGCUGUGAACACAGCUUGCCACGCCAUAAACCGGCUCUACCUUCAUCGCCUCCUCAAGAAGACCUCGUAUGAACUUCUUACCGGUAACAAACCCAACGUAUCAUACUUUCGUGUAUUUGGGAGCAAAUGUUACAUUCUAGUGAAGAAAGGUAGAAAUUCUAAAUUUGCUCCCAAAGCUGUAGAAGGUUUUUUACUAGGUUUUGACUCAAAUACAAAGGGGUAUAGAGUCUUCAACAAAUCAUCGGGUUUGGUUGAAGUUUCUAGCGACGUUGUAUUUGAUGAGACUAAUGGCUCUCCAAGAGAGCAAGUUGAUCUUGAUGAUAUAGAUGAAGAUGAUGUUCCGACGGACGCAAUACGCACCAUAGCGAUUGGAGAUGUGCGACCACAGGAACAACAAGAGCAAGAUCAACCUUCUUCCUCAACGAUGGUGCACCCCCCAACUCAAGAUGAUGAACAGGUUCAUCAAGAAGAGGCGUGUGAUCAAGGGGGAGCACAAGAAGAACAAGUUAUGGAGGAAGAAGCACCACUGACCCCUCCAACUCAAGCCCGAGCGACGAUCCAACGGAAUCACCCCGUUGACUAGAUUCUGGGUGACAUAAGCAAGGGAGUAACUACUCGCUCAAGUUUAGCUAACUUUUGUGAGCAUUACUCUUUUGUCUCUUCUAUUGAGCCUUUCAGGGUAGAAGAGGCCUUGCAAGAUCCGGACUGGGUGUUGGCCAUGCAGGAAGAGUUCAACAACUUCAAGCGAAAUGAAGUGUGGAGCCUAGUGCCACGUCCAAAGCAAAACGUUGUGGGAACCAAGUGGGUGUUCCGCAACAAGCAAGACGAGCACGGGGUGGUGACUAGAAAUAAAGCUCGACUUGUGGCAAAAGGUUAUGCCCAAGUCACAGGUUUGGAUUUUGAGGAGACUUUUGCUCCUGUGGCUAGGCUAGAGUCUAUUCACAUAUUGUUAGCCUAUGCCGCUCACCAUUCUUUCAGGUUGUUUCAAAUGGACGUAAAGAGCGCUUUCCUCAACGGGCCAAUCAAGGAGGAGGUGUACGUGGAACAACCCCCUGGCUUUGAGGAUGACAGGUAUCCCGACCACGUUUUUAAGCUCUCUAAGGCGCUCUAUGGACUUAAGCAAGCCCCAAGAGCAUGGUAUGAAUGCCUUAGAGAUUUCUUAAUUGCUAAUGCUUUCAAGGUUGGGAAAGCCGAUCCCACUCUUUUCACUAAGACUUGUGACGGUGAUCUUUUUGUGUGCCAAAUUUAUGUCGAUGACAUAAUAUUUGGUUCUACUAAUCAAAAGUCUUAUGAGGAGUUUAGCAGGGUGAUGACACAGAAAUUUGAGAUGUCGAUGAUGGGUGAGUUGAACUACUUCCUUGGGUUCCAAGUGAAGCAACUCAAGGAUGGCACCUUCAUCUCCCAAACGAAGUACACUCAAGAUCUUCUCAAGCGGUUUGGGAUGAAUGACGCCAAGCCCGCGAAGACACCGAUGGGAACCGACGGACAUGUCGACCUCAACAAAGGAGGUAAGUCCGUUGAUCAAAAGGCUUACCGGUCUAUGAUAGGGCCAUUGCUUUAUUUAUGUGCUAGUAGACCGGAUAUUAUGCUUAGUGUAUGCAUAUGUGCUAGAUUUAAAUCCAAUCCAAGGGAAUGUCACCUUAUGGCUGUUAAGCGGAUUCUUAGAUACUUAGUUGCUACGCCUUGCUUCGGGAUCUGGUAUCCAAAGGGGUCUACCUUUGACUUGAUUGGAUAUUCAGACUCCAAUUAUGCCGGGUGCAAGGUUGAUAGGAAGAGUACAUCAGGGAUGUGCCAAUUCCUAGGAAGAUUUCUGGUGUCUUGGAGUUCUAAGAAACAAACCUCCGUUGCCCUAUCCACCGCUGAGGCCGAGUAUGUUGCCGCAGGACAGUGCUGCGCGCAACUACUUUGGAUGAGGCAAACCCUCCAGGACUUUGGCUACAAUCUGAGCAAAGUCCCACUCCUAUGUGACAAUGAAAGUGCAAUCCGCAUGGCGGAUAAUCCUGUUGAACACAACCGCACUAAGCACAUAGACAUCCGGCAUCACUUUUUGAGAGACCACCAGCAAAAGGGAGAUAUCGAAGUGUUCUAUAUUAGCACCGAGAACCAGCUAGCCGAUAUCUUUACCAAGCCUUUAGAUGAGAAAACCUUUUGCAGGCUACGUAGUGAGCUAAAUGUAUUAGAUUCGCGUAACUUGGAUUGAUCUAGAGCAUACAUGUGUUUUAUGCCUUUGAUCAUGUUACUUUAUGCAUGUAUGAGAUUUGUUGUUUUAUGGUGCUCAAGUUGUGCAAGGGAUCCCCAGACCUCACAAGUCCAUGUGCGAGUGAUGCACAUAUUUAGGGGGAGAAGUGCUACAACUUGAUCCUUUGAGACUAAUCCUUGUGUUUGAGUUACUUGAUGUAGUCUCAAAGGUGCAUUGAAAGGGAAAGGUGAACUUGGACCAUGCAAAGACUUCCACUGCACUCCGGUAUUAGUGUACUCACCUCCAAGUUCAUUCUUUUGAUCUUAUUGCCUUUUGUUCUUCAUUGACCAUUUUUGGUGAGGCAAUGGGGUAAAAGGGCCAAAAAUGAUCCCGUUUUGGUGCUUAAUGCCAAAGGGGGAGAAAUUAAGGCCAAAGCAAAUGGAUCAGCUACCACUUGAGAAUUUUGAAAAUAGUAGAGAUAGUAAAGUUAGAACUUUUGAUUUGUCAAAAUACUCUUAUUGUCAAAAUUUGGUCUCUUGUGGGGAGAAUUUAUGAUUAUGGGAAAAAGUGGGAGUUUUUGGAUCUUGAUCAUUUUCACUCUUGGAUUAUCUUUCUUAAUGCCCAAACAAGUGAGUUUGACUUAGAGAUAGGAAAAUGAAUUUGAUUUGCAAAAACAAACCAAGUGGUGGCAAAGAAUGAUCCAAAUAUGCCAAACUAGAGUCAAAACAAUUUGGCCUUCAAUUUGAAUCGAUGUUGCAUGUUUUGCAUUGCUUUUUGAUGUGUUGGCAUAAAUCACCAAAAAGGGGGAGAUUGAAAGGGAAAUGUGCCCUUGGGCCAUUUCUAUAAUAUUUUAGUGAUUAAGUGUCCAACACAUAGUGAAUAAGAUAUUAUGUGCCAAACAAGCAAAAGGUGCAAAUAAUGUAACAAGGUACGUUUCUAGACUUAGUACAUUGUUUUGAGUACUAACAUAUUCUGUCUAAGUGCUAGAAUCAGAGAAAAGAGAAGAAGAAAAGGACUUGGCUCGGAGCAGCCAAUACUGAAAGGGAAAUAGGCCUACACCUUUUCCUAAUUGAUUUUGGUGGUUGAAUUACCCAACACAAAUUAAUUGAACUAACUUGUAUGCUCUAGAUUAUGAGUUCUACAGGUGCCAAAGGUUCACAACAAACCAAUAAAAAGACCAAGAAAGGGUUCAAAUAAAAAGAGCAAAAGACUACCGAAGUGUGCCCUGGUCUGGCGCACCGGACUGUCCGGUGCACCACCGGACAGUGUCCGGUGCACCAAGGAACCCGACUCUGAACUUGCCACCUUCGGGAAUUCUAGGAGCCGCUCCGCUAUAAUUCACCGGACUGUCCGGUGUAGCACCGAACUGUCCGGUGUGCCAGCAGAGUAACGGCUACACAGCGCCAACGGUCGUCUGCAACGAACAAUAAAUGCGGUACAGUGCGCGCCUGCGCGCACAGAAGUCAGGACAGGCGCCAGAAGGCGCACCGGACAGUGAACAAUGACUGUCCGGUGCACCACUGGACUGUCCGGUGGCCCAGCUGUCAGAAGCUCCAACGGUUAGAACCCAACGACCGGGUGACGUGGCUGGCGCACCGGACAGUGUCCGGUGGCACACCAGACUGUCUAGUGCGCUAUGCGAUAGAAGCCCUCACCAACGGUCACUUUGGUGGUUGGGGCUAUAAAUACCUCCAACCACCCACCAUUCAUUGCAUCCAAGUUUUCAGCCUUCACACCUCAUACAAGAGCUAUAGACUUCAUUCAAGACACAUACAAAGAGAUCAAAUCCUCUCCCAAGUCCAAAGAUCAUUCCAAUCAAAUAGUGUCUAGUGAGAGAGAGAUACUUGUGUUCAUUUGAGAUCUUGCGCUUGGAUUGCUUUUCUUCUUCAUUCUUUCUUGUGUUCAACUCACUUGUAAUCAAAACAAGAGAAACCAAGUUGUGGUGGUCCUUGUAGUGGACUUAGUAUCCCAUUUGAUUGAAGAGAAAGGCUCACUUGGUCUAAGUGACCGUUUGAGAGAGGGAAAGGGUUGAAAGAGACCCGGUCUUUGUGACCACCUCAACGGGGAGUAGGUUUGUGAAAGUCGCCUAGAGGGGGGGGGUGGAUAGGCGAAACCUGAAAAUUAUAACUUUACACCCCAACUAGAUCCCUUGAUUAGUGGUUAGAACAAGAUACACAAUUGUCGGAGUAUAAAAACUAAGUCCUUCACUUGUAAGGAGUAUUGAUUUCAAAUAAUGCGGAAUUGAUAAAUCAAUACUACUAAUAAGUCUAUGAGAAUAAAUCAAGAGGGCUUAGAUAAGAACAUCAAUAACACAAGUUCUUUCUUGCAAGGUGUUGCUUCACUAAAUGAGAAUUUAACUUAAAGCAACACCAAAUAGUAUUAGCAAAGAAUAGUGCAAGAAAAACUUAGAAAGGGAAAGAACAAACAAAUCACAAGCAAUAAGCACACGAGACACGAGUGAUUUGUUUUACCGAGGUUCGACCCUCGAAGGCCUAGUCCCCGUUGAGGAGUCCACUAAGGAUGGGUCUCUUUCAACCCUUUCCCUCUCUCCACCGAUCACACAAGACCGGCGAGCUCUUCUUCUUCUCAAGGAUCACUUAAGAUCCCGCAAGGACCACCACACUCUUUGGUGUCUCUUGCUAGCUUUACAAGCCUCCAAAACUUUGGAGGAAGUUCAAUGGGAGUCAAAACUCCACGCACAAAUGAACACAAAGAUGUAGCACACACUAUCUCUCAAUGAAUCUCACAAGGCACUAGUGCUAAACUCAAAUGAGUAGCCCUCUCUAGCUUGCUCUCUCUUUUGUGGCACUUGUGUUGGUUGUAGUGGUCUAAAUCUUGUGUAUAGGAUGGAUCAAUGAAUAGAGGUGGUUGGGAGGGCUUGAAUAUGUCAACUAGAUGACUUGGAAUGUUGCUUGGGCUCCCCCACCUUGAAGUGGCCGGUUGGGGUGGUAUUUAUAGCCACCAACCAAAUUGUAGCCGUUGGAGAAGGCUGUUGGCGAUGGGCGCACCGGACAGUGUCCGGUGUGCCGCCAUGUCACCCAGUCGUUAGGGCUUGGAGCUGGUCGACCAUUGGAGGCUUUGUCCUCAUGUGGCACCGGACAGUCCGGUGCCCCUCUGACCUGCUGCUCUGACAUCUAAAUUGCACUGUUCACUUUGCAGAGUCGACCGUUGCGUGCAGAUAGCCGUUGCUCCGCUGGUGCACCGGACAGUCCGGUGAAUUAUAGCGGAGCUGCGCCUGGAAAACCCGAAGCUAAGGAGUUUGAGCUGAUUCACCCUGGUGCACCGGACACUGUCCGGUGGCACAUCGGACAGUCCGGUGCGCUAGACCAGAGCAUACUUCGGUUUCCUUUUUGCUCCUUUCUUUUGAAGCCUAACUUGUUCUUUUGAUUGGUUUGUGUUGAACCUUUGGCACCUGUAGAAUGUAUGAUCUAGAGCAAACUAGUUAGUCCAAUUAUUUGUGUUGGGCAAUUCAACCACCAAAAUCAUUUAGGAAAAGGUUUGACCCUAUUUCCCUUUCAAUCUCCCCUUUUUUGGUGAUUGAUGCCAACACAAACCAAAGCAAAUAUAUAAGUGCAUAAUUGAACUAGUUUGCAUAAGACAUGUGCAAAGAUUGCUUGGAAUUAAAUCAAUUUACAUUUUCAUAGGAUAUGUAUGGAUGGCUUUCUUCUUAUUUAAAAUUUUGGACCACGCUUGCACCACUUGUUUUGUUUUGCAAAGUUUUGGAAAUUCUUUUCAAAGUCUUUUUGCAAAUAGUCAAAGGUAUAUGAAUAGGAUUUUGAGAAGCAUUUUCAAGAUUUGAAAUUUUCUCCCCCCUGUUUCAAAUGCUUUCCCUUUGACUAAAUAAAACUCCCCCUUGAUGAAAUCCUCCUCUUAGUGUUCAAGAGGGUUUUAGAUAUUAAUUUUGAAGAGGGUAUACCAAUUUUGAAAUUAUAUAAAAAAUAAGAUACCAAUUGAAAAAUCUUUUCUUAACCUAAAUUUGAAAACUACAUUUUUGAAAUUGGUGGUGGUGCGGUCCUUUUGCUUUGGGCUAAUACUUUCUCCCCCUUUGGCAUGAAUCGCCAAAAACUGAUACUUGUGAGUGAAAUAUAAGCCCUUUUUACGUUCUCUCCCCCUUUGGCAAACAAUAUAUGGGUGAAGAUUAUACCAAAUUGGAGAGCUGGCGGAAUACUGGCAAGGAAGGAUAAUACCGAAGAUGUAGAGUGGAAGCGAUGUCUUUGCCGAAUACUCUAUUUCCCUUUCAAUUCUAUGACUAAGCAUGAGAAUACACUUGAAAACACAUUAGUCAUAGACAUAAAAGAGACAUGAUUAAAGGAUAUAUCAAAUUAAGCGUGAUCAUAGUUCUAUACGAUAGAUUGCUCCCUCUAAAUAUGUGCAUGGAGAGGAACACAUAUUUUGGCCUUAAAUGCCAAUUGCACAUAACUAGGUUAAUGAGAACAUAUCUGUAUCAUACAGAAUGUGAAGUGCAUUGUGUCAUAGUAUAAGUGCGAUGCUCAUGACAGUUUAUGCACUUAUGAAAACAUGUUAGAAACAUCUUAAGCAUUUACCCUUAAGGAUUUCAAAGAGGCUUAAGGACCAUCCACCUUUGGAACAAAGGCAGCUUAUCCUCGUUAUAAGGUUAAGCUUUAAGCUCUUUGACAAUAAAAUUACUUCACCCAGUUUUAACAAAGAUGCAAGAAUGAAUGUUUGAGAAGUUAAACUAGGUAUGGAGCAGGGUUAAUGCAUGAACAUGCUUUCUCUUCCUUUUAUACAAGAUAUGCAAAGAGAGUAUGAAAAAGAAAGAUUUAGGUACAAGUUAAAAUGAAAGGAAGUUGUUUUACCCUUUUGUACCUUCACAUAGAAACGCUCUCUUCAUUGUGCUUUGUCCUUAGUCUUAGUCGCUUAAGACCUAUACUCAAGACAAUAUAUGAAAAUAUUUUGCACAAGAGAGAGUUCUAUAACUAGUGAUCCUUUUUUGAAGUCAUUGUCAGCAUAUAUCAAAUGGAUCAUAAAUUGCAUAGAUGUAUCAUGAAUUCUCCUUUUAACUUAGUGCAUACCAAGAUAGAUGUUGAUUGAUAGAAUAUGUGGCACUAAGAGACAUAAGUGUUAAUUGAAGUUAUUCAAUGAUCAAACAAAUAACAGAUGUGGUCAAAAGAACAACAUAUGCAUUAGAUAAGCUUAGAAUAGGAGAAUCCAUUACAUAUGCUACUUUAGCAAUGAAAGCAACAAUCCUUUAUAAAAGCGAUAUUAUUUUAACAAGUUGGAUUGAUAUGGAGUAGCAUUACUUCAUGAGAGACUUAUUCUCAUACUUGAGACUAUAUGAGAUUACUAAGAUAAAGUGUCAGUCUCAAUAUGAUCAAGAUUUAGAAAUAUGCUCCCCCUAAAGAUAUGCAUCAAGAAAUUGAAUGAAUUGGAUAGAUGUACUUACUUUUAAAAGCAUCAUUCAUCUUGAUCAAGGCUUACAAAAUUUGCAAUAAACAUUUUAUGCCUAGUAUUCUCACAAUGAAAAAGAUUUAGAAUGCUUACAACCACACCAUUGAUUGUUUUGAAGAUCUCAUUAUCCAAGUAGGUGUUGUUGCUCUUGAUGUCUUCCUUUUUCAUUUGAGUGUCCUCCCUUUAUAGUUGACUCCUUUCCCUUCCAAACUUAUUGAAAAUACUCAAGAGAGAUGUUAAUAGCACAAGGGAGUAUAUGAUGAAGAAUGAUUUCUUUUAGAUAAGAAAUAUAAACAAUUCAUCAUUCACAAGUCACAAAGUAAAAUCCUUAACAUUAGUGCACAUUAUAUUAAAAAAAUAGGAAUAAGAACUUUUUAAAUAUCUUGAUCAAUCAUAGGAAUUUUACUUCUUCAUAUUGAAUUUAUUAUCAUGACUUAAGAGCAUAUCAAUAUGAGGACAGAUAUAGCAAAGGCAUGAAUUAGAUUCUAAUGGACAAGUGCAUUUAUGAGAAUGAGAUUGAGAUUGAGAUUGAAUGCACAUUUAGCUGACUUAAGUCCAAUGAAGAAUCUAUUCUUCACAUAGGUAGAACUAGAGUAAAUAACUAUUGAUGGGAUUAUGGGAACUAUAUUUGAUUAAGAAGAUGAGUUCCCAUACCUUUGCUUUUACCUUUCUUCCUUUGGGUGAAGAGUAACCUUAGAGGCUUAUGGCUUGCACUUACUUUCUUGUAGAUUUUCAAAAGUAAGCUCAAGAGAUAUGUCAUUAGUAACACAAGCACUAGUUUCCCUUUUUGUAAUCAUUUUUGACAAGAAUGAAAAAUAGAUUACUAAAGCAUGGAAACUUUAUAAUAUGAACUAGAUUAUUCCAUGAUGUAUGCUUAAUUUUACUUACAAAACAAGCAUAGUUAAUUCUUUAAGAUUAUGGGAAUAGAUCUAAUUCAUAACAUGGAGAGCGAUAGAUAUAGAAGAACCAUAUCCAAUUUAAGCAAGAGGCAAAACAACAAAAGUUAUUGGAUUGACUUUUCUUUUCAUGUUAUAUUGCACACUUCCAAAGAGAAAAUUAUUCUCUACUAGUGAGCCUACAUGGGUUACUUAGAUAAAAGCAUUAGUCUCACUAUUCUAGUUAUAGAGAGAAUUUUCCUUUUCAAGAGUGUUCUAAGGAUUUGAAUUCCUUACGUGACUCCUUAUUCUUUUAGGAACUUGGAAUAUCUCUCUAUAUCUAGAAUCAUGGCAAUAAUAAGAUUAGUGAAAAACAUGCCAUGGGGUACUUACAACAAUUUAAAGCAUGUAGAUUGCCAUGGUAUAGAAAUGAUGAAUAUACAAUCUACCAUAUGAGAGGAAUUUCUUCAAAGAAUGGUGACAUAAUUUAAAAACAUUUGAAGUGCUUUCUUUUUCUAUGUGAAUACACAAGACACAUAAGAAAUGAUAAUCUAAGAAACUUGCACUUAAAAGCAUAAUUGUUACCAUCCUUUGGCUUUCCUUCAUGUUGUAGGCCUUGACUUUUUGGCAUAGGAUAAAUUCUUUAUUUCCCAAAACAUCGAUAUCUUCCCCGAGAUGAUAUGAGUUUUAGAUAUAUUAAUUCGAAAUAACUUUGGGUCAAUCUUGGAUAUAGAUCAUUGAAGAUUGAUAGCUUGAGUUAACAAGAAUUGAAUUGACUCUCUCAAGCACCCCAAUGCUUCAUAUCAUCUCCUUCUCCUGCAAAGCUUGUCAAGCAUAUUUUGGUACCCAUCUCUUGAUGGGUCCAUCAAGGUUAGUCAACAAAGAUCUAGGAACCCAAACGUCCUUUGUGCUAGCACUAGGUAAACUCAUUACCUUUCUAGCACAAGUUGCAAUUUUGGGUUGCCUAGUUACAUGAGAAUUAAUUGACAAGCUAGGAGUGUGAUUGUUACCAAUGGGACAAUCCUUGCAUUGAUGUCCCUUCUUUCGGCAUAUGUAGCAUAGGCGAUCCUCAAGUCUUGAAGAUUUCUUCUUUCCUUGUUUCUUUCUUGCUACAUGGUUAGUGAAUAUUUUCUUUUCUAACACUAUGUCUUUUUGUUUUAAAUGGGGACAAGACCUAAACAAGUGUCCCUUCUUAGAGCAUUUAAAACAAAGUUUAUCAUCCUUGUUAAUAAUCAAGUCAUUUUUAAUAUAGGGACAUUACCUAAUAGAGUGCCCCUUUUCAAAGCAUUCACUACACUUCUUACUUCUCUUAGUGUGAAGUGUGACUUGAUUAUUACCUUGGAUGUUACCUUUUAUGGAGGCGUGGUUGAGGCUUUUGAAAGAGGUAUUGAUUUUCUUCUUUUGUUCCUUCCCCUUGACAAUCCUCAAGUCCUUGACAUUUUCUUCAAGGGAUUUAGUGCAUGCCACGGUUGUUCCCGUCUCAAGCUUCUUCACCAUGUGAUCACGGUUAUCUUGAGAAGGUUGAGCAAUGCACUUCCCUUUUAGUUGUGUCAAGCUCAUUUUGGCCUCUCAUUUUCUUCUUUGAGUUUUUGAUAUGUAUCAUCGUUUGUUCCUGCAAAUCCUAGCUCAAAGGAAGAUUUGCUUGUCGACGGACAACAAGCAUUAGCACAUGGUAAUGUAGUUUCAAUUUGAAUACAUGUGCAUGAGUGAGGUUGUUGGGAUUUUAAGUUUUCUAUCACAACCUCAUGAGCCAUAUUUAAUAUGGUAUGAUUAUCCAUAAGAUUUUCAUGAGAACAUAGGAGCAUAUCAUAUUUUUCUUGAUAAGCUAGAUUUUCAUCUUUUAGCUUUUCUACUUGGUCCUUAAGCAAGGUAUUCCUAUUUACUAAUUGAGCGAUACAAUGUAAAGCGUUAUCUUGCUCAAUUGAAAUAGUUUCAUACCUUUGGACCAAAUCAACAUGAGAGCACCUUAGCUCCUCAUGUUCUUUAGUCAACUCGUCAAAGUGUAGCAUUUCAUGGAGAGAACAUUUUCUAGCCUUUGACGAGCUUCGCUUCGCUCUCUCGCUCUUUCUAGAAGUUCGAGUAUGACCACCUUAUCUUCUUGGCUUAUGCGAGCGUAGAGUUGCAUGAAACUUCUUUCUUCCUCCUCAUCCUCGUUUGUGCUUCCGCCAUCAUUUUCAUUAGCCACACAACAUAUGUGGGAAUCGAAAUGGGAAGACAAACCUCUUGGAGAGGUGGAUUCAUUGUUUGGUCUCCAUCGUUCAUUUUCUUCUUCUUCCUUCAAAGGGUUAGUUUCACAAAUACCAAAGGAAGUAGAAGCACAAAAUGAACUAUCAUGUUUGGACUCAUCAAAUUUAUUUUUAAUUCUAGUCCAAAUAUCAUGCGCAUCACGAAUAGAUUCAUUAUAAUUCAUUAUGAAGGCACGAUAAUCUUCUUUACUAAGAGAGUUACUUAAGAUGUCAUAAACUAGGUAGUUUAAGCGUAUACAUCUUUGAUCUUCUUCGAAAGGAUUUUUCUUAUAACAACUAGGAGAUAUAAUACUCUUGUAUAAGAUUUGUUCUAAUCGUGGAUCUACAGUUCUAAAAGCAUUUAGUACCCUAGUAGCCCAUGAGUCGUAAUUAGAACAAUCGGAAAGUAAUAUCUCAAGAUUUACCUCCUUGUUCUCCUUGGUCUUCUUGUUCUUUUGGGAUCUUCUUCGAGCCAUCACUUCGAGUUGUUAGACUCAAUAUGAAGUGCCUAGCUCUGAUACCAAUUGAAAGUCGCCUAGAGGGGGGGUGGAUAGGCGAAACCUGAAAAUUAUAACUUUACACCCUAACUAGAUCCCUUGAUUAGUGGUUAGAACAAGAUACACAAUUGUCGGAGUAUAAAAACUAAGUCCUUCACUUGUAAGGAGUAUUGCUUUCAAAUAAUGCGGAAUUGAUAAAUCAAUACUACUAAUAAGUCUAUGAGAAUAAAUCAAGAGGGCUUAGAUAAGAACAUCAAUAACACAAGUUCUUUCUUGCAAGGUGUUGCUUCACUAAAUGAGAAUUUAACUUAAAGCAACACCAAAUAGUAUUAGCAAAGAAUAGUGCAAGAAAAACUUAGAAAUGGAAAGAACAAACAAAUCACAAGCAACAAGCACACGAGACACGAGUGAUUUGUUUUACCGAGGUUCGGCCCUCGAAGGCCUAGUCCCCAUUGAGGAGUCCACUAAGGACGGGUCUCUUUCAACCCUUUCCCUCUCUCCACCGAUCACACAAGACCGGCGAGCUCUUCUUCUUCUCAAGGAUCACUUAAGAUCCGCAAGGACCACCACACUCUUUGGUGUCUCUUGCUAGCUUUACAAGCCUCCAAAACUUUGGAGGAAGUUCAAUGGGAGUCAAAACUCCACGCACAAAUGAACACAAAGAUGUAGCACACACUAUCUCUCAAUGAAUUUCACAAGGCACUAGUGCUAAACUCAAAUGAGUAGCCCUCUCUAGCUUGCUCUCUCUUUUGUGGCACUUGUGUUGGUUGUAGUGGUCUAAAUCUUGUGUAUAGGAUGGAUCAAUGAAUAGUGGUGGUUGGGAGGGCUUGAAUAUGUCAACUAGAUGACUUGGAAUGUUGCUUGGGCUCCCCACCUUGAAGUGGUCGGUUGGGGUGGUAUUUAUAGCCACCAACCAAAUUGUAGCCGUUGAAGAAGGCUGCUGGCGAUGGGUGCACCGGACAGUCCGGUGCGCCACCGAACAGUGUCUGGUGUGCCGCCACGUCACCCAGUCGUUAGGGCUUGGAGCUGGUUGACCGUUGGAGGCUUUGUCCUCAUGUGGCACCGGACAGUCCGGUGUCACACCGGACAGUCCGGUGCCCCUCUGACCUGCUGCUCUGACAUCUGAAUUGCACUGUUCACUUUGCAGAGUCGACCGUUGCGUGCAGAUAGCCGUUGCUCUGCUGGUGCACCGGACAGUUCAGUGGCACACUGGACAGUCCAGUGAAUUAUAGCGGAGCUGCGCCUAGAAAACCCGAAGCUAAGGAGUUUGAGCUGAUUCGCCCUGGUGCACCGGACACUGUCCGGUGGCACACCGGACAGUCCGGUGCGCCAGACCAGAGCAUACUUCGGUUUCCUUUUUGCUCCUUUCUUUUAAAGCCUAACUUGUUCUUUUGAUUGGUUUGUGUUGAACCUUUGGCACCUGUAGAAUGUAUGAUCUAGAGCAAACUAGUUAGUCUAAAUAUUUGUGUUGGGCAAUUCAACCACCAAAAUCAUUUAGGAAAAAGUUUGACCCUAUUUCUCUUUCAGUUUGCAAGAACCGAACCUCGGUAAAACAAAUCACCGUGUCAUUCGCUCUUAUUCGCUUGUGAUUUGUUUUCGCCCUCUCUUUUGGACUCGUUUAUAUUUCUAACGCUAACCCCGGCUUGUAGUGUGUGCUUAAGUUUAUAAAUUUCAGAUUUGCCUAUUCACCCCCCUCUAGGCGACUUUCAAUUGGUAUCAGAGUCCGGUACUUCAUUAGAGCCUAACCGCUCGAAGUGAUGUCAGGAGAUCACGCCAAGAAGGAGAUGGUGACCGGCGAGAAGCCCGCCACAAGCCAUGGGAAGGCUCCAUCCUGGGAGUCCGGCAACAAGGUGAAGGGAUCCCCUUCACACGACAAGUCGCGUCGGAGCGGCGAGAAGAAAAAGAUGAAGAAAGUGGUCUACUACGAGACCGACUCUUCAUCGCCAUCCACCUCUGGCUCCGACAUGCCAUCCGUAACUUCUAAGCGACAUGAGCGCAAGAAGUUUAGUAAGAUUCCCCUACGCUAUCCUCACAUUUCCAAAUGUACUCCUUUACUAUCCGUCCCAUUAGGCAAACCACCCAUGUUUGAUGGUGAAGAUUAUAAUAUGUGGAGUGACAAAAUGAGGCACCAUCUAACCUCACUCCACACUAGUAUUUGGGAUGUUGUUGAGAUUGGAGUACAUGUACCAUCGCCGGGGAUGAAGACUAUGACUCGGACGAAGUUGCCCAAAUCCGGCACUUCAACUCCCAAGCCACCACUAUACUCCUCGCCUCUCUAAGUCGAGAGGAGUAUAAUAAGGUGCAAGGGUUGAAGAGCGCCAAAGAGAUUUGGGACGUGCUCAAAACCGCACAUGAAGGAGACGAGGUGACCAAGAUCACCAAGAGGGAAACGAUCGAGGGGGAGCUCGGUCGCUUCAUGCUUCACCAAGGGGAGGAGCCACAAGCAAUGUACAACCGGCUCAAGACAUUGGUGAACCAAGUGCGCAACCUCGGGAGCACCAAAUGGGAUGACCAUGAGAUGGUCAAGGUUAUUCUUAGAUCACUCGUAUUUCUUAACCCUACUCAAGUUCAAUUAAUUCGUGGUGAUCCAAGAUAUAAACUAAUGUCUCCCGAGGAAGUAAUAGGAAAAUUUGUGAGCUUUGAAUUGAUGAUCAAAGGCUCCAAAAAGAUCAUCGAGCAAGGCGCCUCCUCCUCCGUACCCGAGGCACAACCCGUUGCAUUCAAGGCAAUGGAGGAGAGGAAAGAAGACUCUACACCGAGUAGGGUCCCCAUCGACGCCUCCAAGCUCGAUAAUGAGGAGAUGGCACUCAUCAUCAAGAGCUUCCGCCAAAUCCUCAAGCAAAGGAGGGGGAAGGACUACAAGCCUUGCUCCAAGAAAGUUUGCUACAAGUGUGGUAAGCCCGGUCAUUUUAUUGCAAAAUGUCCAUUAUCAAGUGAUAGUGACAGGGGCGACGGCAAGAAGGGAAAGAGAAGAGAAAAGAAGAAGUACUACAAGAAGAAGGGCAGCGAUGCCCACGUUUGCCGGGAGUGGGACUCCGACGAGAGCUCCACCGACUCCUCAUCCGACGAGGAUGCCGCAAACAUCACCGUCACCAAGGGCCUUAUCUUCCCCAACGUCGGCCACAAGUUCCUCAUGGCAAAGGACGACAAGAAGAAGGUAAAAUCUAGAUCCUCCACUAAGUAUGCAACAUCUAGUGAUGAGGCUAGCUCUAGUGAUGAUGAGGAUGAUUUAUUGACGCUUUUUGCCAACCUAAACAUGCAACAAAAGGAGAAAUUAAAUGAAUUAAUUAGUGCUAUUCAUGAGAAGGAUGAACUCUUGGAUAGUCAAGAGGACUUCCUUAUUAAAACAAAAAGCAUGUUAAGGUUAAAAAUGCUUAUGCUCUAGAGGUAGAAAAAUGUGAAAAAUUAACUAGUGAGCUAAGCACUUGCCAUGACACUAUUUCCAACCUUAGAAUUGAGAAUACUAAUUUGAUUGCUAAGGUUGAGAAGUCAAAUAUUUGUGAUGAUUCAAUUGCCAAUCUUAGAAAUGAUAAUGCUAGUUCAAUUGCUAAGAUUGAAAAAUUGAAUGCCUCUCUUGCUAGCCUUAGAAAUGAGAAUGAAAAAUUAAUUGCUAAGGCUAAGGAUUUAGAUGUUUGCAAUGCUUCGAUUACCAAUCUUAGAGAUGAGAAUGACAUUUUACAUGCUAAGAUUGUUGAACUAAAUUCUUGCAAACCCUCUACAUCUACCGUUGAGCAUGUUACUAUUUGCACUAGAUGUAGAGAUGUUAACAUAGAUGCUAUUCAUGAUCACAUUGCUAUGAUUAAACAACAAAAUGAUCAUAUAGAAAAAUUAGAUGCUAAAAUUGCCGAGCAUGAGUUAGAAAAUGAAAAUUUUAAAUUUUCUCGUAGUAUGCUUUAUAAUGGGAGACGCCCUGGCAUUAAGGAUGGCUUUGGCUUCCGAAAGGGAGACAAUGUCAAGCUUAAUGCCCCUCCUAAAAGAUUGUCUAACUUUGUUAAGGGCAAAGCUCCCAUGGCUCAGGAUAACGAGGGCUACAUUUUGUACCAUGCCGGUUAUCCCGAGCACAAAAUUAGGAGAAUUCAUUCUAGGAAGUCUCACUCUAGCUCUCAUCAUGCUUUCAUGUAUAAGAGUGAGGCAUCUAGUUCUAGGCAAUCAACCCAUGCUAAAUUGCCUAGGAAGAAAACUCCUAUUGCAUCAAAUGAUCAUAACAUUUCAUUUAAGACUUUUGAUGCUUCCUAUGUGCUAACUAACAAAUCAGGCAAAAUAGUUGCCAAAUAUGUUGGGGGCAAACACAAGGGGUCAAAGACUUGUGUUUGGGUACCCAAGGUGCUUGUUUCUAAUGUAAAAGGACCCAAGACCGUUUGGGUACCUAAGAACAAGGCCUAAAAUUGUUUUGUAGGUUUAUGCAUUCGGGGGCUCAAGUUGGAUCAUUGAUAGCGGAUGCACAAACCAUAUGACAGGGGAGAAAAGAAUGUUCUCCUCCUACGAGAAAAACCAAGAUCCCCAACGAGCUAUCACAUUCGGGGAUGGAAAUCAAGGUUUGGUCAAAGAACUUGGUAAAAUUGCAAUAUCACCUGACCAUUCUAUUUCCAAUGUUUUUCUUGUAGAUUCUUUAGAUUACAAUUUGCUUUCCUGUAUUUAGAAGAAGUGAUGAUUCAGUAGCAUUUAAGGGAGUGUUAGAGGGUCAGCUAUACUUAGUAGAUUUUGAUAGAGCUGAACUCGACACUUGCUUAAUUGCUAAGACUAACAUGGGUUGGCUCUGGCACCGUCGACUAGCCCAUGUUGGGAUGAAGAAUCUUCAUAAGCUUCUAAAGGGAGAACACAUUUUGGGACUAACCAAUGUUCAUUUUGAGAAAGAUAGGGUUUGUAGCGCAUGUCAAGCAGGAAAGCAAGUUGGUGUUCAUCAUCCACACAAGAACAUCAUGACGACCGACAGGCCGCUUGAGCUACUCCACAUGGACCUAUUCGGCCCGAUAGCUUACAUAAGCAUCAACGGGAGUAAGUAUUGUCUUGUAAUUGUGGAUGAUUAUUCUCGCUUCACUUGGGUGUUCUUUUUGCAGGAAAAAUCACAAACCCAAGAGACAUUAAAGGGAUUCUUGAGAUGGGCUCAAAAUGAGUUCGACUUAAGGAUCAAAAAGAUUAGAAGCGACAACGGGACGGAGUUCAAGAACUCACAAAUCGAAAGCUUUCUUGAGGAGGAGGGCAUCAAGAAUGAGUUCUCUUCUCCCUACACGCCACAACAAAAUGGUGUAGUGGAGAGGAAGAAUAGAACUCUAUUGGACAUGGCAAGGACCAUGCUUGAUGAGUACAAGACUUCGGAUUGGUUUUGGGCCGAGGCGGUCAACACCGCUUGCUAUGCCAUCAACCGGUUAUAUCUUUACCGAAUCCUCAAAAAGACAUCUUAUGAACUCCUAAUCGGUAAAAAGCCCAAUGUUUCAUAUUUUAGAGUCUUUGGUAGCAAAUGCUUUAUUCUUGUUAAAAGAGGUCGAAAAUCUAAAUUUGCUCCAAAGGCUGUAGAAGGCUUUUUACUUGGUUAUGAUUCAAACACAAGGGCAUAUAGAGUCUUUAACAAGUCCACUAGACUAGUUGAAGUUUCUUGUGACAUUGUGUUUGAUGAGACUAAUGGCUCUCAAGUAGAGCAAGUUGAUCUUGAUGAGCUACAUGAUGAAGAGGCUCCAUGCGUCGCGCUAAGGAACAUGUCCAUUGGGGAUGUGUGUCCUAAGGAAUCCGAAGAGCCUCCACAUGCACAAGAUCAACCAUCUUCCUCAAUGCAAGCAUCUCCACCAACUCAAGAUGAGGAUCAAGCUCAAGAUGAUGAUGAAGAUCAAGAGGAGCCACCUCAAGAGGAGGACAAUGAUCAAGGGAGAGAUGCACAUGAUCAAGAUAAGGAAGACGAUGACGCUCCAAGACCGCCACACCCAAGAGUCCACCAAGCAAUCCAACGAGAUCACCCCGUGAACACCAUCCUUAGCGAUAUUCAUAAGGGGGUAACCACUCGAUCUCGUGUUGCUCAUUUUUGUGAACAUUACUCUUUUGUUUCCUCUAUUGAGCCACACAGGAUAGAGGAAGCACUUCAAGAUUCGGAUUGGGUGCUGGCGAUGCAAGAGGAGCUCAACAACUUCACGAGGAAUGAGGUAUGGCAUUUAGUUCCACGUCCUAACCAAAAUGUUGUAGGAACCAAAUGGGUUUUCCGCAACAAGCAAGAUGAGCAUGGUGUGGUGACAAGGAACAAAGCUCGAUUUGUGGCCAAGGGAUACUCCCAAGUCGAAGGUUUGGAUUUUGGUGAAACCUAUGCACCCGUAGCUAGGCUUGAGUCAAUUCGUAUAUUACUUGCCUAUGCUACUUACCAUGGCUUCAAGCUUUAUCAAAUGGAUGUGAAGAGUGCCUUCCUUAAUGUACCAAUCAAGGAGGAGGUCUAUGUUGAGCAACCUCCCGGCUUUGAAGAUAGUAAGUACCCUAACCAUGUCUAUAAACUCUCUAAGGCGCUUUAUGGGCUCAAGCAAGCCCCAAAGCAUGAUAUGAAUGCCUAAGAGAUUUUCUUAUCGCUAAUGGCUUCAAAGUCGGAAAAGCCGAUCCUACUCUCUUUACUAAAACAAUUGUAAAUGAUUUGUUUGUAUGCCAAAUUUAUGUUGAUGAUAUCAUAUUUGGGUCUACUAACAAAUCUACUUGUGAAGAGUUUAGUAGGAUCAUGAUUCAAAAAUUCGAGAUGUCUAUGAUGGGAGAGUUAAAGUAUUUUCUAGGCUUUCAAGUCAAGCAACUCCAAGAGGGCACCUUCAUUAGCCAAACGAAGUACAUUCAAGACAUUCUUGCAAAGUUUGGGAUGAAGGAUGCCAAACCCAUCAAGACACCCAUGGGAACUAAUGGGCAUCUCGACCUCGACACGGGAGGUAAAUCCGUAGAUCAAAAGGUAUACCGGUCGAUGAUAGGUUCUUUACUCUAUUUAUGUGCUUCACGACCGGACAUUAUGCUUUCCGUAUGCAUGUGUGCAAGAUUCCAAGUCGAUCCUAAGGAAGUUCACCUUAGGGCCGUAAAACGAAUCUUGAGAUAUUUAGUUUAUACUCCUAAGUUUGGCCUAUGGUACCCUAGGGGAUCCACUUUUGAUUUAAUUGGAUAUUUCGAUGCUGAUUGGGCAGGGUGUAAGAUUGAUAGAAAGAGCACAUCAGGGACUUGUAAGUUCUUGGGAAGAUCCCUGGUGUCUUGGGCUUCAAAGAAGCAAAAUUCUGUCGCUCUUUCUACCGCCGAAGCUGAGUAUAUUGUCGUAGGCCAUUGUUGCGCGCAAUUGCUUUGGAUGAGGCAAACCCUUAGGGACUAUGGUUACAAAUUAACCAAAGUUCCUCUCCUAUGUGAUAAUGAGAGUGCAAUCCGCAUGGCGGAUAAUCCCGUUGAGCAUAGCCGCACUAAACACAUAGCCAUUCAGUAUCACUUUUUGAGGGAUCACCAACAAAGUGGGAUAUCGAGAUUGCAUAUAUUAACACCAAAGAACAAUUAGCCAAUAUCUUUACCAAACCACUAGAUGAGAAAACAUUUACCAAACUUAGGCAUGAGCUAAAUAUUCUUGAUUCUAGGAAUUUUGAUUGAUGUUUUGCACACAUAGUUCAUUUUUAUACCUUUGAUCAUCUCACUUUCAUGUGCUAUGACUAAUGUGAUUUUCAAGUGUAUUACAUGCUAAGUCAUAGAUUGAAAGGGAAAUGGAGUCUUCGGCAAAGACAAGGCUUCCACUCCACUCCAUCGAAUUAUUCAUCCUUCGCCGUCGCUCCGCAUCGCUCUCUGUAACACCCUGAAUUGUGGGUAUAAAAUUUCUUUUCUAAUAUCUACCAAAUUCAGGUGUUACUCUCUCAUUUCUCUGCUUUCCUUCAACUUUUUCUAAAAAAAUGAAGAAUUAUUUGGUUUUAUAUAUCUAUAAGCCUAGUAAAAUGAAACCUUAAAAGAGUCCUUGAUUACUGCAUAGCAUGCUGAGACAUUUUUUAUGUUGAGUUGUUGUGUUUCUGCAUCCAUUCAAACUCAUUAAAUAUAUUUAAAUCUUUGAUUCAAAAAAAUAUAUUUAAAUACGAAUAGAAAUGGAGAGAUAGAAAGCCUUCCCCAACCCCUCCUAGCCGGCCUUUUCCUGCGUCCCCGGCCCGCAUCCGCGGCACGCGCUUGCGCGGCCCGGUCGCGCCUUAGCGUCCCACGCACUUGCUUCCCUUGGCCCAUGGCCGCGUCCACCCGCACCCCGCAGCCUUGCAUGGCCUAGCGCUGUGCGUGCUCCCCGCUACGCACCCGCGCGCCCAGCUGCCGCUGCACGCGGAUCCCACCCACCAGCCCACCUAGCCCUGUUUAUGUUCCGCCGAACCACCCAAGCGCUAAUCUCGCCCACAACGUGCCUCAGUUUUCUUCCCCUCACCUCGAUCCGGAUCGGCGCAGUUGCAGCCGAACUGCUGCUGCAGCCAUGGCGGGUUGAGCCCCCUCCGCGCGCGCAUCGAGUCCGUCCAGUCACCGUCGUAGCCGAGCUCUACGUGCACAGGUGAGCCUUCUUCCUCCUCGCCUCGGACCCCUUCUUCCUCGCGUAGCUCCCUUCAUGUCCCCUCCUCUCGGCCUUGUCCCACGCGGCCAGGAAACCGUUUUGCCUUGCACUCGUCGCUCACCUCGCGUCCCACGUGCCCCGCCAGCCGCAUGCGCCUUCAUGGCCGCCGCUACCACACAGCGCCCGCCCUACUCCGCCAUUGCGGCCUUGGCCGAGCGGCCCCUGGCGUGCCUUGCCUCAGCCAGCGCGCAGUCAUGGCCAGCCGUUGUGGCCUUGGCCGAGCGGCCCGCCUACUGUAGGCAGGUCUCUAGAGGCCCCAGGGCGCGACCGGCACAGCCCCCGCACGCGAGCUCUGUCCCCUGCCCUCUGCGCAAGCUCCAGCCAGCGUCGUGUUGACCUAUGGUCGCCGUCGUGCGUUUAGACUCACCGUGUGGAGAAGUUCUGCUCGUGCGCAAAUGUAGAGAGAGGAAAAAACACUCUCGUGCUGCAUGUGCAUGCCCAGUUGCCCACACGGCCACACCCCACGCCCACGCGAAACUCCAGGUUGCAUGAGUUGCAAGAAAACUGAAUGGCCCCCACAUGCAUGGCUCCACUAUUUUCCUGCAUGUCGCACGUCUCCUAGAAAAGUCAAAAAUUGUUGCACACCCACAUGGGAUUAGACUUUCUAUGGCUGUUGACUAUGAUCUCCGCGAUCUUACGUGUGGCCAUCCUCCAACCAAUCAUAUUGCACCAUAUUAACCAAUUCGAUAAUAACUCAUUAUCAUCGUAUUAUAAAUCGAUUUCAGCCUAUUCUCUUUGUGUUAACUUUAUAAUGAUAUUUCCUACGUAUUAGUAACAUUAUUUGGUCACGAUACACAUUUUAAUUAAUUAGUUGAUUAUUUAUUUACCCGAGUUAUUAAAGUAGUAAUUUACUUAAACUAGUCUAUAGUUUUAGUUGCGCUUUAUGGAUAUCUGUUAAUAUGAUUAUGUCUACAUAAAUGUUUUUAUUAUUAUUAAUACUUGUUUAGUAUAAUCGUGUUAUCUGUUAGCGAGUAUCACGUAUCGUCUCAUUGUCUACGCUGUUCGCGCGUGAUGUGCUCGUGAUCGUGUGCUGAUUCACGCGUCGUUCACGCUGGUCGCGUGCACUGUUUCGUGCGUGGUCCACGUGCUAUGUCACACGUGUCCGUGCGUCGAUUGCACGCUGAUGUGUUGUUUCGUUCAUCGUAAAUUUGCCUCGCUUAGAAUCUCUCAUUUUAAUUAAAUAGUAGUUAUAAUUUAUAUUUGAUAACACCGAAUUAAAUGUCCUAGUUCAUAUUCGUUUAGCGUAAACGCGAUGCGAUAACUUGUCGACUGUAGCUCAGUCCGAAGCAUUUUUCCCUCACGUGACCAUAGAAGUGAGCUCUAUUUUAUCCUGCAUGUUUUUAUAACAUUUUAUCUUGUAUGGUGUAAUGUUCUUAUGCAUAUGUAUAUGUUUGUUUGCUUGUGCCUGUUCGUCUUCGCGUCGCGUUGCGAUUAGAUCGCGGUUCGUUUCUGAGCUUCGAGGAAUCGAAUCGACAGUCAAGCUUCGGCGACCAAAUGACUCAGCUCUUCGAGUUCUACAAGGCUGAAGAUUCUGAGCAUCUGUUUGGUGAAGGCAAGUGUCCUCUGACCCAUUAUGUCCCAUUUACUUUAUAAUACACUGCCCCGCAUACUAUGAACAACCUAAGGAUUUACUAGCUUUCUAUUUACCUGGUCCUUGAUUUACCUUUUGGGUUACUAUGGUUAGCUACAUGCUAGCGCUUUACUUUAAUCCAUGAACAUGAUGAGAUACGAUGAUGAUACUAUGAUUUCAUUCUGGAUAUGAUGAUAUACUUGUGGCAUUUAGGGGACUCGGGCUAUUUCUCGAGUGCCUCUCCGUAAGGACCUGUUCGUUGAGAGACCACCCGGGAUAACAGUGCAACCAUGAGGCUGAAAUGGGAUGCCCUUAGCUAAUUAAUUAGAGGAACUAGAGGUGUAGUUGCUUCGCCGUCAUGCCGUCAAUGGGGUCCAGGCACAGUGCUUGCUCUGCCGAGGCUGAGUGCCGAGGUUCUUUCGUUUUGCUUUUGUUAGUCACCCUCCUGCGGGGAGAGGUACUGUGUUUAUCAAACUGGAGAAACCUAACGGGCGGCUAUGACCUCUAGGGAAUCUUUGUAACAGCUAUGUAGUGAUACCCUGCCGGACCACCUAGGAAGUGAUCAAUGGGGAGUCAUGAUCCCUGGGCAAAACGGGAAUCACGGCUCAUGGGUAAAGUGUGCGACCUCUGCAGAGGGUAAUGAAACUGAUAUAUCAGCCGUGCUCACGGUUAAGAGCAGCCUUGGGAUCCUCUUUGAUUAGAGAUACAGAUGAUUUGAUAUACAAUGGUUCUAUUUAUUAUUUUGGUUCGAUGAUGAUAAUGAUUUUCCUCGAUGAGGAAAUGGUUCACGGGUUUGUUAUAUUAUAAAACUUGGCUUCCACUAAUAAUAAAUACCUGACCAACUAAAAGCAACUGCUUUGACCUUAACCCCACAUAAAGCUAGUCCACUUUAGCCAAAUGGGACAUUUGCUGAGUACGUUGAUGUGUACUCACCCUUGCUUUCACAAAACACCAGGUUGUCUUUGGUGCAAUCUAUGCUCAGGUAAAGAAGAAGGCAUCGAGGCGGUUCUCUAGGAGUUCCAGGACGUCGACGAGUUCGAGGAUUAGGCUAGCGACCUCCCCCAGUCAGCUGCCUGUGGUGGGUUUAUUUACGUUGGCUACGUUUCGAUUAUGUGUACUUUGAUUUAUAUUAUGUAAAUGACUCUAGUUUUUAAUAUUAUUGCCUACUCUUUAUUGUAAAUUCGAAGCAUUGUGCUAUGAUGAGUCAUUUAUGUAAUCGCUGUGUACGUGAAUUUCUGAUCCUGACACGUACAUGGUUCGCAUUCGGUUUACCUUCAAAACCGGGUGUGACAUAUGUGGUAUCAAAGUCGUGCUGACUGUAGGACCGCUAGCCUAGAGUAGCAUUGGCCGUUUUAAGGACUUAUUGACUAUUACUUCACCUCAUCCUUGAUUCUGCUUCAAAAUACUAGUCACCUCACCUAAUUAUAUGUUGUGCUCCUAUAUGCCUCCUUGCCAAAAGUAUUUUAUUCUAGUAUGGUUUAUACUUCUUUCAAUCUAUUAGAUCUGAUCUCACUCUUGUUCUUGCGACAUCUUUGUAGAUGCCCUCUGACCAUUACCUUCUUGUCUCUUGGUCUUCUUUUCUCUUUCCUCAUUAAAUUGCUACCAUUUGACAAUUUCUAUUCCCCUGGUAUAGACAUGCUCGUAUCCCUGGAUUCUUUAAUACCCUUGUUUCAAUACCUACCUCUAAUAAAAACUCUGCUACCUAUUUAAACAUUUCAGUUUAUAUGUCCAUGAUCUUACUGUCUUUUGAGACCCUUUCCUAUUCUAUUGUUAAGUCGCUAUCUUUUUGGCUAUUUGUACUCUUUUGGUCAUAGUAUGUUCGUACCAUUGGAAUCUUGCAUACUCUUAUUUUUAUAUAUGCUUACCUUUAUAUCUCAAUAUUUGUUUAAGACAUUUCAGUUAACGUCCCCUUGACCACCCUUGUUUCUUAAUGAUCCAUGAGCGGUCAUUUUUUUUGCACACUCAUGGUUGUCUCGUUAAUUCCUUGUAGCUUCCUUCGAUAAUGAAUUUUUACUUUAACUCUUAUGUCAGAACCUCACUUAUCCUUGAUUGUUUUCUCCACUUCGUUACUUUGCGAGUCUUGCCUUAACUUUGUCCAUGAAUUAUGCUUUUCAUCGUUAUCACCUUUUCUUUUCCCUUAUCGCCUUUAUAUCUUACCUUGAUGUUUAUCACCUUUUCCUCUUCCUCGUCGCUUGCGAGUUCUCAACUCCAUACUUCAUUGCGCUUUCGUUUGUUGUCGCCUUUACCUUUCCCAUUUCUCGACCACACCUUGUUGAUUACAUCAUAUCUGUUAUCUAAAAUCUCCAAUCUUCUAUCCCAACUUGUGAGCGGUACUUUACUUACCUCACCCUUGGCUACAUCCUCUUCUUUACCGCGUGUAAGCUUGGACGCAACUCCAUUCUUUGUUGUACUCAUACCACUGGCUCUCCCAUGUCUUCAUCUUUUCUCUCAUACCCUUGUCUGUUAUCACCUUUGACCCUUGCGAUAUUGAGGUAUUCUACCUAAAUGCUUACCUUGAACUUAUCCUUUAAAAGCCUACCCUUUCUUUCAACCUAGUUUGAGAGUUGUGAGUUGCUUAUCUCUUCCUUGAUUUCUUUUCACUCCUUGUCGCCUUACAAGUUUUGUCUUAAUUCUAUCCUUUGCUGUGUUUUUUAUUUGCUAUCACCCUCACCUUGUCGUCCAUCGAUCGUGAGUUGAUACUCAUCUUUAUUCCUACUCAAAAAAUCUCCUCUCUUCCACCUCAAUUUGAGAGUGGCAAUUUACCUAUCUGGCCCUUGGACAUAUCCUAUUCUUUUCCACUUGUAGGUCUUGUCUUAACUCCAUCCUUUAUGGUACUUAUAUCUUUUGUUCUUAUGCCCAUUUACCUCCUCUCUUACAUUAUUGUCUAUUAUCACCUUUAACCCUUGUAAUAUCUAUACCCUUACAUUCACGCUUACUUUGAACCUACCCUUCAAAACCUCCUCUUUUCGAUCUCUGCUCGAGGAUAAUGCCUCAUCUACUUCACCAUUAAUUGCUUCCCCUCCUUUGACGCCUUGCAAGUUUUGUCUAAAAUACAUCUUUUUUUGUUUAUUUGCCCGUUAUCACCCUCACCCUUGUCAUCCCUUGAUCUUUACCUUGAUGCUUAUCUCGUACCUGCAUUUUAAAGCCUCCUUGCUCGUUUCAGUUCAAGAGUGCUGUCUUACCCAUCCCACUCUUGGUCGUUCCCUUUUCCUCUGCCACAUUACUAGUCGUAGCUUUUGUUUGAUAGUCCCCUUACCUUUGUAAUCACUAGAUCUUGCCUUGAUGCUUAUCUUAGGCCUGCUUUUUGAAAUCUACUCUUUUCUAUCUCGACUCGAGAGUGGUGUUCUACCCAUUAUGCCCUUGGUCGUAUCCUUUUCUUGGUCGCUUAACUCCAUCCUUUGCUGUGCUCGUGCCCCUAUCAUGCACGUCUUGUUUCUCUCCUCGUCCUUCGACAGCCUUAGAGAGUAUCUAUUCCCUUUUCAAGAAAGACCACCAUCUAGUUAACAUUAAUGUGUAGCAACGAGAUGUUUGUUGUUGUAUGCUCGUGCUGUUUGUCUUUGUGUGAUGACUGAUUUGCUUCUCUAUGAUGAGUGUUGAUGUGUUGUGGUCCUUGGUCCACAAUGACAUCAGUUUACUAGUUGAGUGCCAUAGAGUUAGGUAGCUGGGUGCUCUCCCUUUUCUCUCUUUAAUUCAUCUAUGUGUACCUUUCCUAUCUAUACCCUUCCCUCUUGCACCUAUCCAGUUAGCAUCCUACAACCCCUCUAAAUCAGUCAAGAUCGGAGUCGGUAGCCUCUUCACCAAGUGGGUAUCAACGCUCCUGUUAAGGGGGUUAGCCGCAAACCCCAAUGAAGACAACAUGAUCAACAUCAACCAACAAGAUCAGAGUCGGAAACGUGUGUGGGUCCUAACCCACAGGUCCAAGAGAUCCUCAAGAAUUAUAUCAAUUGGUCUCGAGCAUCUGAAGGUCAAAGCAACCAGUCCACAAGUUAAAGCUGCCAGAGUCAAAGUUGAGUCAGGAGAAGCCAUGAACGACCAAUGAACCAAUCUCAUUUUCUUGCUAGCCUCUUCUUAAAUCUCGAGGGCGAGAUUCGUUAAGGGGAUUAGAUUUGUAACACCCUGAAUUGUGGGUAUAAAAUUUCUUUUCUAAUAUCUACCAAAUUCAGGUGUUACUCUCUCAUUUCUCUGCUUUCCUUCAACUUUUUCUAAAAAAACGAAGAAUUAUUUGGUUUUAUAUAUCUAUAAGCCUAGUAAAAUGAAACCUUAAAAGAGUCCUUGAUUACUACAUAGCAUGCUGAGACAUUUUUUUUAUGUUGAGUUGUUGUGUUUCUGCAUCCAUUCAAACUCAUUAAAUAUAUUUAAAUCUUUGAUUCAAAAAAAUAUAUUUAAAUACGAAUAGAAAGGGAGAGAUAGAAAGCCUUCCCCAACCCCUCCUAGCCGACCUUUUCCGGCGUCCCCGGCCCGCAUCCGCGGCACGCGCUUGCGCGGCCCGAUCGCGCCUUAGCGUCCCGCGCACUUGCUUCCCUUGGCCCAUGGCCGCGUCCACCCGCACCCCGCAGCCUUGCGUGGCCCAGCGCCGUGCGUGCUCCCCGCUGCGCACCCGCGCGCUCAGCUGCCGCUGCACGCGGAUCCCACCCACCAGCCCACCUAGCCCUGUUUAUCUUCUGCCGAACCGCCCAAGCGCUAAUCUCGCCCACGACGUGCCUCAGUUUUCUUCCCCUCACCUCGAUCCGGAUCGGCGCAGUUGCAGCCGAACUGCUGCUGCGGCCAUGGCGGGUCGAGCCCCCUCCGCGCGCGCAUCGAGUCCGUCCAGUCACCGUCGUAGCCGAGCUCUACGUGCACAGGUGAGCCUUCUUCCUCCUCGCCUCGGACCCCUUCUUCCUCGCGUAGCUCCCUUCGUGUCUCCUCCUCUCGGCCUUGUCCCACGCGGCCAGGAAACCGUUUUGCCUUGCACUCGUCGCUCGCCUCGCGUCCCACGUGCCCCGCCAGCCGCAUGCGCCUUCAUGGCCGCCGCUACCACACAGCGCCCGCCCUACUCCGCCAUUGCGGCCUUGGCCGAGCGGCCCCUGGCGUGCCUUGCCUCAGCCAGCGCGCAGUCAUGGCCAGCCGUUGUGGCCUUGGCCGAGCGGCCCGCCUGCUGUAGGCAGGUCUCUAGAGGCCCCAGGGCGCGACCGGCAUAGCCCCCGCGCGCGAGCUCUGUCCCCUGCCCUCUGCGCAAGCUCCAGCCAGCGUCGUGUUGACCUAUGGUCGCCGUCGUGCAUUCAGACUCACCGCGUGGAGAAGUUCUGCUCGUGCGCAAAUGUAGAGAGAGGAAAAAACACUAUCGUGCUGCAUGUGCAUGCCCAGUUGCCCACACGGCCACACCCCACGCCCACGCGAAACUCCAGGUUGCAUGAGUUGCAAGAAAACUGAAUGGCCCCCACAUGCAUGGCUCCACUACUUUCCUGCAUGUCGCACGUCUCCUAGAAAAGUCAAAAAUUGUUGCACACCCACAUGGGAUUAGACUUUUUAUGGCUGUUGACUAUGAUCUCCGCGAUCUUACGUGUGGCCAUCCUCCAACCAAUCAUAUUGCACCAUAUUAACCAAUUCGAUAAUAACUCAUUAUCAUCGUAUUAUAAAUCGGUUUCAGCCUAUUCUCUUUGUGUUAACUUUAUAAUGAUAUUUCCUACGUAUUAGUAACAUUAUUUGGUCACAAUACACAUUUUAAUUAAUUAGUUGAUUAUUUAUUUACCCGAGUUAUUAAAGUAGUAAUUUACUUAAACUAGUCUAUAGUUUUAGUUGCGCUUUAUGGAUAUCUGUUAAUAUGAUUAUGUCUACAUAAAUGUUUUUAUUAUUAUUAAUACUUGUUUAGUAUAAUCGUGUUAUCUGUUAGCGAGUAUCACGUAUCGUCUCAUUGUCUACGCUGUUCGCGCGUGAUGUGCUCGUGAUCGUGUGCUGAUUCGCGCGUCGUUCACGCUGGUCGCGUGCACUGUUUCGUGCGUGGUCCACGUGCUAUGUCACGCGUGUCCGUGCGUCGAUUGCACGCUGAUGUGUUGUUUCGUUCAUCGUAAAUUUGCCUCACUUAGAAUCUCUCAUUUUAAUUAAAUAGUAGUUAUAAUUUAUAUUUGAUAACACCGAAUUAAAUGUCCUAGUUCAUAUUCGUUUAGCGUAAACGCGAUGCGAUAACUUGUCGACUGUAGCUCAGUCCGAAGCAUUUUUCCCUCACGUGACCAUAGAAGUGAGCUCUAUUUUAUCCUGCAUGUUUUUAUAACAUUUUAUCUUGUAUGGUGUAAUGUUCUUAUGCAUAUGUAUAUGUUUGUUUGCUUGUGCCUGUUCGUCUUCGCGUCGCGUUGCGAUUAGAUCGCGGUUCGUUUCUGAGCUUCGAGGAAUCGAAUCGACAGUCAAGCUUCGGCGACCAAAUGACUCAGCUCUUCGAGUUCUACAAGGCUGAAGAUUCUGAGCAUCUGUUUGGUGAAGGCAAGUGUCCUCUGACCCAUUAUGUCCCAUUUACUUUAUAAUACACUGCCCCGCAUACUAUGAACAACCUAAGGAUUUACUAGCUUUCUAUUUACCUGGUCCUUGAUUUACCUUUUGGGUUACUAUGGUUAGCUACAUGCUAGCGCUUUACUUUAAUCAAUGAACAUGAUGAGAUACAAUGAUGAUACUAUGGUUUCAUUCUGGAUAUGAUGAUAUACUUGUGGCAUUUAGGGGACUCGGGCUGUUUCUCGAGUGCCUCUCCGUAAGGACCUGUUCGUUGAGAGACCACCCGGGAUAACAGUACAACCAUGAGGGUGAAAUGGGAUGCCCUUAGCUAAUUAAUUAGAGGAACUAGAGGUGUAGUUGCUUCGCCGUCAUGCCGUCAAUGGGGUCCAGGCACAGUGCUUGCUCUGUCGAGGCUGAGUGCCGAGGUUCUUUCGUUUUGCUUUUGUUAGUCACCCUCCUGUGGGGAGAGGUACUGUGUUUAUCAAACUGGAGAAACCUAACGGGCGGCUAUGACCUCUAGGGAAUCUUUGUAACAACUACGUAGUGAUACCCUGCCGGACCACCUAGGAAGUGAUCAAUGGGGAGUCAUGAUCCCUGGGCAAAACGGGAAUCACGGCUCAUGGGUAAAGUGUGCGACCUCUGCAGAGGGUAAUGAAACUGAUAUAUCAGCCGUGCUCACGGUUAAGAGCAGCCUUGGGAUCCUCUUUGAUUAGAGAUACAGAUGAUUUGAUAUACAAUGGUUCUAUUUAUUAUUUUGGUUCGAUGAUGAUAAUGAUUUUCCUCGAUGAGGAAAUGGUUCACGGGUUUGUUAUAUUAUAAAACUUGGCUUCCACUAAUAAUAAAUACCUGACCAACUAAAAGCAACUGCUUUGACCUUAACCCCACAUAAAGCUAGUCCACUUUAGCCAAAUGGGACAUUUGCUGAGUACGUUGAUGUGUACUCACCCUUGCUUUCACAAAACACCAGGUUGUCUUUGGUGCAAUCUAUGCUCAGGUAAAGAAGAAGGCAUCGAGGCGGUUCUCUAGGAGUUCCAGGACGUCGACGAGUUCGAGGAUUAGGCUAGCGACCUCCCCCAGUCAGCUGCCUGUGGUGGGUUUAUUUACGUUGGCUACGUUUCGAUUAUGUGUACUUUGAUUUAUAUUAUGUAAAUGACUCUAGUCUUUAAUAUUAUUACCUACUCUUUAUUGUAAAUUCGAAGCAUUGUGCUAUGAUGAGUCAUUUAUGUAAUCGCUGUGUACGUGAAUUUCUGAUCCUGGCACGUACAUGGUUCGCAUUCGGUUUACCUUCAAAACCGGGUGUGACACUCUCCAACUUUGGUAUAAUCUUCACUCCUGUAUUUUUUUACCAAACCAGGAGAAAGUUUGAAAAAGGGCUUAAAUUUCACUCACAAGUAUCCGUUUUUGGUGAUUCAUGCCAAAGGAGGAGAAAGUAUUAGCCCAAAGCAAAAUGACCGCACCACCACCACCAAUUUCAAAAAUGUAGUCUUUCAAAUUUGAGUUAAGAAAAGAUUUUUUCAAUUGGUAUCUUAUUUGUGAUAUAAUUUCAAAUUGGAAUACCCUCUUCAAAAUUAAUAUCUAAAACCCUCUUGAACACUAAGAGGAGGAUUUCAUUAAGGGGGAGUUUUGUUUAGUCAAAGGAAAAUCAUUUGAAAUAGGGGGAGAAAAGUUCAUAUCUUGAAAAUGCUUCUCAAAAUCCUAUUCAUAUACCUUUGACUAUUUGCAAAAAGACUUUGAAAAGAAUUUCCAAAACUUUGCAAAACAAAACAAGUGGUGCAAGCGUGGUCCAAAAUGUUAAAUAAGAAGAAAGCCAUCCAUGCAUAUCUAGUAGAAAUAAUUAUUGGUUUCAUUCCAAGCAACCUUUGCACUUACAUUAUGAAAACUAGUUCAAUUCUGCACUUAUAUAUUUGCUUUGGUUUGUGUUGGCAUCAAUCACCAAAAAGGGGGAGAUUGAAAGGGAAAUAGGCUUACACCUUUUCCUAAUUGAUUUUGGUGGUUGAAUUGCCCAACACAAAUUAAUUGAACUAACUAGUUUGCUCUAGAUUAUGAGUUCUACAGGUGCCAAAGGUUCACAACAAACCAAUAAAAUGACCAAGAAAGGGUUCAAAUAAAAAGAGCAAAAAACUACCGAAGUGUGCCCUGGUCUGGCGCACCGGACAGUGUCCGGUGCACCAGGGAACCCGACUCCGAACUUGCCACCUUCGGGAAUUCUGGGAGCCGCUCCGCUAUAAUUCACCUAACUGUCCGGUGUAGCACCGGACUGUCCGGUGCGCCAGUGGAGUAACGGCUACACAGCGCCAACGGUCAUCUGCAACGAACAAUAAAUGCGCUACAGUGCGCGCCUGCGCGUGCAGAAGUCAGGACAGGCGCUAGAAGGCGCAACGGACAGUGAACAGUGACUGUCUGGUGCACCACCAGACUGUCCGGUGGCUCAGCUGUCAGAAGCUCCAACGGUCAGAACCCAACCGCCGGGUGACGUGGCUGGCGCACCGGACUGUCUGGUGCGCCAUGCGACAGAAGCCCUCACCAACGGUCACUUUGGUGGUUGGGGCUAUAAAUACCCCCAACCACCCACCAUUCAUUGCAUCCAAGUUUUCAGCCUUCACACCUCAUACAAGAGCUAUAGACUUCAUUCAAGACACAUACAAAGAGAUCAAAUCCCCUCCCAAGUCCAAAGAUCAUUCCAAUCAAAUAGUGUCUAGUGAGAGAGAGAGAUACUUGUGUUCAUUUGAGCUCUUGCGCUUGGAUUGCUUUUCUUCUUCCUUCUUUCUUGUGUUCAACUCACUUGUAAUCAAAACAAGAGACACCAAGUUGUGGUGGUCCUUGUAGUGGACUUAGUGUCCCAUUUGAUUGAAGAGAAAGGCUCACUCGGUCUAAGUGACCAUUUGAGAGAGGGAAAGGGUUGAAAGAGACCCGGUCUUUAUGACCACCUCAACGGGGAGUAGGUUUGCAAGAACCGAACCUCGGUAAAACAAAUCACCAUGUCAUCCGCUCUUAUUCGCUUGUGAUUUGUUUUCGCCCUUUCUUUUGGACUUGUUUAUAUUUCUAACGCUAACCCCGGCUUGUAGUGUGUGCUUAAGUUUAUAAAUUUCAGAUUUGCCUAUUCACCCCCCUUUAGGCGACUUUCAAAUACUCAACUUAGUCUGGCACACCGGACUGUCCGGUGGUGCACCUGACAGUGUCCGGUGCGCCAGGCUGGCUUCCGGCGAACUGGCCGCUCUCGGGAAAAUUUGGUGGCGUACGACUAUAAUUCACCGGACUGUCCGGUGGUGCACCGGACUGUCCGAUGAGCCAACGGCCGCCAGCGCAAUGGUCGGCCGCGCAAUCCGCGGGCGACGCGUGACCCGCGCCAACGGUCGGCAGGGGGCACCGGACUAUCCGGUGUGCACCGGACAGUGUCCGGUGCGCCAACUGCCAUGGCGCUGCAAUGGUCAUCUGCGCCUAAUUAGGAAGGAGAUCCGCACCGGACAUGCUACAGUGACUGUCCGGUGGUGCACCGGACUGUCCGGUGCACCACCCGACAGAAGGAAACUUUGGCCUUCCUUGUUGGCCUCCAACGGCUCCUAGCUGCCUUGGGGCUAUAAAAGGGACCCCUAGGCGCAUGGAGGAGUCACCCAAGCAUUCACUAAGCAAUCUAAUACUCCCACACUCCGUCUCCGCGCACUUGAUCGAUUGUGUUAGUGAUUUGAGCUCCGUUCUAGUUGUGAACUCUUUGUGUUUCAUUUUGAGCUCAAGUCUUAGCUUGUGUGCGUGCGUGUGCUGCGGAUUUGUGUGUGUUGCUCCCCAACCUUACUCCGUGCUUUCUUUGUGAUCAAUCUUGUAAGGACGAGAGGCUCCAACUUGUGGAGAUUCCUCGCAAACGGGAAAAGAUAUAAGGAAGAAUACCGUGGUAUUCAAGUCGAUCAUUAGAUCACUUGAAAGGGGUUAAGUGCAACCCUCGUCCAUUGGGACGCCACAACGUGGAGGUAGGCAAGUGUUAUACUUGGCCGAACCACGGGAUAAACCACUGUGUCUCUUGUGUUGUCUUUCUUUGUGAUUAUUGUGAUUCGCAAGAGGUCACUCUAUAGCCACUUGGUUCUAUCGCACUAUCAUCUUUAUAACCAAGUUUUGUGGCUAUUAGUUGUUGAUUUUUACAGGAUCACCUAUUCACCCCCUCUAGGUGCUCUCACCAACGUCCGCCAACACCAACGGUCGGCCGCGCAAUCUUCGCGCGACACGUGGUCGCGCCAACGGUCGGUUGGGCACACCGGACAGCGUCCGGUGCGCCAACCGAUCCCGAGGACCAACAGUCGGUGGCUCUUUGUAUGGAAAGAAAUCGAGCACGGGACAUGAAUAGUAGUUGUCCGGUGGUGCACCGGACUGUCCGGUGCACCACUCGACGAAAGGCAAGAUUGGCCUUCCAAGUUGGUCUUCAACGACUCUUAGCUGCCUUGGGGCUAUAAAAGGGACCCCUAGGCGCAUGGAGGAGUUACCCAAGCAUUCUCUAAGUAUUCUCAAGCAUCCAGACUCCACUCUUACGCAUUCGCUUCAUUGUGUUAGUGAUUUGGGCUCCAUUCGAGUUGUGCACUCCCUGAGUUGUCAUUUGAGCUCAAGUCUUCACUUGUGUGCAUGGUUGUGCUGCGUAUUUGGGUCUUGUGUGUGUUGCUCUUCCCAACCUUACUCUGUGCUUUCUUUGUGAUCUAAAUUAUAAGGGCGAGAGACUCCAAAUUGUGGAGAUUCCUCGCAAACGGGAAAAAGACUAUAAGGAAGAAAGUCGUGGUAUUCAAGUUGAUCAUUGGAUCACAUGAAAGGGGUUGAGUGCAACCCUCGUCCAUUGGGACACCACAACGUGGAAGUAUGCAAGUGUUACUUGGCCAAACCACGGGAUAAAAAUCGUGUGUCUCUUGUGUUGCCUUCUCUGUGAUUGUUUUAUCCACAAGAACUCGCUUCGAAACUACUUAGUUGCUCUAACACUUUAAUAACUAAGUUUUGUGGCUAUUUAAUGUUUGAUUUUACAGGAUCACCUAUUCACCCCCUCUAGGUGCUCUCAAUGAUGCAUGCAGAUCACGACUCCGCGUGACGGUUUCUUCUCCACCGCAUAGAUGGACGCGCGCAGUAAACAACUAGAGGAGCAUCCGCCGGCCAAGUGAAAGAGUAGCGCUAGUGGAGGCUUUAACUCGCUUGAGGGCUCGCGGCGACGUUGCAGUUGCAGUAGCUGGGAGGCACGAUGCCGGCACAGCAGACGCAGUUAGCGUGGCAGCAGUCACCGGAGCAUUGCCAACACGCAGCAGCCGACGUGCGGCGCGCGGAGGCGGGCUCGGUGGGCGACAGCGCAUGACCGGAUAAGAGUCACAACGAGUACAAACUGAGUGGAUAAAUAGAAAGGAAGAGCUCGGCAACGACCCCUCACCUCGAUGUGUGAUGGCGCGGUCACGGUGCCGAGGUUGGCGACGUCGUCCUUGAGUGAGGCGUUGAACUCGAUGAGCGCAGCGGCGUAGGCGGAGUCGAUGGCCGACGUUCGAACUCCGACAUGCAGUGAGCCUAGGCGAUUUGGCAAGGUGGAGGUCUGGUCGGCAAGAUGGAGGUCUGGCCUUCCACGGACAGUGAUGAGCUCAAUGGUGCAGCAGAUAUGAAGAGGCAAUUUUCUUUUUCCUUUUCAUCCUUCCAUGGGAGCAUCGGCCAUGGGAAAAAUAGAAAAAAAUAGAAAGUAACAUAUGCAUUUUAAGUACAAUAUAAAAAAUUUAUAUUCUAAAAUACAAGGCGUGCACCCAUGAAUAACUAUUGUAUCUCGAUGCUCGACCACAGGCAGAAAAAGCCCACACGCUCCCGCUUGUCCUCGGGUGUGCCGCCAUCGCCCAUCUGGACCCGCUCGACACUGUCCGGUGCACCACUCGACAAUGUCCGGUGCGCCAUUAGACAGUCCGGUGUGCCAGACUGAGCUGAAGUUUGCUGCAUAUAGCCAACUCUUUUUCCAAAUCUUUUCUCACUGUUUCUAGCACUUAGACAAAACACAUUAGUACUCAAAACAAUGUACUAAGUCUAGAAACAUACCUUUUACUUUGAUUUGCACUUCUCACUUUAAUUGGCACAUAAGAACUUAAUUAACCGUGUUGGGCACUUAAUCACCAAAAUAUUAUUGAAAUUGCCCAAGGGCACAUUUCCCUUUCAAUCUCCCCCUUUUUGGUGAUUUAUGCCAACACAUCCAAAAGCAACCAAAAUAAGUGCAACAUCAAUGCAAUUGAGGACCAAAUUGUUUUUGCACAAGAUUUAACAUAUUUGGAUCAUUCUUUGCCACCACUUGGUUUGUUUUUGCAAAUCAAAUUCUUUUUCCUAUCUCUAAGUCAAACACGCUUGAUUGGGCACAAAGAGAUAAUCCAAGAGUGAAAUUGAUCAUGUGUCAAAAACUCCCCCUUUUCCCAUAAUCAAAAUUCUCCCCCACAAGAGACCAAAUUUUGCAAUAAGAGUAUUUUGGACAAAUAAAAAAAUUCUAACUCUAUUGUUUUCAAAAUUCACAAGUGGUAGCUGAUCCAUUUGCUUUUGGCCUUAAUUUCUCCCCUUUGGCAUUAAGCACCAAAACGGAAUCAUUUUUGGCCCUUUGACCCCAUUGCCUCACCAAAAAUGUCAAUUAAGAGCAAAAAGGCAAUUAUAGCAUAAGAAUGAACUUGGAAGUGAGUACACUAAUACCGGAGUGCAGUGGAAGUCUUUGCAUCGUCCAAGUUCACCUUUCCCUUUCAAUCCACUUUUGAGACUACAUCAAGUAUACUCAAACACAAAGAUUAGUCUCAAAGGGUCAAGUUGUAGCAUGUCUCCCCCUAAAUAUGUGCACCAUUUGCAUGUGGACUUUUGAGGUCCGGGGAGAUUUUGUACAACUUGAGCACCACAAAUAGAUAACACAAAAUGCAUAAAGUAACAUGAUCAAAGGCAUAGAACACGUGUAUGCUAUAGAUCAAUCCAAGUUAUGCGAAUCUAAGACAUUUAGCUCACUACGUAACCUGCAAAAAGUAUUCUCAUCCAACGGCUUGGUAAAGAUAUCAGCUAGUUGGUUCUCGGUGCUAAUAUGGUACACCUCGAUAUCUCCCUUUCGUUGGUGGUCUCUCAGGAAGUGAUGUCGGAUGUCUAUGUGCUUAGUGUGGCUGUGUUCAACAGGAUUAUCCGCCAUGCGGAUUGCACUCAUUGUCACAUAGGAGGGGGACUUUGCUCAGAUUGUAGCCAAAGUCCCGGAGGGUUUGCCUCAUCCAAAGUAGUUGCGCGCAACACUGUCCUGCGGCAACAUACUCGGCCUCAGCUGUGGAUAGGCCAACAAAUGUUUGUUUCUUGGAACUCCAAGACAACAGGGACCUUCCUAGGAAUUGGCACAUCACUGAUGUGCUCUUCCUAUCAACCUUGCACCCGACAUAAUCGGAGUCUGAAUAUCCUGUCAAGUCAAAGGUAGACCCCGUUGGAUACCAGAUCCCGAAGCAAGGCGUAGCAACUAAAUACCUAAGAAUUCACUUAACAGACACAAGGUGACAUUCCUUGGGGUCGGAUUGAUAUCUAGCACACAUGCAUACACUAAGCAUAAUGUCCGGUCUACUAGCACAUAAAUAAAGCAAGGAACCUAUCAUAGACCGGUAUGCCUUUUGAUCGACGGACUUACCUCCUUUGUUGAGGUCGACAUGCCCGUCGGUUCCCAUCGGUGUCUUUGUGGGCUUGGCGUCCUUCAUCCCAAACCUCUUGAGAAGAUCUUGUGUGUACUUCGUUUGAGAGAGGAAGGUGUCGUCCUUGAGUUGCUUCACUUGGAACCCAAGGAAGUAGGUCAACUCGCCCAUCAUCGACAUCUCGAACUUUUGUGUCAUCACCCUGCUAAACUCCUCACAUGACUUUUGAUUAGUAGAACCAAAUAUUAUGUCAUCGACAUAAAUUUGGCACAUAAAAAGAUCACCAUCACAAGUCUUAGUAAAAAGAGUGGGAUCGGCUUUCCAAACCUUGAAAGCAUUAGCAAUUAAGAAAUCUCUAAGGCAUUCAUACCAUGCUCUUGGGGCUUGCUUAAGUCCAUAGAGCGUCUUAGAGAGCUUGAACAUAUGGUCGGGGUACCUGUCAUCCUCAAAUCCAGGGGGUUGUUCCAUGUAUACCUCCUCCUUGAUUGGCCCAUUGAGGAAAGUGAAAGUCUCCUAGAGGGGGGGUGAAUAGGCAAAUCUGAAAUUUAUAAAGUUUAAGCACAACUAAAAGCCGGGGUUAGCGUUAGAAAUAUAAUCGAGUCCGAAAGAGAGGGUGAAAACAAAUCACAAGCGAAUAAGAGCGGAUGACACGGUGAUUUGUUUUACCGAGGUUCAGUUCUUGCAAACCUACUCCCCGUUGAGGUGGUCACAAAGACCGGGUCUCUUUCAACCCUUUCCCUCUCUCAAACGGUCACCUAGACUGAGUGAGCUUUUCUCUUCAAUCAAACGAGACACUUAGUCCACUACAAGGACCACCACAACUUGGUGUCUCUUGCUUUGAUUACAAUUGAGUUGAGAACAAGAAAUGGGGAAGAAGAAAAGCGAUCCAAGCGCAAGAGCUCAAAAGAACACGACAAAACUCUCUCUUCUAGUCACUAAUUUCUUUGAGUGGAAUUGGGACUUUGAGAGAUUUUGAUUCACUCUAUUUGUGUCUUGUAUUGAAUGCACUAGCUCUUGUAAUGAAUGUGUUGGCUGAAAACUUGGAUGCCUUGAAGUGUUGGUGGUUGGGGGUAUUUAUAGCCCCAACCACCAAAGUGUCCGUUAGGGAAGGCUGCUGUCGAAGGGCGCACCAGACAUUGUCCGGUGCACCAGCCACGUCACCCAACCGUUAGGGUUCGACCGUUGGAGCUUCUGACAUGUGGGCCACCGGACAGUCCGGUGGUGCACCGGACAGGUCCUGUUCACUGUCCGGUGUGCCAUCUGGCGCCUGCUCUGACUCUGCGCGCGCAGUCGCGCACUGUUCACUGUUGCUUUUGCAGACGACUGUUGGCGCAUUUAGGCGUUACUCCACUGGCACACCGGACAGUCCGGUGCUACACCAGACAGUCCGGUGAAUUAUAGCGGAGUGGCUCCCAGAAAACCCGAAGCUAGCAAGUUAGAGUUGAUCCACCUUGGUGCACCAGACACUGUUCGGUGGCACACCGGACAGUCCGGUGCGUCAGACCAGGGCAGCCUUCGGUUGUCUUUUGCUCUUUUGAUUUGAACCCUUUCUUGGACAUUUUAUUGGUUUGUUGUGAACCUUUGGCACCUGUAGAACUUAUAAUCUAGAGCAAACUAGUUAGUCCAUUUAUUUGUGUUGGGCAAUUCAACCACCAAAAUCAUUUGGGAAAAGGUGUAAGCCUAUUUCCCUUUCAAUCUCCCUCUUUUUGGUGAUUGAUGCCAACACAAACCAAAGCAAAUAAAUAAGUGCAGAAUUGAACUAGUUUGCAUAAGGUAAGUGCAAAGAUUGCUUUAGAAUUAAACCAAUAUUUAUUUCAUAAGAUAUGCAUUGAUGUUUUCUCCUAAUUUUAACAUUUUGGACCACGCUUGCACCACUUGUUUUGUUUUUGCAAACUCUUUUGGAAAUUCUUUUCAAAGUCUUUUUGCAAAUAGUCAAAGGUAAAUGAAUAAGAUUUUGAGAAGCAUUUUCAUGAUUAGAAAUUUUCUCCCCCUGUUUCAAAUGCUUUUCCUUUGACUAAACAAAACUCCCCCUCAAUGAAAUUCUCCUCUUAGUGUUCAAGAGGGUUUUAUAUAUUAAUUUUGAAAGGGGUUAUACCAAUUUGAAAUUAUAUAAAAAAUAAGAUACCAAUUGAAAAACCUUCUUUUAAUACAAAUUUGAAAGACUACAUUUUUGAAAUUGGUGGUGGUGCGGUCCUUUUGCUUUGGGCUAAUACUUUCUCCCCCUUUGGCAUGAAUCACCAAAACCGGAUACUUGUGAGUGAAAUAUAAGCCCUUCUACUUUCUCUCCCUUUGGCAAAUAAUAUAUGAGUGAAGAUUAUACCAAAUUGGAGAGUGAUGUGGAGUGACGGCGAAGGAUGAAUAAUUCGAUGGAGUGGAGUGGAAGCCUUGUCUUCGCCGAAGACUCCAUUUCCCUUUCAAUCUAUGACUUAGCAUGAAAUACACUUGAAAACAUAUUAGUCAUAGCACAUGAAAGAGAGAUGAUCAAAGAUAUAUAAAUGAGCUAUGUGUGCAAAAUAUCAAUCAAAAUUCCUAGAAUCAAGAAUGUUUAGCUCAUGCCUAAGUUUGAUAAAAGUUUUCUCAUCUAAUGGUUUGGUAAAGAUAUCGGCUAAUUGUUCUUUGAUGCUAACAUAUGCAAUCUCGAUAUCCCCCCUUUGUUGGUGAUCCCUCAAAAAGUGAUACCGAAUGGCUAUAUGCUUAGUGCGGCUGUGCUCAACGGGAUUAUCCGCCAUGCGGAUUGCACUCUCAUUAUCACAUAGAAGAGGAACUUUGGUUAAUUUGUAACCAUAGUCCCUAAGGGUUUGCCUCAUCCAAAGAAAUUGCACGCAACAAUGGCCUGCGGCAAUGUACUCGGCUUCGGCGGUAGAAAGAGCUACAAAAUUUUGCUUCUUUGAAGCCCAAGACACCAGGGAUCUUCCCAAGAACUGACAAGUCCCUGAUGUGCUCUUUCUAUCAAUUUUACACCCUGCCCAAUCAACAUCUGAAUAACCAAUUAAAUCAAAUGUGGAUCCCUUGGGGUACCAAAGGCCAAACUUAGGAGUAUGAACUAAAUAUCUCAAGAUUCAUUUUACGGCCCUAAGGUGAACUUCCUUAGGAUCGGCUUGGAAUCUUGCACACAUGCAUACGGAAAGCAUAAUAUCCGGUCUAGAUGCACAUAAAUAGAGUAAAGAACCUAUCAUCGACUGGUAUACCUUUUGAUCUACGGAUUUACCUCCCGUGUCGAGGUCGAGAUGCCCAUUGGUUCCCAUGGGUGUCUUGAUGGGCUUGGCAUCCUUCAUUCCAAACUUGGUGAGUAUAUCUUGAAUGUACUUUGUUUGGCUAAUGAAGGUGCCCUCUUGGAGUUGCUUGACUUGAAAUCCUAAAAAAUACUUCAACUCCCCCAUCAUAGACAUCUCGAAUUUUUGAACCAUGAUCCUACUAAAUUCUUCACAAGUAGAUUUAUUAGUAGACCCAAAUAUGAUAUCAUCAACAUAAAUUUGGCAUACAAACAAAUCAUUUGCAAUUGUUUUAGUAAAGAGAGUAGGAUCGACUUUUCCGACUUUGAAGCCAUUAGCGAUAAGAAAAUCUCUUAGGCAUUCAUACCAUGCUCUUGGGGCUUGCUUGAGCCCAUAAAGCACCUUAGAGAGUUUAUAGACAUGGUUAGGGUACUCACUAUCUUCAAAGCUGGGAGGUUGCUCAACAUAGACCUCCUCCUUGAUUGGUCCAUUAAGGAAGGCACUCUUCACGUCCAUUUGAUAAAUCUUGAAGCCAUGGUAAGUAGCAUAGGCAAGUAAUAUAUGAAUUGACUCAAGCCUAGCUACGGGUGCAUAGUUUUCAUCGAAAUCCAAACCUUCGACUUGUGAAUAUCCCUUGGCCACAAGUCGAGCUUUGUUCCUUGUCACCACACCAUGCUCAUCUUGUUUGUUGCGGAAGACCCACUUGGUUCCUACAACAUUUUGAUUAGGACGUGGAACAAGAUGCCAAACCUCAUUCCUCGUGAAGUUGUUGAGUUCCUCUUGCAUCGCCAACACCGAAUCCGAAUCCCUUAAUGCAUCUUCCACCCUGUAUGGCUCAAUAGAAGACACAAAAGAGUAAUGUUCACAAAAAUGAGCAACACGAGAUUGAGUGGUUACCCCUUAUAAAUAUCGCCGAGGAUGGAGUUCACGGGGUGAUCUCGUUGUAUUGCUUGGUGGACUCUUGGGUGUGGCGGUCUUGGACCCUCAUCAUCUUCCUUGUCUUGAUCAUUGGCAUCUCCCCCUUGAUCAUUGUCCUCCUCUUGAGGUGGCUCAUCUUCUUGAUCCUCAUUUUCAUCCUCUUGAGCUUGAUCCUCAUCUUGGGUUGGUGGAGAUGCUUGAUUUGAAGAUGAUGGUUGAUCUUGUGCAUGUGAGGGCUCUUCGGAUUCCUUAGGACACACAUCCCCAAUGGACAUGUUCCUUAGUGCGACGCACGGAGCCUCUUCAUCAUCUAGUUCAUCAAGAUCAACUUGCUCUACUUGAGAGUCGUUAGUCUCAUCAAACACAAUGUCACAAGAAACUUCAACCAGUCCAGUGGACUUGUUAAAGACUCUAUAUGCCCUUGUGUUUGAAUCAUAACCAAGUAAAAAUCCUUCUACAACCUUGGGAGCAAAUUUAGAUUUUCUACCUCUUUUAACAAGAAUAAAGCAUUUGCUACCAAAGACUCUAAAAUAUGAAACAUUGGGCUUUUUACCGGUGAGGAGUUCAUACGAUGUCUUCUUGAGGAUUUGGUGAAGGUAGAGACGGUUGAUGGCGUAGCAAGCGGUGUUGAUUGCUUCCGCCCAAAACCGGUCCGAAGUCUUGUACUCAUCAAGCAUGGUCCUCGCCAUGUCAAGUAGAGUUCUAUUCUUCCUCUCCACUACACCAUUUUGUUGUGGCGUAUAGGGAGAAGAGAACUCAUGCUUGAUGCCCUCAUCCUCAAGGAAGCCUUCUAUUUGUGAGUUCUUGAACUCUGUCCCGUUGUCGCUUCUACUCUUUUUGAUCCUUAAGCCGAACUCAUUUUGAGCUCGUCUCAAGAAUCCCUUUAAGGUCUCUUGGGUUUGAGAUUUUUCCUGCAAAAAGAACACCCAAGUGAAGCGAGAAUAAUCAUCCACAAUAACUAGAUAGUACUUACUCCCACCGAUGCUUAUGUAAGCUAUCGGGCCGAAUAGAUCCAUGUGGAGUAGCUCAAGCGGUCUGUUAGUCGUCAUGAUGUUCUUGUGUGGAUGAUGAACACCAACUUGCUUCCCUGCUUGACAUGCACUACAAAUCAUGUCUUUCUCAAAAUGAACAUUUGUUAGUCCCAAAAUGUGCUCUCCCUUUAGAAGCUUAUGAAGAUUCUUCAUCCCAACAUGGGCUAGUCGGCGAUGCUAGAGCCAACCCAUGUUAGUCUUAGCAAUUAAGCAAGUGUCGAGUUCAGCUCUAUUGAAAUCAACUAAGUAUAGCUGACCCUCUAACACUCCCUUAAAUGCUACUGAAUCAUCACUUCUUCUAUAGACAGUAACACCUAUAUCCGUAAAAAGACAAUUGUAGCCCAUUUUACAUAAUUGAGAAACUGAAAGCAAGUUAUAGUCUAAAGAAUCUACAAGAAAAACAUUGGAAAUAGAAUGGUCAGGAGAUAUAGCAAUUUUACCAAGUCCUUUGACCAAACCUUGAUUUCCAUCCCCGAAUGUGAUAGCUCUUUGGGGGUCAUGGUUUUUCUCGUAGGAGGAGAACAUCCUUUUCUCCCCAGUCAUGUGGUUUGUGCACCCGCUAUCGAUGAUCCAACUUGAGCCCCCGGAUGCAUAGACCUACAAAACAAUUAUAGGCCUUGUUCUUAGGUACCCAAACGGUCUUGGGUUCUUUCACAUUAGAAACAAGCACCUUGGGUACCCAAACACAAGUCUUUGAUCCCUUGUGUUUGCCCCCAACAUAUUUGGCAACUACUUUGCCUGAUUUGUUAGUUAAAACAUAUGAUGCAUCAAAAGUCUUAAACGAGAUAUUAGGUUCAUUUGAUGCAAUUUGAGAUUUCCUUUUAGGCAAUUUAACAUGAGUGGAUUGCCUAGAACUAGAUGCCUCAGUCUUAUACAUAAAAGCAUGAUGAGAGCCAGAGUGAGACUUCCUAGAAUGAAUCUUUCUAAUUUUGUGUUCGGGAUAACCGACAGGGUAUAAAAUGUAACCCUCGUUAUCCUGAACCAUGGGAGCUUUGCCCUUAACAAAGUUAGACAGUUUAUUAGGGGCAUUAAGCUUGACAUUGUCUCCCUGUUGGAAGCUAAUGCCAUCCUUAAUGCCAGGGCGUCUCCCACUAUAGAGCAUGCUUCUAGCAAAUUUAAAAUUUUCAUUUUCUAAGUCAUGCUCAUUGAUCUUAGCACUAAGUUGAGCUAUGUGAUCAUUUUGUUGUUUAAUUAAAGCUAGGUGAUCAUGGAUAGCAUCAACAUUAAUGUCUCUACAUCUAGUACAAAUAGUAACAUGAUCAACACUAGAUGUAGAGGGUUUGCAUGCAUUUAAUUCAACAAUCUUAGCAUGUAAAAUAGCAUUCUCAUCUCUAAGAUUGGAAAUAGAAACAUUGCAAACAUUUAAAUCUUUAGCCUUAGCAAUUAAUUUUUCAUUCUCAAUUUUAAGGCUAGAGAGAGAUGCAUUCAAUUUGUCAAUCUUAGCAAUCAAAUUUGCAUUAUCAUUUCUAAUACUAACAAUGGAAUCAUCACAAACAUCAAACUUCUCAACCUUAGCAAUUAAUUUUGCAUUUUCAUUUCUAAGGUUUGAGAUAACAUCAUGGCAAGUGCUUAGCUCACUAGUCAAUUUUUCACACUUUUCUACUUCCUGAGCAUAAGCAUUUUUAACCUUAACAUGCUUCUUAUUUUCUUUAAUUAGGAAGUCCUCUUGGCUAUCCAAGAGUUCAUCCUUCUCAUGAAUAGCUCCUAUUAAUUCAUUUAAUUUUUCCUUUUAUUGCAUGUUGAGGUUGGCAAAAAGAGCAAGCAAAUUAUCAUCAUCAUCACUAGAGUUUUCCUCAUCACUAGAUGUUGCAUAUUUAGUGGAGGCUCUAGAUUUUACCUUCUUUUUGUCGUCCUUUGCCAUGAGGCACUUGUGGCCGACAUUGGGGAAGAGGAGACCCUUGUUGACGGUGAUGUUUGCGGCGUCCUCGUCGGAGGAGGAGUUGGUGGAGCUCUCAUCGGAGUCCCACUCCCGGCAAACAUGGGCAUUGCCGCCCUUCUUCUUGUAAUACUUCUUCUUCUCCUUCCUUCUUCCCUUCUUGUUGUCGCCCCUGUCCUAUCACUUGAUAAUGGACAUUUAGCAAUGAAAUGACCGGGUGUCACACCCGGUUUUUAGAAGGUAAACCGAAUGCGAACCAUGUACGUGCCAGGAUCAGUUAUUCACGUACACAGCAGUUACAUAAUAUGGACAUCAUCACACAGUGCUCAAAAUAGUAUUAAUAAGGGAAAUAGUCGAUUACAUCAUACGUCUGAGACGUCCAUAUAGUUCUUACAAUAAAUCAAAGUGCGAAAACGAAACGUAGAUAACACGGCCUUCACAGGCAGCCGACUGGGGGUUGCCGCUAACCCACACCUAGAACUCGUCGUAGUCUUGGAACUCCUGGAAGUCUCCUUCCACAGCUUCAUCUUCUCCUGAGCAGUGGUUGCAAUGCUGACAACCUGGGGGGGGGGUUUGGUGUGUAGAGCAAGGGUGAGUACACAUCAACAUACUCAGCAAGUAUCCUGUUUGGCUGUAGUGGACUAGCUUUAUGUGGGGAUCAGUCAAGCAGUUGCUUUUAGUUGGUCAGGUUAUUACUUACUAGUAGAAAGCCAGGUUUUAACAUUAACCCAAGUUAUUAACCCAAUGUAUCCUUUCCAAACGGAAAGAAUACCACUUACCAAUACCAUAAUCAUAACCAGAACCAUCAAUCUCAUUGCCACCUGUACCAAAAUAUCUCUGAUCAAGUAUCACUAAUCUCUGGAGCUCCCUUGGCCGCUCAUAACCGUGAGCACGGCUGAUAUAUCAGUUUCAUAACACUCUGCAGAGGUUGUGCACUUUACCCACAAGCCGUGAUUCCCUCUUGCCUCGGGCCGAUCAAACCCUUAAACACUACCAAGGUGAAUAGGCAGGGUUUCACUACGUAGCCUUUACAAAGAUUCCCCGGGGCUGUAGCCACCCGUUAGGUUUCCUAAAUGCACCGCACUCCUCCCCAAGGGGCGAACCCAAACUUGGCAGAGCGAGCCGCAUACACCGAGCCCCAUUGACGGCACGACGGCUAAGUGAACUACAUCCCGGAUCCUCUAAUUAUUCAGCUAAGGGCACCCCAUUCCACCCUCAUGGUUGCACUGUUUUCCCGGGCGGUCAUCCAUAGAACAGGUCCUUACGGAGAGGCACUCGAGAAACCGCUCGAGUCCCCUUGAAAACCACAAGUAUAAUUAUAAAGAAGAACGGGAAAACAGCGUAUCAUAGAUAAUCACAUCAUGUUCAUUGAUUAGAGUUGAGCAAUAGCAUCAGACUAAGUAGUAAUAAUCCGACCCAAAUAGGUAAACAAGGACAUGGAUAACAAAAGCUAGUCAAUCCUUAGGUAUAAAUGUGUAAUGCGGGAGGUGAAUUAAAGAAUGAAUAGGACAGAGAUAGGUCAAAGGACACUUGCCUCCACCAACCGACUGCUGCUCAGGGGCUUCUCCUGCGAAUUCCUCGGGCUCUUCGACCGGAUCGUUCUCUAUGCGAGCGCAAACAUACAUACAUCCAUCCACAUUUUUAAUACAAAAGAACAGUACACCAUACAAGAUAACAAAUAAAGUGAAUAUGCACCAAGUAUGACAUUCGAUAACGCAUUUGUUAGGGUUAGAAAGAAACGGGAAAGGUCUCGCAGGGGGUUAAAUCUUAUGCACUAAUGACACAAUUGGUUUUUAACAAAAUAAUUCUGUUAUAUAUAUUUAUAUAUACUAAUGGAAACCUAAUCACUUUUAGUUGAUCAACAUUGCACAGGGUAAACAAUUAACUACGUGAAUCAAUAACAUAACGGAAUUUUAAAUUAAACUUCCUAUUUUCCCAUAGCAUGAACAGUGAUUAGCCUACUUAAAAUACAGUAAUUAUGAUCACAGAAAGUAAAUAAAAUAAAAUAAAAAAAAUAAAAAAACAGAGGGGGGGGGCGGUUGAACCGGCCCUAGGGGCGGUUGAACCGGCCCGGGGGCAGGCGGCCGAGCUGGGGCGGCCGAGCGCGGGGGGCGGCCGAGCUGGGGCCGGGGGCGGUUGAGCCGGGGCCGAGGCCGGCUGAACCGGCCCGGGACAGGGGGGCGCGGCCAGGGGGCCAGGCGGCCGGGGCGCGGGCUAGGGGCGGCUGGCGGCCGGGCGGGGCGCGGCUGGGGCGGCCAGCGGCCGGGCCAGGGCGGCCAGGGGAGCGGCCGGGGCGGGCCAGCGGCGGCCGGGGCCGGCUGGGCGCGGCCGAGGGCCGACCAGCGGCGGCCAGGGGCCACGGCGGGGCUGGGGCGGCUGCCGGCGUGGCCAGGGGGCGCGCGGGGGUGGGGAGAGAAGAGGGGAGGGAGGAGAGGGAGGAGGGGGAGGGGGCUCACCGGCGGGGAUCGACGGCGAGGGGCGGCCGGCGGCAGGGGGCGGCGCGGCGGCCUAGGGUAGGGGCGGCGCUAGGGCAGGGGGCGGGUAGGGGCGGCGGCUAGGGAGAGAAUGAGAGAGGGAAAAAAUGAGAGGGAGAGGGAGAGGGUUUGGGGAAAAAGGGGAGGUGGGGGCGGCAUGGGCCUAUUGGGCCCAAGGGGGGGCGCCAGGGGCGGCUGGGCCGGCCGGGGUCGGCCCAGGGCGCGGGAGAGAGAGAAAGGGGAGAGAGAAAGAGAGAGAAAGAAAGAUAAAAGAUUUUCCGCUUGUUCUCGAAAUCCGAUCUUUUAGAUGAAUGCGAUUGCACUUUCAAACAACCAAAAAUGCAAGGGCGGCAUGGUGCAUCAAACAACAUAAAGUAUUUAGGGUUUUUUAUACAUACGGGAAUUCCAAACCGAAUCCCGUUAAACUUUGAAAAAGGUCAAGGUUUAGCGAGGGGAAAAAGAAAAGGGAAAGGUAACGCCCGAAUUUUGGCGAGUAAAGAAAAGAAAAAAUUCAACUGCAAAAUUCGGGGCGUUACAAACCUAUCCCCCUUAAAAGAAUCUCGCCCUCGAGAUUCAGGGCUGGCUAGCAAAGAGCUCCGGGUACUUGGCCAUCAGAUCAUCUUCACGCUCCCAGGUUGCUUCUUCCUCAGAGUGGUGACUCCAUCUGACUUUGCACAUUCUGACGGUCUUCCUUCGGGUGACUCUAUUUGCAACCUCAAGGAUCUGAGCUGGCUUCUCAAUAUAGGUCAAGUCCUCCUGGACUUCAAGACCUUCCACUGGCAACUGCUCUUCUGGCACACGCAAACACUUCUUCAAUUGAGACACAUGAAAGACAUCAUGCACAGCAGACAAAUUCUCUGGCAGGCUGAGCUGAUAAGCCACUUCUCCACGCUUUGAGAGAAUUUGAUACGGACCAAUGUAGCGGGGUGCCAGCUUGCCUUUGACUCCGAAUCUUCUGACUCCUCUGAUCGGUGACACUUUCAGAUAGACAAAGUCUCCGACUUCGAAACUCAGCUCUCUUCUUCUUGUGUCUGCAUAGCUUCGCUGCCUUGAUUGCGCUAUCUUCAGAUUCUCUCGGACCAUCUUGAUGUUCUCUUCGGCUUCAAGCAAAAUAUCUGGCCCAAACACCUGCUUCUCUCCAGGCUGAUCCCAUUGCAACGGAGUUCUGCAACUCCUUCCACACAGCGCUUGAAACGGUGACAUCUUCAAACUGGCCUGGUAACUGUUGUUAUAGGAAAACUCCGCAUAAGGCAAUCGCUUGUCCCAUCCGGACUGAUCUUGCAACGCACAGGCUCUCAACAUAUCUUCAAGAAUUUGAUUGGUUCUUUCAGUCUGACCAUCUGUCUGCGGGUGAUAAGCUGAACUGAAAUUCAGAUGCGUGCCCAAGGCUUCAUGCAACUGCUGCCAGAAAUGAGAGGUGAACUGCGUUCCUCUGUCUGACACUAUCUUCUUUGGCACACCAUGAAGACAAACGAUCCGAGACAUAUACAAUUCUGCCAAUACUGCACUGUUGUAGUUGGUCUUGACAGGUAUGAAGUGGGCUGACUUGGUCAAGCGGUCCACUACUACCCAAAUGGAAUCGUAGCCGGCUCGAGUGCGAGGCAAUCCGACUAUGAAAUCCAUACCAAUUUCAUCCCAUUUCCACUGAGGGAUCUGCAACGGUUGCAACAAUCCAGCUGGUCUCUGGUGUUCUGCCUUAAUUCUUCGACAACUAUCGCACAUAGCCACAUGCUCUGCGAUUUCUCUUUUCAUUCCGUACCACCAGAAUUUCUUCUUCAGAUCCUGAUACAUCUUCUCACUGCCAGGGUGAAUCGAAUAAGCUGUCUCAUGAGCUUCCUUAAGAAUCAACUCCCGAAUAGACUGGACAUUGGGAACACACAAGCGGUCUUUGAACCAUACCACACCUUCUGCAUCUUCUCGAAAGUCUUUGCCUCUGCCAUCUAGAAUCAAUCGCCGAAUCUCACUGAUCUUCUCAUCAUUUUUCUGCGCUUCUUUGAUUUCGCGCUCCAAGGUAGGUUCCAAUUCAACUGUGACUCCUCGCGAAUUGUUCAGAAACCCGAGACUCAACCUGUCAAACUCUUUGGCCAACUCAUAAGGCAUCGGACGAGCGACCAUCAGAUUGACUUGACUCUUUCUGCUCAAAGCAUCUGCCACUACGUUCGCUUUUCCUGGAUGGUAAUGAAUCUCCAACUCAUAGUCUUUGAUCAAUUCUAACCAUCUUCGUUGCCUCAUGUUCAAUUCUGACUGAGUGAAUAUGUACUUCAGACUCUUGUGGUCUGUGUAAACAUCGCAUUUCUGUCCAUACAGAUAGUGCCUCCAUGUCUUCAGUGCGUGAACCACUGCUGCCAACUCUAGAUCAUGGAUUGGGUAGUUCUUCUCAUGAACCUUCAGCUGUCGGGACGAGUAAGCCACAACUCUUCCCUCUUGCAUCAACACGCAUCCCAAACCUGUGUAACAAGCAUCACAAUACACAGAGAAGGGCUUGUGCACAUCAGGCAAGACUAGGACAGGCGCUGUUGUCAACUUCUCUUUCAGCGCUUCAAAGGCCUCUUGGCAUUUCUGGGUCCACUUGAACUCAACCUUGUUGCCUAGCAACGCUGUCAUUGGUUUCGCAAUCUUCGAAAACCCUUCAAUGAAUCGCCGAUAAUAUCCGGCCAUUCCAAUGAAGCUCUUGAUUCCUCGAGCAUCCGUUGGCGCUUUCCAGUUUAGAAUGUCUGCCACUUUCUUCGGAUCCACAGCCAAUCCUUCUUUGUUGAUUAUGUGACCCAAGAACAGGACUUCACUGAUCCAGAACUCACACUUGCUCAACUUUGCAUACAACUGGUGCUCUCGCAAUCUCUGCAAUACCAGCCUCAAAUGAUCUGCAUGCUCUUCUUCACUUUGAGAAUAAACCAGAAUGUCAUCAAUGAAUACCACCACGAACUUAUCAAGAUAAUCCAUGAAUACACUGUUCAUCAAGUUCAUAAAGAACGCUGGUGCAUUGGUCAAACCAAAAGACAUCACUGUGAACUCAUAUAAACCAUACUUGGUAAUGAAUGCCGUCUUCGGAAUGUCCGAAGGUCGGAUCCUGAGCUGAUGAUAACCUGACCUCAGAUCGAUCUUGGAGAACACACUGGCUCCUCUCAACUGGUCGAACAGAUCUUCUAUUCUGGGCAAAGGAUACUUGUUCUUGAUCGUGACUUCAUUCAAAGCUCGAUAAUCGAUACACAUCCUCUUGGUGCCAUCUUUCUUCUCCACAAACAAGACAGGGGCAGCCCAAGGCGAGGUGCUUGGCCGGAUGUAACCUUUCUCUGACAGCUCAUCAAUCUGCUUCUUAAGCUCAACCAACUCUGGUCCAGAUAUUCUGUAAGCUCUCUUAGAGAUGGGGGCGGUUCCAGGAAGAAGCUCUAUAGCAAAUUCAACUUUCCGCUCUGGUGGCAUACCCGGUAAAUCCUUUGGAAACACAUCUGGGAAUUCAGACACAACCUUGAUACUCUCAAUUGGGUCUGCUUCACUGCUAUCGACAGUCAUCUGAUAACAACUUCCUUUCUUUGGCUCAGGCGGGACUAACUCGGUCACCACUUCCUCUCCUAGUGGGGACACCAACUUGAUUGUCCUUUUAUCACAACUGAUAACUGCCUGAUACUUAUCUAACCAAUUCAUCCCUAGGAUGACAUCUAUUCCCUGAGUACCCAUUACUAUAAGGUUGGCGGGAAACGCUAUCCCCCUUAUUUCCACACUUACAUUUAAACAAAUGCUAUCAGCUCGAAUUCUACCACCGGCUGAGUCAAUUUGAAUAGGGGUUGACAUGGUAGUUAUUGGAAGAUUAUGUGCUUCUACCCAUGAUGCAGUAAUGAAAGAAUGCGUUGCUCCAGUAUCAAAUAACACUUCUGCAAUAUGGGAGUCGACUGGGAACAUACCUACUAUCAUGUCGGGGGUCUCCUGAACUGCUUCAGCCUCCAAGUGAUUCAAUCUUCCAUGGUUAUAGCGCGGCUGAGGGCGAUUGCCUGCUCCAGGCUGAGACACAUUCUGCUUUGCUGGGGCAUUGGGGCCUGACUGCUGCUGGGCUGCCUUCUUCGGACAUUGCAUCACCCAAUGGCCUUGCUCUCCACAGUGGAAACAUGCCCUGUUUCCAACCUGAGCUGGUGCUGCCUGACUGUUCUGCUGAUUUGCUGGGGCAGGAAGACGAGGUGUCUGCUGAUUCUGCCUCUGAAACUGACCUCCUCCUGACUGAUUGCUCUGACGACUCUGGUACUGAUGCUGAGGAUACUGCCUUUGGAACUGCUGAUACUGCUGACGCUGCUGAUGCUGCUGAGGUGGACGCUGGUUCUGCCUGAACUGCUGAGGUUGAUUGCCUGAAAAACGAGGACGACUGCUGCUUCCAGGCUGGGGUCCACUGAUCUUGCGCUUACGAUCUUCCAUCUCCUUGCGCUUCCUUUCUGUCAUGAUUGCUCUGUCAAUCAGGUGCUGGAAUGUCAGGAAGGUGUGAUUCAUCAGCUGAUACUGCAGAGGGUCAACCAAGCCUCUCAGGAAACGGUAUUGUCGCUUGGCGUCAGUGUUGACAUCUUCAGGAGCAUAGCGAGACAACUGCAGAAACUUGUCCCGGUACUCACUGACAGACAAUGGCCCUUGCUUGAGGGCCAGGAACUCCUCCUUCUUCACUGUCAUCAGACCUGCAGGAACAUGGUACUGACGAAAACUUCCUCUGAACUCUUCCCAAGUGAUGGCGUCAGGGUGGGCAUGGGUGGCGAGGUAAGACUCCCACCAUGAUUGGGCUGCUCCUCUCAACAGACGGGGACCAUACAGAACCUUCUCCCUGUCAUCGCACUGAGCGGUAUGCAACUCCCGCUCCACAGUGCGCAGCCAAUCUUCAGCAUCCAUGGGGUCAGAAGAGUGAGCGAACGUUGGUGGAUGACCUCUCAUGAAUUCAGCACGCUUAUCUCUAGGCAUCUGAGGCAUCUGAGGCUGGGGUGGAGCCUGCUGCUGCUGCUGAAUGGCGGCCAGAGUCUGACCGAUGGCUUGAACUGCCUGAGUCUGCAUCAGAAACAUCUGCUCAAUCGACAUCGGGGGCGGGGGCGGCAGCUGCUGCUGCUGGGGCGCCUCAUCUUGCUGACCGGCUUGCUCCUGCUGAGCACGCCUUCCUCCUCUGCGCCUGUUCUCUGACAUCUGCAGAACGCAACCACACAUCAGAACUGAUCUGGCAAAUCUUGCAGCAUAAGAAAAGAGUAUAGAAUUCUCCAACAGCACUGAACAGAUGAGCAUCUUCACUGAUCUCCAACACAGACCACACAGCUUCUCAGAUAAAGAGGAAAGUAGAAUAAAGGUUUUCCCAACUAUAUAACUAACUUUAUUGACAUAAUAUGUAAACCAAAAUGCAGGGGAUACCCACACUCUGGUGACAAUCAUUACAAAGAUCCAAACCAAACAUAGUUCAUCAUGACAAACAUAAAUGCACAGGAUAUAGCAAACUACCCUGUCUAACUAAAACUAACUAAGACCGAGACUAACGCUAAGACUGAAGCUUCCAUGUAUAUAUUUAUUUCGUAUUAAUUACAAGAUCCAACUCUAACGAUCUAUGGUUCUAGGUUGAUCUUGGUCUUGCAGUCGGGAUUGCCAUAAGACUGGUGUCCACGCUGAGGUGAGCGGUACGGGUGCUGAGUCCCAACGGGAGCGGGGGAACCACCGUCCAGGUGACGACGUUCCGCGCGCUCAGCCCGCAGCAGGGCGAUCUCAGCACGAGCCCUACUCAGCUCGUCUAAUGCAUGGUCCAGCUCCGUGUUUAGCACGGCGGCUAGGUUGACUGUGCUGCUCAACCUAGGAUUGCCCUCACCGACAGGUGAGACAAUCACGCCUCCUGUGCUGCCAGAUGAACGGCGGGGGUAAUACUUCAGGUCAAGGCCGUCAGCUGCCCCACCGAAAACCGAGCAGUAGUGCGAAAGCGCACGCCGUGCAGCAUCUUGCAUGGCUGCCUCAGCUGAGUCCCGCUCAGAGAUAGAAUAGUGCUCUGAGCAAGCCUCCGCUCCCUGGAGACUGUUCUCCGGGCAGCGCACCAAGCAAGUUGCCUCCCAGCGAUCCGGGUAGACCCCGCGACUGUGCUGGUAGACCACACAGCGAUACUCGACGGACCAAGUAUGCCGGUCAAAUGCCCGACGUAGCAGGGUGUCGAGCGCAUCGUGGAAGUGACACCCGCGAGCGGCGUCGCGAGUGAUGGGUCGAGCAACCCAUCCUUCCGGCUCAAGGUUAGCAGGGAAGUCGGUGUCGUGGCUCGAGCUGUCGUCGCCAUCUCCGUCGUCUGGGUCUCCUCCAGCAGCUACUCCAGAGGCUGGGACGCCCAGUGGUGGUGCAGGGGGCGCCUCCAGGGGAAGCACAGGGGAGCAGCUCCUCACAGACUCUAUCUCCUGGUGGAGCGAGAAGGAAGAGCUCUGCUGCUCCUGUCAUCGACGUUCCUGCUCCUCACGCAGGUGGUGGUGUAGUCUCUCCAAGUGGCUGGACUGUCCGGCCACAGGACGGCGAAGCGGACGCUCAGCAAGGCGGGAGGGUAAGAAGGGGAUGACUGACUUUCGUGCAGUGUGUCUAAGUCGAGCCAUCUACAAAAGACAUCGCAAGCAAAAGGGUGAGAAUAGAAUUAAUAUGACCAGCAAAUAAUGAAUCAUAAGUAAAUGAAGGAUUAGAAUAAAACAUGAUUUUCAGCAAGGUAUAAUAUAUAAUAGAACAUAGGUUUGGUCGGUAUGACCAACUUUUGAAGGGAUAUCAAAGUCAAGGUAGAGACAGAGGUCUAUAGUCCUUAGAACGGCCAUUCUACUCUAGGUUAGCGGUCCUACAGUCAGCACGGCUCUGAUACCACUUAUGUCACACCCGGUUUUUAGAAGGUAAACCGAAUGCGAACCAUGUACGUGCCAGGAUCAGUUAUUCACGUACACAGCAGUUACAUAAUAUGGACAUCAUCACACAGUGCUCAAAAUAGUAUUAAUAAGGGAAAUAGUCGAUUACAUCAUACGUCUGAGACGUCCAUAUAGUUCUUACAAUAAAUCAAAGUGCGAAAACAAAACGUAGAUAACACGGCCUUCACAGGCAGCCGACUGGGGGUUGCCGCUAACCCACACCUAGAACUCGUCGUAGUCUUGGAACUCCUGGAAGUCUCCUUCCACAGCUUCAUCUUCUCCUGAGCAGUGGUUGCAAUGCUGACAACCUGGGGGGGGGGGUUUGGUGUGUAGAGCAAGGGUGAGUACACAUCAACAUACUCAGCAAGUAUCCUGUUUGGCUGUAGUGGACUAGCUUUAUGUGGGGAUCAGUCAAGCAGUUGCUUUUAGUUGGUCAGGUUAUUACUUACUAGUAGAAAGCCAGGUUUUAACAUUAACCCAAGUUAUUAACCCAAUGUAUCCUUUCCAAACGGAAAGAAUACCACUUACCAAUACCAUAAUCAUAACCAGAACCAUCAAUCUCAUUGCCACCUGUACCAAAAUAUCUCUGAUCAAGUAUCACUAAUCUCUGGAGCUCCCUUGGCCGCUCAUAACCGUGAGCACGGCUGAUAUAUCAGUUUCAUAACACUCUGCAGAGGUUGUGCACUUUACCCACAAGCCGUGAUUCCCUCUUGCCUCGGGCCGAUCAAACCCUUAAACACUACCAAGGUGAAUAGGCAGGGUUUCACUACGUAGCCUUUACAAAGAUUCCCCGGGGCUGUAGCCACCCGUUAGGUUUCCUAAAUGCACCGCACUCCUCCCCAAGGGGCGAACCCAAACUUGGCAGAGCGAGCCGCAUACACCGAGCCCCAUUGACGGCACGACGGCUAAGUGAACUACAUCCCGGAUCCUCUAAUUAUUCAGCUAAGGGCACCCCAUUCCACCCUCAUGGUUGCACUGUUUUCCCGGGCGGUCAUCCAUAGAACAGGUCCUUACGGAGAGGCACUCGAGAAACCGCUCGAGUCCCCUUGAAAACCACAAGUAUAAUUAUAAAGAAGAACGGGAAAACAGCGUAUCAUAGAUAAUCACAUCAUGUUCAUUGAUUAGAGUUGAGCAAUAGCAUCAGACUAAGUAGUAAUAAUCCGACCCAAAUAGGUAAACAAGGACAUGGAUAACAAAAGCUAGUCAAUCCUUAGGUAUAAAUGUGUAAUGCGGGAGGUGAAUUAAAGAAUGAAUAGGACAGAGAUAGGUCAAAGGACACUUGCCUCCACCAACCGACUGCUGCUCAGGGGCUUCUCCUGCGAAUUCCUCGGGCUCUUCGACCGGAUCGUUCUCUAUGCGAGCGCAAACAUACAUACAUCCAUCCACAUUUUUAAUACAAAAGAACAGUACACCAUACAAGAUAACAAAUAAAGUGAAUAUGCACCAAGUAUGACAUUCGAUAACGCAUUUGUUAGGGUUAGAAAGAAACGGGAAAGGUCUCGCAGGGGGUUAAAUCUUAUGCACUAAUGACACAAUUGGUUUUUAACAAAAUAAUUCUGUUAUAUAUAUUUAUAUAUACUAAUGGAAACCUAAUCACUUUUAGUUGAUCAACAUUGCACAGGGUAAACAAUUAACUACGUGAAUCAAUAACAUAACGGAAUUUUAAAUUAAACUUCCUAUUUUCCCAUAGCAUGAACAGUGAUUAGCCUACUUAAAAUACAGUAAUUAUGAUCACAGAAAGUAAAUAAAAUAAAAUAAAAAAAUAAAAAAACAGAGGGGGGGGCGGUUGAACCGGCCCUAGGGGCGGUUGAACCGGCCCGGGGGCAGGCGGCCGAGCUGGGGCGGCCGAGCGCGGGGGGCGGCCGAGCUGGGGCCGGGGGCGGUUGAGCCGGGGCCGAGGCCGGCUGAACCGGCCCGGGACAGGGGGGCGCGGCCAGGGGGCCAGGCGGCCGGGGCGCGGGCUAGGGGCGGCUGGCGGCCGGGCGGGGCGCGGCUGGGGGCGGCCAGCGGCCGGGCCAGGGCGGCCAGGGGAGCGGCCGGGGCGGGCCAGCGGCGGCCGGGGCCGGCUGGGCGCGGCCGAGGGCCGGCCAGCGGCGGCCAGGGGCCACGGCGGGGCUGGGGCGGCUGCCGGCGUGGCCAGGGGGCGCGCGGGGGUGGGGAGAGAAGAGGGGAGGGAGGAGAGGGAGGAGGGGGAGGGGGCUCACCGGCGGGGAUCGACGGCGAGGGGCGGCCGGCGGCAGGGGGCGGCGCGGCGGCCUAGGGUAGGGGCGGCGCUAGGGCAGGGGGCGGGUAGGGGCGGCGGCUAGGGAGAGAAUGAGAGAGGGAAAAAUGAGAGGGAGAGGGAGAGGGUUUGGGGAAAAAGGGGAGGUGGGGGCGGCAUGGGCCUAUUGGGCCCAAGGGGGGCGCCAGGGGCGGCUGGGCCGGCCGGGGUCGGCCCAGGGCGCGGGAGAGAGAGAAAGGGGAGAGAGAAAGAGAGAGAAAGAAAGAUAAAAGAUUUUCCGCUUGUUCUCGAAAUCCGAUCUUUUAGAUGAAUGCGAUUGCACUUUCAAACAACCAAAAAUGCAAGGGCGGCAUGGUGCAUCAAACAACAUAAAGUAUUUAGGGUUUUUUAUACAUACGGGAAUUCCAAACCGAAUCCCGUUAAACUUUGAAAAAGGUCAAGGUUUAGCGAGGGGAAAAAGAAAAGGGAAAGGUAACGCCCGAAUUUUGGCGAGUAAAGAAAAGAAAAAAUUCAACUGCAAAAUUCGGGGCGUUACACCGGGCUUACCACACUUGUAGCAAACCUUCUUGGAACGGGGUUUGUAGUCUCUCCCCUUCCUUUGCUUGAGGAUUUGGCGAAAGCUUUAAUUUUGAUGAUUAGCGCCAUCUCCUCAUUGUCGAGCUUGGAGGCGUCGAUGGGGAGACUACUUGAUGUAGACUCUUCUUUCUUCUCCUCUGUUGCUUUGAAGGCAACGGGUUGCACCUCGGGUGUGGAGGUGGCGCCUCGCUCGAUGAUUUGUUUGGUGCCUUUGAUCAUCAACUCAAAGCUCACAAAAUUUCCUAUGACCUCCUCGGGAGACAUUAGCUUGUAUCUAGGAUCACCACGAAUUAAUUGAACUUGUGUAGGGUUAAGAAAAACGAGUGAUCUUAGAAUAACCUUGACCAUUUCAUGGUCAUCCCAUUUUGUGCUCCCGAGGUUGCGCACUUGGUUCACCAAGGUCUUGAGUCGGUUGUACAUGGCUUGUGGCUCCUCCCCUUGGUUGAGCAUGAAUCGACCGAGCUCCCCCUCGAUCGUCUCUCGCUUGGUGAUCCUUGUCACCUCAUCUCCUUCAUGCGUGGUCUUGAGCACAUCCCAAAUAUCUUUGGCGGUCUCCAACCCAUGCACUUUGUUAUACUCCUCUCGACUUAGAGAGGCGAGGAGUAUAGUUGUUGCUUGGGAGUUAAAGUGCCGUAUUUGGUCAGCCUCAUCCGAGUCAUAGUUCUUAUCCCCCACCUGUGGUACCUCCGCUCCAUACUCAACAACAUCCCAUAUGCUUUUGUGGAGUGAGGUUAGAUGACCUUUCAUUCAAGAACUCCACAUAGAAUAAUAUUCACCCUCAAAAUCGGGUGGUUUGCCUAAUGGAACGGAAAGUAAAGGAGUGUGUUUAGAAAUGCGAGGAUAGCGUAGGGGAAUCUUACUAAACUUCUUGCACUCAUGGUGCUUAGAAGUGAUGGACGGUGCGUCGGAGCCGGAGGUGGAUGGCGAUGAAGAGUUGGUCUCGUGGUAGACCACUUUCUUCAUCUUCUUUUUCUUCUCGCCACUUCGAUGUGUUUUGUUGUGUGAAGGGGAUCCCUUCAUCUUGUUGCCGGACUCUCCCGAUGGAGCCUUCCCGUGGCUUGUGGCGGGCUUCUCGCCGGUCACCAUCUCCUUCUUGGCGUGAUCUCCCGACAUCAUUUUGAGUGGUUAGGCUCUAAUGAAGUACCGGGCUUUGAUACCAAUUGAAAGUUGCCUAGAGGGGGGUGAAUAGGCAAAUCUGAAAUUUAUAAAGUUUAAGCACAACUACAAGCCGGGGUUAGCGUUAGAAAUAUAAUCGAGUCCGAAAGAGAGGGCGAAAACAAAUCACAAGCGAAUAAGAGCGGAUGACACAGUGAUUUGUUUUACCAAGGUUCGGUUCUUGCAAACCUACUCCCCGUUGAGGUGGUCACAAAGACCGGGUCUCUUUCAACCCUUUCCCUCUCUCAAACAGUCACCUAGACCGAGUGAGCUUUUCUCUUCAAUCAAACGGGACACUUAGUCCACUACAAGGACCACCACAACUUGGUGUCUCUUGCUUUGAUUACAAUUGAGUUGAGAACAAGAAAUGGGGAAGAAGAAAAGUGAUCCAAGCGCAAGAUCUCAAAAGAACACGACAAAACUCUCUCUUCUAGUCACUAAUUUCUUUGAGUGGAAUUGGGACUUGGAGAGAUUUUGAUUCACUCUAUUUGUGUCUUGUAUUGAAUGCACUAGCUCUUGUAAUGAAUGUGUUGACUGAAAACUUGGAUGCCUUGAAGUGUUGGUGGUUGGGGGUAUUUAUAGCCCCAACCACCAAAGUGGCCGUUGGGGAAGGCUGCUGUCGAAGGGCACACCAGACAGUCCGGUGCGCCACCGGACAUUGUCCGGUGCGCCAGCCACGUCACCCAUCCGUUAGGGUUUGACCGUUGGAGCUUCUGACAUGUGGGACACCGGACAGUCCGGUGGUGCACCGGACAGGUCCUGUUCACUAUCUGGUGCGCCAUUUGGCGCCUGCUCUGACUCUACGCGCGCAGUCGUGCACUAUUCACUGUUGCUUUUGCAGACGACCGUUUGCGCAUUUAGCCGUUACUCCGCUGGCACACCGGACAGUCCGGUGCUACAUCGGACAGUCCGGUGAAUUAUAGCGGAGUGGCUCCCAGAAAACCCGAAGCUAGCAAGUUGGAGUUGAUCCACCCUGGUGCACCGAACACUGUCCGGUGGUGCACUGGACACUGUGCGGUGGCACACCGGACAGUCCGGUACGCCAGAACAGGGCAGCCUUCGGUUGUCUUUUGCUCUUUUUAUUUGAACCCUUUCUUGGACAUUUUAUUGGUUUGUUGUGAACCUUUGGCACCUGUAGAACUUAUAAUCUAGAGCAAACUAGUUAGUCCAUUUAUUUGUGUUGGGCAAUUCAACCACCAAAAUCAUUUGGGAAAAGGUGUAAGCCUAUUUCCCUUUCAGAAAGCGCUCUUUACUUCCAUUUGAAACAACCUGAAAGAGUGGUGAGUGGCAUAGGCUAAUAAAAUUCGAAUAGACUCUAGCCUAGCCACAGGAGCGAAAGUCUCCUCGAAAUCCAAACCUGCGACUUGGGCAUAACCUUUUGCCACAAGUCGAGCCUUAUUUCUUGUCACCACCCCAUGCUCGUCUUGCUUGUUGCGGAACACCCACUUGGUUCCCACAACAUUUUGCUUUGGACGUGGCACCAAGCUCCAAACUUCAUUUCUCUUGAAGUUGUUGAGCUCUUCCUGCAUGGCCAACACCCAAUCCGGAUCCUGCAAGGCCUCUUCUACCCUGAAGGGCUCAAUAGAAGAGACAAACGAGUAAUGCUCACAAAAGUUAGCUAAUCUUGAGCGAGUAGUUAUUCCCUUGCUUAUGUCACCCAGAAUCUAGUCGACGGGGUGAUUUCUUUGGAUCGUCGCUCGGACUUGAGUUGGAGGGACCCGUGGUGCUUCUUCCUCCAUAACUUGUUCUUCUUGUGCUCCCCCUUGAUCACGCGCCUCUUCUUGAGGAACCUGUCCAUCAUCUUGAGUUGGAGGAUGCACCACUGUGGAGGAAGAUGGCUGAUCUUGCUCUUGUUGUUCCUGUGGUCGCACAUCACCUAUCGCCAUCGUGCGCAUUGCGGCCGUCGGAACAUCAUCUUCAUCUAUGUCAUCAAGAUCAACUUGCUCUCUUGGAGAGCCAUUAGUCUCAUCAAAUACAACGUCGCUAGAGACUUCAACCAAACCCGGAGAUUUGUUGAAUACUCUAUACGCCUUUGCAUUUGAGUCAUACCCUAGUAAAAACCCUUCUACUGCCUUGGGAGCAAAUUUAGAAUGUCUACCUUUCUUCACCAGAAUGUAACAUUUGCUCCCAAAUACACGAAAGUAAGAAACGUUGGGUUUGUUAUUGGUAAGGAGUUCAUACGAAGUCUUCUUGAGAAGGCGAUGUAGGUAGAGCCGGUUUAUGGCGUGGCAAGAUGUGGUCACAGCUUCCGACCAAAACCACUCGGGCAUCUUGAAUUCUCCAAGCAUCGUUCUCGCCAUGUCGAUGAGCGUCCUGUUCUUCCUUUCUACCACAUUGUUUUGCUGUGGUGUGUAGGGAGCGGAGAACUCGUGCUUGACGCCUUCUUCCUCAAGAUACUCCUCCACUUGCAGAUUCUUGAACUCGGACCCGUUGUCGCUUCUUAUCUUUUUCACCUUGAGCUUAAAUUCAUUUUGAGCCCUCCUUAGAAAGCGCUUUACGGUCCCUUGGGUUUCUGAUUUAUCCUGCAAAAAGAACACCCAAGUGAAGCAGGAAAAAUCAUCAACAAUUACAAGACCAUACUUACUUCCCCCGAUGCUAAGGUAGGCAACGGGUCCGAAAAGGUCCAUGUGAAGAAGCUCUAGUGGUCUUGAUGUUGUCAUCACAUUCUUGCUGUGAUGAGUGCUACCCACCUGUUUCCCUGCCUGACAAGCUGCACAAGGUCUAUCUUUCUCGAAACAAACAUUGGUUAGUCCUAACACAUGUUCUCCCUUUAGAAGUUUAUGAAGGUUCUUCAUCCCAACAUGUGCUAGACGACGAUGCCAAAGCCCACCCAUACUAGUCUUAGCUAUUAAGCAUGCAUCUAGAUCGACCUCCUCUUUCAAAAAAUCAACUAAGUAGAGUUUGCCAUCUAAUACACCCUUAAAAGCUAAUGAACCAUCACUCCUUCUGAAGACAGAUAUAUCAACGUUUGUAAAAAGACAAUUGUAACCCAUGUGACACAAUUGACUUACAGACAGAAAGUUGUAACCAAGCGACUCUACUAGAAAUACAUUCGAUAUGGAGUGCUCGUUUGUGAUGGCUAUCUUGCCCAAGCCUUUGACCUUGCCUUGGCUCCCAUCUCCAAAGAUGAUCGUAUCCUGGAAUCCUUGUUCUUGACAUAGGAGGUGAACAUCUUCUCCCUUGUCAUGUGGUUUGUGCAUUCGCUGUCGAUAAUCCAGCUUGAGCCCCCGGAUGCAUAAACCUGCAAGGAAUUUAAGCUUGGGUUUUAGGUACCCAACUCUUGUUGGGUCUUACAAGGUUAGUCACAAUAAUUUUUGGAACCCAAAUACAAGUCUUGUCUCCCUUGCAUUUGGAUCCCAACUUCCUAGCAACCACUUUUUCAUUCUUACAUGAAAGUACAAAAGAAGUGUUGCAAGCAUAAAAAACAGUAGUAGGUUCAUUACACAUUUUCUUAGGCACAUGAUGCACAACAUGAUUUUUCCUAGGCCUAUUUUUACCAUGCACAAAAUUAGAGCUAGAGGCAACCAUAGCAUGUGAAUCAUUGUAAGCAGUAUGAACAUAGCUCUUGUUAUAAUUGGAACUACUAGCAAUUUUCCUAUUAUAAAUGAAAGCAUGGUUCCUUUGAGGACUACUUGCCAUAGGAGCCUUCCCUUUCUCCUUGUUGAGAAUGGGAGCCUUUUGGCUUGUUAAGUUCUUGGUUUCCCUUCGAAAACCAAGUCCAUCCUUAAUUGAGGGGUGUCUACCAACAGUGUAGGCAUCCCUAGCAAACUUUAAUUUAUCAAAAUCACUUUUGCAAGUCUUAAGUUGAGCAUUAAGACUUGCCACUUCAUCAUUCAAUUUGGUGAUAGAAAUAAGAUGUUCAUCACAUGCAUCAACAUCAAAAUCCUUACAUCUAUUACAAAUAACAACAUGCUCUACACAUGAACUAGAUUUAUUAACUUCCUCUAGCUUAGUAUUUAAUUCAGCAUUUAAACUCCUUAAACUAGAGACAGAUUCAUGGCAAGCAGACAAAUCAGAGGAUAGGACUUCAUUUCUUUUAAUUUCUAAAGCAAGAGAUUUUUGUACACUAACAAAUUUGUCAUGUUCUUCAUACAAAAUAUCCUCUUGCUUUUCUAGCAGUCUAUCUUUUUCAUUUAGAGCAUCAAUCAAUUCAUUGAUUUUCUCUACUUUUGCUCUAUCUAAACCUUUAAAUAAACUAGAGUAAUCUACUUCAUCAUCGGAAGAUUCCUCAUCACUAGAAGAAGAGUACUUAGGGGAAUCUCGAAUAUGUACCUUUUUCUCCUUAGCCAUGAGGCAGGUGUGGCAUUCAUUAGGGAAGAGCGAAGACUUGUUGAAGGCUGAGGCUACCAGUCCUUCAUCAUCGGAGUCGGAUGAAGAGCAGUCUGAAUCCCAUUCUUUUCCCAGAUGUGCCUCACCCUUCGCCUUCUUGUAAACCUUCUUCUUCUCCCUCUUCUCGAUCUUUUCUUAUUCCUGGUCAUUGUCAUUAUCGGGGCAUUGAGCAAUGAAAUGACCAGUCUUACCGCAUUUGAAGCAGGAGCGCUUUCCCCUUGUUUUGUUCUUGGAGGGGUACUCUUUGCGUCCUUUGAGUGCGGUCUUGAAGCGUUUGAUGAUGAGUGUCAUUUCAUCUUCAUUUAGCCCGGCAGCUUCUAUUUGUGCCACCUUGCUUGGUAGCACCUCCCUGCUGAUAGCACCUAGAGGUGGGUGAAUAGGUGAUCCUGUAAAAUCAAACACUAAUAGCCACAAAAACUUAAUUUAAAGUGUUAGUACGGCUAAGUGGUUGAGAGACGAGUUCUUGUGGACAAAACAAUCACAAGAGACACAUGAUUUUAUCCCGUGGUUCGGCCAAGUAACACUUGCCUACUUCCACGUUGUGGCGUCCUAAUGGACGAGGGUUGCACUCAACCCCUUUCAAGUGAUCCAAUGAUCGACUUGAAUACCACGACUUUCUUCCUUAUAGUCUUCUUCCCAUUUGCGAGGAAUCUCCACAAGUUGGAGCCUCUCGCCCUUACAAUAUUGAUCACAAAGAACACACAAGAGUAAGGUUAGGAAGUGCAACACACACAAGACUCAAAUACGCAGCACAACCACACACACAAGUCACGACUUGAGCUCGAAACACAACACACGGAGUUCACGACUCAAAUGCAGCUCAAAUCGCUAACACAAAGAAUCGAAUGCGUGGAGUUGGAGUCUUGGAGUCUUAGGAUGCUUAGUGAAUGCUUGGGUUACUCCUCCAUGCGCCUAGGGGUCCCUUUUAUAGCCCCAAGGCAGCUAGGAGCCGUUGGAGGCCAAUUUGGAAGGCCAAACUUGCCUUCUGUCGGGUGGUGCACCAGACAGUCCGGUGCGCGAUCUCCUUCCUUUUCUGGCGCAUUCGAUCGUUGGUCCUCAGGGUCGGUUGGCGCACCGGACACUGUCCGGUGCACACCGAACAGUCCGGUGUGCCCAACCGACCAUUGCUGCGGGCCACGCGUCGCCCGCGGAUUGCGCGGUCGACCAUUGGCGCUAGCGACCGUUGGCUCACCGGACAGUCCGAUGAAUUAUAGUCGUACACCGCCGUUGAUUCCUGAGAGCGGCGAGUUCAUGUGGACCGGCCUGGCGCACCGGACACUGUCCAGUGCACCACCAGACACUGUCCGUUGUGCCAAGUCGAGUUGGAGUUUGCUGCACAUAGCCAACUCUUUUUCCAAUUCUUUUCUCACUGUUUCUAGCACUUAGACAAAACACAUUAGUACUCAAAACAAUGUACUAAGUCUAGAAACGUACCUUUUUUCUUUGAUUUGUACUUCUUACUGAAAGGGAAGUGUGCCCUUGGGCCAUUUCUAUGAAUUUUGGUGAUUGAGUGCCAACACAUGUGCUUAAUUGGGAAUUUAUGUACAUGGAUGAACAAGGUGAAAAUCAUGAAGUAAAGGUAUGUUUCUAAGCCUUAGUACAUUGGUUUUAAGUACUAAUAUAUUUGUCUAAGUGUUAGAAACAGAAAGAAGAAGAAUAGAGAAAAGGAGAAGGGACUUGGCUGUGUGCUGCCAAGACCCAGCUCGGUCUGGAGCACCGGACUGUCCGGUGUGCACCGGACAGUGUCCGGUGCGCCAGGCUGGCGCGACUCAAACUGGCCGCUCUCGGGAAAUUGACCGGCGACUUCGGCUAAAAUUCACCGGACUGUCCGGUGUGCACCGGACUGUCCGGUGAGCCAACGGUCGGCCAGGGCCAACGGUCGGCCGCGCAAUCCGCGCGGGACACGUGGCCGAGCCAACGGUCGGAAGACGGCACCGGACUGUCCGGUGUGCACCGGACAUGUCCGGUGCGCCAACAGCGCCAGAUCUGCCAACGGUCUGCAACGGUCGUCUUCACCGUUUAAGGAAACAAAUCGGGCACCGGACAGUGUCCGGUGUGCACCGGACUGUCCGGUGCCCCCGACGACAGAAGGCAAGGAUGGCCUUCCGGAUUUGCUCUCAACGGCUCCUAGCUGCCUUGGGGCUAUAAAAGGAGCCCCUAGGCGCAUGGAGGAGACACACAAGCAACCUUUGAGCAUUCUUGAUCAUCCACACUAAGUCUCUGCGCAUUCGUUUGUGUUUCUAAGAGAUUCGAGCUCUGUUCUAAGUGAGAACUCUGAGAUAGUCUUGUGAGCUCGAUUCUUGGCCGUGUGUGUGCGCUUUUGCUGUGGAUUUGUGUGUGUUGCUUCCCUCCCUUACUCUGUGUUUCAUUUGUGAUCAUAUACUUGUAAGGGCAAGAGACUCCAAUUUGUGGAGAUUCCUUGCAAACGGGAUAGUGAAAGGAAAACAAAACACCGUGGUAUUCAAGUGGGUCUUUGGACCGCUUGAGAGGGGUUGAUUGCAACCCUCGUCCGUUGGGACGCCACAACGUGGAGUAGGCAAGCGUUGGUCUUGGCCGAACCACGGGAUAAAACCACUGUGUCACUCUGUGCUUGAUUGGAUUCUUGUGGUUAUUGUGUUUUGACUCCUCUCUAGCCACUUGGCAUAAGCUGUGCUAACACCUAAUCAAGUUUUGUGGCUAUAAGUUUGAAGUUUUUUACAGGAUCACCUAUUCACCCCCCCCUCUAGGUGCUCUCAAUUGGUAUCAGAGCCGUUCUCUUCAAGAAAGGGACUAACCGCCCGAAGAGAUGGAUCCUAAGGGGAAGGGAAUUGUGAUCAACGACAAGGAGAAGGAGUCCUUCGUCAACGAGCCAAGGGAUGACAAGUCCAAUGACUCGGGCUCGGGCCACAAGCAAAGAGAUGGGAAGAAGAAGAAGACAAGACGCAUCAAGGAGAUCGUCUACUACGACAGCGAUGAGUCUACUUCUUCCCAAAAGGACGAGGACCACAACAACUACGAGAGAAGAAAACCGGUUAAUUCGAACUUUUCUUUUGAUUACUCUCGUAUUCCGCAAAGUUCACAUUCUCAUUUGCUCUCCAUUCCACUCGGCAAGCCCCCACACUUUGAUGGAGAGGACUACGGAUUUUGGAGCCACAAAAUGCGUAGUCACCUAUUCUCUCUCCAUCCUAGUAUAUGGGAGAUUGUAGAGAGUGGAAUGCAUUUUGAUAGUUCGGAUAGUCCCAUGUUCAUUAAUGAACAAAUUCAUAAGAAUGCACAAGCUACUACUGUUCUUCUAGCUUCCUUGUGCAGGAAUGAAUACCAUAAGGUGAGCGGCUUGGAUAACGCCAAGCAAAUCUGGGACACCCUCAAGAUUUCUCAUGAGGGGAACGACGUCACCUUACUCACCAAGAUGGAGUUGGUGGAGGGCGAGCUUGGACGGUUCGCAAUGAUAAGGGGCGAGGAGCCAACGCAAACAUACAAUCGGCUCAAGACCCUUAUCAACAAGAUAAGAAGCUACGGGAGCACGCGAUGGACGGACCACGACGUCGUCCGCCUAAUGCUAAGGUCAUUUACCGUUCUUGAUCCUCACUUGGUGAACAAUAUACGUGAAAAUCCCAGGUACACCAAGAUGUUGCCCGAAGAAGUUCUUGGGAAAUUUGUUAGCGGGCGAAUGAUGAUCAAGGAGGCGAGAUAUGUGGACGACGCCUUGAAUGGUCCGAUCAACGAGCCGCAACCUCUCGCUCUCAAGGCAACACGAAGCAAGGAGGCGCUACCUAGCAAGGUGGCACAAAUUGAGGCGGCCGGACUCAACGAUGAAGAGAUGGCUCUCAUCAUCAAGAGAUUCAAGACGGCGCUAAAUGGUCGCAAGGGGCAGCCAAGCAAGACCAAGACCAAGGGGAAGCGCUCAUGCUUCAAAUGCGGUAAGUUUGGUCAUUUUAUCGCUAACUGUCCCGAUAAUGAAAGUGACCAGGAAAAGGGAAACAAAAGAGAAAAGAAGAAGCAAUACAAGAAGGCAAAGGGCGAGGCGCAUCUAGGAAAGGAGUGGGACUCGGAUUGCUCCUCCUCCGACUCCGACAACGAAGGACUCGCCGCCACUGCCUUCAACAAAUCGGCUCUCUUCCCCAACGAGCGUCUCACAUGUCUUAUGGCAAGGGAGAAGAAGGUGAGUACUCAAGACUCCACUUAUGCUUCUUCUAGUGAUAGUGGGUCUAGUGAUGAUGACAUAGAUUAUUCAUGCUUGUUCAAGGGCUUAGAUAGAUCUAAGAUAGAUAAAAUCAAUGAAUUGAUUGAUGCAUUGAAUGAAAAGGAUAGGCUUUUAGAAAAGCAGGAGGAUUUAUUGUAUGAUGAACAUGAUAAAUUUGUAGAGGCACAAAAAUCAUAUGCUUUAGAAGUAAAAAGAAAUGAAAUGCUUUCUUAUGAACUAUCUACUUGUCAUGAAACCAUUUCUACUUUACAAGGUGUUAACAAUGAUUUAAAUGCUAAGUUAGAAGUAGCAAAUAAAUCUAAUUCUUGUGUAGAACAUGUUAAGAUUUGCACUAGGUGUAAGGAUUUCGAUGUUGAUGCCUGUAGUGAACAUCUAGUUUUAAUUUCCAAAUUAAAUAAGGAAGUGGCUAGUCUUAAUGCCCAACUUAAGACUAGCAAGAAUGAAGUUGAUAAAAUAAAAUUUGCAAGGGAUGCCUAUACGGUUGGUAGACACCCCUCAAUUAAGGAUGGUCUUGGCUUCAAGAGAGAGGCCAAGAACUUAACAAGCCAUAAGGCUCCCAUCUUCGUCAAGGAGAAAGGGAAGGCCCCUAUGGCUAGUAAUGCUAAAAAGAACCAUGCUUUUAUGUAUUAUGAUAGGAGAAAUGCUAGAAAUGCUUAUAAUGAUUUUGAUUCACAUGUUUAUGAUUCUCAUGCCAUGUUUGCCUCUAGUUCUUCUUAUAAGCAUGAUAGGGAUAUGCCUAGGAGAAAUAUUGCUCAUGUGCCUAGAAAGAAUGUUAUUCAUGCUCCUAGGAAAGUAGUGAAUGAACCUUCUAUAAUUUAUUGUGCUUUAAACACUUCCUUUGCUAUUUGUAGAAAGGAUAGGAAAAUAGUUGCUAGGAAGUUAGGGGCAAAAUGCAAGGGAGACAGGACUUGCAUUUGGGUCCCUAAGGAUAUUUGCACUAACCUUGUAGGACCCAACAUGAGUUGGGUACCUAAGACCCAAGCCUAAAUUUACCUUGCAGGUUUAUGCAUCCGGGGGUUCAAGCUGGAUUAUUGAUAGCGGAUGCACAAACCAUAUGACGGGGGAGAAGAAGAUGUUCACCUCCUACGUCAAGAAUAAGGAUUCCCAAGAUUCAAUCAUAUUCGGUGAUGGGAAUCAAGGCAAGGUAAAAGGGCUAGGUAAAAUUGCAAUUUCUAAUGAGCAUUCUAUAUCAAAUGUAUUCUUAGUGGAGAGUCUUGGAUAUAAUUUGCUAUCUGUCAGUCAAUUAUGUCAAAUGGGAUAUAAUUGUUUAUUUACAAAUGUAGAUGUGUCUGUCUUUAGAAGAAGUGAUGGUUCACUAGCUUUUAAGGGUGUAUUAGACGGCAAACUUUAUUUAGUUGAUUUUGCAAAAGAAGAGGCCGGUCUAGAUGCAUGCUUAAUGGCUAAGACUUGCAUGGGCUGGCUGUGGCAUCGCCGCUUAGCACAUGUGGGGAUGAAGAACCUCCACAAGCUUCUAAAGGGAGAACAUGUGAUAGGUCUAACCAAUGUUCAUUUCGAAAAAGAUAGACCUUGUGCAGCUUGUCAAGCAGGGAAACAGGUGGGAGGAGCGCAUCACAGCAAGAAUGUGAUGACCACUUCAAGACCCCUGGAGCUGCUGCAUAUGGAUCUCUUCGGACCCGUCGCCUAUCUAAGCAUAGGGGAAGUAAGUAUGGUCUAGUUAUUGUUGAUGACUUUUCCCGCUUCACUUGGGUGUUCUUUUUGCAGGAUAAGUCUGAAACCUAAGGGACCCUCAAGCGCUUCCUCAGGAGGGCUCAAAAUGAGUUUGAGCUCAAAGUGAAAAAGAUAAGGAGCGACAACGGGUCCGAGUUCAAGAACCUUCAAGUGGAGGAGUUCCUUGAAGAAGAAGGGAUCAAGCACGAGUUCUCCGCUCCCUACACACCACAGCAAAAUGGUGUGGUAGAGAGGAAGAACAGGACGCUCAUCGACAUGGCGAGGACGAUGCUAGGAGAGUUCAAGACCCCCGAGUGCUUUUGGACGGAAGCCGUGAACACGGCUUGCCACGCCAUCAACAGGGUCUACCUUCAUCGCCUCCUCAAGAAGACGUCGUAUGAGCUUCUAACCGGUAACAAACCCAAUGUAUCUUACUUUCGUGUAUUUGGGAGCAAGUGCUACAUUCUAGUGAAGAAAGGUAGAAAUUCUAAGUUUGCUCCCAAAGCUGUAGAAGGGUUUUUGUUAGGUUAUGACUCAAAUACAAAGGCGUAUAGAGUCUUCAACAAAUCAUCGGGUUUGGUUGAAGUCUCUAGCGACGUUGUAUUUGAUGAGACUAAUGGCUCUCCAAGAGAGCAAGUUGUUGAUUGUGAUGAUAUAGAUGAAGAAGAUGUUCCGACGGCCGCUAUACGGACCAUGGCGAUUGGAGAAGUACGGCCACAAGAACAAGAUGAACGAGAUCAACCUUCUUCCUCAACUAUGGUGCAACCCCCAACCAAAGAUGACGAACAGGUACCUCAAGUGGAGGCGCUUGAUCAAGGGGGAGCACAAGAUGAUCAAGUGAUAGAGGAAGAAGCGCAACCGGCACCUCCAACUCAAGUUCGAGCGAUGAUUCAAAGGGAUCAUCCCGUCGACCAAAUUCUGGGUGACAUUAGCAAGGGAGUAACUACUCGAUCUCGAUUAGUUAAUUUUUGUGAGCAUUACUCCUUUGUCUCUUCUAUUGAGCCUUUCAGGGUAGAAGAGGCCUUGCUAGAUCCGGACUGGGUGUUGGCCAUGCAAGAGGAGUUAAACAACUUCAAGCGCAAUGAAGUUUGGACACUGGUGCCUCGUCCGAAGCAAAAUGUUGUGGGAACCAAGUGGGUGUUCCGCAACAAACAGGACGAGCACGGGGUGGUGACGAGAAACAAGGCUCGACUUGUGGCAAAAGGUUAUGCCCAAGUCGCAGGUUUGGAUUUUGAGGAGACUUUUGCUCCUGUGGCUAGGCUAGAGUCAAUUCGGAUCUUGCUAGCAUAUGCCGCUCACCAUUCUUUCAGGUUGUUCCAAAUGGAUGUGAAGAGCGCUUUCCUCAACGGGCCAAUCAAGGAGGAGGUGUACGUGGAGCAACCCCCUGGCUUCGAGGAUGAACGGUACCCCGACCAUGUGUGUAAGCUCUCUAAGGCGCUCUAUGGACUUAAGCAAGCCCCAAGAGCAUGGUAUGAAUGCCUUAGAGAUUUCUUAAUUGCUAAUGCUUUCAAGGUUGGGAAAGCCGAUCCAACUCUUUUUACUAAGACUUGUAAUGGUGAUUUGUUUGUGUGCCAAAUUUAUGUCGAUGACAUAAUAUUUGGUUCUACUAACCAAAAGUCUUGUGAAGAGUUUAGCAGGGUGAUGACGCAGAAAUUCGAGAUGUCGAUGAUGGGCGAGUUGAACUACUUCCUUGGGUUCCAAGUGAAGCAACUCAUGGACGGCACCUUCAUCUCCCAAACGAAGUACACGCAAGAUCUGCUAAAGCGGUUUGGGAUGAAGGACGCCAAGCCCGCAAAGACUCCGAUGGGGACCGACGGACACACCGACCUCAACAAAGGAGGUAAGUCCGUUGAUCAAAAAGCUUACCGGUCAAUGAUAGGUUCUUUGCUUUACUUAUGUGCUAGUAGACCGGAUAUUAUGCUUAGCGUAUGCAUGUGUGCUAGAUUUCAAUCCGAUCCUAAGGAGUGUCACUUAGUGGCGGUGAAGCGAAUUCUUAGAUAUUUGGUUGCUACGCCUUGCUUCGGGCUCUGGUAUCCAAAGGGGUCUACCUUUGACUUAGUUGGAUACUCAGACUCCGACUAUGCUGGAUGUAAGGUCGAUAGGAAGAGUACAUCGGGGACAUGCCAAUUCUUAGGAAGGUCCCUGGUGUCAUGGAACUCUAAGAAACAAACUUCCGUUGCCCUAUCCACCGCUGAGGCCGAGUAUGUUGCCGCAGGACAGUGUUGCGCGCAACUACUUUGGAUGAGGCAAACCCUCAGGGACUUUGGCUACAAUCUGAGCAAAGUCCCACUCCUAUGUGACAAUGAGAGUGCUAUCCGCAUGGCGGAGAAUCCUGUUGAACACAGCCGCACAAAGCACAUAGACAUCCGGCAUCACUUUUUGAGAGACCACCAGCAAAAGGGAGAUAUCGAAGUGUUUCAUGUUAGCACCGAGAACCAGCUAGCCGAUAUCUUUACCAAGCCUCUAGAUGAGAAGACCUUUUGCAGGCUGCGUAGUGAGCUAAAUGUCUUAGAUUCGCGGAACUUGGAUUGAAUUGUAGCAUACAUGUGUUUAUGCAUUUGAUCAGGUUCAUUCUGCAUUUUGUUGCUUAUUGUGGUGCUCAAGUUGUACAAACCCUCCCUGGACCUCACAAGUCCGUUGCAAAGUGAUGCACAUGUUUAGGGGGAGAUGUGUUACAACUUGACCCUUUGAGACUAACCAUGUGCUUGAGUUUGAUAAUUUAGUCUCGAAGGAGGAUUGAAAGGAAAAAGGUGGACUUGGACCAUGAAAGACUUCCACUGCACUCCGAUGAGAGGGUAACUAAUUCCAAGUUCAUCUCAUGAAAUCUUAUUACCAUUUGGUGAGGCAAUGGGGUUAGAAGGCCAAGAUUGAUCCCGUUUUGGUGCUUGAUGCCAAAGGGGGAGAGAAUAAAGGCCAAAGUGAUAAAUGGAUCAGCUACCACUUGAGAGAUUUUGAAAAUAGUAGAAUAGAGUUUUUGUUUUGUCAAAAGCUUUUAUUGUCUCUUAUUGUCUCUAUUUUCAAAAGUUGGCUUCUUGUGGGGAGAAGUGUUGAUUAUGGGAAAAAGGGGGAGUUUUUGAAAUCCGUGGUCAAAUUCUUUUGAAAUGACUCUCUUUAUGCCUCAAUAUGUGUGUUUGACUUAUAGAUAGAGAUUUGAGUUUGAUUUGCAAAAACAAACCAAGUGGUGGCAAAGGAUGAUCCAUAUAUGCCAAAAUUGAAUCAAAAACCAAUUUGAGUUUUUAUUUGAAGUGAUUUUGCACUUGUUCCACUUGCUUUAUGUUGUGUUGGCAUAAAUCACCAAAAAGGGGGAGAUUGAAAGGGAAGUGUGCCCUUGGGCCAUUUCUAUGAAUUUUGGUGAUUGAGUGCCAACACAUGUGCUUAAUUGGGAAUUUAUGUACAUGGAUGAACAAGGUGAAAAUCAUGAAGUAAAGGUAUGUUUCUAAGCCUUAGUACAUUGGUUUUAAGUACUAAUAUAUUUGUCUAAGUGUUAGAAACAGAAAGAAGAAGAAUAGAGAAAAGGAGAAGGGACUUGGCUGUGUGCUGCCAAGACCCAGCUCGGUCUGGAGCACCGGACUGUCCGGUGUGCACCGGACAGUGUCCGGUGCGCCAGGCUGGCGCGACUCAAACUGGCCGCUCUCGGGAAAUUGACCGGCGACUUCGGCUAAAAUUCACCGGACUGUCCGGUGUGCACCGGACUGUCCGGUGAGCCAACGGUCGGCCAGGGCCAACGGUCGGCCGCGCAAUCCGCGCGGGACACGUGGCCGAGCCAACGGUCGGAAGACGGCACCGGACUGUCCGGUGUGCACCGGACAUGUCCGGUGCGCCAACAGCGCCAGAUCUGCCAACGGUCUGCAACGGUCGUCUUCACCGUUUAAGGAAACAAAUCGGGCACCGGACAGUGUCCGGUGUGCACCGGACUGUCCGGUGCCCCCGACGACAGAAGGCAAGGAUGGCCUUCCGGAUUUGCUCUCAACGGCUCCUAGCUGCCUUGGGGCUAUAAAAGGAGCCCCUAGGCGCAUGGAGGAGACACACAAGCAACCUUUGAGCAUUCUUGAUCAUCCACACUAAGUCUCUGCGCAUUCGUUUGUGUUUCUAAGAGAUUCGAGCUCUGUUCUAAGUGAGAACUCUGAGAUAGUCUUGUGAGCUCGAUUCUUGGCCGUGUGUGUGCGCUUUUGCUGUGGAUUUGUGUGUGUUGCUUCCCUCCCUUACUCUGUGUUUCAUUUGUGAUCAUAUACUUGUAAGGGCAAGAGACUCCAAUUUGUGGAGAUUCCUUGCAAACGGGAUAGUGAAAGGAAAACAAAACACCGUGGUAUUCAAGUGGGUCUUUGGACCGCUUGAGAGGGGUUGAUUGCAACCCUCGUCCGUUGGGACGCCACAACGUGGAGUAGGCAAGCGUUGGUCUUGGCCGAACCACGGGAUAAAACCACUGUGUCACUCUGUGCUUGAUUGGAUUCUUGUGGUUAUUGUGUUUUGACUCCUCUCUAGCCACUUGGCAUAAGCUGUGCUAACACCUAAUCAAGUUUUGUGGCUAUAAGUUUGAAGUUUUUUACAGGAUCACCUAUUCACCCCCCCCCUCUAGGUGCUCUCACUUACUUUACUUGGCACAUAAGAACUUAAAGAAUAUGUGUUGGGCACUUAAUCACCAAAACAUUAUAGAAAUGGCCCAAAGGCACAUUUCCCUUUCAAUCUCCCCCUUUUUGGUGAUUUAUGCCAACACAACCAAAAGCAACCAAAAGAAGUGCAACAUCAAUGCAAUUGAAGACCAAAUUGUUUUUGACUAUAAUUUAGCAUAUUUGGAUCGCUCUUUGCCACCACUUGGUUUGUUUUUCUGAAUCAAAUUCAUUUUCCUAUCUCUAAGUCAAACACACUUGUUUGGGCACAUAAAGAGUUAUUCCAAGAGUAAAAUUGAUCAAGUGCCAAAAACUCCCCCUUUUCCCAUAAUCAAAAUUCUCCCCACAAGAGACCAAAUUUUGCAAUAAGAGUACUUUGGAUAAAUCAAAAAUUCUAACUCUAUUAUUUUUGAAAUUCACAAGUGGUAGCUGAUCCAUUUGCUUUGGCCUUAAUUUCUCCCCCUUUGGCAUUAAGCACCAAAACGGGAUCAUCAUUGUGACAUAACCUCCCAAGUCAUUAGGCCCACCUACAGUUGUCCUUGUCCAACGGACCUCAGACAACCCUGCAAGUGCACCUGAUCACUUGAGAAGUUCGGUAUCUGAAUUCCUUACCUUCCCAAGAGUGUUUCACCCGUCACGCAGACAUUACAAUUCAUCGGAGAUACGGAAGCAGUUACAAUAACUUACUUUUAUUGAAAAGUAAGACAGAGUUAUAUAGUUACAGACCAGAACAUAAUAUAUGAGUGCUGAGUAAUAUUAUUACAAACCAUGGGAGGCAAAAACCCCUCCCGAAUAAGUAGUAAAAAGUUUUUAAUGGAGGACCUUUCCUCCCGUAGCUUUAGUCUUGGUUCUCUUCUUUUGGUACCACCUUUGAACAGAAGCAACAAAAGUUUGCUGCUUCCUCACCUAAAACAACAUGGGACAAAGCCCUGAGUACGAAGUGUACUUUCGCAAGACUUACCUGACAAAGUAAAAGACUCUCAAGGAUAUGUUGGCUUUAAGGGAGUCAAGAUAAGGCUUAUCAAUAAUCAAUGACUCUGUUUGUAGAAAUGCUUACUAAUAGUGGAUCCUUAAAAAUCCAGUUUUAUUUGUGAAGUUAAGUAAAAUUACAUGCAACUAGAGUUCUUGCUACCCUAGUUCAAUCACUUGACCUGCACUAGCCAAUUUCUUAACAACCCUUCAUCUUUACUGGAUUUCUACGUGUUGGGGACUUGUUCUCAAAUGCUAUGAGUUAAGAACAAGGCAACACAAAAAAUGUUAAACGUUAAAGUCCUUCAUCUUUUGAAGCAUUAUUUCCCUUGGGGAUAUAAUGACUUUCGGACGAAGGUAAUGAAGGACAUACCUUCAUAAACACAACAUAUAACGAUGAGGAAGAAAACAUAUGAAAUAUAAAGGAUAAUAUAAACAAUUAUAUAUCAUUCUCAACUCAUUUUUAUCUUAUUAUUAUGGAAGAAUAUAAAUGAUAUCAAAUUACAAAUGUACCUUCGGCUUGAAAGAAGGUAAAAGUACAAGCGUGACGCAAAAGCAAAUGCCAAGUCAGCGUGAACAGUACGGGGGCACUAUUCACCUAUUUAUAGGCACGGGGCACAGCCCAUGUAAAAUUACACCCAUGUCCUUUACAUUUGGUAGUAAUUCUAUAGUAAUCCACCAAGGUCUGAAUAGCCUUUUCAUCUUUAAGUCGGUUCCCUUUUCUGCUAUCACGCCGAAGCUUUCCUGCUCGCAUCUUCGACACUGUAUCAACCUUCGUGUUGUUUGAGCUUCUCCUACUGUGAUGUCAAUUGGAGUCCGAAGAUACCUGUUCACACAUUAUACUCCAGAAACACUGUUAAAUCAUGCUUUUGAGGACCUUCGGAAGCCGAAGGCCCCCAACAGUAGCCCCUCGCAAUAUUAAUUUGUUAUAAUAAUAAAUUUAGAUUGCGACAUGGACGAAGGCCUUAAGCCGAAGGUCCGAAAAAACACCUUCCCUUUGCUAGAAUAGCAACAUUCACUGACAAAUGGGGUCUUCCAAUUUUCAAUGCACUGGGCGUAUAAAUAAGAGCAUACCGCGAGCUCAUUUGGUACGCUCUCUUGCCAUCUGCUCUUGCUUACUCAAUUUUUAGCUCUUGCGCACCAAGACUUGCUUAGCUUUUUAAGUUUUUAAGCUUCGGCUUUAAAAACAGUUUUUUAGCGUUUUCGAAGAUGUCUGAAGAUAAGAAGGCUGCUGCCGAGAUGAAGCUGAGUCUCUCUGAAGAGAAAAACCUGGGGUUUCUUAUAGCAAUGUCGAAGACCAAUACAGAAAAAAUCACCAAAGAGAUUUUAGAAGGUUUAUCUGAAGAUACUGGUGACAGCGACAGUUAUAAUGUGGAGAGCGGUGGUGAAGACUCCGAAGAUCGACCCUGGCGACCAAGCCAUGCGGUUUUUGGCAAAUCAAAUAUCAAAGAAAACCAUCUUGUCAACAUGAGGGGAAGAUAUUUCCGGGACUUAUCCAUUGUGAGGGCCGACGAAGGAGAGAAGACUUGCCCGUCCCCUGAGGAAAAUGAAGUCGUAGAGGUGCUGAAAAUAUUUGAAGUCUAUCUUCACCAACUUACCCCCGAAGCAAUCAUAAGGAUGAAUAUCUUCGUGUGGGCCGCGAGAAGCCAAGGUCUGGAACCUGACGCAAAAAGUUUCUGCAACAUACAUGAAUUAUUAUACGAGACGAAACCCUGGGGUAAGGAGCAGUAUCACAAUAAUUUCGGCUGCUACAGUUUCGGCUCUCGGUCUGGGUCAAGCUGUCCCGUGCCAACCUUUCGGAAGAGAUGGCCCGGCGACUGGAUGACAGAAUGGUUUUAUGUGAAGAAUGACCUGAAAACACAGGAAGAUAUUAAGGGUAUAAUUAUGCGCCCUAUUUGGCAAAGCUUCGGCCUACGGAGGCCGAAGGUUGAAAUGAAUGAAGCUGCCGAAGAAUGCCAGAGAGCCUUCGGAGUUAUUUGCUCUUUUAUUGGAACGAGAGAUUUGUCCAAGAGCAUAUUGCCUUCAGAGUAUGGCCGCUCGCGGAAAAAUGGGAAAUGCCACAAGAGACUAUAAAGGAGGCUGACGAAGGUGGACUUAUCAGGCUAAAGUAUACUUUCAAAUUCGGAGACAAAUUCGUAGAGCCAGAUGAUGACUGGCUAAAAAGCAUUGAAAAUGUAAGUGAUGAACUACUUGGGGUUUAUUCAAAGGCCGAAGAUACUGCAUUGUCAGCAGCCUUCGGAGGCCGGAAAAAGAAAAGACUGAACCGAGUGUUUGACGCAAUUGGGUUCGUGUACCCCGACUACCACUAUCCAGCGUGGGGCCAAAAAAGAAAAAACGUGACUUCUGCACAGGAAACUGCUUCAGCCGCUCCCAGCGAGCCAGCGCCAAAGAGACAAAGGGUAAAAGUUCUCACACACCGGCCACGCUACAUUGAACCAGCUACAGUGCCUGAGUUCGCCGGUGAAACCUCUUCGGCUACCGAAAUUAAAGAACCAACUUCAGUGCCGAAGAUCGAAGAAAAAGCUUCAGCAGAGAAGGCAGAAAAACCGAGUACUGAAGGACCGAAAAUAUUGGAAAUUUUAAGUCCUUCAGCAAGUGUUGAGACAAUAAAAAGCCAAAAGGGCCCAGCGGUGACCCCAAAAAGAAAAAGAAUGGUCACUGUGCUAGAUGUUCUGGAGACAAUUGAGUCCUCAAGCACGACGCCGAAGAAGGCUGUUGAAACUUCCGAAGCAGAAACUGAAAUCUUUGAUGCUGAAGCUCCAAAGCAACAAACUGAGACUGAAGCUGGGCCUUCAGAACCCACGAAGGUAAAAUCCUUGGAAACCGAGGAAGAAAAAAUGACAGAGCCAAUUCUUGUUGAAGAAAUCAGUGUUGUUGCCCCCGAAGCAUCCCCCAAAGUCCUUGAUUAUAUUGUUCGACAUGCUUCGGGGAAAAAGUUGUCUGAAAAAGAAAAGCAAGAGGCCCAGUUUUACGCCCAAAAACUGAAAUAUCCAAAGGGGGCGUUGAUAUUCAACGGCAGUGGAGAAGAAGACUUCUUGUAUUGUCUCCCUGACAGCAAGGAGAUUUCUGUCUGUCGGGAGAUGAGCAAGAGCUUCGGAUUCCCAACACUAGAAGACGGGCUCUCGGUGUUGUCGAAAAACGAGCUGGCCGACAGCUUGGCAUACAAUAGCUUAAAGGUGCAAAAAAUGAGGUCUUCGUAUUUUUUUUUGAAUUUUUUUUUGAAACCAAAAUUUUUCGUUUGCUUAAAUUUAUUGACGCACACACAUUUUUCUUUGCAGGGCCUUAUACUUAGCAAUGCCCUCAGGGCCCAAAAAGAUGCCGAAGAUGAAGGAUGUGUGAUGGCCCUGAGCAACCUUCGUUCCGAAGUAAUUGAACUAAGGAACGAAGGUCUCGAAAAAGAUAAAAUAUUGCAUUCAUUGAUAAAUAGAAUAAAAGAAGACGAAGCUACUUUUAAAGGUCAAGCUGAGGCUCAGAAGCGUGAAAUUGAAGAUCUUCGAAAACAACUGGCCAGAGCUAAAGAGGAACGCAUACUUGAAGAAACAAAGCGAGAACUUAGCGACCAAUGGGCAAAUCAUUUAGAAGGAACUGUUGAAGAGCUUCGUUCGUCUAAGAAAAGAUGCUAUGACAAAUCUAUGGAGUGUGUUAAGAAAAUAAAAGCUAGCUUCGCCAGCGUUGGCGCAUUUUCGAGCGAAGAAAACUUUACAAGAGGCAACCCCGAAGGUCCCAUCGAAUGGAUUAAUCACGAAGCUGAGGCCUUUGAGGAAAUUUUAAAUAGCCGCGGAGACAUAUGUGCUUUUUCGGGUGCUAGGGGAAUUGCCACCAUUUUGGGGAAAAAGGGCUGCGAGCAUGUAAAGAUUUUAGCGCAAUCCGAAGCUACCUUGUCCUUCGAAGACGCAAAAGAUCCUUCAGCCGAAGCUAGCAUGGUUGGUGGAAAAUUUUUCACCGAUGUCUGGGACAACGGUGGCCGGGAAAUGGCCCGAGAAAUUAUCCAAAAAAGCGAAAAGGGCAUCCAUGAUGCUAGAAAAGUAGCAGAGGCUGCUGAGAAAAGCGCAGAACCCGAAGGGCAAAUAGGUAUUAACUAAUGGUUUUUAUUGCGUUGUAAUUUUUGAUUUUAAACUUCGUUCGCAAUUUGUAACAGCAAUGUAGCCAUAUCCUGUCCUCCUUCAGAUCCUACUAAAGCGUCUCUAGGCCCUCACCCGAAAGAUGACGAUGAAAUUAAAAAGAUGGCUGAAGCUAUCAUGGAUCAAGUUGUCAAUCAACUCCUGAACGAAGCUGCGGAAGUAGUACUUAGGGAAGACUAGGUACUAUUGUAAAAACGUCUGAAAUGUAAUAUGUGUAAUACCUUGUAACCCUGAAUGUAAUAUACUUGUUUUUUAUGGUUCAAUUCUUUACGAUGCAUGAAAUUUUACAUACGUACCGUUUUGAGUCUUUGACGAAAAAAACACCUUCUCUUCUUUUCAUGCUUCGUGAAGAAGAAUUUUCAUUUAUCACAACAAUAUCCAUAGAGUUCUGAUGAAGAAUAUCCAAGCUUCGUGAAGAUAUUUUCCGAAGCUACACUUCCGAAGAUCAAUAGUGUAUCUCCUUGUGACUUAGCAUGAAUUUCCCCUUUUUCAAAACAUUCUUCCGAAGAUCGAUAUUGUGUCCCCUUCUUGUGCCAUAUGUAGCAUGAUGUAUGAUGCUUAUGCUAUGCGAAAUGAUGUGAUGAUGUUAUGCUAUGUAAAAUGGUAGCUAUUCCGAAGAUACACACACAUCCCUGCAAUAAAACACAUAAUCUUUUUAAAUCAGCGUUGACUUUUCGCUGUAAGCCUCCCUUAGGAGCUUCUUCGCCUUUUACUUCAGCGGAAUCAGCGUUUAUUUUUCGCUGUAAGCCUCCCUUAGGAGCUUCUUCGCCUUUUACUUUCGGCGGUAUUCGCGUUGACUUUUCGCGCUUCGCCUUUUACUUAGGCGGUAUCAGCGUUUAUUUUUCGCUGUAAGCUCUGCAUUCCCUUUGGAACGACUUUGGAGCAGAAAACUUACACUGCGCUCCCUUUGGAACGGCUUUUUGUAACUUCAGCAAACUUACUCUGUGUUCCUUAGAACGACUUUUUGUUGCUUCGAAGAAUUCAUAGCGUGCCUUUUAAAAUAAGCUUUUGAUAAUUCAAAGGUCCUCCUUGCUAUCACAAAUCUUUAAGCUUCAACAACUUGAGCUUGUGAGGAAGAUAUAUUUUCCUUGUGGCAAACAAUGAAACUAUUACAUGAUAUUUAAAAAGUGUCCUUUAUUAUACAGAAAAUAAAACUGACUGGCAAAGACUGCUAUCAAGGUAGGAUAUUUGUCAAUAAAUGUGCUUCGACUCUGGCACAGUGCUAUUGACUGUGCGAGCUUCGGACUGUUCUCUGAAGUCCCUUUGUUGUUGAGCAUAUUGGCCCCCUUCUGGCUGCUGGCCUUGUUGCAUCGGUGGUGGAGGCGGAGGCUGUUGCCAGGAAGCUUGAGGUUGACUCGUCGAAGCAACAGAGACUGCAGGAUGGUUGCUUACAUAUUCUGGGAUAUAAGGCGAAUGAUACGAAGCAGUGUGCAUGACCUGCUUCGGCUGACCCUGUUGUGCUGCAGCUUCGGCUAUCUCCUUUUGCUUCUGAUGGUAACAUGGCACAUCCUGGUGGUAUGGCCCUUGUUUUCACCACAGAAUAAGCAAAAUAUUCUCCUUGGUUGAUCUCCAAAUCUUCCGCCGAAGCCCCUGGCACCUCUGCCUUUUGGAGCUGGCGGCCGGAAGGAGCUUUGCUGUUGCCCCGAAGCCUGUGAGGAGCACUAUGGCCUUUGUUGCUGACUCCCCUUAUCAUCAUUUUGAGUAGAGUUGUGAAUUGACCUGACGUGCCUUGGAUAAAAUCUUCCUCCGAAGCCCCUGGUCAUUUCGGAAAACCUGAAAGCCUCCUCCCUUCUUUGACGAAAAUCAUUGUCGGCACGAAUGUACUCGUCCAUCUUCUGGAGCAGCUUCUCCAAAGUUUGAGGAGGCUUCCUAGCAAAGUAUUGAGCUGAAGGUCCUGGCCGAAGUCCCUUGAUCAUGGCCUCAAUGACAAUUUCGUUGGGCAUUGUUGGUGCCUGUGCCCUCAAACGCAAGAACCUCCGGACAUACGCCUGAAGGUAUUCUUCGUGAUCCUGGGUGCACUGGAAUAGAGCUUGAGCAGUGACCGGCUUCGUCUGAAACCCUUGGAAGCUGGUUAACAACAUAUCCUUCAGCUUUUGCCAUGAAGUGAUCGUUCCUGGUCGAAGGGAGGAAUACCAGGUUUGAGCAACACUCCUGACAGCCAUAACAAAAGAUUUUGCCAUGACUGCAGUAUUGCCACCAUACGAAGAUACUGUUGCUUCGUAGCUCAUCAAAAACUGCUUCGGGUCUGAAUGGCCGUCGAAUAUGGGAAGCUGAGGCGGCAUGUAGGACGGAGGCCAAGGUGUAGCCUGCAGCUCAGCGGACAGAGGAGAAGCAUCAUCAAAAGCAAAAUUUCCAUGAUGGAAAUUGUCAUACCAGUCAUCUUCGUUGAGGAAACCCUCCUGAUGAAGGUCUUUGUGCUGAGGCCUUCGGUUCUGCUCAUCCUGAGUAAGAUGACGAACUUCUUCAGAGGCUUCGUCUAUCUGCCUUUGCAGUUCAGCUAGCCUGGCCAUCUUUUCCUUCUUCCUCUGUACCUGUUGAUGAAGCAUCUCCAUGUCCCUGAUUUCUUGGUCUAGCUCAUCCUCUGGCGGUGUCGGGCCGACAGCCUUCCUUUUCUGGCUUCGGGCCUCCCGAAGGGAGAGAGUCUCCUGAUUGGGGUCCAGCGGUUGCAGAGCUGCAGCCCCAGUUGCUGAAGCUUUCUUCGGCGCCAUAGCGAAGGUUUAUGAUCGCCGAAGGUGUUCAAAACUCAAAGAGUGGAAGUGAGUUCACCGGAGGUGGGCGCCAAUGUUGGGGACUUGUUCUCAAAUGCUAUGAGUUAAGAACAAGGCAACACAAAAAAUGUUAAACGUUAAAGUCCUUCAUCCUUCGAAGCAUUAUUUCCCUUGGGGAUAUAAUGACUUUCGGACGAAGGUAAUGAAGGACAUACCUUCAUAAACACAACAUAUAACAAUGAGGAAGAAAACAUAUGAAAUAUAAAGGAUAAUAUAAACAAUUAUAUAUCAUUCUCAACUCAUUUUUAUCUUAUUAUUAUGGAAGAAUAUAAAUGAUAUCAAAUUACAAAUGUACCUUCGGCUUGAAAGAAGGUAAAAGUACAAGCGUGACGCAAAAGCAAAUGCCAAGUCAGCGUGAACAGUACGGGGGCACUGUUCACCUAUUUAUAGGCACGGGGCACAGCCCAUGUAAAAUUACACCCAUGCCCUUUACAUUUGGUAGUAAUUCUAUAGUAAUCCACCGAGGUCUGAAUAGCCUUUUCAUCUUUAAGUCGGUUCCCUUUUCUGCUAUCACGCCGAAGCUUUCCUGCUCGCAUCUUCGGCGCUGUAUCAACCUUCGUGUUGUUUGAGCUUCUCCUACUGUGAUGUCAAUUCGAGUCCGAAGAUACCUAUUCACACAUUAUACUCCAGAAACACUGUUAAAUCAUGCUUUUGAGGACCUUCGGAAGCCGAAGGCCCCCAACACUACGUAUAGGUUAGUGACCAAGUCUUCAUGUCCGCGAAGUUACGGCGAUCCAAAUUGAUUAUACUCAGCUGAGGAUCUCCAAUCACACGACAUAUGUAGCACUUAACCCUUGCAUAUGUCAACUCGCCACCGGGGUUCUUAAGACCAGAUCAGGUUCACGCCAACCGAGAGCACAGAUACACCACCGUCCAGCCUCUUGCCACAGAGGGUACACGCUACUCUCGCCAUCUCUCCACUCCCAUUGCGUGUUAUCUUAUUCUGGUAUUAGUCUGCCCGAGGCAAAGCUUACCCAUGACGAGGCAUGUGACCAGUUAAAGGGUCCUCGGUCAUCAAGCCUACAUCGACAUGGUCCUUAAUCGACUCAGACGGAGACACUACACCGAGACUCUCUUCUCGUGCAAGUCACCUGCCCGGUCUCAGCUUAAUCAUUUCAAACCCAAAGUUUGGUACCUGGUAGAGGUACAUCUUUUCCGAUGUUGAACCCAUCAUGGCCAUGAUGGAUCCACUAUCAAGUUUUAUUUUUGAAAACAUCCCACCCACUUUGCAACAUCACCUUUUGUGAAAACAAAACAUUUUGUUUUGCUAGAGCAGGGCUAACCAUAAGAAAAACCUUUUGUAAAAUAGGGAUUUAAGGAGAAGUACUCAAAUCCAAGGAAGGAAAUGCAGGAAUGGGUUUAGCACACAACUCCUAUCACCUAAUGCAUCAAGCAAGUGAGAAAGAUUUUAAAAGGAACAAGGAGGUGGCAAAUGCACCGGGGCUUGCCUUGUGUUACUGUUGAAUUAUGCUCUAUUCCGCAGAUAUCAAAAUAGAAACAGUUGCCUGCCUGAUGUUCCUCAGGUGGUGGUGGUGAUGAAGUCCUUGUCUCUUCAACCUCUACUUCCUCCUCGUUUUCUAAAUAUAGCCAAGUAUAAUAAUGAAUGCUCAUGUAAUGCUCAUGAAGAUGCAAAGAUAAUAAAAGUUUAUUAUCUAAGGUCUUGAAUACAACUUUCCUUCACGGAUCUCCGAGAACUUAGGGUUUUCGGAGUCAAUAGUGAAGUUUAAAGGGCAGGGGCUAGGGUUUUUGGUUCUAAGUAUCAAACUUUGUCCAAAUCAUACCAAACUCUACCCAAGGCUUCUAAAUAUUAUUUAUAGAUUAUUGUAAAAGUUUAGUGAAUUUUGGAUUUAUUAUUUAUUCCCUAAAAAUCCAGAAGCAUGGUUUUUGGCUAUUUUAAAUGCUCUAUAAUUUUCUAUUUGGACUAAAAAUCAUGAAACUAUUUUUAGUAAAUACUAUAGAAAAUUAGAAACUUAGCAAAAUUGAUUUGGUAUUUUUAUCAUUUUUCUACAAUUUUCUAGAAUUUCUUUAGCUCUGGCAGAAAAGGAAAAAGAAAAGGCAUGAACAGUAUUGGACCGAAACCGGCCCAAGUCAGCCCACUACAGGAGGAAAGCGCCCGCGCCCGCGCUGGCAGAUUUGCACAGAGACCCCUGCUACUUGAAUAAUCUGUUAAGAACCCUUAACCACUAUUCAUCCUCUCUCUGACAAUUACACAGAGGUCCCCCGACUUCUGUUUCUUCUCCAAAUAGACCCAUGGCCACGACACGCUCGCCGUCGAGCACCACGCGACACGUACUGGCCAUGACCGGCGGUGGCUGUCUAAAAUAGCUACGGGGCAAACAUUCCCGACCUAAGGCGAACCAAGAACAGUCUUCAAUUUUGGCUGGCACACUUAGAGAGUGUUCUACCCACGCACACGGUGAAACUCGUGAUGUCGAGCCCGCGUUCCCAUUCAAUCACGCCCGAAUUGGUCAAAAUUUCUGCUACGAUGAGCUUCACGGGUAUACAGAGCUGCUAAAACAACACUCGAGAAGUGCAGAGCCAUACCAGAGUGGUCCGGCCACGGAAGAGCUAUCCACGGUGACGCGGAGAUCCAAUUUGGGGGAAAACCCGAAUUGAAGCGCUAUGGUGGAUGAUUGGAGACGAGAGUGGGUGCUCUGGCUUGGGGAUAAUCUAACGGAGGUCACUGAGGCAUCAAUUUAUAGAGAUCGACCGUGAAUACGAUGAAUUUGAGCGGCGGAUGGCUAUCGGUAAGAAACGAGAGGAGUCACCGGAGGCCGCUCAACGUGGCAUUUAUUGGGUUAAGUCUCUGGUGACAAUGAGGCUAGCUUUAGUGAUCUACAGCGGGGUGGUAGCAAGGCUAGUAGCGUGGCGGACACCGAUGAACGGCGAUCAUCGUGGCGAUGGUCGUGCGGCCACGUCGCGGCGCAAGUGGGUACGGUGACAGGCCGGCCACAGUACCCUGACUAUAUCCACGGCGAGAUCUUUGCUCUGGGAAUUAUUAUCUGCACAUUACAGGGCGCGAAUCACAAUGCCGACGUGAAUCCGAGCACGGGAUCACCGGCAGCGAGGUCUCUGAGCUGGCGGCCCAAUCCAGUCACUGUACCAUCGCGAAGUGCAUUCAGGCGGUCUGACAGAGCAGAUUCAAGGCAGCUUUUCUCCAAUUUUUAUGUGACAACCUCAUAAUUCAUCUGCAUCAAAGUUAUAGAUCUAUAAUCCAUGUUCACUUUUGCUAUAGCAUCCCUAGUCAAAUUCCCACUAGAUCAUAGUCGAACUAUAGUCCAAAGAUUGCCCAAUCUCACUGCUAUUCUGAAUUCAGACCAAGGGCAGUCUGACAACCCAACUUUGGGCACAUUUAUCUCAAAAUACUUUGUGGUACCAGGGCAUGAUCUCUAUAGUAAAGUUAUUAUCCUUUCAUAGAUCUACAAAAUUGAUGUGGUGACCUAGGGAAAAAACUUUAUAACUUGGCAGAUAUAGGGCUCCAAAGUUGAGCCAAAUGAACUAAAACCAUACUUAACUCCAUAGGGUUCAAAUAGGGCCUUUUUGCAAAUAGGCCCAAAACUUAGGGUUUAAGUUGCAAAUCCACACACAUGUGAACCAUAUGAGUUAAGAUACCCUAAUCUCAUGGUUUUUGCACUUUAGUCCAAAAGUGCACUAAUUUUGCACUUAGCCCCCUAGGGUUUAAGUCUAGGGCUUUCUAGGGUUCUUUUUAGGGAUUUUAAUACUUCUAGGGUUUGGAUGUCCCUUAAAUUCAUUAAUGGUGGUAUUUUAUGAUCAUUAUUAUCAAGUUUUGAAGUUUUCUCUUGUUUAGGCUUUGGUUACCCCUUUAAGCCCAAUUUAGGGUUAAACAUUGUACCCUAGGGUUUCACUUAUGAAAUGUCACAUCAAUACAACAUGUUUGAACUUUUUGCCUAGUGAAUGCACUCUAGGUGUAACAAACACAUGAUAUGCCAAUGUUUAUGAUGUUAUGUUCAAGUUUUAGUGGCAGUAACACCAGGGGUGUUACAUCCUUCCCCCAUAAAAGAAUCUCGUCCCGAGAUUAAAAGUCCUAGGGCAAGUAAUGGAAAAGGAAACACGACAUAUCUUUAUUUCCUUAUUUUUGGUACAAGGCAGGGGUGGUAUGGGGUUCUUUCCUCUAUUACAACAAAUGUGCAUCCUUUACAAAUUACAUCAGGCUAAAAAGCCUGGGAAAUUCUUUUCUAAGAAGUCUUGAGUUUCCCAUGUAGCCUCAUCUUCCGUGUGUUGGUUCCACUUUAUCUUGUAAAACUUGAGAGUUUUUCUUUGGAUAAUUCUGUCCUUUUGAUCCAAGACUCGAACAGGAUGCUCGGAAUAUGUCAAGUCUGGUUCUAAGGCAACAUCCGUUACUUCAAUGGUUCGAUUGGGAACCCGAAGACACUUCUUCAAUUGAGACACGUGGAACACAUUAUGUACUGCAGACAAGGUUUCGGGUAACUGGUAUGCCACUGGUCCACAUUGUUCAAGGAUAGGAAAGGGACCAAUAUACCGGGGUGCAAGCUUCCCUUUUACCCCGAAACGUGAUACACCCUUCAUUGGUGAAACUUUCAUGUAGACAUAAUCUCCAACUAGAAAGUACAAGGGUAUCCGGCGUUUGUCUGCGUAACUCUUCUGUCGGGCUUGGGCUUCCUUCAUAUUGUGAAUUAUUCAUUGAACUCUCUCUUCUGUCUCCUUUACCAUAUCAGGCCUGAAGAAGUUUCUUUCACCAGGUUCAGACCAGUUUAACGGAGUACGACAUCGUCGUCCAUAUAAAGCUUCGAAGGGUGCCAUCUUAAUGCUUUCUUGAUAGCUAUUAUUAUAUGAGAACUCCGCUAAUGGUAAACAAUCAUCCCAUUUCUAUGGGAAUUCUAGAACACAUGCUCGCAACAUAUCUUCAAGUAUCUGAUUUACCCUCUCAGUCCGCCCACUGGUUUGAGGAUGAUAGGCCGAACUAUGGAGCAAUUUAGUACCCAAGGAUUUGUGAAGUUCUUCCCAGAAUUUGGAUACAAAUUGAGGUCCAUGAUCCGACACUAUAGUCUUCGGAAUACCGUGCAAACUGAGAAUGCGAGCAAUGUACAGUUCCGCAUAUGUGAGGACCGGGUAAUAUGUCUUGACUGGCAGAAAAUGAGCAAUUCUCGUAAGCCGAUCAAUUAUAACCCAAAUAGAAUCAUACCCCUUUGCGGUCCUGGGCAAUCCCACAAUAAAGUCCAUUCUUAUAUCUUCCCAUUUCCAUGUUGGUAUAGGUAGAGAUUGUAAUGGACCAGCAGUCUUCAUAUGUAUGGCUUUGACACAUCUACAAGUGUCACAUCUUGCCACAUAGCGUGCAAUUUCAAUCUUCAUCUUUGUCCACCAAUAAUGUUGUUUUAGAUCAUGAUACAUCUUAGUGCUUCCGGGAUGAAUAGAAUAGCGACUAAGAUGUGCUUCAUCCAAAAUUUGCUGGCGGAUCUCAUCAUUUUUGGGCACAACUAUGCGGUUGUUAAACCAUACAACACCUUGAUCAUCUCUUCUGAAGCAGUUGGCUUUACCGGUCUCUAUUUUCUCAUAAAUGUGUUUCAUACCCACAUCAUUUCUUUGUGCGUCAAUUAUUCUUUGUAGGAGGACUGACUCAAGCUUCAAGUGAUUUGAUGUUCCGUGUUGUACCAUUUCCAGGUUCAACUUCUCCAUUUCUUGGCAUAACGUAAUGUCAGAAGUCUUUAGUGUCAAACAAUGGCAGGAAGCCUUGCGACUUAACGCAUCUGCCACUACAUUAGCCUUGCCUGGGUGAUAGUGAAUCUCCUGUUCAUAAUCCUUAAUAAGCUCAAGCUAUCUUCUCUGCCUCAUUCAAUUCUGACUGGGUAAAGAUGUACUUUAAUCUUUUAUGAUCUGUAUAAAUGUGACAGAUAUUUCCCAGUAGAUAAUGAUGCCAUAUUUUUAGGGCAUGAACCACCGCAGCUAACUCCAGGUCAUGAGUUGGAUAAUGUUCCUCAUGCCGGCGCAACUGCCUUGAAGCAUAAGCUAUCACUCGGCCUUCUUGCAUUAGAACACAGCCGAUACCACUGCCUGAUGCGUCACAAUACACAUCAAAGGGCUUUUCAAUGUCCGGUUGAGCCAAUACCGAAGCAGUGGUUAAUAAUACUUUCAACUGCUCAAAGGCUUCAUUACAUUUUGAAGACCAAUUAAAUUUAAUAUAAUUCUUCAAUAAACUUGUGAUUGGUUUCACAAGCUUGGAAAAAUCUGGUAUGAAUCGGCGGUAAUAACCAGCCAGUCCAAGGAAACUUCGGACUUGAUGUACAGUGGUUGGGGGUUUCCACUCCAAAAUAUCCUUGACUUUGCUAGGAUCCAUCGCAAUCCCCUUGGCAGAUAAUACAUGUCCCAGAAAUUGGAUCUCCUCUAGCCAGAAUGCGCACUUACUGAACUUAGCAUAUAAUUGGUGUUCCCUUAAGCGCGUUAAUACGAUCCGCAAAUGCUGAGCAUGCUUCUCUUCAUUCUUGGAGUAUAUUAAGAUAUCGUCAAUGAAUAUCACCACAAAUUUGUCCAACUCGGGCAUAAAUACCGAGUUCAUCAGAUAUGUGAAGUGGGCAGGAGCAUUUGUUAGUCCGAAAGACAUAACCAGAUAUUCAAAUAAUCCAUACCGUGUGGUGAAUGCGGUCUUUGGUAUAUCUUUGGGUCGGAUACGGAUCUGAUGAUAACCCGACCUGAGGUCAAUCUUGGAGAAUACCCGAGCUCCAGUAAGUUGAUCAAAUAGAAUGUCAAUCCGGGGAAGAGGGUACUUAUUCUUGAUGGUGACCUCAUUAAGGGGUCUAUAAUCCACGCACAUCCGUAAUGUUUGGUCCUUCUUCUUGACAAAGAUGGCUGGACAACCCCAAGGUGAUGAACUUGGUCGGAUGAAUCCUUUUUCAUGUAGAUCUUGUAAUUGGGUCUUGAGUUCUGCCAGUUCGUUUGGAGGCAUUCGGUACGACCUUCUAGAAAUAGGAGUCAUACCGGGCUUCAACUCAAUCACAAAUUCUACAUCUCUUUCUAGAGGCAAUCCAGGCAGAUCUUCCGGGAAGACGUCUCGAAACUCACAUACUACCGGAAUAUCUUGGAUCUCCGGUAUGAUGGCUUCAUAUACUCUACCAGUUGUUUUAGCUGCAAUGGUUACGGGGAUGGACAAAAGAACAUCUUCUUGGCCAUAACUCAACCUGAUGGUUCUCAGAUCAGUGUUGAGGAUUGCUUUAUGCUAGACUAACCAAUUCAUGCCCAAAAUUACAUCUAUGUCUUGGCCUUUUAGAACAAUCAUGUUUGUAGGAAAGUCCCGUUCAGCCAAUGUUACGGGCACAUGGUAAGCCACCACUUUAGUAAAUAUUUAUCCCCCGGACGAAUGAAUUACAAACCCUUCCCUUGAUUCAUGGUAUGUAAUGCAAUAUUGCUCCACAAACUUUUUGCUUAUGAAUGUAUGUGAAGCGCUAGAAUCAAAAAGGAUAACGGCAGGGUGAUUGGCCACGAGAAACGUACCCAUCAUAACUGGUUCGCCUUUCGGUGUUGUGGCCACUUGAGUAUAAUAAAUCCGUCCCGUUUUCCUCAUAUUUUUGCACGCGGUAUUGUUUGCCGCAUUUCCCUUGACUUGAGCGGAACUCCCAAAACUCUGCUGAUUAUCUGAUCGAUUCUGCUUCAGGUAUGGACAAUCCUUGAUAAAAUGUCUGAACUUUCCACAAUUAAAGCAGCCUGUUGAAGAGCUUGGGAGAGCGGGGAAACGAGUGCCAGGGGCACCCGGCUGAUUUGUAGCGGUGGGGGGCAGCGGUAGGACAGAUAGAAACUGGUUGUUUGAAAGGGUAGGAGGGUGGGCACGAUGGAGAACGAUUCUGAUUAAAAGGUCGGAUUACCAACCUUUGUCUUUUCUCAGACCCUUGAUUGGGCCUGUCACCUCCAUUCCCCUUUUAUUUUCCUGAGCCUCCAUAUUUGGCCUCAACUGCCAGCGCCGUGCUGACAGCCCUUCCGUAAGAAAGAUCAAUGCAGGUGGCCAUCUUUCGUUGCAUUCGAUCAUUAAGGCCUCUCAUGACGCAAUUUCUCUUCUUUAAAUCCGUGUUGACUUGAUUGAUAGCAUAUUGGGACAAAUGGUUAAAUUUGUUGAGAUAUUGAGUGGAUAUUGAGUGAGAGUAUCCCCACCCUGUUUGAGCUUCAUAAACUCCUCCUGCUUCAUAUGGAGCACCCCUUCAGGUAUAUAGUGCUCCCGGAAAGCCAAUUUGAACUCGUCCCAUGUAAUUUGAUGGCCGCCCGCCUGAACAACUACAUAAUUUCCCCACCACGUACUGGCAGGGCCUCGCAACUGUUGUGCCGCAAAUAAGGGCUUUUGAGUCUCCGUACAUUGGAGAAGCCCGAACUUCUGUUCAAUGACGCGGAUCCACUCAUCCGCUUCUAGAGGAUCUUCCGCCUUGACAAACAAUGGGGGACGUGUCUCUGAGAAAUCCAGAUAUGAUGUUUCACGGGGUCUUUGUGGAUACGCUCGCCCGCCUUGCUGCUGCAUUUGUUGCCCCGCCAUUUCCCGCAGAAAGCGGGUGUUGUCAGCUGUGGCAUUAACUAAGGUAGUGAUGGCCUCAGCUAAUGUUGGAGGUACUGGGGUGGAUUAGGGGUUGCUUCCCUCCCACGGAAGGUUCCUGCCCCAUCCUGUGCGCGAGUCUUGGACGACAUCUGAGGCAAAGAACAUUUGGAAAAAUAUAAUAUGCCAAAGCAAACCAUCCAUUUUACAUUACUUAAAAGGGUAAUGUUAUAGACUCGUAUUUACAACAGGAUUACAUUACCUAUUACACAUUAUUACUACUUCUAUACUACAGUACUCUAGCUUCUUGUCACUUUUGGUAGCCUCGCUGUCAGGUGUAGGAGACCAUUCGUCGACCAAAUUCAUUAAAGGAGGGGGCCUGAAAAGGUCUAGUUCCCCUCCAAGGGCUUCACCCGCUGCUCCAGAUGGUCCGGCUCCCAUCCCGACAGGAUCCGCAGGGACGUUAGGGUGCAUUUGUGAAUACAAUACAUGAACUUCUUCAUGUAGUGUAUUACAAUAAACCUGCAAGUUAUCCACGGCUGAGCUAAGCUCCUCCACUCGGGCUCGAGCUCUAGCUUCCUUUGCCCAAGCAACUGAACGAGAAUUAACCGCCCAAUCGAGCACUAGAUCCCGUUCAGCCAGUUGGUCUUGCAGGUGGCAGAUGUCUGUUCUCAAUUCGUUUAUUCUUUCACCAUCCACGACCCAUAUAUCGUUCCUGUGAUGGAGUUCUGAUCGAAGUUGUUCAACUUGGGCUUCCAGAUCCCCGAUUGGAUCGUUGCUACCACUGCUACUGUCUUCAUGCCAUGGGGCUAGUUGAUGGUGGGGUACGCCAAUCGGCCCGGUAGACUUGCGCGCGGUCUUUCUUGUGCGCGGCGGCAUAUCUUCAUGAGGGGAAAAUCUUAUUAGCAUAGUUUUUAGCAUAAUGUAUGUGUAAUUACAGAAUCAACCUUAGUUGAUUCACACCUUCUAUACAUUGCACUCUACUAUCUGGUCUUUAAAAUAAGUACCUCAGAAGGGGAUUGGAUAAGAAGGAAAGAAAUUUUCUAGAUAAGUCUUUGAAAAUUCUUUUUGAAAAUGUCUCAUAAUAUCUGCAGAGAUGGGUUUCGCUCCGAUACUACCUGUGACAGAACCUCCCAAGUCAUUAGGCCCACCUACAGUUGUCCUUGUCCAACGGACCUUAGACAACCCUGCAGGUGCACCUGAUCACUUGACAAGUUCGGUAUCUGAAUUCCUUACCUUCCCAAGAGCGUUUCACCCGUCACGCAGACAUUACGAUUCAUCGGAGAUACGGAAAUGCGGAAGCGGUUACAAUAACUUACUUUUAUUGAAAAGUAAGACAAAGUUAUAUAGUUAUAGACCAAAACAUAAUAUAUGAGUGCUGAUGUUGGGGACUUGUUCUCAAAUGCUAUGAGUUAAGAACAAGGAAACACAAAAAUUGUUAAACGUUAAAGUCCUUCGUCCUUCGAAGCAUUAUUUCCCUUGGGAUAUAAUGAUUUUCGGACGAAGGUUAUGAAGGACAUACCUUCAUCAGCACAACAUAUAAUAAGGAAGAAGGAAUCAUAUGAAGUAUAAAAGAUAACAUAAACAAUUAUGUAUUAUUAUUAACUCAUUUCUACUUAUUAUUAUGGAAAAAUAGAAAUGAUAUCAAAUUACAAAUAUACCUUCGACUUGAAAGAAGGUAAAAGUACAAGCGUGAUGCAAAAGCAAAUGCCAAGUCAGCGUGAACAGUACGGGAGCAUUGUUCAUCUAUUUAUAGGCAUGGGACGCGGCCCAUGUAAAAUUACACUCAUGCCCUUUACAUUUGCUAAUAACUUUAUAGUAAUCCAUCGAGGUCUGAAUAGCCUUUUCCUUUUUAAGUCGAUUCCCCUUUCUGCCAUCACGCCGAAGGUCCCCUGCGCAUAGCUUCGGCCCUACGCCAACCUUCGCAUUCUUUGUACUUCUUCGUAUUGUGGUUCUGAUCCAAGUCCGAAGUUCAUGUAUUAUACUCCAGAAACGUUGUUAAAUCAUACUUUUGAGGACCUUCGGAAGACAAAGGCCCCCAACAGUAGCCCCUCGCAAGGUUAAUUUGUUAGAAUAACGAAUUCAGAUUGCGAUAUGGACGAAGGCCCUAAGCCGGAGGUCCGAAAAAACACCUUACCUUUGCUAGAAUAGCAACAACCAAUGACAGCUGGGGCCCUCCAACUUGGAGCGUGCUGAGCGUAUAAAUAAGAACUCACCCCGAGCACAUUUGGUACGCUUACUUUGCUCUGCUUGAUUUCUUAGCUCUUGCUUUCCAACAGUUGCUUUGUUUCUUAAGUUUUCUGAGCUUCUGAGCUUCGGAUUCGAGGACAUAUUCUCGUUAGCUCCGAAGAUAAAAUGCCUCAAGACAAGAAGACAGUUGCUGAAGCAAAGCUAACCGAAGAAGAGAAGGUUCUUGAGGAAAAGACAGUUGCGUUCAUUGAGUCAAUUGCAAAAACAAAUACAGAGAAAAUUACAAGAGAAAUUCUAGAAGGCCUAUCUGAAGAUACUGAUGACAGCGACAGCUAUGACGCAGAAAGUGGGGGUGAAGAUUCCGAAGAUCGGCCCUGGCGUCCAAGCCAUUCAGUCUUUGGGAAAUCAACUAUUAAACAGAGUCAUCUUGAUAACAUGAGAGGAAGAUAUUUUCGGGAUAUGUCUAUUGUGAGGGCUGACAACGGGGAGAAGACUGUUCCUGUACCCGAAGAAAAUGAAGUCGUGGUCUACCGAGGCUUCUUUAAAGCUGGGCUUCGACCCUUAAGCAAAUUUGUGGUUGAAGUUCUAAAGAUAUAUCAGAUUUUCCUUCACCAAAUUACUCCCGAAGCCAUCAUAAGUAUGGGAAUCUUUGUCUGGGCCGUGAGGAGUCAAGGUUUGGAACCAAGUGCAAAAAGUUUCUGCAGUAUGCACGAACUUUUAUAUGAGACGAAGCCCUAGGGUAAGGAGCAAUAUCAUAACAAUUUUGGUUGCUACAGCUUCGUUGCUCGUUCAGGCUCAAGCUGCCCAGUGCCAACCUUUCGGAAGAGAUGGCCUAGAGACUAGAUGAAAGAAUGGUUCUAUGUGAAAAAUGAUUUAAAGGCGAGAGAAGAUAUUAAAGAGAUCAUCAUGCGCCCCAUCUGAUCCCGCUUCAGCCUUCGGAAACCGAAGGUAGAGAUUGAUGAAGCGGUCGAAGGAUGCCGAAGGGCCUUUGACAUAGUUUGUUCUUUCAUCGAGACAAGGGACUUAGUCCAAGAGCACGUGGCCUACAGGAUAUGGCCAUUGGUAGUUAACUGGGAAAUGCCAAAAGAAACCAUCAGCAACCCCAAUGAAGGUGGUUUGGUUCGACUGAAAUAUACCUUCAGGUUUAGAGACCAAUUUAUCGAACCAGACGAUGACUGGCUAAAGUGUAUCGAAGCUACAAGUGAUGAACUGCUCGGGCCGUACUCCAAAGCGGAAGAUAAUGCGUUAUCUGCAGCCUUCGGAAGUCAGAAAAAGAAACGACUAAAUAGGGUUUUUGAUGCCAUCGGAUUUUUGUAUCCUGACUACCGCAACCCGCCAAGGGGGCAGAAGAGAAAGAGUGCAACUUCUAGGAGGGAUGUUACUUCAGCUGCUCCGAGUGAGCCCGCGCCGAAGAGGAGAAAGGUGAAGGUCCUUACUCACCGACCGCGCUAUAUUGAACCGGCCACGGUGCCCAAAUUUGGCAGUGAGACCUCUUCGGCUACUGAAGCCAAAGAACAUGUGCUUACACAGAAGAUUGAAGAUCCGGCUGUAAUGCCAAAGGCAUCCUCAGCCAAAUUAGCUGAGCCGAAGGCCAAUAAUAUUGAAGAGAUAGGGGUCGAAGGAACAAAGAUAUUAGAAGUUACAAGCCCUUCGACAGAAGUGACAGUGUCGAAGGCACAUAAAGGUCUUACAGCGACCCUAAGAGGAAAAGAAUGGUCAACGUACUAGAUGCGCUGGAGACAAUAAAGACAAGCUCUACUCCAAGGAAAAUUGCCGAAGCUCCAAAGACGCAGUCUGAGACAGGACCUACCGAAGCCGAAGCUGCAAAGAGCCAGGUCGAGAUCGAAGCUGGGCCUUCAGAGCCCGCCAAGGAGAAAUCCUUGGAAAUCGGAGAAAAAGAAACAAAAAAAGAAGCUACAGAACAAAUUUUGCCUGAAAAAACUGCCACUCCUACCCCCGAAGCAUCUUCCAAAGUACUUGAUUAUAUUGUACGACAUGCUUCAGGAAAAAGGUUAUCUGAAGAAGAAAAGCGAGAAGCUCAAUACUAUGCCCGGAAACUAAAAUAUCCAAGGGGGGCAUUGAUAUUCAACGGCAGUGGAGAAGAAGAUUUCUUGUAUUGUCUCCCAGACAGCAAGGAGAUUUCUGUCUGCCGGGAGAUGAGCAGAAGCUUCGGUUUCCCAACACUAGAAGACAGGCUUUCGGUGCUAUCAAAAGAUGAAUUGACCGACAGCUUAGCAUAUAAUAGUUUAAAUGUACAAGAAUGAGCUUUUUGUACUUAAAAACAAAAGAUUUCGCCAUGACUGCGGUAUUGCCUCCAUAUGAAGAUAUGGUUGCUUCGUAGCUCAUCAGAAACUGCUUCGGAUCUGAGUGCCCGUCAUACAUAGGGAGCUGGGGUGGCUUGUAAGAUGGGGGCCAAGGUGUAGCCUGCAGUGCUGCUGACAGAGGAGAAGCAUCAUCAAAAGCAAAAUUUCCAUGAUGGAAAUCCUCAUACCAUUCAUCCUCACUGAAGAAGCCUUCUUGGUGAAGCUCCCUAUGUUGGGGCCUUCGCUCUUGCUCAUUUUGAGCGAGAUGGCGUACUUCUUUAGUAGCUUCGUCAAUCUGCCUCUGAAGGUUGGCUAGUCGAGCCAUCUUCUCCUUCUUUCUUUGUACUUGUUGAUGAAGCAUCUCCAUGUUCCUGAUUUCUUGGUCCAACUCGUCCUCCUGGGGUGUUGGACUAGUGGCCUUCCUCUUCUGGCUUCGGGCCUCUCGAAGAGAAAGGGUCUCCUGGUUCGGGUCCAGCGGCUGCAGAGCGGCAACCCCUGUCGCUGAAGCUUUCUUCGGUGGCAUGACGAAGGUCAAUGCUUGCCGAAGGUGGUCGAAAAGAGUUCACCAGAGGUGGGCGCCAAUGUUGGGGACUUGUUCUCAAAUGCUAUGAGUUAAGAACAAGGCAACACAAAAAUUGUUAAACGUUAAAUAUAAUGAUUUUCGGACAAAGGUUAUAAAGGACAUACCUUCAUCAGCACAACAUAUAAUAAGGAAGAAGGAAUCAUAUGAAGUAUAAAAGAUAACAUAAACAAUUAUGUAUUAUUAUUAACUCAUUUCUACUUUAUUAUUAUGGAAAAUAGAAAUGAUAUCAAAUUACAAAUAUACCUUCGACUUGAAAGAAGGUAAAAGUACAAGCGUGACGCAAAAGCAAAUGCCUAGUCAGCGUGAACAGUACGGGAGCACUGUUCAUCUAUUUAUAGGCACGGGAUGCAGCCCAUGUAAAAUUACACUCAUGCCCUUUACAUUUGCUAAUAACUUUAUAGUAAUCCAUCGAGGUCUGAAUAGCCUUUUCCUUUUUAAGUUGGUUCCCCUUUCUGCCAUCACGUCGAAGGUCCCCUGUUCAUAGCUUUGGCCCUGUGCCAACCUUCGCAUUCUUUGUACUUCUUCAUAUUGUGGUUCUGAUCCAAGUCUGAAGGUACCUGUUCAUGUAUUAUACUCCAGAAACGUUGUUAAAUCAUACUUUUGAGGACCUUCGGAAGACAAAUGCCCCCAACAGAUGAGUAUUAUUAUUACAAACCAUGGGAGGCAAAAACCCCUCCUGAAUAAGUAGUAAAAAGUUUUUAACGGAGGACCUUUCCUCCCGCAGCUUUAGAAUUGGUUCUCUUCUUUUGGUACCACCUUUGAACAGAAGCAACAAAAGUUUGCUGCUUCCUCACCUAAAACAACAUGGGACAAAGCCCUGAGUACGAAGUGUACUUUCGCAAGACUUGCCCGACAAAGUAAAAGACUCUCAAGGAUAUGUUGGCUUUAAGGGAGUCAAGAUAAGGCUUAUCAAUAAUCAAUGACUCUGUUUGUAGAAAUGCUUACUAAUAGUGGAUCCUUAAAAAUCCAGUUUUAUUUGUGAAGUUAAGUAAAAUUACAUGCAACUAGAGUUCUUGCUACCCUAGUUCAAUCACUUGACCUGCACUAGCCAAUUUCUUAACAACCCUUCAUCUUUACUGGAUUUCUACGUAUAGGUCAGUGACCAAGUCUUGAUGUCCGCGAAGUUACGGCGAUCCAAAUUGAUUAUACUCAGCUGAGGAUCUCCAAUCACACGACAUAUGUAGCACUUAACCCUUGCAUAUGUCAACUCGCCACCGGGGUUCUUAAGACCAGAUCAGGUUCACGCCAACCGAGAGCACAGAUACCCCACCGUCCAGCCUCUUGACACGGAGGGUACACGCUACUCUCGCCAUCUCUCCACUCCCAUUGCAUGUUAUCUUAUUCUGGUAUUAGUCUGCCCGAGGCAAAGCUUACCUAUGAUGAGGCAUGUGACCAGUUAAAGGGUCCUCGAUCAUCAAGCCUACAUCGACACGGUCCUUAACUGACUCAGACGGAGACACUACACCGAGACUCUCUUCUCGUGCAAGUCACCCGCCCGAUCUCAGCUUAAUCAUUUCAAACCCAAAGUUUGGUACCUGGCAGAGGUACAUCUUUUCUGAUGUUGAACCCAUCAUGGCCAUGAUGGAUCCACCAUCAUGUUUUAUUUUCGAAAACAUCCCACCCACUUUGCAACAUCACCUUUUGUGAAAACAAAACAUUUUGUUUUGCUAGAGCAGGGCUAACCAUAAGAAAAACCUUUUGUAUAAUAGGGAUUUAAGGAGAAGUACUCAAAUCCAAGGAAGGAAAUGCAGGAAUGGGUUUAGCACACAACUCCUAUCACCUAAUGCAUCAAGCAAGUGAGAAAGAUUUUAAAAGGAACAAGGAGGUGGCAAAUGCACCGGGGCUUGCUUUGUGUUACUGUUGAAUCAGGCUCUGUUUCGCAGAUAUCAAAAUAGAAACAGUUGCCUGCCUGAUGUUCCUCAGGUGGUGGUGGUGAUGAAGUCCUUGUCUCUUCAACAUCUACUUCCUCCUCGUUUUCUAAAUAUAGCCAAGUAUAAUAAUGAAUGCUCAUGUAAUGCUCAUGAAGUUGCAAAGAUAAUAAAAGUUUAUUAUCUAAGGUCUUGAAUACAACUUUCCUUCACGGAUCUCCGAGAACUUAGGGUUUUCGGAGUCAAUAGUGAAGUUCAAAGGGCAGGGGCUAGGGUUUUGGGUUCUAAGUAUCAAACAUGGUCCAAAUCAUACCAAACUCUACCCAAGGCUUCUAAAUAUUAUUUAGAGAUUACCCUAAAAGUUUAGUGAAUUUUGGAUUUAUUACUUAUUCCCUAAAAAUCCAGAAGCAUGGUUUUUUGGAUAUUUUAAAUGCUCUAUAAUUUCCUAUUUGGACUAAAAAUCAUGAAACUAUUUUUAGUAAAUACUAUAGAAAAUUAGAAACUUAGCAAAAUUGAUUUGGUAUUUUUAUCAUUUUUCUACAAUUUUCUAGAAUUUCUUUAGCUCUGGUAGAAAAGGAAAAAGAAAAGGCAUGAACAGUAUUGGACCGAUACCGGCCCAAGUCAGCCCACUACAGGAGGAAAGCACCCGCGCGCGUGCCCGCGCUGGCAGAUUUGCACAGAGAUCCCCGCUACUUGAAUAAUUCGUUAAGAACCCUUAACCACUAUUCAUCCUCUCUCUGACAAUUACACAGAGGUCCCCCGACUUCUGUUUCUUCUCCAAAUAGACCCAUGGCCACGGCGUGCUCGCCGUCGAGCACCACGCGGCACGUACUGGCCAUGACCGGCGGUGGCUGUCUAAAAUAGCUAUGGGGCAAACAUUCCCGACCUAAGGCGACCCAAGAACAGUCUUCAAUUUUGGCUGGCACACUUAGAGAGUGUUCUACCCACGCACACGACGGAACCCGUGACGUCGAGCCUGCGUUCCCAUUCAAUCACGCUCGAAUUGGUCAAAUGGCUGCUAUGAUGAGCUUCACGGGUAUACAGAGCUGCUAAAACAACACUCGAGAAGUGCAAAGCCAUACCAGAGUGGUCCGGCCACGGAAGAGCUAUCCACGGUGACGUGGAGAUCCAAUUUGGGGAAAACCCCAAAUUGAAGCGUUAUGGUGGAUGAUUGGAGACGAGAGUGGGUGCUCUGGCUUGGGGAUAAUCGAACGGAGCUCACUAAGGCAUCAAUUUAUAGAGAUCGACCGUGAAUACGAUGAAUUUGAGCGGCGGAUGGCUAUCGGUAAGAAACGAGAGGAGUCACCGGAGGCCGCUCAACGUGGCAUUUACUGGGUUAAGUCUCCAGUGACAACGAGGCUGGCUUUAGUGAUCUACAGCGGGAUGGUAGCAUGGCUAGAAGUGUGGCGGACACCGAUGAACGGCGAUCAUCAUGGCGACGGUCGCGCGGCCACGUCGCGGCGCAAGUGGGUACGGUGACAGGCCGGCCACAGUACCCCGGCCAUAUCCACGACGAGAUCUUUGCUCUGGGAAUUAUUAUCUGCGUGUUACAGGGCGCGAAUCGCAACGCCGGCGUGAAUCCGAGCAUGGGAUCACCGACGGUGAGGUCUCUGAGCUGGCGGCCCAAUCCAGUCGUUGUACCAUCGCGAAGUGCAUUCAGGCGGUCUGACAGAGCAGAUUCAAGGCAACUUUUCUCCAAUUUUUAUGUGACAACCUCAUAAUUCAUCUGCAUCAAAGUUAUAGAUCUAUAAUCCAUGUUCACUUUUGCUAUAGCAUCCCUAGUCAAAUUCCCACUAGAUCAUGGUCGAACUAUAGUCCAAAGAUUGCCCAAUCUCACUGCUAUUCUGAAUUCAGACCAAGGGCAGUCUGACAACCCAACUUUGGGCACAUUUAUCUCAAAAUACUUCAUGGUACCAGGACAUGAUCUCCAUAGUAAAGUUAUUCUCCUUUCAUAGACCUACAAAAUUGAUGUGGUGACCUAGGGCAAAAACUUUAUAACUUGGCAGAUAUAGGGCUCCAAAGUUGAGCCAAAUGCACUAAAACCAUACUUAACUCCAUAGGGUUCAAAUAGGGCCUUUUGCAAAUAGGCCCAAAACUUAGGGUUUAAGUUGCAAAUCCACACACAUGUGAACCAUAUUAGUUAAGAUACCCUAAUCUCAUGAUUUUUUGCACUUUAGUCCAAAAGUGCACUAAUUUUGCACUUAUCCCCCUAGGGUUUAAGUCUAGGGCUUUCUAGGGUUCUUUUUAGGGCUUUUGAUACUUAUAGGGUUUGGAUGUCCCUUAAAUUCAUUAAUGGUGAUAUUUUAUGAUCAUUAUUAUCAAGUUUUGAAGUUUUCUCUUGUUUAGGCUUUGGUUACCCUUUUAAGCCCAAUUUAGGGUUAAACACUGUACCCUAGGGUUUCACUUAUGAAAUGUCACAUCAAUACAACAUGUUUGAACUUUUUGCCUAGUGAAUGCACUCUAGGUGUAACAAACACAUGAUAUACCAAUUCUUAUGAUGUUAUGCUCAGGUUUUAGUGGCAGUAACACUAGGGGUGUUACAAUCAUUGGCCCUUUAACCCCAUUGCCUCACCAAAAAUGUCAAUUAAGAGCAAAAAUCAAUGAGAGCAUAAGAAUGAACUUGGAAGUAAUUAUACUAACACUGGAGUGCAAUGGAAGUCUUUGCAUCGUCCAAGUUCACCUUUCCCUUUCGAUGCACUUUUGAAACUACAUCAAGUAUACUCAAGCACAAAGGUUAGUCUCAAAAGGGUCAAGUUGUAGCACAUCUCCCCCUAAAUAUGUGCACCAUUCACACAUGGACUUGUGAGGUCCGAGGAUCCCUUGCACAACUUGAGCACAAUAAAUAAGCAACAAAUCAUAUAAAUGCAUGAAGUAACAUGAUCAAAGGCAUAGAACACAUGUAUGCUAUAGAUCAAUCCAAGUUACGCGAAUCUAAGACAUUUAGCUCACUAUGCAACCUGCAAAAAGUUUUCUCAUCCAACGGCUUGGUAAAGAUAUCGGCUAGCUGGUUCUCGGUGCUAACAUGGUACACUUCAAUAUCUCCCUUUUGUUGGUGGUCUCUCAGGAAGUGAUGCCGGAUGUCUAUGUGCUUAGUGCAGCUGUGUUCAACAGGAUUAUCCGCCAUGCAGAUUGCAUUCUCAUUGUCACAUAGGAGUGGGACUUUGCUCAGAUUGUAGCCAAAGUCCCGGAGGGUUUGCCUCAUCCAAACUAGUUGCGCGCAACACUGUCUUGCGGCAAUGUACUCGGCCUCAGCGAUGGAUAUUGCAACGGAUGUCUGUUUCUUGGAACUCCAAGACAUCAGGGACCUUCCUAGGAAUUGGCACGUCCCCGAUGUGCUCUUCCUAUCAACCUUGCACCCGGCAUAAUCGGAGUCUGAAUAUCCAAUCAAGUCAAAGGUAGACCCCUUUGGAUACCAGAUCCUGAAGCAAGGCGUAGCAACUAAAUACCUAUGAAUUCGCUUAACGGCCACAAGGUGACAUUCCUUGGGGUCGGAUUGAUAUCUAGCACACAUGCACACGCUUAGCAUAAUGUCCGGUCUACUAGCACAUAAAUAAAGUAAUGACCCUAUCAUAGACCGGUAUGCCUUUUGAUCAACGGACUUACCUCCUUUAUUGAGGUCAACAUGCCUAUCAGUUCCCAUAGGUGUCUUCACGGGCUUGGCGUCCUUCAUCCCAAACCGCUUGAGAAGAUCUUGAGUGUACUUCGUUUGGGAGAUGAAGGUGCCAUCCUUGAGUUGCUUCACUUGGAACCUAAGGAAGUAGUUCAACUCACCCAUCAUCGACAUCUCAAACUUUUGAGUCAUCACCCUGCUAAACUCCUCACAAGACUUUUGGUUAGUAGAACCAAAUAUUAUGUCAUCGACAUAAAUUUGGCACACAAAAAGAUCACCAUCACAAGUCUUUGUAAAAAGAGUGGGAUCGGCUUUCCCAACCUUGAAAGCAUUAGCAAUUAAGAAAUCUCUAAGGCAUUCAUACCAUGCUCUUGGGGCUUGCUUAUGUCCAUAGAGCGCCUUAGAGAGUCUGAACACAUGGUUGGGAUACCUGUCAUCCUCAAAGCCAAGGGGUUGUUCCACAUAAACCCUCAAAGCCAGGGUGUUGUUCCACAUAAACCUCCUCCUUUAUUGGCCCGUUGAGGAAAGCGCUCUUCACAUCCAUUUGGAACAACCUAAAAGAGUGGUGAGCGGCAUAGGCUAAUAGUAUUCGAAUAGACUCUAGCCUAGCCACGGGAGCAAAAGUCUCCUCAAAAUCCAAACCUGCGACUUGGGCAUAACCUUUUGCCACAAGUCGAGCCUUGUUUCUUGUCACCACUCCGUGCUCGUCUUGCUUGUUGCGGAACACCCACUUGGUUCCCACAACGUUUUGCUUUGGGCGUGGCACCAGGCUCCAAACUUCGUUUCUCUUGAAGUUGUUAAGCUCUUCCUGCAUGGCGAACACCCAAUCCGGAUCCUGCAAGGCCUCUUCUACCCUAAAAGGCUCAAUAGAAGAGACAAACGAGUAAUGCUCACAAAAGUUAGCUAAUCUUGAGCGAGUAGUUACUCCCUUGCUUAUGUCACCCAGAACCUGAUCGACGGGGUGAUUUCUUUGGAUCGUCGCUCGGACUUGAGUUGGAGGGACCUGUGGUGCUUCUUCCUCCAUAACUUGUCCUUCUUGUGCUCCCCCUUGAUCACGCUCCUCUUCUUGAGGUACCUAUCCAUCAUCUUGGGUUGGGGGAUGCACCAGCGUCGAGGAAGAAGGCUGAUCUUGCUCCUGUUGUUCCUGUGGUCGCACAUCAUCAAUCGCCAUCGUGCGCAUUGCGGCCGUUGGAACAUCAUCUUCAUCUAUGUCAUCAAGAUCAACUUGCUCUCUUGGAGAGCCAUUAGUCUCAUCAAAUACAACGUCGCUAGAGACUUCAACCAAACCCGAUGAUUUGUUGAAGACUCUAUAUGCCUUUGUAUUUGAGUCAUACCCUAGUAAAAACCCUUCUACUGCUUUGGGAGCAAAUUUAGAAUGUCUACCUUUCUUCACCAGAAUGUAACAUUUGCUCCCAAAUACACGAAAGUAAGAAACGUUGGGUUUGUUACCGGUAAGGAGUUCAUACGAGGUCUUCUUGAGAAGGCGAUGUAGGUAGAGCCGGUUUAUGGCGUGGCAAGCUGUGUUCAUAGCUUCUGACCAAAACCGCUUGGGCGUCUUGAAUUCUCCAAGCAUCGUUCUCGCCAUGUCGAUAAGUGUCUUGUUCUUCCUCUCUACCACACCAUUUUGCUAUGGUGUGUAGGGAGCGGAGAACUCAUGCUUGACGCCUUCCUCCUCAAGAUACCCCUCAACUUGUAGGUUCUUGAACUCAGACCCGUUGUCGCUCCUUAUCUUUUUCACCUUUAGCUCAAAUUCGUUUUGAGCCCUCCUUAGAAAGCGCUUUAGGGUCCCUUGGGUUUCUGAUUUAUCCUACAAAAAGAACACCCAAGUGAAGCGGGAAAAAUCAUCAACAAUUACUAGACCAUACUUACUUCCCCCGAUGCUAAGGUAAGCAACGGGUCCGAAGAGGUCCAUGUGAAGAAGCUCUAGAGGUCUCGAUGUUGUCAUCACAUUCUUGCUGUGAUGAGUGCUUCCCACCUGUUUCCCUACCUGACAAGCUGCACAAGGUCUAUCUUUUUCGAAACAUACAUUGGUUAGUCCUAACACAUGUUCUCCCUUUAGAAGUUUAUGAAGGUUUUUCAUCCCAACAUGAGCUAGACGGCGAUGCCACAACCAGCCCAUACUAGUCUUAGCUAUUAAGCAUGCAUCUAGAUCGGCCUCCUCUUUCGAAAAAUCAACUAAGUAGAGUUUGUCGUCUAAUACACCCUUAAACGCUAAUGAACCAUCACUCCUUCUAAAGACAGAUACAUCAACAUUUGUAAACAAACAAUUGUAGCCCAUGUGGCACAAUUGACUUACAGACAGGAGGUUGUACCCUAAUGACUCUACUAAAAAUACAUUUGAAAUAGAGUGCUCGCUUUUGAUGGCUAUCUUUCCCAAACCUUUGACCUUGCCUUGGUUCCCAUCUCUAAAAAUAAUCGUAUCCUGGGAAUUCUUGUUCUUGACAUAGGAGGUGAACAUCUUCUUCUCCCCCGUCAUGUGGUUUGUGCAUCCACUGUCGAUUAUCCAGCUAGAUCCCCCGGAUGCAUAAACCUGCAAGGCAAUUUAAGCUUGGGUUUUAGGUACCCAACUCUUGUUGGGUCCUACAAGGUUAGUCACAAUAGUUUUUGGAACCCAUAUGCAAGUCUUGUCUCCCUUGCAUUUGGAUCCCAACUUCCUAGAAACCACUUUUUCAUUCUUACAAGAAAGUACAAAAGAAGUAUUGCAAGCAUAAAAAACAGUAGUAGGUUCAUUACACAUUUUCUUAGGUACAUGAUGCACAACAUGAUUUCUCCUAGGCCUACUUCUACCAUGAACACAAGUACAACUAGAGGCAUACAUAGCAUGUGAAUUAAAAGCAUCAUGAUCAUAACUCCUAUUAUAAUGAGUGUUGGGGGUAUGCUUCGUAGCCGAAGAUCCUGAAGAAAGAAACACCUUUGGUAGAUCCUCUCAAAUGUAGUGCCGAAGCUAUCACUCAUAAAGCUUCAGCAUAGUGACAUGACUCAAGACGAAGGAGUGAACCGACUUAAAGAUGAAAUGACCAAUAGACCCAUAAUAGUUUGUGUAUUGAUUGUAAUCGAUUGUAAAGGGCAUAAAUGUAAUUUCACACAGGCUGUGCCUUGUACCUAUAAAUAGAUGAACAGUACCCUCGUACUGUUCACGCAGUCUGGUAAUCGCUUGCACGCGACACUUGGAUUAUUGCCUUCUGUCAAGACGAAGGUAUAAAUGUGAUUAAAUGUUAUGUUUUGAUAUUUGAAUUUAUAUAAUGAAAUAUAUGAAUAAGUUUAUGUGUUUUGAUAUAUUAUUCCUUCAUGUCUUAUAUUUUAUAUUUCAUCUUUCAUUAUUUCACAAUUCUAGUUACGAAGGUAUGACCUUCGUGAUUUUUGCUCAUGACCUUCGUCCGAAGUUCAUUAUAUCCUUGGGGAGAUAAUGCUUCAAUGGACAAAGGUCAUUAACAUUUAACAUUUUAUGUUGCCUUUUUCUUAAUUCGAAGCAUUUGAGAACAAGUCCCCAACAUUGGCGCCCACCUCCGGUGAACUCACUUCCACUUUCUGAGCUGAUGGCUUCGUUCAACAACCAAGCUGAAGCUGCUUCGGCUAUGAAGCUGGAGCUCCCGAUAACAGGCGGUUCAUGUUCAGAGCCGGCCAACAAGAAGCAGAAGAAGGAGGCUCAGAGAAGGGUAUAGCAUGUCGGGGUACAGGGACCCUUCAUCAAGUCGAAAUGGUCCCACAUCCCAAUUACCUUCUCCCGGGAGGACCUUCAGCUCAAGGAUUACCCUCACAAUGAUGCUAUGGUCAUUUCUUGUGUCAUCAAGGGAUUUCUGGUCCACAAUGUUCUGGUUGAUACGAGCAGUGCAGCGGAUAUUAUAUUUGCCAAGGCCUUCAGACAGAUGCAAGAGCCAGAGGAUAAGAUUCAUGAUUCUACACACCCUCUUUGUGGCUUCGAAGGAAGGCAGAUCGUAGCACUCAGCAAGAUCACGAUGCCAGUGACCUUCGGAUUUGUCAACAAUACAAGGACUGAGCAAGUUGUGUUUGAUAUUGUCGACAUGGAGUACCCCUACAAUGCAAUCAUUGGUCGUGGGACACUUAAUACUUUUGAAGCAAUUCUUCAUCCAGCAUAUCUAUGCAUGAAGAUACCUUCGGAUCAAGGGCCUAUUGCUAUUCAUGGAAGUCAGGAAGCUGCCAGAAAGGUUGAAGGAAACUGGACAGAUUCAAAAGCAAUCCAUAAUAUAGAUGGAGCCGAAGCUUGUGAGCAGUAUAAGUACAGAAGGGAGAAGGCUGCUUCGGCUGAUCAGCCGAAGCCCAUGCUUCUAUGUGAAGACAUAGCAGAGCAGAAGGUAUUGCUGGGAUCCCAACUAUCUGAAGAGUAGGAGAAAACCUUGUUAAGGUUUUUACUCAACAACAAAGAUGUUUUGCAUGGUCAGCCAACGAUCUCUGUGGUGUCAACAGGGACGUCAUUGAACUUUCACUCAAUGUCGAUCCAUCCUUCCGACCCAGGAAACAAAAGCUUCGAAAAAUGUCUGACGAUAAAGCCGAAGGUGCUCAGAACAAAGUAAAAAGACUUCUCAGUGCUGGUGUCAUCAUAGAAGUGAAAUACCCAGAAUGGCUAGCCAACAUUGUUAUGGUGAAGAAGGCCAAUGGUAAAUGGAGAAUAUGCAUUGAUUUUACUGAUCUGAACAAGGAUUGUCCAAAGGAUGAGUUCCCAUUACCAAGAAUAGAUUCUCUAGUAGAUGCAGCAGCUUCGUCAGAGCUCAUGAGUCUACUAGAUUGUUAUUUAGGCUACCAUCAAAUCUAGAUGAAGAAGGAAGAUGAGCCAAAAACCAGCUUCAUAACCCCCAGUGGUACAUAUUGUUAUCUUCGGAUGCCUGAGGGGCUCAAGAAUGCUGGAGGAAGCUUCAGUAGAAUGACAGCCAAAGUCCUUCACUCUCAGAUAGGCAGAAAUGUGCUAACAUAUGUUGAUGAUAUCAUAGUAAAGAGCACGAAGCAGGAAAAUCACAUUGCUGAUCUGCAGGAAACAUUUGCUAAUUUUAGGCAAGCUGGCCUUAAAUUAAAUCCAGAAAUGUGUCUUCGGAGUAAAGAAGGGAAAAUUCCUUGGUUGUCUAGUUUCAACGAAAGGAAUCAAAGCUAAUCCGAACAAAGUCGAAGCUAUUCUUCGGAUGGAGCCGCCAAGCACAAAGAAGGGGGCUCAACGGCUGACAGGAAGACUGGCAUCUUUGAAUCGAUUCAUAUCUAGAUUAGCAAAGAGAAAUUUACCAUUCUUUGAAGUGCUGAAGUCGGCCGAAGUCUUUCAAUGGGGAUCAGCUCAGCAGAAAGCCUUCGAAGAGCUGAAGCAAUACCUGAUAGAUCUAACAACGCUAACUCCACCCACGCUAGGGGCUCCUCUGCUAUUGUAUGUGGCAGCUUCGCACUCUGCAGUAAGUGCGGCGCUUGUACAGGAGAAGCUUGAAGGACAAACUAAAAAGCAAGUCCCAGUAUAUUUUGUCUCCGAAGUAUUAAGCUUAUCAAAGAAAAAUUACAUAGAAUUGGAGAAAGUGUUGUAUGCUGUAUUAAUGGCCUCCAGAAAGCUUCAGCAUUAUUUUCAAGCUUACCAUAUAAUUGUUCCCUCGUCACAGCCUCUGAAGGAUAUUAUGAGGAACAGAGAAGCUACUUGAAGGGUUGGAAAGUGGGCCGCGGAGCUCAAUGAAUUCACCAUUGACUACGUGCACGGAUCUUCAAUUCAAUCCCAGGCGCUAGCAGACUUCAUCGCUGACUGGGCGCCAGGGGCUCACGAAGAAGGGACAAGCAAGGAUACCGAAGCUUGGACGGUGCUCUGUAUGGUUCUUGGGGAACCUUCGGUGCAGGAGCAGCUGCGAUCCUAGUGGCACCUUCAAAAGUCAAAACAUGUUUUGCAGUCAAACUGGAUUUCAGUUGCACAAAUAAUAUUGCUGAGUACGAAGCACUUCUAUUAGGGCUUCGGAAACUAAGGGCAAUGGGAAUAAGAAGGGCCAUCCUAAAGACUGAUUCUCAAUUUAUUGCUGGCCAUGUGGAUAAGAACAGCAAGGCACGAGAUCCGAAGCUUGAAAAAUAUCUGGAUGUAGUCCGAAGGUUGGAAGCUUCCUUCGAAGGUUUUUCCGUCAAAAAUAUUCCAAGAGGUGAAAAUGAGCAUGCAGAUUUGCUAGCCAAAUCAGCGGCUCAGGGGCUCCCCCUACCCUCCGAAGUAUUUUUUGAAGCAAUAAAAGCACCUUCGGUUGAGCUCAUGGAGAGAGCAGUGCUUACUAUUUCUCCAGUACACAGUGAAGACUGGAGAACUGAAAUAAUAUCUUUCCUUCAAGGCAAUUGUCUUUCAAGUGACGAAGCUUAUAACAAAAGAAUGGAGGCAAGAACAAGACCAUAUGUGAUAAUAGAAGGGGAAUUGCAUAAACAUGGAGUUUGUUCACCACACCUCAAAUGUUUAUCAAGAACCAAAGGUAUGGAAUUAAUGAAAGAGAUACAUGCAGGUCUGUGUGGAUCUCAUAUUGGAUCUAGGCCCUUGUUGGGAAAGGUUUUUCGACAAGGAUUUUAUUGGCCGAAGUCAGCUUCGGAUGCAGCAGAAUUAGUCCAAAAAUGCGAAAGUUGUCAAAAAUGUGCAAGAGAUCAGAAGCAACCUUCAUCUCUCACUCAAUUAAUACAGCCCACUUGGUCGUUGCAAAGGUGGGGCCUCGAUUUGCUAGACCCACUUCCACCAGCACAAGGAAAUCUAAAAUAUGUUGUGGUGGCGGUAGAGUAUUUUUCCAAGUGGAUUGAGGCGAAGCCUUUAGCCACAAUAACUUCGGUCACUGUCCAGAAAUUUUUUUGGCAAAAUAUUGUUUGUCGCUUCGGAGUGCCGAAGGCUAUUACUAUGGACAAAGAAUUCUGUGAACAAAUUGGCACGAAGAUUCAUUUUGCAUCAGUCAGACAUCCAGAGUCAAAUGGACUUGUUGAAAGAGCUAAUGGCAUUAUAAUGACGGGAAUAAUGAAGUUAAUCUUCAAUCAGCCCAGAGGAAAGUGGCCAGAUGAAUUGAUCAAAGUGUGGUGGAGCCACAACACAACAAUAUCAAGGUCAACAGGCUUCACACCAUUCAAAUUACUGUUUGGUGAUGAAGCAAUAACCCAGAAGAAGCUAAGGCAGGAUCAAUAAGAACAGUGGCUUCGGCAGUGGACGAAGCUGAUUGUUCUGUGGCAAAAGAUGUUAUAGAAGGGAUCAGGCUUCAGGCCGUGGAGAACAUCAAUAAAUAUCAAGCCGAAACAAUAAAGUGGCGUGACAAAAAAGUUCGGCUAAAGAACAUUAAGCCAGGGCAUUUCGUACUUCGGAGAGUGGCCAACCCAGAUACAGUAGGCAAGCUAUAGCUGAAGUGGGAAGGACCUUUUCUGGUAGUAUCUUCAUCAAGACCCGGCUCUUACAGACUGAAGGAUAUGGACGGCAACGACAUUCCUAGAUCUUGGAAUGCGGAUGAGCUUCGGCGAUAUUAUGUUUAGCUUGAUGUAACCUUUUUAUUUUCUUUUUCCUAUGGCACCCUUUUCCAUUCCGAAGGGGGAGAAAGGUUUUUAAUGGGGCCAUAGCAUGUAAUUUCCCUUUUUCUUAUUCAGCUCUACGAGAGCAAAAUCCCCCAAAAAUGUAAAUGUAAAAACUGAGCAUGCACCAUCGAGUGCAGGCAAAAAAGAAAAAACAAGGAGAAGCUCGAAAGUCGUCCCUAAGGGGAUGCAGAGCACGGCAAAGCUACAAAAAGCCAUUCCUAAGGGAGCGCAGCGUAAGUUUUCUGCUCAAAAGUCGUUCCCAAGGGAAUGUAGAGCUUACAGCGAAAAGUCAACGCUGAUACCGCCGAAAUAUAAGGCGAAGCGCGAAAAGUCAAUGUGAUACCACCGAAAUAGAAGGCGAAGAAGUUCAAAAGACGUUCCUAAGGGGAUGCAGAACUUACAGCGAAAAGUCAGCGCUGAUACACCGAAAAAUAAGCGGUGAAGCCAAAAAAUAAAUGGCAAAGAGACUUCGGUCAUUCCCAAGGGAAUGAAGGCUAUGGUUGUGGCUUCGUAUGUGUGUUUGGACAUUCAUUUGCACGACACAUUACAUCAUACAUUUGCAUUCAUAAACAUUCAUUUAGACAUACAUAGGAUCAUCAUCAUCAUAACAUACAGACACAGGCGGAUGCUUCGGCUCUAAAAUUAAGGCUUCGGCAAAAAGAGAAAAAGAAGCAGUUUUAUGCUUCGUUGUGUAUGAAAAGAAGGGGAGGUGUUUUUCGCCUUCGGCUCAAAAAAUGCUAGUUUUGUCCACAGCAAAGCAAUUCAAUGCAAGUACAAGUUUUGUUCACAUCGAAGCACUUCAUACGUUGAUGGAAAGGUAAAAAUAUAUUACAAGGUAUGGACAAAAUUUACAGAGUAAAAUCUAAUUCUUAGAUUACAAUAUUCUUUACAAAGAUUAUUACAAGAGUUCUUAGAAUUUUUUUCCACAGCUAUCUAUUCAAGCUUCAUCAUUAUCUAUUAAGCUUCGGCUUUGUGCUCUUCAGCUUCGUCAAUUUGCUCCUCAGCUUCAUCAUCCUGUACAUAUUAAAGUAUUAUAAGGAAAAUUCAAGUUUAAAGAAAAAGGUAAGCACAAGGUAUGAUUUUGUUACCGGCUUAAGAUGACUUCGAGCUUCGUCACCAGCUAUGCUUCGUCCACCCUUCGUCCAUACUAGUUUUAUAAAUUUGUUUCCUAUGCUUCGGGCAAGACUGGGAAUAUCAACCAGAUCUGCUGGUGAUAAACUAAAGUUGGGUCUAUUGACAACCUUUCCAUGUGUGCAACCAGAUUUCAGGAAGGCGACAGCUGUGCCCCGAGAAGCUACCAGGGCACAGAAAUCACCAUGUCCGGCUAUAAUUUCAUCAAGGUCAUCAAUUUCACCCUCGAUAUGUUCGAAGGCCCGUGGCAAGUCUUCAAUCGAAGGACUAAAUUUUUCACAGCUGGCUCCAACCGAAUUGAAGAUCUGCUUCAGCCGUUGUACACAUCGGCUACUGAACUCCAGACAUUUGUUUUGAUGCUCUGUCAAUGAUUUUUGCAGAUUCAAACUUUUCUCGACCUCAGUCUUAAAUUUGGCAUUUAACUUUUGCUUCUCCUGUUCGAAGCUUUCUAACUUCAAGAGAAGCUCCGUAUUUAACUUUGCGAUUUUAGCUUUAGCUUCUGCCAAUAAACCUUCUGUUGUCUAAAGCUCGAAAUCCUUCUUUUCAAGAGCAGCUGCUUGAUCUUAUAAUUUGCUUUCUAAACCCUCAAUUAUAACUUCAUGUUUUUUAUCUUCAAGAUCUUGUUGCAUUCUUAAAGCUUUACUCAACAGCAUACUCUGUGCACAAGCAACCUUUGUUAGAAAACACCUUCGUUGUUCAAAACAAUAAAAAGUCGAAGAAAAGUUUUUUACCUUGAAAUUAGAAUAGAAUAAACUACCGACAAGAUGCUGUCGUCGGUAGCGGCUUAUGUCAGUCUCAAGCUUUGGGAAACCAAUACUCUUUGACAGAGUACCGAUAACCUUCGCUCUGAUUUGAUCUCAGACGCAGCCCAAUUUUUCAUCGUCAACACCGCCGAAGAGUAGUGCCCCUGGUUGAUACCCGCAAGAUAUGGCGUAUUCUCUCAACUCUUCUUUCUCAGCCUCCGACAAGCCUUGCCCAAUUAAGUUUUGAAAGUUAAAGUUUUCUUCUUCCGAAGCUUCUUUAGCUAUUUCCUUCUCCUUCUCAGGUACUGUAGCCAUGGCUUCUUCAGCGACUGCGGCAACUUCUUCUGUGGCCAUGUCCAGAAGUAUCUUAUCAAUGUUAGAAAGUGUGCUUUCUAAAUGUACAUCUUCGGCUGUGGCAGCUUCAGCAGCUGCAGCUUCAGUAGGUGCAGCUUUGGUAGCUGUUGCGCUCUCAACAGCUAGUGCCUUCGAAGCCGAAGCUGCUGGUGGUGUCCCUUCAAUAACUUCUGUCACUGUAACAAUUCUUCGUUUUUUCAGCCCAGCUGCUUUCUUCGUUAUCGAGGGAUCCUUUUCCUUCUGAAAAAGCUUCAUCAGAUGCGGCCCAGUGGACUUAGCUUGAUAGGCAAAGAUUCAGUCAUUACCUUUAAGAUUUCCUCCACGUCGGGGGCAGAAGGUGUUGCAGCAGUUUCUUCUUCUAUAUCAGUUGCCUUCUGCUUUGGAGCCGCAGCCUUUCUUUUCUUCAAAGCAUCUAUCUUCGGCUCAGGCCUCAGCUUUCUCUUUUUCAGUUUUUCUUCAUCAUCUUUCACCAAUUUAGCAUCUUCUUUAUUCAGGACGCUGGCAACUCUCUUUCUCUUCUGUCCUUUGGCGCCUCGGUCCAGUCGCUCAUAGUCAGGAUACUCAAAGUUCAGAGCAUCCAUUACCGGUUUAACCUUCGCUUCGGACGAGUGCUGAAGGCUACAGUCAUUAGUUGAUCUUCUUUUUUAGAAUAAUUGCCAAGAAUGUCGUUGCACAUAACUUCAAUUAUGUCUAACCAUUCUUGGCAAGGUACUUUGAAAUGUUUCUUGAAUUUAUAAGUAGGGUAACCGAACAAGUUCCCCCUUUUUCUUUUCUCCCUUGAGCUUCGGCAUGUCCCACUCUUUCAAAGUUGGGAACACUCUAAAAGCCAAGAAUUCUUGCACCAGAUCCCUAGUGCCAAUAUGCUCCGCAAUAACUCGAAAUUCGCCCAGUGCAAUUAGGCUUGGACUCUUUGGUGUCAUGUUGCACUGGGGUCUGGUUUCUCCGAAGAUUAAUUCCAGUGGACUUUGGACCAGCUUCUCCUUUUCUUCAUCAACUUUGACGUAAAACCAUUCAGUCUUCCAGCCAGCUGGCCACUUGGUAUGAUAGCUGAUAACUGGAAACUUUGUAUUUUUGCGAUAGGCAAAAUUGUAGUAGUCGAAGUUUUCAUGUAGCCCAUCCUCUCUAGCUUUUGUUUGAUAAUGAAGCUCAUGUACUCGGCAGAAGCCUUCGGCAAAUGGUUCUACCCCCUGGCUUCGGAGGGCCCAGAUGUAGACACUAAGCCUAACGAUGGCGUUAGGAGUUAGUUGAUGAAGAUAAAUCCCAAACUUCUUCAAAACAUCAGCAAUCAUCCCAUUCAAAGGAAAUCUUAAUCCUGCUUUAAAGAAGCUUUUGAACACUACCACCUCAUCCUUUUCCGGCUUUGGAGUAAUUUCCUCUCCGCCAAAACGAACCAGCUCCUUCUUUGCUUCACUGAAAUAACCUAACUUCAUCAGCUUAGACAUAUCACCUUCGGUAAUGGUGGAUUUCCCAAACUCCAGGUGGCUGGGUUUAGAUGGCACGGCGUUGUAAUCAUCUUCAGAUUCAAUAUCCUCAACAUUAACCUGCUCAGCUUUAGCGGCAGGUGCAUCCUCCGAAACUACCAGCCCUGACCGCUGCAUCACUUCAGAGAUUGGAGCAGCUUCGGCACCUUCGGCUUCCUCUCCGUCGCGAGUAACCCUAGCUGUUGAGCGUACCCUAGCCAUCCGAUGAUUGAAUUUCUUGUUUUUUGACGAAGUUGAAAAUUUUUUAACUUUGCCGAAGCUCUUUCUUGUUACAAAGCUUGAGCAAAAUGAAUAGCUUCGAUUGAUGAUGCAGUAAGCAAGCUUCGGAUAUGGUUAAAUUUUUGGCAGCAAAACAGUGCAAUAGCAAUGAAUGUUGUGGUAACUUCACACCUACCCGUCUGUUUAUAUAGUGCCGCGGGUGGGAAGGUAAAUCGUCAAGUCUUCCGCACCGGACAAACAGUCGCCCGCACCCACUGAACGGUGGGCCACAGAGCCCAAGAAGGUGAAUCGCCAGGACGCGCGCAAUCACUGCAUGGUGGGGCCACCUCCCGCUCGGAUUAUUUUAAUCGUUUCUCGACAACGAGCUCAGGGAAGGUGUUUUUCGGAUCUUCGGCAUCCUGAAGCCUAGGAGAUUUUUUCACGGAUCAAGCUCGUUACUAAAAACGAUCUAGCACCGCGAAGGGGCUACUAUUGGGGGUAUGCUUCGUAGCCGAAGAUCCUGAAGAAAGAAACACCUUCGGUAGAUCCUCUCAAAAGUAGUGCCGCAGCUGUCACUCAUAAAGCUUCGGCAUAGUGACAUGACUCAAGACGAAGGAGUGAACCGACUUAAAGAUGAAAUGACCAAUAGACCCAUAAUAGUUUGUGUCUUGAUUGUAAUCGAUUGUAAAGGGCAUAAAUGUAAUUUCACACAGGUUGUGCCCUGUACCUAUAAAUAGAUGAACAAUACCCUCGUACUGUUCACACAGUCUGGUAAUCGCUUGCACGCGACACUUGGAUUAUUGCCUUCUGUCAAGACGAAGGUAUAAAUGUGAUUAAAUGUUAUGUUUUGAUAUUUGAAUUUAUAUAAUAAAAUAUAUGAAUAAGUUUAUGUGUUUUAAUAUAUUAUUCCUUCAUGUCUUAUAUUUUAUAUUUCAUCUUUCAUUAUUUCACAAUUCUAGUUACGAAGGUAUGACCUUCGUGAUUUUUGCUCAUGACCUUCGUCCAAAGUUCAUUAUAUCCUUGGGGAGAUAAUGCUUCAAUGGACGAAGGUCAUUAACAUUUAACAUUUUAUGUUGUCUUGUUCUUAAUUCGAAGCAUUUGAGAACUAGUCCCCAACAAUGAGUAUGAUUAGCAAUUUUCCUAUCAUAAAUGAAGGCAUGGUUCCUUUGAGGAUUACUAACCAUAGUCCAUAGGUGCCUUCCCUUUCUCCUUGUUGGGAAUGGGAGCCCUUUGGCUUGUUAAGUUCUUGGCUUCCUUUUAAAAACCAAGCCCAUCCUUAAUUGAGGGGUGUCUACCAACGGUGUAGGCAUCCCUAGCAAAUUUUAAUUUAUCAAAAUUAAUUUUGCAAGUCUUAAGUUGAGCAUUAAGACUUGCCACCUCAUCAUUUAAUUUGGUAAUAGAAGUAAGGUGUUCAUCACAAGCAUCAACAUCAAAAUCCUUGCAUCUAUUACAAAUAACAACAUGUUCUACCCAUGAACUAGAUUUAUUAACUCCCUCUAGCUUAGUAGUUAAUUCAUCAUUUAAACUCUUUAAACUAUAUACAGUUUCAUGGCAAGCAGAUAACUCAGAAGAUAGCAUUUCAUUCCUCUUAGUUUCUAAAGCAAGAGAUUUUUGCACACUAACAAAUUUGUCAUGUUCCUCAUAUAAAAUAUCAUCUUGUUUUUCUAAUAAUCUAUCCUUUUCAUUUAGAGCAUCGAUUAAUUCAUUAAUUUUCUCUACUUUGGCUCUAUCUAAACCUUUAAAUAGACUAGAGUAAUCUACUUCAUCAUCAGAGGAAUCUUCAUCACUAGAAGUAGAGUACUUAGGGGAAUCUCGAACACUUACCUUCUUCUCCUUGGCCAUGAGGCAAGUGUGGCGUUCGUUGGGGAAGAGCGACGACUUGUCGAAGGCCGAGGCUGCCAGUCCCUCAUCAUCGGAGUCGGAUGAGGAGCAGUCGGAAUCCCAUUCUUUUCCAAGAUGAGCCUCGCCUUUCGCCUUCCUAUAGCUUUUCUUCUUCUCCUUCUUCCCAUGUCUUGUCCCUGGUCAUUUUCAUUAUUGGGACAUUGAGCAAUAAAAUGACCAGUCUUACCGCAUUUGAAGCAGGAGCGCUUUCCCCUUGUUUUAUGUGAUGGAACCUCCCAAGUAAUUAGGCCCACCUACAGUUGUCCUUGUCCAACAGACAUCAGACACCCUGUAGAUGUUCCUAAGUCACUUGACAAGUUCGGUAUCUUUCCUUACCUUACCAGGAACGUUUCACCCGUCUUGCAGACAUUACAGAACAUCGGAGAUAAAGAAAUGCGGAAGCGAUUACAUAAAUUACAUUUAUUUUAAAAACAAGCUUAAGUUAUUUUAUUACAGACCAGAACUAAAAAGGCGAGUGCUGAGUAGUAAUAUUAUACAAACCAAGGGAGGCACAGACUCCUCCCGAUAAGUUAUAAGCAAAAGAUCCUAUGUGGAGGACCGAGUCCUCCCGCACUUCAGUCUUGUUUUUCUUCUUUAGGAACCACCUUGGCACAGAAGCAGCAGAAAUCUGCUACUUCCUCACCUAAAAACAACGAAGGGAUAAACCCUGAGUAUGGAAUUACUCAGCAAGUCUUACCCGACUAAAGAAAAGACUCUCAAGGGUAUGCUGGUUAUAUGGGAGUCAAGGUAAGGCUUUUCAAUAAUCAAAGACUCUGUUUUGCAGAAAUGCUUACUAAAGUGGAUCCUUAAAAAUCCAAUUUUAUUUGUCAAGUUAAGUACAAUUACCUGCAACUAGAGUUCUUUCUACCCUAGUUCAAUCACUGGUCCUGCACUAGCCAAUUUCUUAACAAAAGCCCAUCAUCUUUAGUGGAAUGCUACGUGUAGGGCAGUGACCAAGUCUUCAUAACCGCGAAGGUACGGCGAUCCGAAUCGAUUAUACUCAGCUGAGGAUCUCCAAUCACACGACAUAUGUAGCACUUAACCCUUGCAUAUGUCAACCCGCCACCGGGGUUCUUAAGACCAGAUCAGGUUCACGCAAACCGAGAGCACAUAUACACCACCGUCCAGCCUCUUGCCACGGAGGGUACACGCUACUCUCGCCACCGCUCCACGCCCAUUUCGUGUUAUCUUAUUCUGGCCUUAGUCUGCCCGAGGCAAGGCUUACCCAUGACGAGGCAUGUGACCAGUUAAAGGGUCCUCGAUCAUCAAGCCUACAUCGACAAGGUCAUUAAUCGACUCAGACGGAGACACUACACCGAGACUCUUUUCUCGUGCAAGUCACCCGCCCGGUCUCAGCUUAAUCAUUUAAACCCAAAUCUUGGUACCUGGCAGAGGUACAUCUUUUCCGAUGUUGAACCCAUCAUGGCCAUGAUGGAUCCACCAUCAAGUUUUAUUUUUGAAAACAACCCUCCCACUUUGCCAAACAUUUUUUUGUAAAACAAAUCCUUUUGUUUUUCUAGAGCAAUACUAAGCAUAGUAAAACCUCUUUGUAAAAAUAGGGUUUCAAGGAAGGUAAUCAAGUUCAAGGAAGGUAAUGCAAGAAUUGUUUUAUCAAGCAACUCCUAUCACCUAAUGCAGCAAGCAAGUGAGAAAGAUUUUUUUAAAAACAUCAAGGGAGGUGGCAAAUGCACCGGGGCUUGCCUUCGUUCACAGGUGAGUCGGGUUCGGAUCCACAAAUAUCGAAGUAGAAGCAGUUGCCUGCUUGAGAAUCCGAAGGUGGUGGUGUCCUUUCCUCGGUGACUUCUAUUUCUUCUUCACGUUCUAAUCAUAACCAUACAUAGGUAUAAGAAUGGAUGCCAUGGGAUGCUCAUGAGGAUGCAAAGAUAAUAUAAACUUAUUAUCUAUGUCUUGAAUACAACUUUCCUUCACGGAACUCCGAGAACUUAGGGUUUCCGGAGUCGGUAAAGGAGUUCAAAGGGCAGGAGGGUGGUUUUGGGUUCUAGUUAUCAAACAUGGUUCAAAUCAAUUCAAACUCUACCCAAGGCUUCUAAAUAUUGCUUUAAGUUUCCAUAAAAAGUUUAGGCAUUUUUGGACUUACCAAUUAUUUUCUAAAAAUCUCUAACUAAUACUUUUAACUACUUUAAUUAAAUGCCCUAAAAUUUCUUAUUUCCACUAAAAAUCACAAAACCAUUUUUAUUAAAUUCUAGGGAAAAUAAGGAGCCUAGGAAAAUUGGUUUCACAAUUUUAUCAUUUUUCUACGAUUUUCUAAAAUUGUUUUAGCUCUGGAGUAAAAAGAAAAAGAAAAACUUAUGAAUAGUACUGGGCUGAUUUCAGCCCAGUGGCCCAACUCAGAGGGAGAAAGCGCCCGCGCGCGCUGGCUGUUUUGCGCAAAAGUCCUUGGGGUUUUCACUAACUGGGAUCCGGUCUUCCACUGUUUAACACAGUCGCUGACAGUUUGCAUAAAAGUCCUCCCACUUCUAUCUAUUCUGGGUUUAAAGUCCCCGACGGUGCAUGGCGCGGCAGAGCUCCGGCGAGCUCCUGGACCGGCCAAACGGGGCAAGGAUAGGUGCUACUGAGCGGUCUACACCAAAUUCACGGCCUAUCAAUGGUUUCCCCCCAAUCAAUUUCAUAUUUGGUGAUCUAUUUCGCUCUGCCCACGAGGACAGCGAAAGCUAUAGACAUUAGUUCGUGUUCCCAGUGAUUGGUGGGCUUCUAGUUUAAUUGGACGGUUUGGAGAGCAUCACCAGCAUACAGGGACAUGAGAACAACACGCGAAUUGGAUGGUGCCUUACCAGAACGGACUGGCCACGGUGGAGUGGUGCUUUACGGUGGCGGAGACCAAUUUGGGGGAAAAGGGGAAUUCUCCGGCUAUGGUGGGCAAUCGAGGGGAAGAACGGGUGUGUGGGCUUCGUGAUGACCUAACACAGCUGCCCGGGGGCUCAAUUUAUAGGCAGCUUCGUCGGUGGCGCUUAAUUUGGCCGGGUCGUGCGGGUGGCCGGAGAUAAGGAAGAGCACUGUCGUCGCGACUUCGUGUCCCCCGCCGUGGCAACCUCACCGGCGUUGAUGAGAAAGCAGUAAGGAGUCACGAUGAUACGACGGGGUGCACGGAUACGUGGCAUAAGGCCGUGCGACGAUGGUUUAUCGGCGAACCCAUCGAACCUUCCACCGCGGCAUACACGGUACGGUGGCCGGACUUGUUUAUGGCCGGAGUUAUCCACGGCGAGGAUAUUUAUGUGACCCAAAGUGCUAUCCAACUUAGCCAAGCCCAAAUCGCGGCAACAGCAGCACGAAUCGCGGCGGUAGGUCACCGGCGGUGAGGACCGUUGCGCUGGCGAUCUGAUCCUCCCGAUAGCACUGUACCAUGGAGGAAGUUCAGUUAGAUGAACCUGACAGAGCCAUUUUAGGUCCAAAUUUCUCUAAAGUUUCUCUAGUAACUCACUCCACUCUCUGUAGCAAAGUUUCAGAGCUACAAACCAGCUACAAUUCGACUAUAGGGAUUAAACUUAGUUGAGCAAUGGAUCAUGCUCAGAAUUGAGCUUGAAGUUGAUGUCAGUCCACUGUUAGUCUGAAAAUUCAGACCUUAACAGCCUGACAUCCAGAUUUUGAGCAUGAUUAUCUCCAGAUUUUUCUUAACAACUAUGCUCACACCCUUAAGCAAAGUUGUUCUCCUUAGCUUGGUCUACAACUUCGAUAUGGUGACCUAGGGCAAAAUCCCUAGAGUUUGAAAGUUACAAGGCUCAAAAGUUGAGCAAAAACUCUGAAAUUCAGACUUAGGCUAUUUGGGACUUAAGAGGUGAGUUUUGCAAAUAGACCCAAAACUUAGGGUUUACUUGCAAAUUCACAUAUGGGUGACCCAAAUGACUCAAAAUACUUAUUUAACUUGGUUUUUGCACUUUAAUCCAAAAGUUAACUAAUUUUGCACAUAAGCCCCUAGGUUUUGGUUUUAGGGUUUUCUAGGGUUCUAAUUGGGAUUUUUGGUACCCCAGGGGCAUAAAUGUGAUUCCACUUUGUUUUUGGGGACAUUUUAUGACUCUUCCCUAAAGCCUUUAGGUUUUCUCAUAUUGGGUUAGGUCUUACCCCUUUAAUACCUAUUUAGGGUUGAAGCUUCCUAUCCAGGGUCCUAUUUGCAAAACAUUAAAACAAUACAACUUGUUUGAAAUUUUUGCCUAGUGAAUGCACUCUAGGUGUAUCAAACAUAUGCAAUGCCAAUGCUUAUGAUGCCAUGCUCAAGUUUUAGUUAUAGUAACACCAGGGGUGUUACAUCCUUUCCCCCAUAAAAGAAUCUCGUCCCGAGAUUAAAAGUCCUAGGGUAAGUAAUGGAAAAGGAAACGCGGAAUACUUUUAUUUCCUUAUUUUUGGUACAAGGCAGGGGUGAUGUGGGGGUUCAUUCCUUUAUUGCAAUAACUAUAUACACUUUACAAAUUACAUGAGGCUAGAAAGCCUGGGAAAUUCUUAUUCAAGAAGUCUUGAGUUUCCCAAGUAGCUUCAUCUUCAGAAUGCUGGUUCCACUGUAUCUUAUAAAACUUGAGAGUUUUUCUCCGGGUAACCCUGUCCUUUUGAUCCAAGACUCGAAUAGGGUGCUCAGAGUAUGUUAAGUCCGGUUCAAGGACAACAUCCGUUACUUCAAUGGUUCGAUCGGGAACUCGAAGACACUUCUUCAAUUGUGACACAUGGAACACAUUAUGCACAGCAGACAAGGUUUCGGGUAGUUGGAGUCGGUAUGCCACUGGUCCACAUUGCUCAAGUACCAGGAAUGGACCAAUGUACCUGGGUGCAAGCUUCCCUUUAACCCCAAAACGCGAUACUCCUUUCAUUGGUGAGACUUUCAGGUAAACAUAGUCUCCUUCCAGGAAAUAUAAGGGCAUUCGCUGUGUGUCUGCAUAACUCUUCUGACGAGCUUGUGCCUUCUUCAUUGUUGGGGCGAAGGCAAAGACGCCACCCUUCGCUCGAGGCCUUCGCUGCAGCCGCUGGUCCGACAGAGACAAAGCGGGCAGGGACACCCUUCGCAAGACUCGGCACGUUGACGAAGGCCUGCGGCGACGUCCUACCACGGCGCGUCCUCGUUCAGUCCCAAGGCCCACGUGCGAUCUGGCCCAUUGUAACGGGCCCCGCGUGGCCGCCUCUGUAUUACGGGCCUGACUUGUAAAGGAGUACUUGUAAUUACGGUCUGUAACCCUGCUUUAUGGGAAUAUUCUGGGGAUAAAAUAGGUGUCUGAGGGCACAUGCGUCCUUAACACAAGACGCUGGGCACUCAGAUACCUAUAAAUACCCCCGCACAGUGCCCGUGAGAGGCUAGAUCAACAGUGCUAUUGCCCCCGUGCACGUAACCCUGUUGUCACCACCGUUCACUCUUGUUGGCCUUCUUGCUGCAGAGAGCAAGUUCCAACAUUUGGCGCCCACCGUUCGUGCUACGACAAAACCACCCGCGAUGGCACCCAAGAGAGCUAACCCCAAGGCUGACGAGGCUGCGAAGGCAGCACUGCUGGCCGCAAGAAAGGGCAAGGCCCUCGUCCUCACGCAAUCCACCCACCAAGAGCCCACUGAAGACAAUGUUCCCCACACCGGCGAAGACGACACCUUCCGCACCUGCGGAACCGAAGGACAGUCACAGCCGCCCCCAGGCUUCGCCCCACUGGAGGGCGCGGACCUCACCGAGGACGGCGAGGUCCUCGGCGUCUCAACAGAAGAACAGCUGCAGCUGCGCGCCCUGCGCCUCAGGAACCGCAAUCUCCAAAGGCAGAAAGAGAUACUGGAGGCCAAGCGCCAGCGUGUGUCCGCACUAGCCAAAGUGCGGCAAAUGAUACGCGACGAGGAGCAGAAAGCCCAAGACCUCGAGCGCGAGAUCGCGCUGAUGCAGCGCGAAGGCCACCUCGGUCUACAGCAAGAGCCACCCCUCCAACAGCGCACACAACCGGAGGACACACGCGAAGGCCACCUCGGCCGGCAGCAUGGCCCACCCCUGCAACACCGGGCGCAGCCGGAGAUCCCGCGUUUCCCCCAGCAUGACUACGUCUCCCAGCACGGCGCGCCAUUCCAAGGGGUCAACUACCUCGACGAGCGAAGUCCCCUGGCGCCACACCUACAAGUGACGCCCUGGCCGGCUAACUUUCGAGCGGGGGCAUACCCCAAGUACAACGGCAGCACCGACCCGGCGCAGUACAUCAUGAGUUAUCAGGUCGCCGUUGCAUCAGCCGGAGGGGACGACGCCACAAUGGCGAAGUCUUUCAUCAUCGCACUAGAGGGCCCAGCACUCACCUGGUUCACCAGAUUGCCUCCGCUGUCCAUCGAUUCGUGGAGAAGUCUCAGGGACAAGUUCCUCCUCAACUUCCAAGGCUACCGUCCAGACACCGACGCUUUGGCCGAGCUCUCACUUUGCAAACAGCUGGAAAAAGAGACUCUGCGUGAGUAUUACCGCAAGUUCUUAACACUCAAGUCACAGCUGCCCUCUGUCGACGAUCAGAUCGCUAUCCACUACGCCAUCAAUGGCCUUCGGGCUGGCGUCCUCUACAGCCAUUGUAUCAGAGAUCCACCAAAGAGCCUGCAGGAGCUAUAUCAGCUCUUCGAAAAAUAUGCCAAAUCCGAAGAGCUCCACCAGCGCAAGGUUGAGUCACAGCGGAAGCCCAAAGAUGCCCCGCAGUCCAGCCGCACCUGGACGAGGACUCCGCAACCAGACUCCGGUCGAGAUAGCCGCAGUCAACAGCAAGUGCACAACAUCGUCAACCAACAGCCUGCUGCUGAUCCCCCUCGCCGCCAGGAAUAUCCCCCUCAGGGCCGCGGAAACGGAACGCGCGGCAGGGGUCGAGGGCGGGCGCAACAGCCGCCGCGCCGAUUCUAUUGCCUUUUCCACGGCGAAGACUGCGCCCACCAGACCAAAGACUGCCCCGAGACGAAGGCCACCAGAGACAGAAUGGCGCGGGCGCAGCCAGCCGACAACCCCAGAAUUGUCGCGCAUAAUUACCAGCCACCCCUCCACCAUAUAUUCACGCUCCCGCUCCGCAUCCACCGCACCACGCUUACCAACACCAUCAGGAAGUACAAAUCGUACCUCCUCCACCCCCACCACCACACCAGCAACAUCAGAACAACCCCCAUGCCCCAAAGCAGGAAGACUUCGCCGAUCAACCAUAUCGCGGAGUCAUUCACAUGAUAACAGGGGGGUCUAGCACUGACUUCGACACCAAGCGGCAGAAGCGGGACCACUACCGCAGCAUCAACCAUGUCGCCGUCACUGGCCCAGUCGUGCAGACGAAGUGGUCCCACAUACCGCUAACCUUCGACGCACGAGACGUCGACCUGCGCAGCGCCCCCCACAUCGACGCUAUGGUCAUCAAUUGCAGCGUGGCAGGCUGGGACUUACACAAAGUCCUAGUCGACAACGGCAGUCAGGCGGACAUCAUCUUCCUCCACGCCUUCGACCGCAUGGGUAUAAGCCACAGCUUGCUGAAGCCUUCGGACAACCCGUUGUAUGGUUUCGGCGGCAAGGGCACCUUCCCAGUUGGCAAGAUAGAGUUGCCCCUCUCCUUCGGUGUAGCGCCCAAUGCCCGAAGUGAGCAAGUAACCUUUGACAUUGUCGACAUGGUAUAUCCAUACAACGCCAUCAUGGGCCGGGGCUCCAUCAACAAGUUCGAAGCCGCCAUCCACGGGUUGUACCUAUGUAUGAAGAUACCAGGCCCGCUAGGCGCCAUCACAGUCUACGGCAACCAGCAGACGGCGCGCAACAUUGAGCGGGACUUCGUGCCCGGUCAGAGAAACGUACACUGUCUCACGACCCAGCGCGAGGUCCCUGCGCCGGCCAGCCCAACCGACAAGCAGCACGACAAGGCACAGUUGCAGUGCCAAGAUGGGACCAAGACCGUCCCCCUCGAUCAGGCCACGCCCAAGCAGACAGUAACUAUCAGCGAAGACCUCACCUCACUCGAAGAAGAGAGACUUCUCUGCUGCCUGGCCAAGAAUAAAGAUGUCUUCGCCUGGUCUGCCCUCGAUCUGGUCGGAGUCAGCCGAGCCAUAAUUGAGCACAGCUUGGGGAUUGACCCUUCGGUGCGACCCAAAAAGCAGAAGCUUCGCAAAAUGUCAGACGAGAAGACAGAGGCCGCCAAGGCGGAGGUGCAUCGCCUCCUGGAGGCUAAAUUCAUCGAGCCAGUGGCUUACCCCACGUGGCUCUCCAAUGUUGUGAUGGUGCAGAAAAAAAGCGGAAAAUGGCACAUGUGCAUAGACUUCACCAGUCUCAAUAAAUCCUGCCCAAAGGACAAUUUCCCGUUGCCGCGGAUCGACAAAAUAGUCGAUAGCGCGGCCGGAUGCGAGGUCAUGUCCCUCCUCGACUGCUUCUCCGGCUAUCACCAGAUAUACAUGAAGGAGGAAGACAAAGCCAGCACCAGCUUUAUAACACCCUUCGGCACCUAUUGCUUUGUCAGAAUGCCGGAGGGUCUCAAGAAUGCCGGAUCCACCUUCUCCAGACUCACCAAAACAGUGCUCGAGGGGCAGGUCGGCAGAAAUAUAUUCACAUAUGUGGACGACAUCGUCGUCGCCAGCAAAAAUAAGGAGGACCACCUCGCCGUCCUGGCAGAAACAUUCGCGAACAUGCGAGACGCACGACUCCGCCUAAACCCGGAAAAGUGUGUUUUCGGUGUUCGCCAGGGCAAGAUAUUGGGCUACCUGGUGUCCCGCCGGGGCAUCGAGGCCAACCCAACCAAGAUCCAGGCCAUCGUCGAUAUGUCGCCUCCGCAGUCGGCCAGGGACGUCCAGCGCCUGACAGGCAGGAUGGCCGCUCUCAACAGAUUCAUCUCCAGGUCCGCCGAGCGAAGUCUUCCAUUCCUCAAAACACUCCGCGGCGCGAAAGACUUCGCCUGGGGACCGGAGCAAGCAGCGGCCUUCGCCUCAUUAAAACAGUACCUGGCGGAGCUGGCCAUCCUCACAAGCCCAGACUCCUCGCUCCCCUUAUUGCUCUAUGUCGCGGCUUCGCCGCACGCGGUCAGCGCGGCACUGGUACAGGAGCAGGCAGUCGAGGGCGCAGUCAAACAGUGCCCUGUCUAUUUCGUCAGCGAAGUCCUGACACCGUCCAAAUGCAACAUGACAGAGCUGGAGAAGAUUGCCUACGCAGUUGUCAUGUCCUCGCGCAAGUUGCGCCAUUAUUUUGAAGCAUUUAAGGUCCGAGUCACCUCAGACAGGGGGCUCGGCGAAUUAUUCAGGAACCCGGAGGCAUCAGUGAGGAUUGCCAAGUGGGCAGCCGAACUCUCCGGCUACCACAUCAGCUUCGAGCCCAGGACAGCUAUCAAGUCGCAAGUCCUGGCAGACUUCGUCGUCGACUGGACAGGGCCAAUAACGCAGCCGGACCCAUCCACAGAAAAGGUCUGGACUAUCCAUUGCGACGGUGCAUGGUGUCAUGCGGGGGCAGGCGUCGCUGCAGUCGUAACCUCACCAGCCGGAGUCAAACACAGAUACGCAGCACGUCUCAGCUUUGCUCUGGAAUCUGACAAAUGUACAAACAACAUAGCAGAGUAUGAAGCAGUCAUCCUCGGUCUCCGCAAACUAAGGGCCCUCGGAGUCACCACAUGUAUCAUCAAAACAGACUCCAAGAUUGUUGCCGGUCAGGUCGAGAAAGACUAUGCAGCAAAAGACCCCGCGCUCAUGCAAUACCUCGCGGCUAUCCGAAGUCUCGAGAGACAGUUCAAGGGAUUCACCCUACAGCAUGUUGAUAGGGCCAGGAACGAGGAGGUCGAUGCCUUAGCCAAGGCCGCCGCCAGGGGCGAGCCCCUGCCCUCCGACGUGUUUUUCCACACCAUCGGCACUCCAGCUGUCCGGAGCCCCGAAGGGCUCCAGAUCACUAAUGAUAGCGAAGGCCACCGUACAGUCAACCUAAUCAUGACAGAAGACUGGAGGGCACCAAUAACCCUGUUCCUACAGGGAUACUAUCAUCCAGCCGACGUCAGUGAGGCAAAGCGCCUCAGACAUCGAAGCCGGGACUUCGCUCUGAUCGAAGGCCAACUGUACAAGAAAGGGGUCAGUCAGCCAAUGCUCAAAUGCGUCACCGAGACCGAAGGCAUGCAGAUCCUACGCGAAGUCCACAGCGGCACGUGCGGCUCGCACGCAGGGCCAAGGGCCCUGGCUGCCAAGGUGAUCCGUCAAGGGUUUUACUGGCCCGCAAUGAUCUGCGCCGCAAAUCGGGUCGCGAAGUCCUGCGAAGCCUGCCAGAAGUUCUCCCCUCGGUCAGGCAACCCCUCGCAAUAUACAAAGCUGAUUGCCCACACAUGGCCUCUCCAGCGCUGGGGCCUGGACAUCGUCGGGCCCCUGCCCACCGCUCAGGGGAACCUUAAGUUCGCCUUCGUAGCCGUCGAAUACUUCACCAAAUGGAUUGAAGCGAGGGCUGUUUCCACAAUCACAUCAAAGACUGCCCAAAAAUUCUUCUGGCAGAACAUCGUUUGCCGCUUCGGAGUACCGUCCGAGCUAACAGUCGACAACGGCAAGCAGUUCGACAGCCAAGAUUUCAAGGAUUUUUGUUUCUCCAUCGGCACCAAGCUUGCCUUCGCUUCAGUCUAUCAUCCGCAGUCCAACGGGGUCGUGGAGCGCGCCAAUGGGAAAAUAUUCACAGCUGUCAAAAAGAUGCUCCUCGAUGAAAGAAAAGGCAGGUGGACCGAUUUAUUACCAGAGGCAGUCUGGGCGCUCAACACAACCGAGUGCAGAGCAACCGGGUUCACUCCUUUCCGCCUUCUAUACGGAUCGGAGGCAAUGACCCCGCAAGAAAUAAAGCAUGGGUCCCCACGUACAGUUCCGUCAGCCGUCCCCGACGUGGAUGAGCCAACUUCAAAAGAUCUCAUUGACGGAGACCGGGUCUUCGCCUUACAGGCCCUGAACAAAUAUCAGGCCCAGACCAAAGCAGGGCGCGACCGUGCAGUCAUCCCGAGGGAGUUCAGCGAGGGGGACCUCGUACUCAUCCGAACAGCUCGGACGGAGUCCAAGGGCAAAUUGGAGCCCAAGUGGGAGGGCCCCUUCAUAGUCAAGUCAAAAGCUUCCCCCAGUGCUUACAGGCUCACAACGCCAAACGGCGAGGACCUAGAGCACUCCUGGAACGUCGACAACCUUCGCAAAUUUUUUGUUUGACCCAUUUAGGGCCGAUUUCGCCCUUGUAAUUCGCCGCAAACAAUCUUGUACCGGCCCGCACUCUUUUCCUCCCGGGGGGUGAGGUUUUUAACGAGGCGGAGCCAUGUAAUAUACGUGAGAAAAAAUCCCCCACAAAAGCAUGUCGAAAAAAGACCGCAACAACGGUCUUCGGCAUUCGACCAAUUUGAAGUCACCGCGAGGCUAAGCGCUAGCCACCCUCGCGUGCGACCAAUCCGCGCAGAAGUCGCCUAAGGGUGCAGCCGGACUUAGCACAACAAGUGCGCAAAAAACGAAGUCUAUCGCGAAGACUAUCCGCGCAGAAGUCGCCUAAGGGUGCAGCCGGACUUAGCACAACAAGUGCGCAAAAUCCGAAGUCUAUCGCGAAGACUAUCCGCGCAGAAGUCGCCUAAGGGUGCAGCCGGACUUAGCACAACAAGUGCGCAAAAUCCGAAGUCUAUCGCGAAGACUAUCCGCGCAGAAGUCGCCUAAGGGUGCAGCCGGACUUAGCACAACAAGUGCGCAAAAUCCGAAGUCUAUCGCGAAGACUAUCCGCGCAGAAGUCGCCUAAGGGUGCAGCCGGACUUAGCACAACAAGUGCGCAAAAUCCGAAGUCUAUCGCGAAGACUAUCCGCGCAGAAGUCGCCUAAGGGUGCAGCCGGACUUAGCACAACAAGUGCGCAAAAAACGAAGUCUAUCGCGAAGACUAUCCGCGCAAAAGUCGCCUAAGGGUGCAGCCGGACUUAGCACAACAAGUGCGCAAAAACGAAGUCUAUCGCGAAGACUAUCCGCGCAGAAGUCGCCUAAAAGGUGCAGCCGGACCAAGCACAAACGCGCAAAAAUCCGAAGUCUAUCGCAGGAACCGCCUAAGGGCGCAGCCAGCACAGUAUAACAAAAAGCAGAAACAACAGCAAGACCAAUCAAUCAAUCACACCAGACAAAGUACACAGCGCCCUCGCAGGCACAGGCACGCGAGGGCACACAACUCCAUUUUACAAGCCUUUACACAUACACAAGCGAGGGCACCACGCCCUACAUCGGCUCAACCUUAGGAAUAAUCCCCAUCUCUCUAUAAUUAAAUAACAUUAUCCUAAGCUCCUCACCCGCAAAAAGGCUUCGCAGCUCACCUUCCCCUACACCCGAGGCGGCCGGCAAAGACAGCAGCUCCUGCCGGCCAGCCCUACUAACGCGAAGCCGAGCCCCUUCCUCCGCACUAAUCCUACGCUUUGCAACCGCCCUUCGUCGUCGGUGCCCGGUGCUAGGACCGGGCACGCCUGGCGCGUCCGCAGCGUGUGGUGCAGCCUCCGCCGCAGCCACGUCCAAGGCCGCAAAAUAAUCCAAGUCCUCCUCCGACGACUCCUCAGUCCACUCAACCGAGCUCCCAGAGUCAGUAACAUCAAAAAACUCAGAAACAGACCCACCACAUUCAUUUCCAUCUUCCGCGGUCGAAGCCGCCAAAAACUCAGUGGUAGCGGUUGCGUGCGCAGGCCCAAAAUCUUGAACCUGCGCAGCAACCAAAAUUCAGUACAACAUCCAAAAAUCCCUCAACCCUAAACACCACCUACGCCACCUGCGAAGGCCCGGCCGCUGCGGGAGCCUCCGCCGCUGCCUCUGCUGGAUCCUCAGCGCUCGGCACAGUAGCUGCGGGGGCAUCUGGCGCGCCUUCGGCCACCUUUGGGGGAAGGUCUUCGCCGGCCGCGGCAGAUGCAGGAGCGCCCGGUGCAUCUUCCGCAGUCUCCGGGGUAGGUCCCGGGGCGACUCCAGUCGCGGCCUCCGCAGGGGUCGUCUCCGACUCAGGCAGCUCGCUGUUCAGCGCCCCGAAAUCGUCCACCCGCUCGCCGUGCUCCGCCUAAAACAAAACGCACAAAAACUCAGCAAACACACGCACAGACCGCAUCCAGCACACGCCGGGCAAACGACAGCGUUACCUGAGCCCUCGCAGCCUCGGCCCGCGCCCGGACCACCUCACGACCGUAUGAACCCCACAUCCGGUCAUAGAGGGCCCCGGCGGAUUCUUUCACCACGGGGUCUUCGACCUCAAAGAUAUCACGCCCAAAAUCCUCAUCCACCUGGUCGAGGGCCUCAAAGUGCCGGCAGCCUUCGCGAGAGAGCGCGUUCAUCGCUGCCUCGCAGGUGACCAGGGAGGUGAACGCCAUCAACCCCGCCAAGACAGUGGGGAGCUCCUGCAGUUCCUCCUGCACCCAUUCCAGACAGCGAAGCCCGGCCUCUCGCUCCGGCACCUCGAAGUCACCCGUCCGCACACCCAGCUCGCGAUAUGAAGUCAUGAGCUGCGUGCGCGUCCGUUCGGCCUCCGCUCGCAUCGCGGCCUCGGCCCCCUCCGCGCGGCUCUCCUGGGCAGUAAGCCGCCGCUGCAGCUCUCCGGCAAGCUCCUUGGCGAUAUUGCCUUCCGCCCGCGCCAACCUGGCCUCCGCCUGCGCAGCCUGCUCUUUGGCGAUGGCUUCAUUGGCCUCCCUCCUCUCCCCCGCCAGCUGGCGCCGGAGGUCAGCCUUCUCCUUCUCAAGGACGGCCACCUUCUCCGCCAGUUUGCGGCACUUGCUGUCGGAGGCCGACUUCUCACGGACAGCGUCCGCAUGUUGCGUCCGAAGUCUCUCGACCUCGGCAGACAACGCUGCCGUAAGGGCCCCCGACGCAGUGCGGCUGGUGAAGUCAGCCACCUGCAGAACACACGUAAGGUCGUUGCGUAAAAAAAAAGAAAAAAGAAAAAAAUGUAUAGCUCGGCGGACCUGACUCAGCGCCUCCGUCGCUCGACUCAGCGCCUCCGUCGCUCCCUUCAGCCGACGGGUCGCCACGCCCGCCUCGUCUCUGACCAGCGCGAGGGCAGACACCUCGCCUCCGGCGCCAAGGGUCUCUCCCCCGCUUUCGGCGCUGGCGCAGCCGUCGCGAUCGCCGCGCCAGGCACAACUAGAGCAAGCGGGCCCUCGUCCGACCCUGCAACGCGUCAACAAUUAAAAAAAAAAAAGAGGUAUAUAUAUUCAUAUAUACUUACCCCCAAGAUAGUCGUCCACAUCAAUCUCGGUGCCGAAGUCGGCAACGCGCUUGCCAGGCAGCGGUAGCGAUCGGGCCGCCUUCGCAGCCUCCGCCACCCCGCUGGCAGACGGCACCACCUUCGACAGCUUGGGGCCUCCGGCGCCCACCGUCGUCUCCGGCGCCUUGCCAGGCGCGGAGGCGCCCACCUUCGUCGGCAGCGGCGGCUUGCCUCCGCCAGAGGCCUCAGCCUUCGCCGUUCCCCGAUGCCUUUUCGGCCGGGCUUCGUGAACCCUCACAGUCGCCUGGCGUUUUCGCGCCGCGCCUUGGCGAUCCUUGUCCAUCACUGCCCACACAACAUGACCGAUAUUUCGCCCAUAAGGAAAAACUUUCCACCGAUGAACCAUACGAGAUGUAAAACAGUCCUCCUCAGCCGCGCAGGGGAUAGGAAUGUUUUUAGGCCAACAACCCCCGGUAACCCUCAGCAUCCGAGCCGAAGACUCCCGGAGCUCGGGCGAAGACAUCCUCUCCCCCGGGGCCGCACACGUCCUCAUUAAAUCUCUAGCGAAACUAUCAGACACCCCAAGUCUUCCCAUCGCAGUACCUAAUUUUCUCUUUUUCGAGGAGGCGGCGGCCACCAGCGCAGGGUCGCCUCCAGUCUCCACCGCCGGCUUCUUCCCACGGCGGUCUGCUUCGUCUUGUCCAGGGUAACCGUCGUACGGCAGUUGAUUUAAUUCGAAUACCCUGUUCAAGCGUUCAUUUUACCCGCGGAUGUCAAAGCUGCGCUGGCCUUCCGUCCUCGGCACGUAACGCCCCACGAGCCGCACCGCCACGCCCUCUGCAUCACGCACAAAGGCGGCCGGGUCACGGUUUCGCAAAUUCAGUGCGAAGGCAGGACUUCGCACCACCCUUCCUCCGUGAAAGGGCAUCUGGCGAGGGCAUACUUCGCCCAGCGCCCAGCCGUGCGCCAAGGGCCAGACCCCGUACGCCACGAACUCUUCAACUAAAUCUCGACCGCUGCUCUGACCGGCGGCGCACCGAAGGGCCCCUUCGUCUGCAUCCUCUUCUGCCACUUCAUAAGGUGGAUACGCAGAGUAAUAGUGAGAGCACAUUAAGGACACGGGGAGCCCUUCAUGGCCUUCGACAGUAGCCUCAGCAACAUAAAACCAAAAUUCAUUCCAAUUGCCCCACUUGUUGCGGGCGCACGGGACCAACUCCACUACUGGCAUUGUGGUCUUGCCGGUCUUCGGCGUGAAUGUACAUGACCCGAACUGGGCAACUCCGUCCUCAACCAUCCUUUUCUGCCAAUGCAAACAAUAAUUCUUCGCAAAAACUUCAACCGAUGGCUGUCCGCCGUACGAAGUCGUCGCCCAGACAUACUUCGCCAGCGCCACUAUGGCGUUCGGUGUCAGCUGAUGUAUUUGAACGCUGAAUCUACGCAGGACUUCGCUGACAAAACGGUGCGCCGGCAAGCGGAGUCCGGCGACGAAGAACGCCUCGAAAACAACCAACUCGCCCUCCGGCUCGGGGACUUCCUCCGUCCCCGGAGCACGGGCGACCCCGCCGCCAAAGUAGCCCAACCGCUGCAUAUCUUCAAUGCGGGCUGACGUCAUCCGUGACACACCAAAUUCAACAGAGUCGCCGGCGCGCAACUCCUCCACCUCCACGUUACUCAACGUCUCCUCAGACGAGGCGGCGGCCGGCGACGCGGCGUCGGCGGAGGAAGAAGAGGAUGGCAUUGCUACGUACCGUCGUCGGCGGCGGGCGGUCUGCUUCACUCGAGCCAGAACGCCGGCGAGUUAAGGGAGCAGCGGAGGAAAAGGAGCAGCAAGACGACGGGCGGCUAGGGUUUUACGGAGCGCGGAAGGCAGAGUUCAAAAAGCGCCGCCCCCGCCCCCCUUUUAUAGGCGGGGCGCGGCUCUUCGGGAAACCCGCAAUCCGACAGGCCGUGACGCUUCGGGAAACCCGCAAUCCAACAGUACGCCGUCCAUCAACGGUCACAUCAAAAACCCCCGCGGAACCACUUCGAGCGAGGGCAGCGUCUCCGCCAUCUAGUGACGUCUUCGGCACCAGGUGACUUUGUCGAACUGGUCCCUCGGAGGGCAAAUGUUGGGGCGAAGGCAAAGACGCCACCCUUCGCUCGAGGCCUUCGCUGCAGCCGCUGGUCCGACAGAGACAAAGCGGGCAGGGACACCCUUCGCAAGACUCGGCACGUUGACGAAGGCCUGCGGCGACGUCCUACCACGGCGCGUCCUCGUUCAGUCCCAAGGCCCACGUGCGAUCUGGCCCAUUGUAACGGGCCCCGCGUGGCCGCCUCUGUAUUACGGGCCUGACUUGUAAAGGAGUACUUGUAAUUACGGUCUGUAACCCUGCUUUAUGGGAAUAUUCUGGGAUAAAAUAGGUGUCUGAGGGCACAUGCGUCCUUAACACAAGACGCUGGGCACUCAGAUACCUAUAAAUACCCCCGCACAGUGCCCGUGAGAGGCUAGAUCAACAGUGCUAUUGCCCCCGUGCACGUAACCCUGUUGUCACCACCGUUCACUCUUGUUGGCCUUCUUGCUGCAGAGAGCAAGUUCCAACAUUCAUAUUAUAAACAAUUUUCUGAACCUUAUCCUCGGCCUCUUUCACCAUAUCAGGCCUAAAGAAGCACCUUUCACCAGGUUCAGACCAAUUUAGCGGAGUACGACAUCGACGUCCAUAUAAAGCUUCAAAGGGUGCCAUCUUGAUACUUUCUUGAUAGCUAUUAUUAUAUGAAAACUCCGCCAAUGGCAAACAUUCAUCCCAUUUCUGUGAGAAGUCCAGAACACAUGCCCGCAGCAUAUCUUCAAGUAUUUGGUUCACUCUCUCAGUCUGUCCACUGGUUUGAGGAUGAUAGGCCGAACUGUGGAGUAACUUAGUACCCAGGGAUUUAUGAAGUUCUUCCCAGAAUUUGGAUACGAAUUGAGGUCCACGAUCCGACAUUACAGUCUUCGGAACACCAUGCAAACUGAGAAUACGGGCAAUGUACAACUCCGCAUAGGCAAGUACCGGGUAAUAUGUCUUGACCGGCAGAAAGUGAGCAAUUUUUGUGAGCCGACCAACAAUAACCCAGAUAGAGUCAUACCCUUUUGUAGUCCUGGGUAAUCCCACAAUAAAGUACAUACUAAUAUCUUCCCAUUUCCAUGUUGGGAUAGGUAAAGAUUGUAAUGGACCAGUAGUCUUCAGGUAUAUGGCCUUGACACGUUUACAAGUGUCACAUCUAGCCACAUAACGUGCAAUUUCAAUCUUCAUUUUUGUCCACCAGAAGAACACAUAAGGUUACAUGUGUGCAAUUUGCUGCUUCUGAUGACACUGUACUAUCUGAGUCUGUUGGGCAAGUGGCAAUUAUGCAACUUUACCCAAAUAGAAUCAGAUACACCAUCUUGGGUAAACAUACAGAAAGAGAUUUACCAACAAGUGGUCACGGUAAGUUCAUAGCACACGAGACGGGUGUGAUUGUCGAAUAACAUCACGGUCAACUCGUGUUAGCCAAGGAAUCCAAGUCCACGGAAGGUGGUAUAGAUUCAGGAAAAAUCACCAGCGGAGGGAUCUGUAGAUACGGACUUUGCAACCAGUCCAUUUUAUCCAGCACUAGUCGUGAAUCGGCAUGAUCACCCAUGCAGGAAAAGCACGCGUGAGGCGGUCGAGGCACGACUAGAGUGAUGACUAGGUGGUUUCUGGCUGACUUAAUUUUGAGUCUUAAAAGUACUUUCUUCGAAUGAGUUGAACCAAAGUGAGUUUAGAUAGUUCGAUAAAACAAUCUCUAAAUUCAGCCUUCGUUCAUUGGGCAGUUACAAGUUAGUCAAAACCAACUUGUUGAACUACUUUUGACAUUAAGCAAACCCUCUCAGUACCAUUGGUAAGCCAAGGGUUGAGAGUUCACAUUUGCUAACAGGAAAUCCUGCACUUGGUUAUAAAUCCAUUUGGUCAUGUUGUUCAUCUGUUUCUUCAUGCAAGAUGAACCGACUUGGUUAGGAAAUACACGGAUUAAAUAGGAAAGCGAAUGAACAAACUCCUGCGUUUCAGCAGUAGGAGAAAGCAGAUCUCUAUUUUGAGAGCUAAUCAGUUGUUUUCUUACACUAAAAAAACUCCAAGGCUUCACCUUUACACAAAGGAUGUAAAGGGAACUUAUAUGAGUAGUCACUACCAAGAUCAAAAGAAAUAAGACCACACAUGUAAGUGGUAUGUCCUUUUGAUCCGGCAAAGAUGAUAGAUGUUGCUUGAUAACUUGACAAACAACAGAGAAAUUGUUUCAAGGGAGGAGUCCACAGAAGAUCACACAUCAGUGUAGUUUCACAAUGGAUCAUGACCAGAGACCUUGGUACCGGCAUGCGCCAAGCAGCAAAAUCAUGUGUGCGCAUUCACAGGAGGCUCUCAGUUCCGCCGCGGUACCAUAAGUCCUUAACCAUGACACCAUUACAAGACUAGCACCAAUAAUGGAUCUCACGUGGUAAGAACAAUUUGUGUAGGGAUAACAUAUUGAUAUAUUCUCAUAAUGGAUUAUGACUGCUAACUGUGAUACUAGCGUGUAUCGAGCAGCACAACCAUGUGUAUGCAUCCACAGGAGGCCCUCGGUUUUAUCGCAGUAUCAUCAAUUGAAGUCAUAACACCAUUACCAGACAUAACCAAUAAGAAAUCUCGUGUAACACUAAUGGAUUGGGUAAGGGUGACAAUAUACAAAGAGAUACUCUACCAGUAAAGAUGGUUACAAGUAGAGCGCCAAAUAGAUCAUGGCUCGAGGAAGUGAACAAGGCAUGGCCAUAACCUAAACUUGAUGAAAGAAGUAUGAUGGGAGAUUGUUAAUUCAGCCCUAAGUAUAUUUCUAUGCCCAUCAUAGAGAUCACAAGGUCAAGGAUUAAGUUGGUAUGCCUUCGAUAGGUAAAGGCAUCAAAUUCAAGAAAAUGGUCGGACAUGUCUUUCCUAGGUUGGGUUAAUAAAGCAACAUGGCGAUCCGCAAGGAGAGGCCAACUAUACUAGAGACCAUAACCUGUAUCAACUGAACAACAGAAUGGCUCUAGGAGGAGACAUGACUUGAGUUCCUUGUUUGAAGUCCAGGUACACUUUAGGUUCGACAAGGAAAUUAUCUAGACAUUUACUUGUAUGGGUGUGGUCAUGGAAUGAUAACGAAAAGUUCAACUUUGGGUCGGGUCAUGGUUCACUAAAUACUAAUAUAGCCUAAUUCUUGGGUUUAGGCAAUCAAGUCACCAACUCUCUAUUGGUCAUAACUCAACCUGAUGGUUCUCAGAUCAGGGUUGAGAAUUGCUUUAUGCUAGGCUAACCAGUUCAUGCCCAAGAUGACAUCUAUGUCUUGGCCUUUCAGAACAAUCUUAUUAGUAGGAAAGUCCCGUCCGGCCAAUGUUACAGGCACUUGGUAAGCCACUUCCUUUCUCUUUUGGUAGCUUUACUGUCGAAGACCAUUCAUCAACCAACUUUAUAGAGGGAGGGGAUCCCGAAAGGUCCAGUGCACCAUCAAGUGCUUCUCCCGUUACAUGACAAGGUUCGGCUUCCAUCCCGACAGGAUUCGCAGGGACGUUUGGGUGCAGUUGUGAAUACAACACACGAACUUCUUCAUGUAGUGUAUUAUAACAGACCUGCAAGUUAUUCAUGGCUACGCUAAGCUCCUCCACACGGGCUCGAGCUUUGGCUCCCUUAGCCCAAGCAAGUGGACGAGAGUUAACCGCCCAAUCGAGCGCUAGAUCUCGUUUCGCGAGUUGGUCUUGCAAGUAGUGGAUGGCUGCAUCCGCGACCCAUAGAUCAUUCCUGUGACGGAGUUCUGAUGGAAAUAGUUCGACUUGUGCUUCCAGAUCUCGAUAGGAUCGUUACUAUCACUGCUACUUUCUUCAUGUCUUGGGGAAAGUUAAUGGCGGGGUAUGCCAAUGGGUCUAAUAGAUUUGCGCGCGGUCUUUCUGGUGUGCGACAGCAUUUCUCUAAAGGGGAAAUUUUAUUAAUAUAGUUCUUAGCAUGAUGCAUGUAUAAUUACAGAAUCAACCUUAGUUGAUUCAACCUUCUAUACAUUGCACUCUUCCUAUCUGGUCUUUAAGAUAGACUCUUCAGAAUACUUAGGUAAGAAAGGAAGAGAGUUUCUAGGUAAGACUUUUAGAAAAUCCUUUUGAAGAUGCCUCAUAAUAUCUGCAAAGAAGGGCUAUGCUCCGAUACCAGCUGUGACGGAACCUCCCAAGUAAUUAGGCCCACCUACAGUGGUCCUUGUCCAACAGACAUCAGACACCCUGUAGAAGUUCCUAAGUCACUUGACAAGUUCGGUAUCUUUCCUUACCUUACCAGGAACGUUUCACCCGUCUUGCAGACAUUACAGAACAUCGGAGAUAAAGAAAUGCGGAAGCGAUUACAUAAAUUACAUUUAUUUUAAAAACAAGCUUAAGUUAUUUUAUUACAGACCAGAACUAAAAAGGCGAGUGCUGAGUAGUAAUAUUAUACAAACCAAGGGAGGCACAGACUCCUCCCGAUAAGUUAUAAGCAAAAGAUCCUAUGUGGAGGACCGAGUCCUCCCGCACUUCAGUCUUGUUUUUCUUCUUUAGGAACCACCUUGGCACAGAAGCAGCAGAAAUCUGCUACUUCCUCACCUAAAAACAACGAAGGGAUAAACCCUGAGUAUGGAAUUACUCAGCAAGUCUUACCCGACUAAAGAAAAGACUCUCAAGGGUAUGCUGGUUAUAUGGGAGUCAAGGUAAGGCUUUUCAAUAAUCAAAGACUCUGUUUUGCAGAAAUGCUUACUAAAGUGGAUCCUUAAAAAUCCAAUUUUAUUUGUCAAGUUAAGUACAAUUACCUGCAACUAGAGUUCUUUCUACCCUAGUUCAAUCACUGGUCCUGCACUAGCCAAUUUCUUAACAAAAGCCCAUCAUCUUUAGUGGAAUGCUACGUGUAGGGCAGUGACCAAGUCUUCAUAACCGCGAAGGUACGGCGAUCCGAAUCGAUUAUACUCAGCUGAGGAUCUCCAAUCACACGACAUAUGUAGCACUUAACCCUUGCAUAUGUCAACCCGCCACCGGGGUUCUUAAGACCAGAUCAGGUUCACGCAAACCGAGAGCACAGAUACACCACUGUCCAGCCUCUUGCCACGGAGGGUACACGCUACUCUCGCCACCGCUCCACGCCCAUUUCGUGUUUUCUUAUUCUGGCCUUAGUCUGCCCGAGGCAAGGCUUACCCAUGACGAGGCAUGUGACCAGUUAAAGGGUCCUCGAUCAUCAAGCCUACAUCGACAAGGUCCUUAAUCGACUCAGACGGAGACACUACACCGAGACUCUUUUCUCGUGCAAGUCACCCGCCCGGUCUCAGCUUAAUCAUUUAAACCCAAAUCUUGGUACCUGGCAGAGGUACAUCUUUUCCGAUGUUGAACCCAUCAUGGCCAUGAUGGAUCCACCAUCAAGUUUUAUUUUUGAAAACAACCCUCCCACUUUGCCAAAUAUUUUUUGUAAAACAAAUCCUUUUGUUUUUCUAGAGCAAUACUAAGCAUAGUAAAACCUCUUUGUAAAAACAGGGUUUCAAGGAAGGUAAUCAAGUUCAAGGAAGGUAAUGCAAGAAUUGUUUUAUCAAGCAACUCCUAUCACCUAAUGCAGCAAGCAAGUGAGAAAGAUUUUUUUUAAAAACAUCAAGGGAGGUGGCAAAUGCACCGGGGCUUGCCUUCGUUCACAGGUGAGUCGGGUUCGGAUCCGCAAAUAUCGAAGUAGAAGCAGUUGCCUGCUUGAGAAUCCGAAGGUGGUGGUGUCCUUUCCUCGGUGACUUCUAUUUCUUCUUCACGUUCUAAUCAUAACCAUACAUAGGUAUAAGAAUGGAUGCCAUGGGAUGCUCAUGAGGAUGCAAAGAUAAUAUAAACUUAUUAUCUAUGUCUUGAAUACAACUUUCCUUCACGGAACUCCGAGAACUUAGGGUUUCCGGAGUCGGUAAAGGAGUUCAAAGGGCAGGGGGUGGUUUUGGGUUCUAGUUAUCAAACAUGGUUCAAAUCAAUUCAAACUCUACCCAAGUCUUCUAAAUAUUGCUUUAAGUUUCCAUAAAAAGUUUAGGCAUUUUUGGACUUACCAAUUAUUUUCUAAAAAAUCUCUAACUAAUACUUUUAACUACUUUAAAUGCCCUAAAAUUUCUUAUUUCCACUAAAAAUCACAAAACCAUUUUUAUUAGAUUCUAGGGAAAAUAAGGAGCCUAGGAAAUUUGGUUUCACAAUUUUAUCAUUUUUCUACCAUUUUCUAAAAUUGUUUUAGCUCUGGAGUAAAAAGAAAAAGAAAAACUUAUGAAUAGUACUGGGCUGAUUUCAGCCCAGUGGCCCAACUCAGAGGGAGAAAGCGCUCGCGCGCGCUGGCUGUUUUGCGCAAAAGUCCUUGGGGUUUUCACUAACUGGGAUCCGGUCUUCCACUGUUUAACACAGUCGCUGACAGUUCGCAUAAAAGUCCUCCCACUUCUAUCUAUUCUGGGUUUAAAGUCCCCGACGGUGCAUGGCGCGGCAGAGCUCCGGCGAGCUCCUGGACCGGCCAAACGGGGCAAGGAUAGGUGCUACUGAGCGGUCUACACCAAAUUCACGGCCUAUCAAUGGUUUCCCCCCAAUCAAUUUCAUAUUUGGUGAUCUAUUUCGCUCUGCCCACGAGGACAGCGAAAGCUAUAGACAUUAGUUCGUGUUCCCAGUGAUUGGUGGGCUUCUAGUUUAAUUGGACAGUUUGGAGAGCAUCACCAGCAUACAGGGACAUGAGAACAACACGCGAAUUGGAUGGUGCCUUACCAGAACGGACUGGCCACGGUGGAGUGGUGCUUUACGGUGGCGGAGACCAAUUUGGGGGAAAAGGGGAAUUCUCCGGCUAUGGUGGGCAAUCGAGGGGAAGAACGGGUGUGUGGGCUUCGUGAUGACCUAACACAGCUGCCCGGGGGCUCAAUUUAUAGGCAGCUUCGUCGGUGGCGCUUAAUUUGGCCGAGCCGUGUGGGUGGCCGGAGAUAAGGAAGAGCACUGUCGUCGCGACUUCGUGUCCCCCGCCGUGGCAACCUCACCGGCGUUGAUGAGACAGCAGUAAGGAGUCACGAUGAUACGACGGGGUGCACGGAUACGUGGCAUAAGGCCGUGCGACGACGGUUUACCGGCGAGCCCAUCGAACCUUCCACCGCGGCAUGCACGGUACGGUGGUCGGACUUGUUUAUGGCCGGAGUUAUCCACGGCGAGGAUAUUUAUGUGACCCAAAGUGCUAUCCAACUUAGCCAAGCCCAAAUCGCGGCAACAGCAGCACGAAUCGCGGCAGCAGGUCACCGGCGGUGAGGACCGUUGCGCUGGCGAUCUGAUCCUCCCGAUAGCACUGUACCAUGGAGGAAGUUCAGUUAGAUGAACCUGACAGAGCCAUUUUAGGUCCAAAUUUCUCUAAAGUUUCUCUAGUAACUCACUCCACUCUCUGUAGCAAAGUUUCAGAGCUACAAACCAGCUACAAUUCGACUAUAGGGAUUAAACUUAGUUGAGCACUGGAUCAUGCUCAGAAUUGAGCUUGAAGUUGAUGUCAGUCCACUGUUAGUCUGAAAAUUCAGACCUUAACAUCCUGACAUCCAGAUUUUGAGCAUGAUUAUCUCCAGAUUUUUCUUAACAACUAUGCUCACACCCUUAAGCAAAGUUGUUCUCCUUAGCUUGGUCUACAACUUCGAUAUGGUGACCUAGGGCAAAAUCCCUAGAGUUUGAAAGUUACAAGGCUCAAAAGUUGAGCAAAAACUCUGAAAUUCAGACUUAGGCUAUUUGGGACUUAAGAGGUGAGUUUUGCAAAUAGACCCAAAACUUAGGGUUUACUUGCAAAUUCACAUAUGGGUGACCCAAAUGACUCAAAAUACUUAUUUAACUUGGUUUUUGCACUUUAAUCCAAAAGUUAACUAAUUUUGCACAUAAGCCCCUAGGUUUUGGUUUUAGGGUUUUCCAGGGUUCUAAUUGGGAUUUUUGGUACCCUAGGGGCAUAAAUGUGAUUCCACUUUGUUUUUGGGGACAUUUUAUGACUCUUCCCUAAAGCCUUUAGGUUUUCUCAUAUUGGGUUAGGUCUUACCCCUUUAAUACCUAUUUAGGGUUGAAGCUUCCUAUCCAGGGUCCUAUUUGCAAAACAUUAAAACAAUACAACUUGUUUGAAAUUUUUGCCUAGUGAAUGCACUCUAGGUGUAUCAAACAUAUGCAAUGCCAAUGCUUAUGAUGCCAUGCUCAAGUUUUAGUUAUAGUAACACCAGGGGUGUUACAUUUUAUUCUUGUUGGGGUACUCCUUGCGUCCUUUAAGUGCGGUCUUGAAGCGCUUGAUGAUAAGCGCCAUCUCAUCUUCGUUGAGGCCGGCAGCCUCCACUUGAGCUAUCUUGCUUGGUAGUGCCUCCUUACUGCUAGUUGCCUUGAGCGCAACGGGCUGCGGCUCGUAGACGGGUAGAGGGUCGUUUAAGGCGUCAUCUACAUACCUUGACUCCUUAACCAUCAUGCGCCCGCUUACAAAUUUUCUGAGUAUCUCCUCGGGCGUCAUCUUUGUGUACCUGGGAUUUUCACGGAUAAGGUUCACAAGAUGGGGGUCAAUAACUGUAAAGGAUCUGAGCAUGAGUCGGACGACAUUGUGAUCCGUCCAUCUUGUGCUUCCAUAGCUUCUAAUCUUGUUGACCAGGGUCUUGAGCCUGUUGUAGGUUUGUGUUGGCUCUUCACCCCUGAUCAUGGCGAAUCUCCCUAGCUCGCCUUCCACCAACUCCAUUUUGGUGAUCAUGGUGGCGUCGUUUCCCUCAUGAGAUAUCUUGAGGGUGUCCCAGAUCUACUUUGCAUUGUCCAAGCCGCUAACCUUGUUGUAUUCAUCCCUGCACAGAGAUGCUAGCAAAACAGUAGUGGCUUGGGCAUUUUUAUGAAUUUGCUCAUUGAUAAACAUGGCAUUGUCAGUACUAUCAAAGUGCAUUCCGUUUUCAACAAUCUCCCAGAUACUAGGAUGGAGAGAAAAUAAAUGACUACGCAUUUUAUGACUCCAGAAAGAAUAGUCUUCUCCAUCAAAGUGGGGAGGUUUUCCAAGAGGAAUUGAUAGCAAAUGAGCAUUAGAAUUGUACGGAAUACGAGAAUAAUCAAAUGAAUAGUUUUGAUUAACUGGUUUCUUCUUUGACAAGGAGUCAUCGUCGUCGUCGUGUGGUGAAGAAUACGAGGCAUCACUAUUGUAGUAGAUGAUCUUCUUGAUGCGCCUCUUCUUCUUCCUGUCUCUUUUCUUGUGACUCGAGCCUGAGUCGGUUGGCUUGUCGUCUCUAGGCUCGUUGAGGAAGGACUCCUUUUCCUUGUCGUUGACAACCAUCCCCUUUCCCUUAGGAUCCAUCUCUUCGGGCGAUUAGUCCCUUAGAUGAAGAGUACAGCUCCGAUACCAAUUGAGAGCACCUAGAGGGGGGUGAAUAGGUGAUCCUAUAAAAUCAAACACUAAUAGCCACAAAAACUUAAUUUAAAGUGUUAGUACGGCUAAGUGGUUGAGAGACACGUGAUUUUUAUCCCAUGGUUCGGCCAAGUAACACUUGUCUACUUCCACGUUGUGGCGUCCCAAUGGACGAGGGUUGCACUCAACCCCUUUCAAGUGAUCCAAUGAUCGACUUGAAUACCACAUCUUUCUUCCUUAUAGUCUUCUUCCCAUUUGCGAGGAAUCUCCACAAGUUGGAGCCUCUCGCCCUUACAAUAUUGAUCACAAAGAACGCACAAGAGUAAGGUUAGGAAGAGCAACACAAAAAAGACUCAAAUACGCAGCACAACCACACACACAAGUCACGACUUGAGCUCGAAACACAACACACGGAGUUCAUGACUCAAAUGGAGCUCAAAUCGCUAACACAAAGAAUCGAAUGCGUGGAGUUGGAGUCUUGGAGUCUUAGGAUGCUUAGUGAAUGCUUGGGUUACUCCUCCAUGCGCCUAGGGGUCACUUUUAUAGCUCCAAGGCAGCUAGGAGCCGUUGGAGGCCAAACUUACCUUCUGUCGGGUGGUGCACCGGACAGUCCGGUGCGCGAUCUCCUUCCUUUUCUGGCGCAUCUGACCGUUGGUCCUCGGGGUCGGUUGGCACACCGGACAGUCCGGUGUGCCCAACCGACCGUUGCUGCGGGCCACGCGUCGCCCGCGGAUUGCGCGGCCGACCGUUGGCGCUGGCGACCAUUGGCUCACUGGACAGUCCGGUGCACCACCGAACAGUUCGGUGAAUUAAAGUCGUACGCCGUCGUUGAUUCCCGAGAGCGGCAAGUUCACGCGGAUGAGGGUAGUUCUACAAGAAGGAGAAGAAGAAGUACUACAAGAAGAAGGGCGGCGAUGCCCACGUGUGUCGGGAAUGGGACUCCGAUGAGAGCUCCACCGACUCCUCCUCCGACGAGGAUGCCGCCAACAUCGUCGUCAACAAGGGUCUCCUCUUUCCCAACGUCGGCCACAAGUGCCUCAUGGCAAAGAACGGCAAAAAGGAGAAGGUACAAUCUAGAACCACCCCAAAUAUACUACAUCUAGUGAUGAGGGUAGUUCUAGUGAUGAUGAAGAUGAUUUACUUACACUUUUUGCCAACCAUAACAUGCAACAAAAGGAAAAAUUGAAUGAAUUAAUAGGGUCCAUUCAUGAGAAGGAUGAACUCUUGGAUAGCCAAGAGGAAUUCCUUAUUAAGGAAAAUAAAAAGCAUGUUAAAGUUAAGAAUGCUUAUGCUCAGGAAUUAGAGAAAAAUGAAAACUUGACUAAAGAGCUUAGCAUUUGCCAUGAUUCAAUUACCAAUCUUAGAAAUGAAAAUUCUAGUUUAAUUGCUAAGAUUGAUACGUUGAAUGAAUCAAUUUCUAGCCUUAAAACUGAAAAUGCUAGUUUAAUUUCCAAGGCUAGAGAUUUAAAUGUUUGCAAUGAUUCUAUUUCCUGUUUUAGAGAUGAAAAUGCAAUAUUACAUGCUAAGAUAUAUUAAUUAAAUGCUUGCAAACCUUCUACAUCUACUAUUGAACAUGUUGCCAUUUGUACUAGAUGUAGAGAUGUUAAUAUUGAUGUUGUUCAUGAUCACCUUGCUUUAAUUAAACAACAAAAUGAUCAUAUAGCUCAAUUAACUGCUAAAAUCAAUGAGCAUGAGAUAGAAAAUGAAAAUUUUAAAUUUGCUAGAAGCAUGCUCUAUAAUGGGAGACGCCCUGGCAUCAAGGAUGGCAUUGGUUUCCAACAGGGAAGCAAUGUCAAACUUAAUGCCCCUAAAAGAUUGUCUAACUUUGUUAAGGGCAAAGCUCCCAUGGUUCAGGAUAACAAGGGCUAUAUUUUAUAUCCUGCUAGUUAUCCCGAACACAGAAUUAGGAGAAUCAUGCUAAGAAAUCUCAUUCUGUUUCUCACCAUGCAUUUAUGUAUAAGAAUGAUCCUUCUAGCUCUAGGCAAUCAACCCAUGUUAAAUUGCCUAAAAAGAAAACUCCUACUACAUCAAAUGAGCCUAAUAUUUCAUUUAAGACUUUUGAUGUUUCUUAUGUUUUAACUAACAAAUCAGGCAAAAUAGUUGCCAAAUAUGUUGGGGGCAAACACAAGGGCUCCAAGACUUGUGUUUGGGUACCCAAGGUGCUUGUUUCUAAUGUGAAAGGACCCAAGACCGUUUGGGUACCUAAGAACAAGGCCUAAAUUUGUUUUGUAGGUUUAUGCAUCUGGAGGCUCAAGUUGGAUAAUCGAUAGCGGGUGCACAAACCACAUGACAGAGGAGAAAAGAAUGUUCUCCUCCUAUGAGAAAAACAAAGAUCCCCAAAGAGCUAUCACAUUCGGGGAUGGAAAUCAAGGUUUGGUCAAAGGACUUGGUAAAAUUGCUAUAUCACCUGACCAUUCUAUUUCUAAUGUUUUCCUUGUAGAUUCUUUAGGUUACAAUUUGUUUUCCGUUUCUCAAUUAUGCAAAAUGGGCUACAACUGUCUUUUUACGGAUAUAGGUGUUACUGUCUUUAGAAGAAGUGAUGAUUCAGUAGCAUUUAAGGGAGUAUUAGAGGGUCAGCUAUACUUAGUGGAUUUUGACAAAGCUGAAAUCGAUACUUGCUUAAUUGCUAAGACUAAUAUGGUUGGCUCUGGCAUCGCCGACUAGCCCAUGUUGGAAUGAAGAAUCUUCACAAGCUUCUAAAGGGAGAGCACAUUUUGGGACUAACAAAUGUUCAUUUUGAGAAAGACAGGGUUGUAGUGCAUGUCAAGCAGGAAAGCAAGUUGGCUCCCACCAUCCACACAAGAACAUCAUGACGACCGACAGGCCACUUGAGCUAUUCCACAUGGAUUUAUUCGGCCCGGUCGCUUACAUAAGCAUCGGCGGGAGUAAGUAUUGUCUUGUAAUUGUGGAUGAUUAUUCUCGCUUCACUUGGGUAUUCUUUUUGCAGGAAAAAUCUCAAACCCAAGAGACCUUAAAGGGAUUCUUGAGACGGGCUCAAAAUGUGUUCGGAUUGAGAAUCAAAAAGAUAAGAAGCGAUAACGGGACGGAGUUCAAGAACUCUCAAAUUGAAGGCUUUCUUGAGGAGGAGGGCAUCAAGCAUGAGUUCACUUCUCCCUACACACCUCAACAAAAUGGUGUAGUGGAGAGGAAGAAUACAACUCUAUUAGACAUGGCAAGAACCAUGCUUGAUGAGUACAAGACACCGGACCGGUUUUGGGCGGAAGCAAUCAACACUGCUUGCUACUCCAUCAACCGGCUCUACCUUCACCGAAUCCUCAAGAAGACAUCAUAUGAACUCCUCACCGGUAAAAAGCCCAAUGUUUCAUAUUUUAGAGUCUUUGGUAGCAAAGCUUUAUUCUUGUUAAGAGAGGUAGAAAAUCUAAAUUUGCUCCUAAGGCUAUAAAAGGCUUUUUACUAGGAUAUGACUCAAACACAAGGGCAUAUAGAGUCUUCAACAAAUCCACUGGAUUAGUUGAGGUUUCUUGUGACAUUGUGUUUGAUGAGACUAAUGGCUCCCAAGUGGAGGAAGUUGAUCUUGAUGAGCUAGAUGAUGAAGAGGCUCUGUGCGUCGCACUAAAGAACAUGUCCAUUGGGGAUGUGUGUCCUAAGGAAUCCGAAGAGCCCACUCAUGCACAAGAUCAAUUGUCAUAUUCCAAUCAAGCAUCCCCUCCAACUCAAGAUGAGGAUCAGGCCCAGGACAAUGAAGAUGAAGAUCAAGAGGAUGAGCCACCUCAAGAGGAGGACAAUGAUCAAGGAGGAGAUGAAGUUGAUCAAGACAAGGAAGAUGAUCAAGAGAUACAGGGACAAAGACCGCCACACCCAAGAGUCCACCAAGCAAUUCAAAGAGAUCACCUCGUCAACUCAAUCCUUGGUGACAUACAUAAGGGGUAACUAAUUGAAGCGUCCCCAAUCCUCUGGGACUCAAAUGUGAUACAAUUACUAGUCCCAGGAGGCUAGUAAACACAUUUAUACAUCAGAUGAUACCAAAUCUGCUUAAACGAGACAAACCUACAAAGGUGGCGAACAACUUUAAGAGUUGGUCCACAACUCGAGACAUAUCAUCAGAGUGGGGCUGAAGCAGCCCGAUAUACGCAGCGAAGCAAUUCAGCGGUCCAACAGCCACAAGCAAGGUUGGGAACAGUCGUAACUCUUACCCGAUCUCCUUUUUCUGAAAAAACAACAAAUAAGCAAGGGUGAGUACAAACGUACUCAGCAGCCCACCUUCACCCGCGGAAUGGGGAAAUAAGAUAUAAUGCAUGGAAUAUGUGGAGCUCAGGAUAUUUUGCAGAAACAGCAAUAUUUUAUGCAGAGUUGUUUUGAAAAACAUUUUGUAUUUUUGCAAAGCGCAUCCUCUCCAAAAGGAGCAGGAAGUUUUUCAGUAUUAUAACAAAAUCCCCUGGACUAAACCAUCCAGGUAUCUCAGCGGUUUCCCACUGGUUUUCAUUUUCAAAAACAGCUACCGGACUUCCCGUCCACCAUAGCUCACGGCUCAACCGCCAGACCUUUUAAAAACCACUUUUCAAAAGCAUCUUCUUUUUUUUUGGAAAACAAAACAUUAAUUGCCAUACCAUACCAGACUCGUCCAUUCCUGUGGACACAGACUAUUCGAAUAGGUUUUCAAACUCUGCGCAGAGGGGUACACUUUACCCACUAGUUCGGCUCUGCGAUCCCAUGGCCAAUGAGACCCGAAUCCGACUCUCUUUCUUUCCUCGCACGUCCUAACCUUAACGGUUAUCCGGAAGGAGUCAGGCCACCACCAUGUCCAAACCGGACAAAACUUUCCCCCUCCUUAUCCUCCCGGUGCUCCCCAGCCUUCAUAACCCUGGGGUUGGACCGUACGAGUUCAGAUUGAGUGACUGCCCACACAGUCUCGAGUGGUUGUACUAUUAAAGAGUACAGGUAGUGAAGAUGACAAACCGGUCCUUAUAUGAGGGGACAAUCCUUCUGCUCACGCCUAAACCAGCUGAGCCAACACCUUAGGCCCUCCCCUAAACCAGGGAGUCCCUGAUUAUCCCACUCACAAGGUGAUAAGGGUGAAAACCCUUCAUCAUACACAUUUUGAAAAGCAUUUUCUUUUGAAAACUCACACCCUUUUCUCAAAUCAUUUGUAACAAAUAUAUUAAGGAUUGAUUGCGGCAAGCGGCUUCGGUGGCCAUAAUAACUUGUCUCAAAAUCAUAUCAUGCAUAAAAUAACAGGCUGAGGGUUGUGGUUGAAAGACAUAGGUAAUUUAUGCAUCAAAGGGAUCCAAUGAGCUUGCCGUGCUUAUUCGGCGAAGGGGGAAGGAGAGCUCGCGGAACUGGCUUCUGGCUCCACCGCCUGGCGUAGACUUGCAGAUCUGGCCUCCACGAGAUGGCACGAACGCUCCGAUAACUAUGCAACAUGAACAAGCAAACAUACAAACAAGCAAGUAUGCCAACAAAUAUUUAGUAUAGUGGUCAGAAUAGCGAUAUCUGGAUGGGUAGAGUCUUGAGUAGAAUCUGUGUCAUGUGGUGUUGAAAUACUACUAGUGCUGGAGCGGAGGUGCUUACCAGGAGGGUGGAGUGGAGGCGAAGCGACACUAUGCGUGUAGCCAGCGGAGCGGAGUAUCUGAGUGGGUGGGGGUUUGCCUUGGCUGAGGGUGUUGAGUGUGUGUGGAGAGGGAGAGGGUAGCUGGGUGUAUUUAUAGCUGGGUGUAUGUGGUGUAGCACAGUGAAGCUCACUGUUGGUGAGAAUGGUGACAAAUGAAUCGUCUGACUUAGUAUGAACAGGAGAGUUAUAGACAGAAUAUGGGACAAGAGUAUUUUGGGAGUUUUCUGGAAUAUGGACCAUGCUUAAGGGAUGACAUGGUUGGGUAGGGAAUAAUUCGAUAAGAAUUUAGAAACAAGAAUUAUUGGAAUCGGGGUUUGGAAGCCUGGUUCGAAGGAAUCUCAAAGUUAAGCGUGCUCAACUUGGAGAAACCUGGGAUGGGUGAUCAGAUGGGAAGUUCCCUACUGGAAGGAAAAUCACAGUCACCGGAGUUCGUAUGACUGGAACAUGGGUCUGGCUGGUCUUAGGUGGACUGGACAGCAUGAUGGAUGAGUAGUUGAAAUUUGGGAUGACUAGAUGACCGAUGAAUAGUAACGAUGAUUAGUAACGAUGAAUAGUGGCGAUGGAAAAGUAAUUAUAGAUAUCAUCAAUGAAUAGUAGCGAUGAUGAAUAGUAAUGAUAAAUAGUAACGAUGAUGAAUAGUGUAUGUGAAUAGUAACGAUGAAUAGUAACGGUGAAUAGUAAUGGUGAAUAGUGAUAGUGAAUAGUCGUAUGAACGAACGAUGAACAAUGAAUAGGAACUAUGAACGAACGGACGAACGAACGAAUGAUCGGACGAGCGAACGAUCGGAAUUUCGGCAGCAUAACAGCAGGACAAAGAUUAUCUGGAAGAACGAUGAAUAGGGACUAUGAACGAACGAUGAACGAUGAAUAGGGACUAUGAACGAACGAUGAACGAUCGAAUGAUCGAAUAAACGAACGAUCGGAAUUUCGGCAGCAUAACGGCAGGAAAAAAGAUUAUUUGGACGAACGAAUGGACGAACGAUCGAACGAUCGGACGAACGGACGAACGAACCAUGAACGAUCGGACGAGCGAUCGAACGAUCGGACGAACGAACGAACAAACUAAGAACAGGGGACGAACGAUCGAAGAACGAUCGAACGAUCCUUGUGCUAGUGUGUGCUUGUGUGGAACAUGGAGUGGGUGUGUGUGUGGGGGGGGAGAGAGUUGCCAUGAAAUGGCUUGGGGUGGGAUGAGAGGAGGCCCUUGCCCCUCUAUUUAUAGCCAUGGUGGGGGAUUAGGGGGAGGGAUGAGAGGAUUAGUGGGAGGAUGAGAGGAUUAGUGGGAGAUUAGCAUGUAUUUGUCUUGUAUAAGUGAGAUUAGCUUGUAGAGCUCACCGUAUGACACUGGAGGCAUACAUAUACGUAUGGGCAUGAGGAAAGUUAUGAAGAAAAUAUUUGUAGGGACUUCAAAAAUGAUUCUGAAGGUAUUUCUUAGGAAGAAAAUACUUGGAGAUGUAUUGGUGGAAUAUUUGGGCAAUAUUUCUGGAAAGAACUUGAAGGGGAUUACUCGGGAAAUAUCUAAGCAGUAUUUCUGGAACGAAUUUGAGGGGGGUCACUGAGGAAAUAUUUGUAGGAUAUUUUGAGGAGGAUUUUGGAGAGAAUAUAGACCACUAUAAUUUAUUUGCUGAUAUCAACUCGCAAACAAACAUUUUGAAAUGAAAUUUGAAAUUCAUUUUGAAUUUAGAGCGAGUUUGAGAAAAUUUCAAGAUUUGAAUUUUUGGGAUGCUACAAAUCUACCCCACUUAAAAGGUAUCUCGUCCUCGAGAUUCGGCUUAGAAGGGUUAUGGGUAUAGCUUUACUUCAGCUACAUAUCUUCACUUUGCAACUCUUCGAGGAGAUGGAACUUCAACAAAAUCUGGCCCCUGCGGAGCAUCCGGCUGCUGAUUGCAAACGCUGAUUCUGGCUACUCAAGAUCAUCUUCAGGCUUCUAGCUUUCGCUUGGCAACUAGCUUAUUGAAGAAGCAUCGAUGCCAACACGCAAACCUUUCUCUUGCAAACUCCCACAUGGAUUCCUUUCUUGAUUGGUCUUCUGGUGCUUCAUCAAUGGAACUUGGGUGACCACUUCUCAUCCAGAAACUUAUAAGCUUCGGUGAUCUGGUCCUCGACAAACUUGCUACAUUCACAUGCCUUCUUCUUUUUCUCCAUAGCAGGAACCUUACUGGAAUACUACCCCACUUAAAAAGAAUGAGGGUAGAACUCUUGAAUCUUGGGGAUUUGAACUCCUUGAAGUACCACAUAACAAGAGUGUUACGGGUCCUUCUGCUGCUGUUGCUGCUUGAGCUGGCUGCAGAGGGAUGACUGGCACAGGGUUGAUUCUGGGAGAACCUUUUUCUUAUCUUCUCUUCACUAUCUUCUUUUCACUGACCCUUUCUUUCUCUUUGCUCUUCCCACUGGAGGAUUCUAUCAAAGAGUAUUACCAUCAUACAAAGGAGGAAACCGAAGACUAUGAACCAUGUGCAACAGUCUUCAACCCAAGAAUCACCAAACAUUGUGAUCUUAGGGGCGAGGGAGUGGAAAAAUGGAGUUGCUUGCUAUUUGGCAGGGGGGUCUAUCUAGAGUGUGCUUUGCUUUGAGCGAGAUGGGAGUUGAGGGAGCUGGUGGGGGGGGUUUAUAGGCGAGCGUUGGUGUUCGGUUGCGGAGUAGUGGUGAUGGAGUAGGUGCUACGUGGCAACAGGUGCGACGGAGGGGAAGGGGGGCCUGGUGCCGGCGAUGAUGGCGGCGGUGGGUGCGCUGCAAAGGGGGGUGGGCGGUGGUAGUGCGCUGCAAGGGGGCGGUGGGUGGCGGUGGUAGUGCGCAUGGAGGCGAGCACGCGUGCGAGGGGCACGGGUGAGUGGUGGGGUCGAUGACCCUGAUAUUUGUGGUCUCUGGUUCCAAGAAUCUUUGCCUCUCUGUAUGGUAAUAACUCCUUCUGUCCUCUUUUCCUGUUUACUUUGACUCAGGGGCAGUGCUUUGAUUCUCACGGUCGGUCCUUUUGACUGAGCGACUGGAUAGGUUCCUCUGUACCUUAUUCCAGGCUUCAAGGGUAAGCUUCCCGGUAUCUUCUUGGGUAAGACACUUUUCUCUUCAGAUGGGUUAAGAUGAGAAUGGAAGCAUAAGGUAAGGAUUAGCUCUAAUUUGUGAUCUAUGUUUUUAGAGAAAACCCUUUUAAGAAAAACGAAAAGAAAACACACAAGCUCAGCAAUGAUAAGCACAAACAAAUCAAAUGUUUUGAAUAAGGGAAGAAUAGAGUUUUUCCAAAGCACGGACUACUCAGAUUCGGGGGCUAAGCAUAACUACUAUUGCUUGACUCCUGAAUUGAGAACUAUGCUAAAUGCAACUUAUGAGCACUAAUGUUAAAGCAUCACAUAUGCACUCAAAAGGGGAGAAAACAUCAAGCGAAAUUCGUUUUGAAAUGCCCUAGGGGGCCACACAAAUAGAGUUUUUCAAGGCACGGGACUACACGAUUACCUCUCAUACAUGCAGGGCUCUAGCCAAAGUGAAGAAAAACUUCACUACCUAAUGCACGCAGAGGACUGGGCAUACUAACUUCAGACCAGGCAACUUCUCUUCUGGCAAGGCUGACGCACAACUUCAAUAUGAGACAUCUCCUGGAUGGGUCAACAGGGAGCUGAUGUUGAUGACUUCUUCUGGCGGCAACUGAGAUGGCAAGACGGAGUCGAACUCUUCUUCAAGCGGGACUGGCUCUUGUAGCUCCUCUGAGGGCGGCGGUGCUGGCGGGGUGCUUGCAGCUUCUUCUUUGACCUCAAGGGAGGGUGCUGGAAUCUUCUUCAUGGCGAGGGGCUCAAACAACUCUGGCGGGGGAUCUUGGGAGGAUUCAGGGUGCUCUUGCUUAUCCAUAGUCUUAGGGGAGACUGGAAUUCCUUCCAAGACUAUGGCUCCUUCCGGGAGUUCCCAAGCCUUCUUCUCUCCUCUAAUAGAGACCGGGUGACCUUCAAGAAUCUGGGGGUCUUUAGCUCUCCUGGGUUGAACUAGGUUGGAUGGAGCGGGCUCUUGGAUCCGCAGGGCUCUACGUUGGUUAUGGGUUACCAAGUAGGCCUCCAUCAACUUCUGGACGUGCUCAUCCUUGGCUUGCUUCAGGGCUUCCACAGCAAUGACUUCACGACUCUACAAGGCAAUUGCACGGGCUUGAGCUGUGGUGAGAUCCACAUGCAGCUGACGGUUGCGCUUCUCUGCAUCUUUUGCUCGGGCAAUCAUCUGACGGUGGUGCCGAGCCAAGAAAUCAUACUGUGCAUCCAGGGUGAGCAGGUAUGCAAUGAGGUACACGACUGUGGGGUCAUCCUCAAGCAGCUGCUUCCCUUCCAAUGCACGCAUUCUGGCCAUUCAAACUGGACGGUCUCUUUGAAAGGGCGGAAAGAAUCUGAGUGGUGUGUCGGCCACUUCUUCUUCAUAAUUCUGACACAGGGCCCUCAAUGCCUUGCGAGCGACGACUUGGCAGGUGUCUUUGAAUCUGUGCCCAGCAGCAGUGACACUCCAUUCCACAUGGUGUGGACUGGAUCCAAUGCAUACAGUCACGACACACUUCUCUGUGCCAUGCUCGACGAACUCACGACCAUCAUACUCUGGCUGGCUCCUGAUUCCGAGGCGGACUGUGCAUGCUCUCAGCAACUUGGGGAAACCAUCUUCAUUCUGGCAGAAGCUGGUUUGGCACUGAACCUCCAUCUGACUUCUGAGAGAAGGAAAGGGGGAAAGCAUUUUUGAAAUGAAGGGAUGAGAGCAAGAUUUUUUUAAGAAAAUAGUUUGGACUCAAAAACUUUUGAUCAGGCUAAGGGUUACGUCCUGCGGCCAACCUAACAGCUCUGAUACCACCUGAAGCGUCCCCAAUCCUCUGGGACUCAAAUGUGAUACAAUUACUAGUCCCAGGAGGCUAGUAAACACAUUUAUACAUCAGAUGAUACCAAAUCUGCUUAAACGAGACAAACCUACAAAGGUGGCGAACAACUUUAAGAGUUGGUCCACAACUCGAGACAUAUCAUCAGAGUGGGGCUGAAGCAGCCCGAUAUACGCAGCGAAGCAAUUCAGCGGUCCAACAGCCACAAGCAAGGUUGGGAACAGUCGUAACUCUUACCCGGUCUCCUUUUUCUGAAAAAACAACAAAUAAGCAAGGGUGAGUACAAACGUACUCAGCAGCCCACCUUCACCCGCGGAAUGGGGAAAUCAGAUAUAAUGCAUGGAAUAUGUGGAGCUCAGGAUAUUUUGCAGAAACAGCAAUAUUUUAUGCAGAGUUGUUUUGAAAAACAUUUUGUAUUUUUGCAAAGCGCAUCCUCUCCAAAAGGAGCAGGAAGUUUUUCAGUAUUAUAACAAAAUCCCCUGGACUAAACCAUCCAGGUAUCUCAGCGGUUUCCCACUGGUUUUCAUUUUCAAAAACAGCUACCGGACUUCCCGUCCACCAUAGCUCAUGGCUCAACCGCCAGACCUUUUAAAAACCACUUUUCAAAAGCAUCUUCUUUUUUUGGAAAACAAAACAUUAAUUGCCAUACCAUACCAGACUCGUCCAUUCCUGUGGACACAGACUAUUCGAAUAGGUUUUCAAACUCUGCGCAGAGGGGUACACUUUACCCACUAGUUCGGCUCUGCGAUCCCAUGGCCAAUGAGACCCGAAUCCGACUCUCUUUCUUUCCUCACACGUCCUAACCUUAACGGUUAUCCGGAAGGAGUCAGGCCACCACCAUGUCCAAACCGGACAAAACUUUCCCCCUCCUUAUCCUCCCGGUGCUCCCCAGCCUUCAUAACCCUGGGGUUGGACCGUACGAGUUCAGAUUGAGUGACUGCCCACACAGUCUCGAGUGGUUGUACUAUUAAAGAGUACAUGUAGUGAAGAUGACAAACCGGUCCUUAUAUGAGGGGACAAUCCUUCUGCUCACGCCUAAACCAGCUGAGCCAACACCUUAGGCCCUCCCCUAAACCAGGGAGUCCCUGAUUAUCCCACUCACAAGGUGAUAAGGGUGAAAACCCUUCAUCAUACACAUUUUGAAAAGCAUUUUCUUUUGAAAACUCACACCCUUUUCUCAAAUCAUUUGUAACAAAUAUAUUAAGGAUUGAUUGCGGCAAGCGGCUUCGGUGGCCAUAAUAACUUGUCUCAAAAUCAUAUCAUGCAUAAAAUAACAGGCUGAGGGUUGUGGUUGAAAGACAUAGGUAAUUUAUGCAUCAAAGGGAUCCAGUGAGCUUGCCGUGCUUAUUCGGCGAAGGGGGAAGGAGAGCUCGCGGAACUGGCUUCUGGCUCCACCGCCUGGCGUAGACUUGCAGAUCUGGCCUCCACGAGAUGGCACGAACGCUCCGAUAACUAUGCAACAUGAACAAGCAAACAUACAAACAAGCAAGUAUGCCAACAAAUAUUUAGUAUAGUGGUCAGAAUAGCGAUAUCUGGAUGGGUAGAGUCUUGAGUAGAAUAUGUGUCAUGUGGUGUUGAAAUACUACUAGUGCUGGAGCGGAGGUGCUUACCAGGAGGGUGGACUGGAGGCGAAGCGACACUAUGCGUGUAGCCAGCGGAGCGGAGUAUCUGAGUGGGUGGGGGUUUGCCUUGGCUGAGGGUGUUGAGUGUGUGUGGAGAGGGAGAGGGUAGCUGGGUGUAUUUAUAGCUGGGUGUAUGUGGUGUAGCACAGUGAAGCUCACUGUUGGUGAGAAUGGUGACAAAUGAAUCGUCUGACUUAGUAUGAACAGGAGAGUUAUAGACAGAAUAUGGGACAAGAGUAUUUUGGGAGUUUUCUGGAAUAUGGACCAUGCUUAAGGGAUGACAUGGUUGGGUAGGGAAUAAUUCGAUAAGAAUUUAGAAACAAGAAUUAUUGGAAUCGGGGUUUGGAAGCCUAGUUCGAAGGAAUCUCAAAGUUAAGCGUGCUCAACUUGGAGAAACCUGGGAUGGGUGAUCAGAUGGGAAGUUCCCUACUGGAAGGAAAAUCACAGUCACCGGAGUUCGUAUGACUGGAACAUGGGUCUGGCUGGUCUUAGGUGGACUGGACAGCAUGAUGGAUGAGUAGUUGAAAUUUGGGAUGACUAGAUGACCGAUGAAUAGUAACGAUGAUUAGUAACGAUGAAUAGUGGCGAUGGAAAAGUAAUUAUAGAUAUCAUCAAUGAAUAGUAGCGAUGAUGAAUAGUAAUGAUAAAUAGUAACGAUGAUGAAUAGUGUAUGUGAAUAGUAACGAUGAAUAGUAACGGUGAAUAGUAAUGGUGAAUAGUGAUAGUGAAUAGUCGUAUGAACGAACGAUGAACAAUGAAUAGGAACUAUGAACGAACGGACGAACGAACGAAUGAUCGGACGAGCGAACGAUCGGAAUUUCGGCAGCAUAACAGCAGGACAAAGAUUAUCUGGAAGAACGAUGAAUAGGGACUAUGAACGAACGAUGAACGAUGAAUAGGGACUAUGAACGAACGAUGAACGAUCGAAUGAUCGAAUAAACGAACGAUCGGAAUUUCGGCAGCAUAACGGCAGGAAAAAAGAUUAUUUGGACGAACGAAUGGACGAACGAUCGAACGAUCGGACGAACGGACGAACGAACCAUGAACGAUCGGACGAGCGAUCGAACGAUCGGACGAACGAACAAACAAACUAAGAACAGGGGACGAACGAUCGAAGAACGAUCGAACGAUCCUUGUGCUAGUGUGUGCUUGUGUGGAACAUGGAGUGGGUGUGUGUGUGGGGGGGGAGAGAGUUGCCAUGAAAUGGCUUGGGGUGGGAUGAGAGGAGGCCCUUGCCCCUCUAUUUAUAGCCAUGGUGGGGGAUUAGGGGGAGGGAUGAGAGGAUUAGUGGGAGGAUGAGAGGAUUAGUGGGAGAUUAGCAUGUAUUUGUCUUGUAUAAGUGAGAUUAGCUUGUAGAGCUCACCGUAUGACACUGGAGGCAUACAUAUACGUAUGGGCAUGAGGAAAGUUAUGAAGAAAAUAUUUGUAGGGACUUCAAAAAUGAUUCUGAAGGUAUUUCUUAGGAAGAAAAUACUUGGAGAUGUAUUGGUGGAAUAUUUGGGCAAUAUUUCUGGAAAGAACUUGAAGGGGAUUACUCGGGAAAUAUCUAAGCAGUAUUUCUGGAACGAAUUUGAGGGGGGUCACUGAGGAAAUAUUUGUAGGAUAUUUUGAGGAGGAUUUUGGAGAGAAUAUAGACCACUAUAAUUUAUUUGCUGAUAUCAACUCGCAAACAAACAUUUUGAAAUGAAAUUUGAAAUUCAUUUUGAAUUUAGAGCGAGUUUGAGAAAAUUUCAAGAUUUGAAUUUUUGGGAUGCUACACUAAUCGAUCUCGAGUUGCUCAUUUCUGUGAACAUUACUCUUUUGUGUCCUCUAUUGAGCCAUACAGGGUAGAGGAUGCACUAAGAGAUUCGGAUUGGGUGCUGGCAAUGCAAGAGGAGCUCAACAACUUCAUGAGGAAUGAGGUAUGGCAUUUAGUUCCACGUCCUAAUCAAAAUGUUGUAGGUACCAAGUGGGUAUUCCUCAAAAAGCAAGAUGAGCAUGGUGCGGUGACAAGGAACAAAGCCCGACUUAUGGCCAAGGGUUAUUCACAAGUCGAAGGUUUGGAUUUCGGUGAAACCUAUGCAUCCGUAGCUAGGCUUGAGUCAAUUCGCAUAUUACUUGCCUAUGCUACUUACCAUGGCUUUAAGCUUUACCAAAUGGACGUGAAAAGUGCCUUCGUCGAUGGACCAAUCAAGGACGAGGUCUAUGUUGAGCAACCUCCCUGCUUUGAAGAUAAUGAGUACCCUAACCAUGUUUAUAAACACUCAAAGGCGCUUUAUGGGCUCAAACAAGCCCCAAGAGCAUGGUAUGAAUGCCUCCGAGAUUUUGUUAUCGCUAAUGGCUUCAAAGUCGGUAAAGUCGAUCCUACUCUCUUUACUAAAACUAUUGCAAAAGAUUUGUUUGUAUGCCAAAUUUAUGUUGAUGAUAUCAUAUUUGGGUCUACUAACAAAUCUACUUGUGAAGAGUUUAGUAGGAUCAUGAUUCAAAAAUUCGAGAUGUCUAUGAUGGGGGAGUUGAAGUAUUUUCUAGGAUUUCAAGUCAAGCAACUCCAAGAUGGCACCUUCAUCAUCCAAACAAAAUACAUUCAAGAUAUACUUACCAAGUUUGGAAUGAAGGAUGUCAAACCCAUCAAGACACCCAUGGGAACAAAUGGGCAUCUCGACCUCGACACGGGAGGUAAGUCCGUAGAUCAAAAGGUAUAUCGAUCGAUGAUAGGAUCUCUACUCUAUUUAUGUGCAUCUCGACCGGAUAUUAUGCUUUCUGUAUGCAUGUGUGCAAGGUUCCAAGUCGAUCCUAAGGAAGUUCACCUUAGGGUCGUGAAAAGAAUCAUGAGAUAUUUAGUUUAUACUCCUAAGUUUGGUCUUUGGUACCCCAAGGGAUCCACCUUUAAUUUAAUAGGAUAUUCAGAUGCUGAUUGGGCAGGGUGUAAAAUUGAUAGGAAGAGCACAUCAGGGACUUGUCAGUUUCUGGGAAGAUCCCUGGUGUCAUGGGCUUCAAAGAAACAAAAUUUAGUAGCUCUUUCUACCGCCGAAGCUGAGUACAUUGUCGUAGGCCAUUGUUGUGCGCAAUUACGUUAGAUGAGGCAAACCCUUAGGGACUAUGGCUACAAAUUGAGCAAAGUCCCUCUCCUAUGUGACAAUGAGAGUGCAAUCUGCAUGGCGGAUAAUCCUGUUGAACACAGCCGCACUAAGCACAUAGACAUUCGGUAUCACUUUUUGAGAGAUCACCAACAAAUGGGGGAUAUCGAGAUCGCUUAUGUUAGCACCAAAGAACAAUUAGACGAUAUCUUUACCAAGCCAUUAGAUGAGAAAACCUUUAGCAAACUUAGGAAUGAGCUAAAUAUACUUGAUUCUCGGAAUUUUGAUUGAAACAUUGCACACAUAGCUCAUUUAUAUACCUUUGAUCAUAUCUCUUUUAUGUCUACGACUAAUGUAUUUUCAAGUGUAUUUCUAGACUAAGUCGUAUAUUGAAAGGGAAAUGGAGUACUCGACAAAGACAAGGCUUCCACUCCACUCUAUCGGUAUCUUUUAUCCUUCAUUGUUACUCCGCACUCCAAAAUGGUAUAAUCCUUCACUCUUAUUUAUUUGUACCAAUGGGGAGAAAGUUUAAUAGGGCUCUCAAAGUCUCCGUUUUUAGCGAUUAAUGCCAAAGGGGGAGAAGAUAUUAUCCCAAAGCAAAAGGACAGCACCACCACCUUUCAAAAAAUUUAAUUGAUAUAUUUCAAAUUGGUGUGUUGAUUUUCAAUUGGUAUAUUUUCAAAACUAGCAUCUAAAUAUAUUUCCAAUUGAUAUCUAUUAAAACCCUCUUGAAAGCUAAGAGGAGAAUUUCAUUCAGGGGGAGUUUUGUUUAGUCAAAGGAAAAGCAUUUGAAACAGGGGAGAAAAUUUCAAAUCCUUAAAAUGCUUCUUGCAAUCUUAUUCAUAUACCUUUGACUAUUUGCAAAAAGAUUUUGAAAAGACUUUCCAAAAUAAUUUGCAAAAACAAAACAAGUGGUGCAAGCGUGGUCCAAAAUGUUAAAUAAAAGAAAGCAACCAUGCAUAUCUAGUAAAACUAUAAAUUGGUUUAAUUCCAAGUAACCUAUGCACUUACCUUAAUCAAACUAGUUCAAUUCUGCACUUAUAUAUUUGCUUUGGUUUGUGUUUGCAUCAAUCACCAAAAAGGGGGAGAUUGAAAGAGAAAUAAGGUUAACCUUUUCCUAUAAAUAAUUUUGGUGGCUGAAUGCCCAACACAAAUAAUUGGACUAACUAGUUUGCUCUAGGUUAUAUAUUCCACAGGUUCAUAAAGGUUCAACACAAACCAAUAAAAGAUCAAAGUUAGGGUUCAAAAGCAAAGGAGCAAAGAAACCAAGAGUGCCCUGGUCUGGCGCACCGGACUGUCCGGUGUGCCACCGGACAGUGUCCGGUGCACCAGGACCAUACAGGAUCAAACUCGGUAGUCUCGGGUUUCUCCAGCGCCGCUCCGCUAUAAUUCACCGGAUUGUACGAUGUGCCACCGGACUGUCCGGUGCACCAACGGAGCAACGGCUACCAGCGCAACGGUCGACUGCAACGGACACCUGCGAACGCUACAGUGCGCGGACAGUGCGUGCAGAAGUCAGAGCAGCCGUCAGAGGCGCACCGGACAGUGAACAGUACCUGUCUGGUGCCACUAGAAGACAAAUAUCCAACGGUCAUCUGCGCCCGAACCCUAACGGUUGGGUGACAUGGCUGGCGCACCGGACAGCGUCCGGUGGCGCACCGGACUGUCCGAUGCGCCCAUCGACAGCAGCCACCCCCAACGGUUGUUUUGGUGGUUGAGGGCUAUAAAUACCCCCAACCACCUCCACUCCAUCCAAUCCAAGCAUUCAUCACUCCUCAUUCAAUACAAGAGCAAAGUGCAACACUCCAAGACACAAAUCAAAGCCACCGAUCAAAUCAAAGUCCCCAAUUCAAUUCUAGUGCUUUAGGACUUGAGAAAUGAUCGUUUUUGUGUUUCUUUGUUUCUCUUAUUGCUUGGUUGGCUUUAUUCUUUCUCUCAUUCUUAUUCUCAAAGCCUUGUAAGCGAAGCAAGGUACACCAAUUGUUUGGUGGUCCUUGUGGGGUCUAAGUGACCCGAGAAAUCAAGGAAGAAAGCUCACUCGGUCUAAGUGACCGUUUGAGAGAGGGAAAGGGUUGAAAGAGACCCGGUCUUUGUGACCACCUCAACGGGGACUAGGUUCUUUAGAACCGAACCUCGGUAAAACAAAUCAUCGUGUUCAUCCGCUUUACUUCUUGGUUGAUUUGUUUUCCCCUCUCUCCCGGACAUGAUAUUCGUUCUAACGCUAACCCCGACUUGUGGUGUGUGUUUAAAGUUGUAAAUUUCAGAUUCCGCCUAUCCACCCCCCCUCUAGGCGAAUUUCAGAAUGCCUUAGAGAUUUUCUUAUUUCUAACGCUUUCAAGGUUGAGAAAGCUGAUCAUACUCUCUUUACUAAUACUUGUAAUGGUGAUUUAUUUGUAUGUCAAAUAUAUGUCGAUGACAUAAUAUUUGGUUCUACUAAUCAAAAGUCAUGUGUAGAGUUUAGCAGGGUGAUGAUGCAAAAAUUCGAGAUGUCGAUGAUGGGCGAGUUGAACUACUUCCUUGGAUUCCAAGUGAAGCAACUCAAGGAAGUGACCUUCAUCUCCAAAACGAAGUACACCCAAUACUUACUCAAGAGGUUUGGGAUGAAGGAUGCAAAGCUCACAAAGAAACCGAUGGGAACGGACGGACACUUGGACCUCAACAAAGGAGUUAAGUCACUUGAUCAAAAUGCAUAUCGGUCUAUGAUAGGUUCUUUACUUUAUCAGUGCUAGUAGACUGGAUAUUAUGCUAAGCGUAUGCAUGUGUCCUAGAUUCGACCCCAAGGAAUGUCACCUUGUGGUCGUUAAGCAAAUUUUUAGAUAUUUAGUCUCUACGCCUUGGUUCGGGAUCUGGUAUCCAAAGGGGUCUACCUUUGACUUAAUCGAAUAUUCAGACUCCUACUAUGUCGGGUGCAAGGUUGAUAGGAAGAGCACAUCAGGGACUUGUCAGUUUCUGGGAAGGUCCCUGGUGUCCUGGAGCUCUAAGAAACAAACAUUUGUUGCCCUAUCCACCGCUGAGGCCGAGUAUGUUGUCGUAGGACAGUGUUGCGCGCAACUACUUUAGAUGAGGCAAACCCUCUGGGACUUUGGCUACAAUCUUAGCAAAGUCCCACUCCUAUGUGAUAAUGAGAGUGCAAUCUGCUUGGCGGAUAAUCCUGUUGAACACAGCCGCACUAAGCACAUAGACACCCGGCAUUACUUUUUGAGAGACCACCAGCAAAGGGGAGAUAUCGAUAUUUAUCAUAUUAGCACCGAGAACCAGCUAGCCAAUAUCUUCACCAAGCCUUUAGAUGAGAAAAGGUUUUGCAGGCUGCGUAGUGAGCUAAAUGUCUUAGAUUCGCGGAACUUGGAUUGAUCUCCAGCAUACAUGUGUUUUAUGCCUUUGAUCAUGUUACUUUAAGCAUUAAUGUCUUCACUUGCUUAUUUUUUGUGCUCAAGUUGUACAAGUCAUCCCCGGACCUCACAAGUCCCUAUGCACAUGAUGCACAUGUUUAGGGGGAGGAUGUACUACAACUUGAUCCUUUGAGACUGUAGGAAACGGGUGACGCCUAAGAGGGGGGUGAAUUAGGACUUCUAAAACUUUUACUAAACUAGGCCACAAUUAAAUCCCUAGAGCAAAACCUAUGCAAAUAAUCAAGACUAGAAUGUGCAAACUAGGUUUUGUCUAAGUGUUGCUAUCUCUACCGCAAAGGCUAAGUUUCAAUCUACACUAAAUAAGUAUGACUACAAGAUUGAAACUUAAAUGCUUAAUAUAAAUGCGGAAUGUAAAGAGCUAAGUAGAGAAGCAAACUCUCGUGGAUGACGCCGGUAUUUUUACCGAGGUAUCCGGAACCACGCAAGGUCCCGACUAAUCCUCGUUGGUGCCCCUACGCAAAGGGAAGCCCACGCGAGGGCCAAGCACCACGGUCGAGUAACUCCGUAGAGAGCCGCGGGCCUUCUCCACGCGCAAGUGGUGCUCCGCUUCCGGCUCCUCUCGGACGCUCCCCGCCGUCUCCACUAUCGAGCUUCCGGCCGAAAACGCCGCGGGCCUCGUUCCCUCCGGUACACGGUGGCGGCCGUGACACAAACACGGUUGUCACGGUCUCGCAAGACUCUCGCCCCACUCGGUACAAUUACAAUGACUCAUGCAAGAGCCGAGGGGUUGUGUGGUUUUACAAAACUCACUCAACUAACUAGGGUUCACCGAGAGCAAGCGCUAAAGCGGUCUAACUAACCUAAGCACUUCGCAAAGCACCUACGCUAAUCACCGAGUGAUUCUAUUAAGCACUUGGGUGUAUGAGCUCUUGGAAAUGUGCACUAUAUGCCUUGGUAUGUUGCUUGGGCUCUCACUCUUGAGAAUGGCCGGUUGGGGUGGUAUUUAUAGCCUCCACACCCCCAACUAGCCGUUGGACAGAAAGCAGCAGCUUUCUGUCGUCGGGUGCACCGGACAGUCCGGUGCACCACCGGACACGGAACAGUAGAUGUCCGGUGCACGCCACGUCAGCCGACCGUUGGCGCCUGUAGCAGUCGACCGUUGGAUCCGACCGUUGUCGUCUGCCCGUUGGCACACCGGACAGUCCGGUGCACACCGGACAGUCCGGUGCUACAGCAGAGAGCGCCUGUCUGCGGCCUCUCUGCGCAGACUGUCCGGUGCCUCACCGGACAGUCCGGUGCACACCGGACACCAAUGUCUGGUGCGCCACUAGGCGCUGGCUGACAGCCCUUAUCUUGGAUUUCUUCGCUGAUUUCUUCGGGCUUCUUUGUUCUUGAGUAUUGGACUCCUAUGCAUCUUUUUAUGUCUUCUUUUGAGGUGUUGCAUCCUCAUUGCCUUGGUCCAAUUCUCUUCGCAUCCUGUGAACUACAAAACACAAACACUAGAAAACCUAUUAGUUCACGGAUUGUGUUGUUCAUCAAACACCAAAACUCAAUUAGCCAAAAGGCCCGGGGUCCAUUUUCCUUACAAUCUCCCCCUUUUUGGUGAUUGAUGACAACACAACCAAAGCAAGCAAAUAAUACAAGUAUUUGAGUGAAAAUAUGCAAUCUACUUGCAAAGAUGCAUGAUUGUCCCCACAAUGUGAUAUUAUGGACUUAAGCCUCCCCCUAACUCCAUAAUUCACUUACUUCCUAUUUUUGGACCAAAUAACCAAAACCACUUGAAAAGCCAUUUGUAGAUAUAAAAUUUUAAAUUGGUGGUGUUUGGUGUUUGAUAAGUUUUCAUUGCUUUGGUCCCUUAAACUUCUCCCCUUUGGCAUCAACCACCGAAAAGGAAGACAUUAAAAGCAUGUAGGAAGUAAAUAAAAGCUUGCCCUCAACAAGAAUUGUAUCAAAUGAUAUCACUAGAAGGAUAUUAAAUUAAGCCAUGAAUGAUACCACUGGAAGGAGUUCCUCAAAAGAUUACUCCCCCUAAAUGAGUAUUCUCCUUUAGAAAGAGUUUUUCUCCCCCUUUAGAGAUGAAGAAAUACUCCCCUUGACAGAGAUCCUCUACUUAGGAAAAAGCAUGUGAAAAAAAAAGAGGUGCAAGACAUGGUUUGAAAAGACUAACUUCCCUUAUGCAUAGGUAACAGAAUAUGAGUUAACUAUUUAUGCAUUUAUAGCAACAUGGAAGCAUAUGAUAUGAAAUAUAGUCUAAUCAAAUAUUGGAGAAGACAUGUAAAUGAUACUAAAUGUAGUCUCAAAAGAUACCAAUUGAAAGUCAAUGGUGAGCUUGAGAGACAUGAGACUUCUUGGAGAUUUUGCAGUGGAAGAUUGUUGUCUUUCUCCGGGGACUUCAUUUUCCUUACAAUGAGACUAUCACAUGAAAUAGACUUGAAAAAGGUGUUAGUCUCAAAGUGUUAGAUUAUAGAGUAACCUCCCCCUAAAGGUGUGCAUACAAGUUUUGAAUACUUGUAGGAGACAUGCACUUUGAUUUGAUAUCAAGAGGGGCAAAUUAUCCAUAAUCCAAACUUUGGCACAUAUAAGUUAAAUGAUACACUUUGUAGAAAUCAAAAUUUUCAAUUUAUGCAUCAUUUACUAUGGAGUGAUAUAGAAGCUAUGUGUCGUGCUUAAAUAAACCUUUUAAACCAUGUAGGUUUGCUUAAGUAUAUGAAUUGAAAGCAAGCAAUCCUCCCAUGUGAUUUACCUAGUAUGCAUGAUUUUAAACAAAAGUACAUAACAAAUGUAAUACUAGGCAAGAAAGGUAAACUAGAUAGAAGGUAAAUAGAUACGCAUAUCUAAAAAUGAAGAGUACAAUAAAACUAGUUACCUGAGUCAUGGGUGGGAAAUUUGGGUCCAAAAUUUUCACUAACCCACUUGGCAAUAAACUUGAUCCAAUAUGAUGUAUCCCAUGAUAUACAUCCCAAUUUAGCCAAGUCUCCAAAUUUCCCGAGGACCUUUGGUCCACUCACUUCCCUUUCGGGAUCCAAACCUUCUUGGUGCUUUUCAUGGUUGAAAUUAUCUCCUUUGGCACCCAGAUGCGUUUGGCCCCCUUUCCUUUGUUGGCUUGCUUGUUGGCCUUGAUUGCUAUCACCUUUCCGUUCUUUUUCUUCUUGAUCAAAUAUGGUGUAGCAUCCUUUUUGUUCACCUUUUUGAUGUAGGUGUUGGAGAUUUUGCUUGAUGGCUUUUGCUUGAGCUUUCGCCUUUGUUUAUCCCCGAUCAUCGCCUUGCAUUGGAAAGACUUGUGGCCUUCCAUGUGGCAUAGUCUACAAAUCACAGUUUCUCCCUCCAUAGGCUUGUUCACUCCCGCAGUGGUGUUAUCCUGUGGAGGUCGGAUUUGUUUGGCUUUGCCUUUCUUGUCAUACAAAGCCUUGCCAAGGCGAGCCACUUCUUGCUUUAAUUGUUCAUUUUCCUUUGCAACCUCAUCCGAACAUGUCUCUAUAACAAUAUUCUCAACAACGACUUGGUUGCAGGGGUUAGAAUUAUCAAUUAAAUCAAAGCAGGAAGUAGAAGCAUCUUUCUUAAUUAUUUCAGGUAUUUCAACUAAAGAUGCUGCUGGGGUGCUACCAAUGUUUUCUAGCUUAGUAGUUAGCUCAUUAUUGUGUAUGCUAAGAAUUUCCAUUUUCUCAAGCAAAUUUUCAAUAGCUUCUUGGGAGCUAGCUAACUUAGCCUUAAGUUUUUCAUUCUUUUUAAUAAGGCUAUCAUCGGUAGCAGUGGAUGGAGCACUAGAUUCUAAUAGCUCAAUUUUAGUUGAUAGCUCACUAUUUAAGUUUGCAAAAGUUUCAAAUUUUUCUAGCAAACCUUUGUAAUCAUUUUGAGAGCUAAUCAACUUAUUUUUCAAAGUUUUAAGUUGAGCUUUUUGCUUAGUGCAAACAUCCUGGAAAAAUUCUACGGCUUCCGCAAGCUCAUCUAGAGAGGGCUUUCCCUCACCUUCAUCAUUACUACUACUUUCAUCACUAGAGGAUGGAAUGCUUUUGUUACCUCUUGCCAUAAGGCAUUUGUGUGAUGACCGUGAUGAUCGUGACGAGGACCGGUGGCUGCGUGUCCUUGGAGGUUCAUCUUCACUUGAAGAAUCAUCCCAAGUUCUAACACUUGUUAGCGUCUUGCCUUUGCUCCUCUCCUUUUUGGGUUUGGCCAUAUUUGGACAGUUGUCCCUGAAGUGACCCUUCUCCCCACAUGCGAAGCAUCCUCUCUUCCUUUGCUUUUUCCUGUCAAUGUUAAAGAGAAGAUCCUCGACCUGCAGGGGCACACCCAUUAGAUUAAUCUUGCGGAUCAUCCCCAUUACCUUUCCGACGCGUCGGAUCGUUUCUUCGUCCUCGGAGGAUGAUGUGCAUGGUUGAUUAUCUUCAUCAUCAUCACUUUCUUCUUCUUCCUCUUCUUCACUUGAGGAACUUGGAGUGGGAGCCUCCUUUUUGCCCUUCCUUUCAUCACAUGCAAAAGCAUAUGGUCUUGAGGAAGUUGGCUCCUCUCCCCGACUCAUUUUUCGCGACAUCUCAAAGGCCGCGAUUUUCCCAAUCACAAUGGUCGGGGUCAUGUUGCUUAAGUCCUCCAUGUUGUGAAGGAUGGUGAUGAUGCUCCCAUAUCUUUGUUGUGGUAGCAGGGAGAUAAUCUUCCUCACAAUGUCCGCAUCACCUAGCUUAUUAAUGCCAAUAGAAUUGAGCUCAUUGAUAAUUAGAUUCAAGCGAGAAUACAUGUCUCUAACAAGCUCAUCAUCUUUCAUAGCAAAAGAAUUAUACCCAUUUAAGACUAGGCAAUGUUUUUGCUCACGGACAUUGGAUGUGCCGUCAUGGAGCUCAUGCAAUUUUAGCCAAAUCUCAUUAGCAGUUUUCAGGGUAAAUACUUGAUUGAAAAUAUCCAUGCUAAGAGAUUCAUACAAGCAAUUUUUGGCUCUAGCAUUUAAAUGAAUUUCUUUUUCUUCACUCGUGGUGGGUUUCACGGGAUUCUUGAGGGGUUUCAUCCCGUCACGAGUGACUCUCCAAACACCUAGAUCAACGGCCUCUAGGUAACAAGCCAUUCUAGCACUAUAAUAUGGGAAGUUAGUGCCGUCGAAGUGUGGUGGCCUAUGGGUAUCCAUCCCUUCCUCUAAAAAGCGUCGGCUCUUUUAGCGGUGAAGCUAAAGCAUUUCAAAUGAGCCAAACCGGGCUCUGAUACCACUUGUAAGAAACGGGUGACGCCUAAGAGGGGGGGUGAAUUAGGACUUCUAAAACUUUUACUAAACUAGGCCACAAUUAAAUCCCUAGAGCAAAACCUAUGCAAAUAAUCAAGACUAGAAUGUGCAAACUAGGUUUUGUCUAAGUGUUGCUAUCUCUACCGCAAAGGCUAAGUUUCAAUCUACACUAAAUAAGUAUGACUACAAGAUUGAAACUUAAAUGCUUAAUAUAAAUGCGGAAUGUAAAGAGCUAAGUAGAGAAGCAAACUCUCGUGGAUGACGCCGGUAUUUUUACCGAGGUAUCCGGAACCACGCAAGGUCCCGACUAAUCCUCGUUGGUGCCCCUACGUAAAGGGAAGCCCACGCGAGGGCCAAGCACCACGGUCGAGUAACUCCGUAGAGAGCCGCGGGCCUUCUCCACGCGCAAGUGGUGCUCCGCUUCCGGCUCCUCUCGGACGCUCCCCGCCGUCUCCACUAUCGAGCUUCCGGCCGAAAACGCCGCGGGCCUCGUUCCCUCCGGUACACGGUGGCGGCCGUGACACAAACACGGUUGUCACGGUCUCGCAAGACUCUCGCCCCACUCGGUACAAUUACAACGACUCAUGCAAGAGCCGAGGGGUUGUGUGGUUUUACAAAACUCACUCAACUAACUAGGGUUCACCUAGAGCAAGCGCUAAAGCGGUCUAACUAACCUAAGCACUUCGCAAAGCACCUACGCUAAUCACCGAGUGAUUCUAUUAAGCACUUGGGUGUAUGAGCUCUUGGAAAUGUGCACUAUAUGCCUUGGUAUGUUGCUUGGGCUCUCACUCUUGAGAAUGGCCGGUUGGGGUGGUAUUUAUAGCCUCCACACCCCCAACUAGCCGUUGGACAGAAAGCAGCAGCUUUCUGUCGUCGGGUGCACCGGACAGUCCGGUGCACCACCGGACACUGAACAGUAGAUGUCCGGUGCACGCCACGUCAGCCGACCGUUGGCGCCUGUAGCAGUCGACCGUUGGAUCCGACCGUUGCCGUCUGCCCGUUGGCACACCGGACAGUCCGGUGCACACCGGACAGUCCGGUGCUACAGCCAGAGAGCGCCUGUCUGCGGCCUCUCUGCGCAGACUGUCCGGUGCCUCAUCGGACAGUCCGGUGCACACCGGACACCAAUGUCCGGUGCGCCACCAGGCGCUGGCUGACAGCCCUUAUCUUGGAUUUCUUCGCUGAUUUCUUCGGGCUUCUUUGUUCUUGAGUAUUGGACUCCUAUGCAUCUUUUUAUGUCUUCUUUUGAGGUGUUACAUCCUCAUUGCCUUGGUCCAAUUCUCUUCGCAUCCUGUGAACUACAAAACACAAACACUAGAAAACUUAUUAGUUCACGGAUUGUGUUGUUCAUCAAACACCAAAACUCAAUUAGCCAAAAGGCCCGGGGUCUAUUUUCCUUACAGAGACUAACAUGUUUGCUUGAGUACUUUUGAUAUAGUCUCAAAGUUGAAUUGAAAGGGAAAAGGUGAACUUGGACAAAGAAAGGUCUUCCACUGCGUUCCGGUAUCAAUGUAUCUUAUCCCAAGUUCAUAUUCGUGUUUUCUCAUUGCCUUUGAUCUUAUUUGACAUUUGUGUGAGGCAAUGGGGUUAAAGGGCCAACUAGUUCUCCUGUUUUGGUGCUUAAUGCCAAAGGGGGAUAAAUUGAGGCCAAAGCAACUGGAUCAGCCAACCACUUGUGAAUUUCAAAGAAUUUAGUGUUAGAUUUUGGUAUUUCAAAAUUUUAGUGUUAGAUUUUUGGUGUUUGGUCAAAACCCUCUUAUUGCAAAAAUUGUUCUCUUGUGGGGGAGAAAUUUGAUUAUGGGAAAAGGGAGAUUUUUUAGCACUUGAUCAAAAUUACUCUUGAAUGAUCUCUUGAUUUGCCAAAACAAGUGAUUUUGACAUAAAGAUAGGAAAACAAAUUUGUUUUGAGAAAAUAAACCAAGUUGUGGCAAAAGUGAUCCAAAUAUGCCAAAUCCUAUGUGAGAUGAAUUUGUCUUCAAUUUGCAGUCUUUAGCCUAUCUUUGAAAAAAUGUUGUUGCAUUUUGAGUUGCUUUUAAUGUGCUGUCAUAAAUCAAAACGGAAAUGUGCCCUUGGGCCAUUUCUAUAAAUGUUUUGGUGAUUAGAUGCUCAACACAUAUUGGUUUGUGCUAAGUGUCAAAGAGAUGCAAAUGGAAAAUCAAGGUAAGAUUUUAGCCUUAUUAAAUUGUUUUUGGUACUAACAUUAUUCAACUAAGUGCUAGGAACCUUGUUAAAACGAGAGAAAUCGGAUUGGAGAAGUUUGGCUGAGUCCAGCCAGACUUGCGCCAGCUUGAGGUGUACCGGACUGUCCAGUGUGCACCAGAUAGUGUCUGGUGCUUAGGCUGGCUCCCCCGACGAACAGGUCGCUCUCGAGAAAAGCUUAGUGCGUCGCGUCUAUAAUUUACUGGACUGUCCAGUGUGCCACAGGACUGUCCGGUGAGCCAGUCGUGCCCACGCCAACGGUCGGUAGUGCAAUCAGCGGGCGACGCGUGGACCUCGCCAACUGUCGGAAGGCCGCACCGGACUGUCUGGUGUGCCACGGGAGUCGUGGCCGCAACGGUCGGCUUCGCCAAAAAAGGAAGUAAAUCGUGCACUGUUCCCUGUCCGGUGGGGCACCGGACUGUCCAGUGCGCCCACAGAUAGAAGGCAACUAUGGCCUUCCAAAUGGAGCUCCAACGGCUCCUAGCUGUCUUGGGGCUAUAAAAGGGAUCCCUAGGCGCAUGGAACAAUACACCAAGCACCUCUUGAACAUCCUAAGACACCGAGACUUCGCAUUCGCGCAUUUGAUUCACUGUGAUAGAGAUUCUAGCAGUUUUCUGAGUUGUAACUCCACUGUGCCGCUUUUGUGUGCUCGUUCUUGUCUUGUGUGCGUGUUAGUGUUGCGACUCUCGCUUUUGUGUAUGUUGUUAUUCCCUCCUUACUCAUGUGCUCAUUCAAGAUCUUUUGUAAGGUGUGAGAGACUCCAAAGUGUGGAGAUUCCUCACAAAGAGAUAUACUUGAGAUAAAAAGAAAUGUACAAUGUGGAAUAGGCAAGUGCUCUACUUGGCCGAACCACGGGAUAAAAAAUCAUUGUGUCACUUGUCUUUAUUCUUGUGCGAUUCUCUCUACUUCUAUUCACUUCAUAAUUGCUCUAAGUUUAAUACUCAUCUUGUGAAGAGCAAUUAAGUGAAGAAGUUUUCUCCACUCAUUCUCCUCUCUUGAACUUGGCCUUAGCUUUCACUAAUCUAAUUUUAGUCCAAGUUUGUGUUGUUAAGCUGUUUUUACAAGAUCACCUAUUCACCCCCUUCUAGGCGCUCUAAAAAACCAACCAGUGGCCUAGAUGCUUUCAGCUCUCCUCCAUAGUGCCACCAAGAACUAGCCGUUGAGCUAUUGUUCCCUGGUGCAUCGGAUAGUCCGCGUGGUGUGGCACCGGACAGUCCAGUGUGCCCCCAGGCGGUAUGGUGCUCUCAGUCGGACAGUCCGCCAGUGGUAACACUUUCUUCAUGUCUUGGACUUUGCUUGAUACUUGUUGAUCUUCACUUAUGGUCUUUAUAAUGUUUUCUUUUGAGGUGUUGCUUUCUCAAUGCCUUAGUCUAAGUCACUUUAGCGUCCUGUGAACUACAAAUACAAACACUAGCAAAUAUAUUAGUCCACGGAUUAUGUUAAUCAUCAAACACCAAAACCAAUUAGUUAAAUAGGUCGAGAUCCAUUUUCCUGACAAAGUACUUAUGGCUUUUAAUGAUAAAAGCAUAUGGACUUAAAUAAAUAUUUCAAUUAGUACAAUAAAUUGGUCGUUAAAUAAAAUUAGUAUGUUAAUUGGUUUGUUGCAUACAAACUCUUUGAAUCAAUAGAAAACGAAGGAUAUUUUACACAAAUAAAAUAUCAGUGGCACAAUUAUUGAUAAAUUCAUGAUAUUUACACAAUAAAGUACUCACUAAUAGUGAAAUUCUAUUACAAGUCAGUACUAAAUUACAUGGAAACCAAAGGUUUUAUUGCGAAUUUAGAACUGAACUACAAAAAUAUAAAAGAUAAAAGUGCCAGUGAGCCAACAAUUAGCCAAUUUGGCCCAAAGGCACUAUCGAUCCAACGAAGUGGGAAGGGGGAGGGUGGUCGUUGCUUGGGCCUGCUGGCUGGCCCAUUAGGGCAGGGGCGUGUGUGGCCUCCUAAGGGUUGAUUUGGUGAUAAGGGGAUCCUGGGAGGAUUGGAGGGGAUUGAGGGGGAAAUAAACUAAUUUCCCCCUCAAUCCCCUCUGAUCCUCCCGGGAUCCCGGGUCACCAAAUCAGCCCUAAAGGGUGGCAAUUAGGGUUUUUAACCCUAACCGCCCUUCAGUCGUCGCCGUGUACCAAGGAGCCAGCCGCCGAGUGUCUUGGGGGCACGCCAGUCGAGGGACGCGCCGCUUAGACCCAUUGUCGAGGCUCAGGGCUGCACUGGCUUAUGGCCAUGCCGACGGAGGGACGCGCCAUCAAGCCCCCUGUCCCUUCAUUUCUUUAAGUCCGAGAGGUCUCCCCCUUGUCGGGGGAGAAGAAGGAGCAACUUCCAUCAUUGGUGUUGAGGACGCCAGCGCUCAGGAGGAGGACGGAGGCUGGACUCCAAGGACCACGGGCCGGCUCCAGUGAAGGCCGCGUUGGUGUUGGAAGAGCGGUCUCUUCGUCGAUGAAGUAUGGCGGCCAUCCACGGCGAGCAACGCGAGUGCCGACGAGGUUGAUGGGGACGACAACCCCUAGAGCAGCAACCACAUCGUCCUCUGCCAGCCUUCCCUUCGCAAGGAUGGGAGGGUGGUCGUAGAGGUCCUCUGCCGGCCUUCCCUCCGCAAGGAUGGGAGGGUGGUCGUAGAGGCGUGGAGCGCCUGUUCACGCCGCCAUGGUGCCACCUAGGUGAGGGGUGAAGACGUGGUCUUCACCGUCAUAAUCGACGACAGUUGCCGCGACAUGGGGCUCUACAAUUCACCCAUGAUCUGAGCACCAGUAGCCGCGGCGUUCGCUUCAUCCAUGGACGAUAGUGCGGUACCCAGUAGCCGCGACGACGAACAGGACGACGGUAGGCUCCAACUCGACGAAGAGCAUUGUACAGAACACGAGCAGUGUGAUAAGGCAAGUUAAUUCUCGCCAUGAUGCUUACCAUCAUGGAUCAGUGGCCUUCAUGUCUCAUGUUCGUGCUUCCUGUGAUGGUCUCUUAUGUCUUUUGCAGUUGGUUAGAGUCAAGGGACUCACAACGUGUUAGAACUAAAAGUGAAAGUAGUGGAAUGGAAGAUGUGUACUGUUAUACUGAUCUGUACAUAUAUUUAUACAUGAUAGUAUGAACUUUGGUAUCAUGUCUCAUGUUCGUGCUUCCUAGGAAGGGGUGUAUUCAAGCAUCAUAGCUUUCAAGCAUUUCUACUUGCAUAUUAGUAUGAACUUUGGUAAGUCCUCGUUUGGAUCUCUACAGAUAAUAAUUAUCUAUUAACAAUUAACUCAUAUCCAAUUCUUUAGUCCAAAUAGAAAUACUAAUAAUAAACUCACUUCUACUUUCGUCAAAAACAAGAUUUUAAUGAAGAGAUAAAAAUAUAAAAUAUAAAAAGACUAACUGAAAGGCAAUCACAACUAAGCAAUAACACUUCAAUAACAAUAUUGAGCUUUAACAAGCAAUCCAAUCUUGGGACAAUUUUUUCUCAAACAAACCCUUUUGAGUUCAAUUCAGCCAGGACAACUAUAGUUUUGGAUAUAAUAAUAGUACAUAGAUAGUACCCAACAUGGGUAACUAAUUUCGCCGCACGCCUAGCACUUGAUCUCCUUAAGACCAUGAGAGAAAUAGAGGAAUGUCGGAUUAGUGGCACCAUCCUUGUAAUAGGCGAAUACCACAGACGCAUCAUCCUUCAUGGACUCACCAACAAAACUAUUAAAAACAUAAAUAACAAUGUCAAUAUUAGACAUGUAAAUGACAACAAUGUCAACAUUAGAUUUAACAAAAAAAACAAACAUUAGACUAAAUUAUCAGUUACAAAGGACUAUCCUUACAUAAAUGCCAACAUUAGACCAAACUACAGAGAGUUGUGAAUAAAUCGUGGUAGGAAUAAAAUGUAAUAUGUUAAGCUAUUGUCAAAAAACUAUUGUGGCAAAAUAAUGCACAGCAGCAUGAAGAGGUUAGAGCAGCAUUUUCAGGCAAACAGGAGGUUACAGGCAGACCAGUGUAUUACAUGAACAAAAACAAUCUGCCCAAUGUGGGAUCACAAAGUCUAGAGACACAGUCUGGAGACACAUUUGUGUAUGAGAAUACCAAAAGUUCUAAUUCAUAUUAGAAAAAGAUAGGAUGGUACAAUCUGCAAACGUGGGAUCACAAAGUCUAUAUAUACAUUUGUGUAUGAGAAUACCAAGUUCUAAUUCAUAUUAGAAAAAGAUAGUAUAGUAGUUCACGCUGCAUUGCUAUAAUAAGUUAACGAUAGAUAUGAAAUGUAUUAUCAAUAGAUUUGGGUAUAGAACUUGCAGAGGAUAUUUCACAUAGCAUUACUAAGCUAAUAAUAGAUAUGCAAUGUAUUUAUUGAUAGAACUUACAAUUGGAGGUCCUUCAGCUUGCUAAGGAGAAACUUGGUUGCACCCUCGACACCCUUUUUGAACUCAUCCGCUUUCUCUGGCUCCAACACAGCAGUGAGAUUCUUGAUGUAUUUUUUGAUGUAAGACACAAAUGAUUUCUUGUC
rnacentral:lncRNA from 1 species